AAUAUGAAAGAACUCCAAUCUUUAGAUUUGUCCUCAAAUCAACUGACAGGGGCUAUUCCACCUCAGUUAACUGCAUUGACAUUUCUGGAGGUCUUCAACCUCUCGGGAAACCAUCUUAGUGGAGAGAUUCCUCAGAAAGGACAGUUCAGCACAUUUAACAAUGAUUCUUAUCUAGGAAACUCCGCGUUAUGUGGAUCACCUUUGACAAAGAAAUGUGCAAACACAGCAUCACCUCCACAAGAAGUCGGAAAUGGUGAUGAAGAUGAUGCUGGUGAUGAAUGGACAUGGGAAGCAAUCGUGAUGGGAUAUGGAUGUGGACUGAUAUGUGGAUUGUCAUCUGCGUACAUUGUUCUCAAACUAGGAAAGCCUUGGUGGUUUGUGAGAUAUAUCGAAGUGCUGCAACUGAAGUUGAUGAAAAGAUAUGCUUGAAAAAUGGUACUGGCCGAUCAAGACGAACUUGAAAGUUGUUGUCCUUGUGGACAUUUCUGAACCAGUAGUGUACUAGCUGCAUAAGUAUUUGGUAUUAUGUAAUAAUCCGUUUGGUCAGGACUCAUAAUGAUUUCUCUUGCUUCAGGGGUAUUAAUAUUAACCUUGCUAGUUAAUUCAAAUUAAAACAAAUAUAAAAUCAAAAAAUUUGCAUCAAACACCUGUUAUACCAACAUCCAUUAAUUUGCUUUCAUCUCUUACGUAACAAUUUAACAGCGAUUCCACACUGUUUUAGGCAUGGAGAUUACACAAAGAAGGCAAGUCCAUGGACUAAUAUACGAACAAUUCAUAUUGGUCUUCCAUCUGUUCAACCGUCUCCCGAAGAUAGGCCAAAAAUGUCAUCUGUGGUUCUUAUCUUUGUCAGUAAAGGAGAAUCUCUGAUGCCUAUACAACCUGGUUUUCUUACCGAAAGGAAUGUAGGUGAAACCAGGGGCAUAAAAUGAAUCGGGACUAAAAUCUGCUAAAAUGAUAAUUAUUUACUCAUCAUUCGAGAUUAGUCGGGCUCGAAUGAAGAUUUAUAUGGAUUUUAAGAACAAACUAUGACUAAAUAUGAAAAAAUCAUUAAUUUUUCCGACUCAAUAUUUUUAGCCUCCCCCGGCCCUGGGUGAAACCAUAAGCUUCUCUGGUGCACAUCCAAAUCAUUCAGCUGGUUCUACAUUCAGCUCACCCACAGGAACAUCAUUCUGCAGGUACUCUCUUAUCUGUACUUUCUUAUAUUGUAUGCCAGAAAAUUUAAUAUCGACAAACUGCACAAUACACCUCGAUCUCAUAUUAUUGACAGGUGAGCUCCUCUCAUAAUGCUCACAGGCGAACUCCUGCAUAUAUACUUUGUGAUGUCAUUGAUGAUCGAUAGGCUUGAAAAAAAAUUAUGACAAAGAUUCAUAAAAUAUCUACUUCCAUCCUAAUUCAGUAUUCAAUAUUAUUCAUUCCGUAUCAUCAUCCAAUCAAUUCUAAUAGUUCUUCUUUAAAUCAGUAUAAAUAUUGUUAAAUAUAUUGAUGAUGGUUGUCUUUCCGCGAACCAAUCAUAAAAUUACCUCUGUAUAAAUCCAUCGGAAAUAAGACAGUUAAUAUCCCAAUCGAAUACACCCCUGUCAGUUGUCAAACUCCUCGAAACGUAUUAAUCACUUUAGAAAAUUUGUUCCACUGGCGCUAGUCAGUCCCAGAGUUGGUGGUGGGUGCUUCUGGGCUUUCGAAAAGCACCCAUUUACUCCAUUGUUUAGAGAAGUAAAACCCCACCUUCCGCUCAUUUGAUUGAUCAGCUGAAUUAGGCAGAGUUUACAUGGUCAUGAUCAUAGUCUCCCAUUUCCCAGAUACGCGCAUUAUAGUGGAUUUAUCUUUAUCAGUAAUUUCUGUGGAGAUGCAUAAUCAUUAUAAACUCCAAUAUAAAAAUUUAAAGUUGGUAUGGGCAUUUGUGUUGAUAAUUUGCGCAAUGUUAACAGGAAUUGCUCCCAAGUCUUGGACGGACUCUUUCAAAGUCUUCUGAGGACCCAUCUGCACACUAAUUUGUCUCCCAACUAAAAAAUCAACAAUAUGUUACUCCCUCCGUUUUUCUUAAACGAGGUUAAAAUUUUUGACACAAGAUGGGUUGACAGUAUAAUAAAAAUUUUUGUGAAUAAAAUUUUUUUUAUUUAGAAAGAUAAUCUUGAAAAUAAUAUUAUUAACUAAGUUAAAUCACUUAAAAGUGUAUGUCCAAAAAUUAAAGCGGCAUAUAAAAAAAAGGGAGGGAGCAUGUACUAACUGUUUCCAUAACAGUUUACAAGUAUAAGUUAUACUCCCUCUCUAUUUUUUUAUAUGACGGUUUGAUUUUGGGCACACAUUUUUAAGUGUUUUGACCAGAUAAUUAAAAGGGGUUUUCUCAUAAAUACCUAAGUCUAAAAUUAUUUUUACGAAAAUAUUAUAUCUUUUUUUAAAUAUUUUGCAAAAAUACCAAACUUUGUAAAUAUUUACAAAAAUACGGUAUGCAACCCGUUGCAACCACAUGCAACCUUACUUGCAACCAUAUUUGCAACCCCUGCGGGGUCAAUUAACUGAAAUUGCAUCUGGUUGCGUUUAGUUGCAGACCGUAUUUUUGCAAAUAUUUUCUAAAAAGUUAGUAUAUUUGCAAUUUUUUUAAAAAUAUAAGAAAAUCGCAAAAAUUAUAACAAAGCUUCAAGAUUUUUAACAGGUGAGCUUCCACUAAAAAUUUGCAAAGUCACUUCCCUUUCGCGUCUCAUUAUGUCAGAUAUUGGUCAAGUGGUGCACUUCCACAGUGUUUGGGGAACCUUUCUUUGCUUGGUUUCAAUAAUCUUGCUAAUAAUCAAUUUCAAGGACCAAUACCAACGACUGUCCAAGACUUGUCUGUGCAUAUCUAAACAUCCAUAACAAUCACUUUGAAGGUUUGUUGCUCCAAUCUUUGGCAAACUGUAAACACUUACAAAUUCUUGAUAUUGGAAACAACAAAAUAGGUGGUACAUUUCCGUCAUGGCUAUUUACUGUUGGAGAGCUAGAUGUCCUAGUUAGGACGGUAUUUCGACUAGAGCAAGCCGAGUUUUGAGCGGAGCCCAAUUCGAGCCAAGUUUAAUCGAGUCGAGCCGAGUCAGUUCGUUUGGCUAAUCGAGCCUAAAACUCUGUCCGAACUCGACUCGUUUAAUUUCACGAGUUGAGUCAAGCCAGCUCAUUUAGCUAAACGAGUUGGUUUUAACGAGUUAAACGAGUGAGCUCGUAUAAUUUUAACUUAAUCGAGCCUGGAUCUCUAUCCGAACUAUUGGCUCGUGUAAUUUCGCGAGUCGAAUCGAGCCGGCUCGUUUUAUUAAACAAACCGAAAUUUUUGCCCAAAUUUUGCUCGUUUAACAAGCCGAUCUGAACCUAGUUAAAUGAGUUCGAGCUAGUCGAGCUCGCAGCUUGCGAGCUCGCCGGACAGCUCUAGUACUAGUCUUGCGAUCAAAUAGGUUUCACGGUAUAGAAAGUGGAAGGAACACAAGGCAUCUGUACUUUCUUGUACUGUAUGCCACUUUGACAGUAAAAUUUAUACUCCCUCCGUCCGAAUGAAUUGUAUACAGUUUACUUUUUGGGACGUCCCAUCAAUUGUAUACAUUCCUAAAGUAGUAAACUUUUAUAAUAUAAAACAUCAUUAAACCAACUACUUUCUUCCCCUAUCUCCAUUCUAUAAUAAUAUAAACACUAUUACACCCACUACUUUCCUCCACUAUCUCAAAUUUAUUAUUAAAUAUAAAUGGGUCCCACCACUAUACUCACUUUUCAUCCAACUUUACUCAUUUCUAAUAAAAUUUCUUGGUCUCCGUGUCCCAGCCAUUUGUAUACAAAUGACUGGGACGGAGGGAGUAUCAACAAACUGCACGAUUAAAUCCUCGUACAAUUGACAGGUGAACUCCUGCAUAUGUUCUGAACUAUUACGUACUAUAUUAUGCAAGCUGUUUGCAACUUUCAUCAAAAUUUUCAAACAUUUCUUAAUAUGUUUUUUCAAAAAAUUCUCGGGCCCUCUUAAGGCCUAUUAUUAUUGCAACUCUCACGUUAUGGACCACUAUGUAUUUUACAAGCACGACGAAUCAUGUGGUCAUUAUGGACUCCCCAAGCCUUCGAGGACUCACUCCAGGUCUUAGGAGGACCACUGCCUAGCUCACCCUUUCGGAGUGAUGUAAAUUAUUUUCUAGACACUAAAAAUAAGUAUUCAGAUUAAUCAUUACAAAAUUAAGGAUAUAAAAUCAGAAUAAAUCCUAAACUUUGAUGAUACAAAAAAAUUAUAAUUGUAAAUUAUACAAUCAAAUUAAAAUCGAAUUAACUUCCCUCACACUUAAAAUUUAUAGCGAUCAAAUCAAAAUCGAAUUAACUUUCCUAUUACUAAAAUAUAAUUACAAUAUUAUUAGAUAAAGAGAAUAUAUAAUAAUCAAGAGAAAAUAGAUUUUUUUUUGCCACUCAACUUAUCGUGUUUUAAGAAACUUACCACCCAACUAAAUUUUUUUUCCUUUUGCUCACUAAUGUUAGGUUUGGAUUUGUUUUUAGCCACCAACUAAGGUUCGGAUUUGAUUACCAGCAUUAUGAUAAUUUUUUUUGUCACUAAACUUAUUGCGUCUUUAGAAACUAACCACUCAACUAAAUUUUUUUUUAUUUUACUCACUAAUGUUAGGUUCAGUUUUUUUUUGUCACUGAAGUUAGGUUCGGAUUUGAUUAUUAGCAUUACAUUAAUUCUGUGUAGCAUUUUUAAAAUAUGGUAGUACUCUGUGAUAUUUAGAUGAUUUGAUAUAUGUCUGUAUUUUUAUAUAUAGUAUAUUUUAUGUCUCCAAGAUCAUUUACCUUGGGUCAUAAGAAUUUUACACGCAUUAUAUGACUUUUAAAAGAUGUAGUGUCAUAAAUAAUUUUAUUUUUUUUUCCGAAUUAAAAUUCAGCAUUUGAAUUUUACACACACAAAAAUCGCAAGAAUAAGUUAUGAAAUUAUGCUUUAUAAGAGUCUUAAAAUACGUGCUAAACGGUAGAAAAAACGGUGAAAUAAUGAGAGGUACAUAGGAGUAAUAAUAACAUAAAAUGAUGCACAAGUUAGUAUAUUGGACUAAUAUUCACGCAUUUAUAUACGAGAAUAUAUGGUCCACAAGUUAGUGCACAAUGUCCAAGAAUCUUUAUCAAAGUAACACGGCAAGCAUGCAGCAUAUAAAUAAGAGUGGGCAGUAUGGUAUUGCAUUCAUAACCCACUUGAGGAGAAAUAUGGCACACUUCCUAAAGCCUUCUCACCUUCUUCUCUUUGUUUUCUCUCUCUCGUUACUUCAAUCCAUUCUACCAACAAGACCAGAGGGAGAAGCUCUUGUGAAAUGGAAGAAUAGCCUAGCCCCUUCUUCUUUUCUCGAUUCUUGGUCACUCACCAAUCUCGAUGAUCUUUGUAACUGGACUGGCAUUACUUGUAACUCUGCAGGUUCAGUCUCUGAGAUUAACCUUUAUGAGAAACAACUUGAUGGAAUGCUGUCCGAGUUUGGCUUCACUUCAUUUCCGAAUCUCAACAAUCUCACCCUCGCAUACAACUUCUUCUCGGGUCCAAUUCCACCAGCCAUUGAGAAUUUAACACAGCUUCAAUAUCUUGAUUUAAGCAUCAAUAGUCUCGAUGGUCCCAUUCCGUUCCAGGUUAGCCAUCUUCAGAGGUUGCUCGUCUUAAACCUGUCACAGAAUGCAUUGCAAGCUCCAAAUUGGUCCAAAUUCUCCCCCAUGCCCUUUUUGUGCAUCCUCAACCUCAGUAGCAAUCCUCUUGCGUCGACAUUCCCAAAUUUCAUAUCCAAUUCUCAUGGCCUGACUCACCUCAGCCUUGAUCAAAACGAGUUUACAGGUGAUUUAGCGCGUGAAUCAAUAUUUGCCAAUCUGCAUAAUCUUGAAGUCCUCAGUCUUGUUGGCAAUUCUUUUGAGGGGGCCAUUUCCGCCAAAUAUAUUCAAGCUUUCCAAAUUAAAACAUCUUAGCCUGUCAGAUAACAAACUUUCAGGUUCAAUUCCCAAUGACAUAAGGUUGCUUUGUGAUCUUGAAUACCUAUAUUUAGGCAACAAUUCCUUUGAAGGACCGCUUCCACCAAAUAUAUUCAAGCUUUCAAAAUUAAAACAUCUUAUUCUUUGGGGUAAUAAGUUUUCAGGUUCUGUUUCCAACGAUAUAGGUUUGCUUUCUGAGCUUGAAAGCCUCUAUCUUGACUCCAAUUUUUUUGAGGGGCCGCUUCCGCCAAAUUUAUUCAAGCUCUCCAAACUAAAGAUUCUUUUCCUUUAUGAGAAUAACUUUUCAGGUUUUAUUUCUAAGGAUAUAGGUUUGCUUUUUGAACUUGAAACCCUCUAUCUUGACUCUAAUUUUUUUGAGGGGCCGCUUCCCCCACAUGUAUUUAGGCUCUCCAAAUUAAGAGAUCUGGGUCUCUCAGACAAUAGAAAUUUAUUUGAAGGAAGUAUUCCUAUUGGACUGGGACUCUUGACUAACCUCAGAUACUUGCGUCUAUCUUCCAAUAAUCUCGGUGGCUAUAUUCCAUCUGACAUUGGAAACCUGAAGCAACUAGAACUUCUUGAUCUCGGUUCUAAUCAAUUGACUGGACCGCUUUCAAAGAUCGUUUCUAAUCUCACAAAUCUUAUAUAUCUUGAUGUGAGUUAUAAUAGUCUUAGUGGAAAUAUUCAGAGUGACUGGUGGAAAAACUCUGUAUCCUUACGUUACAUUGAUUUUGAAAAUAAUUAUUUGUCUGGGAACAUUCCUAAGGAAUAUAACGAUCAUCCAACUUUGGAAUACAUCAAUUUAGGUGGGAACCAUUUUACAGGUAUAUUUUCUCUAUAUAUCUUUUCCUUUUGUCAUAUGUAAAUAAGCUAGUAAUCUGGUUAUUGUAGUUUUACCAAAGUUUCAACAAUCUUGACAGGUGAGCUUCCAACAACAAUUUGCAAUGCCACUUCCCUUUCGGUUCUUGUUUUGUCAAAUAAUGGAUUAAGUGGUGCACUUCCAAAAUGUUUCGGGAAUCUUGCUGAUGGAUUGCUUUACAUUAAUCUUGCUAAUAAUCAGUUUCGAGGAACAAUACCAACUACUUUCUCCAGGAGUUGUCGGUUGACAUAUCUAAACAUGGAUAAUAAUGAGUUUGAAGGAUUGUUGCCCCCAUCUUUGGCGAACUGUAAGCACUUGAAAAUUCUUGAUAUAGGCAAUAAUAAAAUAGGUGGUACAUUUCCGUCAUGGCUUUAUGCACUUGGAGAGCUAGAAGUUCUUGUCUUGCGAUCAAAUAAACUCUAUGGUACGAUAAGUGGAAGGAGCAUAGAAGAUCCCUUCCCAAAGUUGCGGAUUGUGGAUCUGUCCCACAAUCAAUUGACAGGCUAUUUGCCAAUUCAAUACUUUAAGAAUAUGAAAUCAACUGAUGAUUUGUAUAGUUUCCGGAAUUCCACAGGAACCGCAUCUAUCUCUUAUGAAGCAUCGGUCUCAUUAACCGUGAAGGGAACAGAGUAUGAAGUAGCAAAUAACCUUCAUAUUUACACAGCCAUUGAUCUAUCGUGCAACAAAUUUCAGGGACAAAUUCCAAAGGUUACUGGAGAGCUUAAAUGGCUGGCAUUGCUCAACUUAUCUCAUAAUAGUCUAACAGGACCUAUCCCGUCAUUGCUGAGAAAUAUGAAAGAACUCCAGUCUUUAGAUUUGUCUUCAAAUCAACUAACAGGGGCUAUUCCACCUCAGUUAACUGCACUGACAUUUCUAGAGGUCUUGAACUUCUCGGGAAACCAUCUUAGUGGAGAGAUUCCUCAGAAAGGACAGUUCAGCACAUUCAACAAUGAUUCCUAUCUAGGAAACUCUGCGUUAUGUGGAUCACCUUUGACGAAGAAAUGUGUAAACACUGUAUCACCUCCUCAGGAAGUCGAAAAUGGUGAUGAAGAUGAUGCUGGUGAUGAAUUGACAUGGGAAGCAAUCGUGAUGGGAUAUGGAUGUGGACUGAUAUGUGGAUUGUCAUCUGCGUACAUUGUUCUCAAACUAGGAAAGCCUUGGUGGUUUGUGAGAUAUAUCGAAGUACUGCAACUGAAGUUGAUGAAAAGAUAUGCAUGAAGAAAGGUACUGGUAGAUCAAGAUGAACUUGAAAGUUGUUGUCCUGGUAGACAUUUCUGAACCAGUAGUAUACUAGCUGUGUAAGUAUUUGGUAUUAUGUAAUAAUCCGUUUGGUCGGGACUCAAAAUGAUUUCUCUUGCUUCAGGGGUAUUAAUAUUAACCUUGCUAUCUUGAUCAAUGUUAAUGCAAAUUAAAAAGAAUAUAAAAGCAAAAAAUUUGCAUCAAACACCUGUUGUACCACAGGCUUCCGACUCAAUAUUUGUUAGCCUCCCGUGCCCUGUGUGAAACCAUAAGCUUCUCUGGUGAAUAUCCAAAUCAUUCAGCUGGUUCUACUUUCAGCUCACCGCAGGAACAUCAUUCUGCAGGUACUCUCUUAUCUGUACUUUCUUAUAUUGUAUGCCAGAAAAUUUAAUAUCGACAAACUGCACAAUACACCUCGAUCUCAUAUUAUUGACAGGUGAGCUCCUCUCAUAAUGCUCACAGGCGAACUCCUGCAUAUACUUUGUGAUGUCAUUGAUGAUCGAUAGACUUGAAAAAAAAUUAUGACAAAGAUUCAUAAAAUAUCUACUUCCAUCCUAAUUCAGUAUUCAAUAUUAUGCAUUCCGUAUCAUCAUCCAAUCAAUUCUAAUAGUUCUUCUUUAAAUCAGGACAAAUAUUGUUAAAUACAUGGAUGAUGGUUGUCUUUCCGCGAACCAAUCAUGAAAUUACCUCUGUUUAAAUCCGUCGAAAAUAAGAAAAUUAAUAUCCCAAUCGAAUACACCCCGUGAGUUGUCAAACUCCUCGAAACAUAUUAAUCACUUUAGAAAAUUUCAACAAUCUUGACAGGUGAGCUUCCAACAACAAUUUGCAAUGUCACCUCCCUUUCGGUUCUUGUUUUGUCAAAUAAUAAAUUAAGUGGUGCACUUCCAAACUGUUUCGGGAAUCUUGCUGAUGGAUUGCUUUACAUUAAUCUUGCUAAUAAUCAGUUUCAAGGAACAAUACCAACUACUUUCUCCAGGAGUUGUCCGUUGACAUAUCUAAACAUGGAUAAUAAUGAGUUUGAAGGAUUGAUGCCCCCAUCUUUGGCGAACUGUAAGCACUUGAAAAUUCUUGAUAUAGGCAAUAAUAAAAUAGGUGGUACAUUUCCGUCAUGGAUUUAUGCACUUGGAGAGCUAGAAGUUCUUGUCUUGCGAUCAAAUAAACUCUAUGGUACAAUAAGUGGAAGGAGCAUAGAAGAUCCCUUCCCCAAGUUGCGGAUUGUGGAUCUGUCCAACAAUCAAUUCACAGGCCAUUUGCCAAUUCAAUACUUUAAGAAUAUGAAAUCAAAUGAUAAUUUGUAUCGUUAUCUGAAUUCCACAGGAGAAAUAUAUAUCUCUUAUGAAGCAGCAGUCUCAUUAACUGCGAAGGGAACAGAGUAUGAAGUAGCAAAUAACCUUCAUAUUUACACAGCCAUUGAUCUGUCGUGCAACAAAUUUCAGGGAGAAAUUCCAAAGGUUACCGGAGAGCUUAGAUAGCUUGCAUUGCUCAAUUUAUCGCAUAAUAGUCUAACGGGACCUAUCCCAUCAUUGCUGAGAAAUAUGAAAGAACUCCAAUCUUUAGAUUUGUCCUCAAAUCAACUGACAGGGGCCAUUCCACCUCAGUUAACUGCAUUGACAUUUCUAAAGGUCUUAAAUCUCUCGAAAAACCAUCUCAGUGGAGAGAUUCCUCAGGAAGGACAGUUCAGCACAUUCAACAAUGAUUCUUAUCUAGGAAACUCCGCGUUAUGUGGAUUACGUCUGACAAAGAAAUGUGCAAACACAGCAUCACCACCACAAGAAGUCGGAAAUGGUGAUGAAGAUGAUGCUGGUGAUGAAUUGACAUGGGAAGCAAUUGUGAUGGGAUAUGGAUGUGGACUGAUAUGUGGAUUAUCAUCUGCGUACCUUGUUUUCAAACUAGGAAAGCCUUGGUGGUUUGUGAGAUAUAUCGAAGUACUGCAACUGAAGUUGAUGAAAAGAUAUGCAUGAAGAAUGGUACUGGCCGAUCAAGACGAACUUGAAAGUUGGUCCUUGUGGACAUUUCAGCUGAACCAGUAGGUACUAUUCUCUUUGUGACUGCAUAAGUAUUUUGUAUUGUGUAAUGUUCUGUUUGGUCUUAAAUCAUAAUGAUUUUUCUUGCUUCAGGGGUAUUAAUAUAAAACUUGGUAUUGUGUACUAGCUGUAAUAUUCCGUUUAAUCAAUGUUAAUACCUGUAAUUUUAUGCUCCUGACUGCAUCAUGCAGCUCUCAUAUUAUCUUCAUAUGUGUAUUUAUUUGGAUAUUGAAGUUGCAUGGACAUAUGGAUAUGUGUUAACGGGGAUUGCUCCCAAGUCUUGGACGGACUCUUUCCAAGUCUUCCGAGAUCCUAUUGGUUCAAAUUAGUCCAAUUUGAACUGCCAUCAAAUGCAACUCUGUAGAUUCUGUCUCUGAGAUUAACCUUUCAGGACAUCAGCUCAAUGGUACACUUGCUGAAUUCAGUUUCGUUUAAUUUCCGAAUCUACAAAUUAAGCUACAAUAACUUCACUUGUCCAAUACCCCCAGACAUUGGAAAUUUAACAGAGCUGCAACACCUUGAUUUUAGCUCUAAUAAACUCACUGCUGCAAUUCCGGACCAGGUAAGCCAUCUUCAAACAUUGCGGACCUUAAACCUGUAGGAUAAUCAACUUGGAAGCUCCAAACUGGUCCGCUUUUUCCCCUAUGCCUUCUCUGACAAACCUCUGUCUCAAUAAUAAUAAUCUUUCGUCGAAAUUCCAAGACUUCAUAUUAAAUUGUGGUAACCUGACUUACUUUGAUCUUUCAUUAAAUAUGUUAACAGGUAAUUUGGUUCCUUCAUCAAUUUUUAGAAAUUUGUAUAAUCUUGAAUUCCUUUAUCUUUCUAGCAAUUAUUUUGAGGGGCCUUUCCCGCCANNNNNNNNNNNNNNNNNNNNNNNNNNNNNNNNNNNNNNNNNNNNNNNNNNNNNNNNNNNNNNNNNNNNNNNNNNNNNNNNNNNNNNNNNNNNNNNNNNNNNNNNNNNNNNNNNNNNNNNNNNNNNNNNNNNNNNNNNNNNNNNNNNNNNNNNNNNNNNNNNNNNNNNNNUUUCCCUAUCAUAUAAUAGAUUUUCAGGUUCUAUUUCCAUAUGAUAUAGGAAUGCUUCGUGUUUUGGAAUCCCUUUUUUUAGUAGUAGUUCUUUUAAUGGCCCACCUCCACCAAAUUUAUUUAAAUUUUCUAAAUUAAAAGUUUUUUCCCUAUCAUUAAUAACUUUUCGGGUUCUAUUCGAAAUGAAACAGGGAUGCUUCAUGAUUUAGAGUCCCUCUAUCUUAAUGAACAUUCUUUUAAGGGGCCGUUUCCACCAAAUAUAUUCAACCUUUCCAAAUUAAAAGUUCUUAAUUACCUCUCAAAUAAUUCCUUUUCAGGUUCAGUUCCUAGUGAUAUAAGUGUGCUUCGUGAUCUUGAGAUACUUAAUUUGUCCUCUAAUUCUUUUGAAGGAAUUAUCCCAUUGGAGCUUGGGUUCUUGAAUAACGUGAGCUAUUAUUAUAUCUUGAUUCCACUCAAUUGACUGGACCGCUUUUGAAGAACAUUUAUAAUCUCAGUAAUUUUUUGUGUUGGCUUGAAUGGAUCAUUCCAUUCCCUCCAAAACUCAUUCCGUUCAUGUCAACCAAACAGAGCAUCAAUUACUAGUUACUGGGAAAUGCAUUAGCCUAAAUGUUCCUGGUUCAUUGUUACCGGUAUUUCUUAACUGCUGUGAUUGCAAAUUCAGUUGCAGAUUGUUCAUAUAUAUCUAGAGAGACCUGACAUAACUUUAGCCUCUGAUAUACAGCUUCCUUUCACAGUUGUGCCUAUUCACCUAGACGCGUUUUUAACUGCAUAAUGUUGGGUCAACUUCCGACCAUUUAUUUUCUCAUUUGAAAUUAGUGUAUUAAAGUUCGACUUUAAGAAAAUAUAUAGUUUUGUUAAACAAAAAUUCCAAAAGGUUUGGUACGUUUUGAGCUGGGACUUUGAAAUUGUUUGUCGUUAAAGAUGAAGAUUCACUUUUUAAGUUAUAUUAAUCUGUAGUGGUAGACUGGUAGUUUUUCUUUAUUGCUACUUUCCUUGUGCGUUCUUUAUAUUGAUUUAUUAUUUAAUUCGUAAAGUGUUGCGAACUACAUUCCUGCAAAAGUAAAAUCAGUGGAAUUUGUUUGAUAGCAUGAUGAAUAUUUAAAGGGGUUAAUUAUCAAAUUGGUCACUGAAGUGACUUUAAUGUAUCAAGUUGGUCACUGAACUCAAAACGGUAUUAAGAUAGUCACUGAAGUGGACAUAAAUAUCAAACAGGUACCUUGAAAUAUAAGUUCAAGCAGUAAAGAUAUUAUUUAUAAAAUUUUACACAUUAUUUUUAAAUGUUACCACAACCAACUAAAAGGUUAUGACUUCUAGUAUUUAAAUUAAUAUAUUUAUUUUAUCAAGUUUAUUUAUUAUUUAUAUUUUAUUAUAUAGUUAUUUUCUUUGUUUUAAUUAAAAAUAAAUAAUAAAUAAACUUGAUAAUAUCUAAAUAUAUUAUCAUAAAUAUUAGAAUUCAUAACCUUUUACUUGGUCUAGGUAACAUUCAAAAAUAAUGUGUAAAACUUUAUAAAUAAUAUUAUCUUUAUAUUCUUUCCUUUUCUAUGUACCUAUGCUAAUUAUCUGAUUAUUAAAAUUAUAACAAAGCUUCAAGAUUUUUAACAGGUGAGCUUCCACUAAAAAUUUGCAAAGUCACUUCCCUUUCGCGUCUCAUUAUGUCAGAUAUUGGAAACAACAAAUAGGUGGUACAUUUCCGUCAUGGCUAUUUACUGUUGGAGAGCUAGAUGUCCUAGUUAGGGCGGUAAUUCGACUAAAGCAAACCGAGUUUUGAGCGGAGUCAAAUUCGAGCCAAGUUUAAUCGAGUCGAGCCGAGUCGGCUCAUUUAGCUAAUCGAGCCUAAAACUCUGGUCGAACUCGACUCGUUUAAUUUCGCGAGUCAAGUCGACCCAGCUCGUUUAGUUAAAUGAGCUGGUUUUAACGAGUCAAGCGAGUGAGCUCGUAUAAUUUUAACUUAAUCGAGUCUAAAUCUCUACCCGAACUAUUGGCUCGUGUAAUUUCACGAGUAGAAUCGAGCUGGCUCGUUUUAUUAAAGAAGCCGAAAUUUUUGCCCGAAUUUGGCUUGUUUAACAAGCCGAUCUUUCAUCAAAAUUUUCAAACAUUUCUGAAUAUGUAUUUUCAGAGAAUUUCUCCGGCACUCUUAAGGCCUAUAAUUAUUGCAACUCUCACGUUAUGGACCACUAUGUAUUUUACGAGCACGACGAAUCAUGUGGUCAUUAUGGACUCCCCAAGCCUUCGAGGACUCAUUCCAGGUCUUAGGAGGACCACUGCCUAGCUCACCCUCUCGGAGUGAUGUAAAUUAUUUUCCAGACACUAAAAAUAAGUAUUCAGAUUAAUCAUUACAAAAUUAAGGAUAUAAAAUCAGAAUAAAUCCUAAACUUUGAUGAUACAAAAAAAUUAUAAUUGUAAAUUAUACAAUCAAAUUAAAAUCGAAUUAACUUCUCUCACACUUAAAAUUUAUAGCGAUCAAAUCAAAAUCGAAUUAACUUUCCUAUUACUAAAAUUUAAUUACAAUAUUAUUAGAUAAAGAGAAUAUAUAAUAAUCAAGGGAAAAUAGAUUUUUUUUUGCCACUCAACUUAUUGUGUUUUAAGAAAUUUACCACCCAACUAAAUUUUUUUUCCUUUUGCUCACUAAUAUUAGGUUUGGAUUUGUUUUUAGCCACCAACUAAGGUUCGGAUUUGAUUACUAGCAUUAUGAUAAUUUUUUGUCACUAAACUUAUUGCGUCUUUAGAAACUAACCACUCAACUAAUUUUUUUUUUAUUUUACUCACUAAUGUUAGGUUCAGUUUUUUUUUUGUCACUGAAGUUAGGUUCGGAUUUGAUUAUUAGCAUUACAUUAAUUCUGUGUAGCAUUUUUAAAAUAUGGUAGUAGUCUGUGAUAUUUAGAUGAUUUGAUAUAUGUCUGUAUUUAUAUAUAUAGUAUUUUUUAUGUCCCCAAGGUCGUUUACCUUGGGUCAUAAGAAUUUUACACACAUUUUAUGACUUUUAAAAGAUGUAGUUUCAUAAAUAAUUUUAUUUUUUUCUUCCGAAUUAAAAUUCAGCGUUUGAAUUUUACACACAAAAAAAUCGCAAAAAUAAGUUAUGAAACUAUGUUUUAUAAGAGUCUUAAAAUACGUGUUAAACGGUAGAAAAAACUGUAAACUAAUGAAAGGUACAUAGGGAGUAAUAAUAACAUAAAAUGAUGCACAAUCAUCGAAUUAAGUUUUCCUCUCUCUCUAUAUAUUUAUUUUGAAAAUUAUAAUAAGAUAAAGUUAUUAAAAUUUAUGAUAUAAAUUUAAAAGAGAUCUUAGACUGAGUGGCAAAAAUUUAGUUGGAUGGUAAGUUUCUAAAAAUACAAUAAAUUGAGCGGGAACAAAAUCUAUUUUCCCAAUAAUCAAAGUGAUGAAAAAUUAAAGUCAUCUAAUAAGUCCAGAAAAAAUAUGACCAUUAGUAUUUUGGAAUAAUAUUCACGCAUUUAUAUACGAGAAUAUAUGGUCCACAAGUUAGUGCACAAUGUCCAAGAAUCUUUAUCAAAGUAACACGGCAAGCAUGCAGCAUAUAAAUAAGAGUGGGCAGUAUGGUAUUGCAUUCAUAACCCACUUGAGGAGAAAUAUGGCACACUUCCUAAAGCCUUCUCACCUUCUUCUCUUUGUUUUCUCUCUCUCGUUACUUCAAUCCAUUCUACCAACAAGACCAGAGGGAGAAGCUCUUGUGAAAUGGAAGAAUAGCCUAGCCCCUUCUUCUUUUCUCGAUUCUUGGUCACUCACCAAUCUCGAUGAUCUUUGUAACUGGACUGGCAUUACUUGUAACUCUGCAGGUUCAGUCUCUGAGAUUAACCUUUAUGAGAAACAACUUGAUGGAAUGCUGUCCGAGUUUGGCUUCACUUCAUUUCCGAAUCUCAACAAUCUCACCCUCGCAUACAACUUCUUCUCGGGUCCAAUUCCACCAGCCAUUGAGAAUUUAACACAGCUUCAAUAUCUUGAUUUAAGCAUCAAUAGUCUCGAUGGUCCCAUUCCGUUCCAGGUUAGCCAUCUUCAGAGGUUGCUCGUCUUAAACCUGUCACAGAAUGCAUUGCAAGCUCCAAAUUGGUCCAAAUUCUCCCCCAUGCCCUUUUUGUGCAUCCUCAACCUCAGUAGCAAUCCUCUUGCGUCGACAUUCCCAAAUUUCAUAUCCAAUUCUCAUGGCCUGACUCACCUCAGCCUUGAUCAAAACGAGUUUACAGGUGAUUUAGCGCGUGAAUCAAUAUUUGCCAAUCUGCAUAAUCUUGAAGUCCUCAGUCUUGUUGGCAAUUCUUUUGAGGGGGCCAUUUCCGCCAAAUAUAUUCAAGCUUUCCAAAUUAAAACGUCUUACCCUGUCAAGUAACAAAUUUUUAGGAUCAAUUCCCAAUGACAUAAGGUUGCUUUGUGAUCUUGAAUUCCUAUAUUUAGGAAACAAUUCUUUUGAAGGACCGCCUCCACCAAAUAUAUUCAAGCUUUCAAAAUUAAAACAUCUUGUUCUCUGGAGUAAUAAGUUUUCAGGUUCUGUUUCCAAUGAUAUAGGUUUGCUUUCUGCGCUUGAACUUCUGAAUCUUCACUCUAAUUUUUUUGAGGGGCCGCUUCCGCCAAAUGUAUUCAAGCUCUCUAAACUAAGGUUUCUUAACCUCUGGGGUAACAACUUUUCAGGUUCUGUUUCCAAUGAUAUAGGUUUGCUUCCUGAGCUAGAAAUCCUCAAUCUUCACUCUAAUUUUUUUGAGGGGCCGCUUCCGCCAAAUAUAUUCAAGCUCUCUAAACUAAGGUUUCUUAACCUCUGGGGUAACAACUUUUCAGGUUCUGUUUCCAAUGAUAUAGGUUUGCUUCCUGAGCUAGAAAUCCUCAAUCUUCACUCUAAUUUUUUUGAGGGGCCGCUUCCGCCAAAUGUAUUCAAGCUCUCUAAACUAAGGUUUCUUAACCUUUGGGGUAAUAACUUUUCAGGUUCUGUUUCCAAUGAUAUAGGUUUGCUUCCUGAGCUAGAAUUCCUCAAUCUUCACUCUAAUUUUUUUGAGGGGCCGCUUCCGCCAAAUGUAUUCAAGCUCUCUAAACUAAAGUUUCUUCAUCUUCGAGGUAAUAAGUUUUCAGGUUCUGUUUCCAAUGAUAUAGGUUUGCUUCCUGAGCUUGAAAUCCUCAAUCUUCGCUCUAAUUUUUUUGAGGGGCCGCUUCCGCCAAAUGUAUUCAAGCUCUCCAAACUAAGGUUUCUUUCCCUUAAGGAAAAUAAAUUUUCAGGUUCUGUUUCCAAUGAUAUAGGUUUCCUUUCUGAGCUUGAAUACCUAUAUCUUGACUAUAAUUUAUUUGAAGGAAGUAUUCCUAUUGGACUGGGACUCUUGACUAACCUCAGCUACUUAGAUCUAAGUUCCAAUAAUCUCAGUGGCUAUAUUCCAUCUGACAUUGGAAACCUGAAGCUACUAGUAUUUCUUGAUCUCAGUUCUAACCAAUUGACUGGACCGCUUUUAAAGAUCGUUUCUAAUCUCACAAAUCUUAUGAAUCUUGAUGUAAGUGAUAAUAGUCUUAGUGGAAAUAUUCAGAGUGACUUGUGGAAGAACUCUAUAUCCUUACGUUACAUUAAUUUUGCAAAUAAUUAUUUGUCUGGGAACAUUCCUAAGGAAUACAACGAUCAUCCAACUUUGGAAUACAUCAAUUUAAGUGGGAACCAUUUUACAGGUAUAUUUUUCUCUAUAUAUCUUUUCCUUUUCUCAUAUGUAACUAAGCUGGUAAUCUGAUUAUUGCAGUUUUACCAAAGUUUCAACAAUCUUGACAGGUGAGCUUCCAACAACAAUUUGCAAUGUCACUUCCCUUGCGGUUCUUGUUUUGUCAAAUAAUGGAUUAAGUGGAGCACUUCCAAAUUGUUUCGGGAAACUUGCUGAUAGAUUGCUUUCCAUUAAUCUUGCUAAUAAUCAGUUUCGAGGAACAAUACCAACUACUUUCUCCAGGAGUUGUCAGGUGAAAUAUCUAAACAUGGAUAAUAAUGAGUUUGAAAGAUUCUUGCCCCCGUCUUUGGCGAACUGUAAGCACUUGAAAAUUCUUGAUAUUGGCAAUAAUAAAAUAGGUGGUACAUUUCCGUCAUGGCUUUAUGUACUUGGAGAGAUAGAAGUCCUUGUCUUGCGAUCAAAUAAACUCUAUGGUACAAUAAGUGGAAGGAGCGUAAAAGAUCCCUUCCCCAAGUUGCGGAUUGUGGAUCUGUCCAACAAUCAAUUCACUGGUCAUUUGCCAAUUCAAUACUUUAAGAAUAUGAAAUCAACUGAUAAUUUGUAUCGUUAUCAGAAUUCCAAAGGAUAUCUAUCUUUCCAUCAUGAUGCAGCAGUCUCCUUAACUGUGAAGGGAACGGAGUAUGAGGUAGCAAAGAACCUUCAUAUUUACACAGCCAUUGAUCUGUCGUGCAACAAAUUUCAGGGACAAAUUCCAAACGUCACUGGAGAGCUUAGAUGGCUUGCAUUGCUCAAUUUAUCGCAUAAUAGUCUAACAGGACCUAUCCCAUCAUUGCUGAGAAAUAUGAAAGAACUCCAAUCUUUAGAUUUGUCUUCAAAUCAACUGACAGGGGCUAUUCCACCUCAGCUAACUGCAUUGACAUUUCUAGAGGUCUUGAACCUCUCGAAAAACCAUCUUAGUGGAGAGAUUCCUCAGAAAGGACAGUUCAGCACAUUUAACAAUGAUUCUUAUCUAGGAAACUCCGCGUUAUGUGGAUCACCUUUGACGAAGAAAUGUGCAAACACAGCAUCACCUCCACAAGAAGUUGUAAAUGGUGAUGAAGAUGAUGCUGGUGAUGAAAUGACAUGGGAAGCAAUCGUGAUGGGAUAUGGAUGUGGACUGAUAUGUGGAUUGUCAUCUGCGUACAUUGUUCUCAAACUAGGAAAGCCUUGGUGGUUUGUGAGAUAUAUCGAAGUACUGCAACUGAAGUUGAUGAAAAGAUAUGCAUGAAGAAUGGUACUGGCCGAUCAAGACGAACUUGAAAGUUGUUGUCCUUGUGGACAUUUCUGAACCAGUAGUGUACUAGCUACAUAAGUAUUUAGUAUUAUGUAAUAAUCCGUUUGGUCGGGACUCAUAAUGAUUUCUCUUGCUUCAGGGGUAUUAAUAUUAAACUUGCUAUCUUGAUGAAUGUUAAUGUAAAUUAAAAAGAAUAUAAAAUCAAAAAAUUUAAAUCAAACACCUGUUGUACCAAGAUCCAUUAAUUUGCUUUAGUCUCUUACAUAACAAUUUAAUAGCACACUUCCACACUGUUCACACGUGUAAUGUAUAAAAAUUCCAGUCUUCUUCGGAGGCCUACAGCUUCAACAACCUCUCAAAGAUGUAGCAGUUGCUUGACAGUGAUAGAUAUAUAUUAGAUAAACACUAUGCAAUAACCAAAGUGACAGAAAAAUCAAAGUCCGCUAAUAAAUUCAUAAAAAAUAUAAUAAUCAACAACAAGAAUCAUAGUCUUACAAGUUCAUAUAAAAUAUAGGAUCAUUAGUAUUCCACAUGUAUAUUUUCUUCUCUUUCUUUUCGAGUUUUCCUCUCCAGCACCAAAUCCAAAUUAAUAUACAAUGCCACACAUUCCAGUCUCAGCUUCAGCUCCCAGGCUAGCAUUGAUUUAGCCAAGCACGACAGUGGCCGCUCUUGGUCCUGCCUUCAAAUGUCUAACAAUAACAGUUGGAUACGUCGACAAAAAUAUUGUUCCUCAUCAUACUGAGGAGUUAUUGAAUUCGACAGUUUUACACAAAGAAGACAAUUCCAUGGACUAAUCUAUUAGUAACACGUAAGCUAUAAACACGUAGUCCACAUCUAUGCUACGAACAAUUCAUAUUGGUCUUCUAUCUGUGCAACAGUCUCCCGAAGAUAGGCCAAAAAUGUCAUCUGUGGUUCUUAUCUUUGUUAGCAAAGGAGAAUCUCCGAUGCCUAUACAACCUGAUUUUCUUACAGAAAGAAAUGCAAGUGAAACUAGGGUCGGAUACCAUGUUAAAUGAUCAAUUCUCCUAAAACUAGGUUCAGGAUGAUCAUGAUAUAUUCUAACAUCAAGAUUAGCAGGACUAAAAUGAAGAUUUAAAUGGAUUUUAAAAACAAGCUCCUACUGAAUAAAAAGAAUCAUUAAUUUUUCUGACUCAACAUAUGUUAGCCUCCCCUGGCCCUGGGUGAAACCAUAAGCUUCUCUGGUGCACAUCCAAAUCAUUCAGCUGGUUCUACUUUCAGCUCAGCACAGGAACAUCAUUCUGCAGGUACUCUUGUAUCUGUAGUUUCUUAUUAAUUUAUUAACAAAAUUUAGCUAUUAAAUAUUUUGAUAAAAUAUCUAUUUAUUAAAAUAUUUUUUUAUUUAAUUGGUCUGAUAAAAAUAUUAUUGAUAUAUAAAUUUUACCUUUUUUCUGAAACAAAUUAUAAUUUUUGCUUCAAGCUUUUGUAUGAUAAGUUGAGAAAUAUUAGUUUUCUUUAUCACCGUGAGAGUAGAUCCUCGUUCCACAAAAAUUUGUAACUGAAAAAUAAAAUAGAGCCCUAAAACUUUUCGAUAAAUAUGGACUAAACAAUUUUGAUGCUCAAGUCUCAAUAGGAUUUAUAAACGGUCAUGAUGAGUUUGAUUAUCAAUGACACCAAAAAAAUAUUAGAAUUAUAUUUAAGUUAUAAAUUUGUCAAUAAAUUGUGUGAUAAUCAUACUUUCCAAGUCUUCUUCAGAGGCCUCCUGCCUCAACAACCUUUCAAAGAUGUAGUAGUUGUUGCUCGAGAGGGACAAAUAUAUUAGGUAAAGACUAUGCAAUAAUCAACGUGACAGAAAAACCAAAGUCCUCUAAUAAAUUAAUAAAAAAUAUUAUAAUCAAUAUCAAGAAUCAUAUUAUCAUAGUCUUCUAAGUUCAUAUAAAAUAUAGAAUCAUUAGUAUAUAAAUAGAAGAGUGCAGAGUAAAGCCUUUCAUAAUCCAGUUGAGGAGAAAUAUGGCAUACUUUGUAAAGCCUUAUCACCUUCUUCUCUUUGUUUUCUUUCUCUCAUCACUUGAAUCCAUUCUUGCAACAACACGAGAAGGAGAAGCUCUUGUGAAAUGGAAGAAUAGCCUAGCCCCUUCUUCUUUUCUUGAUUCUUGGUCACUCACUCAUCUCGAUAAUCUUUGUAACUGGACUGGCAUUACUUGUAACUCUGCAGGUUCAGUCUCUGACAUUAACCUUUUCAACAAACAACUCACUGGAAAGCUUUUUGAGUUUGGUUUCACUUCAUUUCCAAAUCUCAACAAUCUCACCCUUGCAGAUAACUUCUUCUCUGGUCCAAUACCAUCAGCCAUUGGGAAUUUAACACAACUUCGGUAUCUUGAUUUGAGCAAUAAUUAUCUCAAUGGUUCCAUUCCGUACCAGGUUAGCCAUCUUUCAAGAUUACACAUCUUAAACCUGUCAGAGAAUGAACUGCAAGCUCCAAAUUGGUCCGAUUUCUCCCCCAUGCCUUGUUUGACCAUCCUCGACCUUUAUCAAAAUAAUCUUAUGUCGGAAUUUCCAGAAUUUAUAUCUAACUCGCGUAACCUGACAUACCUUGACCUUUCAUAUAACAAGUUCACAGGCGAUCUUGUGCGCGAAUCAGUAUUAACCAAUCUAGGUGAUCUUGAAACCCUCUAUCUUAAUGAAAAUUCUUUUAGGGGGCCAUUUCCACCAGACAUAUUCAAACUUUCCAAGUUGAGAGUUCUUGCCCUGUUCAAUAAUUUUUUUGAGGGGCCGCUUCCGUCAAAUAUAUUCAAGCUCUCUAAACUAAGAUUCCUUUUACUUUGGAGUAAUAAUUUUUCAGGUACUCUUUCGAAUGAAAUAGGUUUGCUUUCUGAGCUUGAAGACCUAGAUCUUCACUCCAAUUUUUUUGUGGGGCCGCUUCCGCCAAAUAUAUUCAAGCUGUCUAAACUAAGAACCCUUUUCCUCUGGGGUAAUAACUUCUCAGGUUCUAUUUCCAACGACAUAGGUUUGCUUUCUGAGCUUGAACACCUAUAUCUCGACUCCAAUUCUUUUGAGGGACCUUUUCCAACAAAUAUUUUCAAGCUUUCCAAAUUAAUACAACUUGGUCUCGCAAACAAUACAAAUUUAUUUGAAGGAAGUAUUCCUCCAGGACUGGGGCUCUUGACUAACCUAGAGGACUUGUCUCUUGCUUACAAUAAUCUUGGUGGCUAUAUUCCGUCUUCCUUUGGAAACCUAACACUACUAGUAUAUCUUAAUCUCGCUCGUAAUCAAUUGGUUGGAACACUAUCAAAGACCAUUUCUAAUCUCACAAAUCUGUGGUUUCUUGAUGUACAUCAUAAUAGUCUCUCUGGGAAUAUUCAGAGUGACUUCUGGAAAAACUCUACAUCACUGCUUUACAUUAAUUUGGCAGACAAUAAUUUUUCUGGGAACAUUCCUAAGGAAUAUAAUGUUCUUCCAAUCCUGGAUCACAUCAAUUUUAGGGGGAACAACUUUACAGGUAUUUUUAAUUCCAUAUUUUUUCCUUCUGUUGUAUUUAAUUAUGCUAACAACUACUGCCUCUGUUUUCAAAUACAUAUCGUUUGACUUUUUGGCACAAAACUCUAUAAUAAUUCUAACUAUAAGGUCAAUGAACUUAGAAAUAUAUGUCAAAAAGUCAAACGUCAUAUAUUUGAAAUUAGAGGGAGUAUGGCUUAAUGACCUUUUAGCCCUUAAAGUUUGGGUAGAAGUUCCGAUGCGGCGUCGAAGUUUAAAAACGUACCUUUCGACCCUCAAAGUAUCUUUGUCGUACCUUUUAACCCUUAUGGCGUAUACCGGUAUAUAACGGGUGGGCAAAGUUGACAUUUCACACGUGAGGGUUAAAUGGGGCAUUAAACAUUAAGGGUUAAAAGGAACAUUUAAUAUAUUUUAAUGUAUUAUUUAGGGAUUAAAAGGAACGAGAUGUAUACUUUAAGGGUUAAAAGGUACGCCCAAACUUCACCCCGAAUAUGAAUUGUCAAGUUUAUCCCCCGAUUUGUAUCGGUAUUUUUAAAAAGGGCUAAAAAGUACGACAAAGAUACUUUGAGGGUCGAAAUGUACGUUUUUAAACUUUGAGGCCGCAUCGGAACUUCCACCCAUUCUUCGAGGGCUAAAAGGUCAUUAAGCCGAGUAUAUAUUACAGUUUUACCAAAGUUUCAACAAUCAUGACAGGUGAGCUUCCACCAACAAUUUGCGAUGCAACUUCCCUUUCGAUUCUUGAUCUGUCAAAUAAUGGAUUAAGUGGUGCACUUCCACAUUGUUUGGGGAAUCUUGCUGAUAAAUUGAUUUCGAUUAAUCUUGCUAAUAAUCAGUUUCGAGGACCAAUACCAACAAAUUUCUCCAAGAGUUGUCGUCUGACGUAUCUUAACAUCUAUAACAAUCACUUUAAAGGAUUGGUUCCCCAGUCUUUGGCAAACUGUAAGCACUUGCAAAUUCUUGAUUUUGGAAAAAAUGAAAUAGGUGGAACAUUUCCGUCAUGGCUUUUUACUCUUGGAGAGCUAGAAGUCCUGGUCCUGCGAUCAAACAGAUUUUUCGGGAGAAUAACUAGAAGGAGCAUACCACACCCCUUUCCCAAGUUGCGGAUUUUGGAUCUAUCCAACAAUCAGUUCACCGGCUAUCUGCCAAUUUCAUACUUCAAGAAUAUGAAACCAAAUGAUAAUAAUUAUGAUUAUUUCAACAACACAAACGAAGCCUAUUACGUUUAUCAAGUUUCUAUCACAUUAAAUGUGAAAGGAAGCGAGCAUGAAGUGACAAAUAUUCUUUAUAUUUACACGGCCAUUGAUCUGUCGUGCAACAAAUUUGAAGGAAAAGUUCCAGACAUUACCGGAGAGCUUAGAUGGCUUGCAUUGCUAAAUUUAUCUCAUAAUAGUCUUUCGGGGCCUAUUCCAUCACAACUGGGAAAUAUGAAAGAGCUCCAGUCUCUAGAUUUGUCGUCAAAUCAAUUGACAGGUGUUAUUCCGGAUCAACUUACUAGUAUGACAUUUCUUGCUAGUUUGAACCUGUCAGAAAACCAUCUUUCUGGGAAAAUCCCUCGGAAAGGACAGUUCAGCACUUUUGGCGAAGAAUCUUACUUAGGUAACUCGGCCUUGUGUGGAGUUCCUUUGACAAAGAAAUGUAUAGACGAAGUGCCCCCUUCACAAGUUGGAAAUGGCGAUGAUGAAAAUGUUGAUGAAGAUGAUACCGUUGAUGAAUUCAAUUGGAAAGUGAUCCUGAUGGGAUAUGCAUGUGGAUCAAUAGGCGGAUUGUCUGCAGGAUACAUUGUCUUCACAGUUGGAAAGCCUUGGUGGUUUUUGAGGUACAUUGAGACACUGCAGCAGAAGUUGAUGUGAUGCGCAACUAGAAACAACCUUAUCUUAGAAUGAAUCUGAUCAAUGUUAGCAUAUACUGAACUUUUUUUUUUGUAAAUAUGAUUUCAAGUUCUCAUACUAAUACAAGAACCACUUGUUAAAUCUUGACCAUGCUAAGAGGAUGCUGAAUGCUGAUUUAACACUUUGCGAUGCAAAGCAGGGGCGCAUUAGUAUUUUAUAUGUGUUGAUAAUUUGCGCAAUGUUAACAGGGAUAGGUCUUCUUCUCUGCCAGAUCUUCGACAGACUCUUUCAAGGUCUUCUGAGGACCCAUCGGCUCGAAUUAGUCCAUCGUGAAUUAUGAUCUGAGAGCUAUCUGCACACUAUUUCCAGGUCUUCUGUCUCGUUAACUAUGAAAGGAAGAAAUCAUGAAGUGAAUAAAAUUCUUCAUAUUUACACAAUUGAUCUAUCAUGCAACAAAUUUUGAGGAGAAAUUUCAGAGGUUUCCGAAGAGCUUAAAUGGCUUGCAUUGCUCAAUCUAUCUCAUAAUGAUCUUACUAGACAUCUCCCCGUUGCUCGCCAUUAGAAAACAGGGAUUAUUCACUCGUCCGCCGCACCGCGAACUCAUUCUUAGGUGCUCGGAGGUUUUUGAGGAUUCUUGUUGAUUAUUAAUUUUGUGAUUUUGUUGAAUACUCUAUCACUUAAUAAUGUAAUAAUUGUGUUAUUAAAUAAUUAUAUUUUAAAUUGUUAAGGAUAUUGAACUAUUUGUUUGAUUAUUUGGUUUAAAUAUAAAUGUAACUCUUGAAAUACAUUUAUUAUAUAUAUAUUUAACAUGUUAAUAUUUACUGAAUCCCUCGCAUCCGAAUCCCGAUAUUUUUAAAUUUACGGAUUCUCGUAUUCAUGUACCGUGCACUACCAUACCUUCAACCACACUCAUACUUUCUAGCUGCUCGGAAAUAUGAAUCAAUCUUUAGAUUUGUCUUCAAAUCGAUUGACGGAGGCUAUUCCACACCAGUUAGGCAGUUAACUAGAUUGACAUUUCUAGAGGUCUUGAACUUCUCAGAGAAUAAUCUUACCGGGAAAAUACCGCAAAAAGGAAAAAUCAGCACUUUCGAGAAUAUAUGAGUCAGUGUGGUUCACCUGUCUAGACCAAAAAUGUCAUCUGAGAUUCUUAUGUUUUUUAGCUAUAUAUGAGUGGAAGAAAAUUGUCGAGUCGAGGUUAAUCGAAUAAGGCGAGCCGGCUCAUUUUAAUUUAAUUGAGACAAAACUUCUACGGAGUUCGACUCCUUUAAUUAAACGGCUAUGAAAUCUCAUUAAAGUCAGCCUUGUAUAUAAACUCAAGCCAGGUCGAGUUUUAUUGAACAAAUUUCAGCUCAAACCAGUCGCGAGCAGCCCAGCUCAAGUUCGAGGCCUGCUCAUCUGUCUUCGAGUCUUGGACGAGAUUUGAAUCAUCAACUCCUUCCAAAAAGAGUAUUACACUGACAAAAAUGCAGUAACAUGUUUAAUUUAAAAGUAUAUCAUCUGUUCCCGCAGUUUAAUUUUACCCAUAUUUUUGAGAUUCAUAUAAAUUAUAAUUCCAUAAUAUUUUUUCAAUCAUAUUGGUUUUGAAUAAAAAUAUAAAUAUCAAACUUUUAUUUUUAAAAAAAUUAUAAAAUUAUAUUUUAUAAGAGUCUCAAAUACGUGGGAAAGUGGGAGUAUUAAUUUCGCCCACUAAGUCACUGACAGGUUUGUUAAUUUGUUUCCAUUUGAAGGUGUACACUGCAUAUUUUCACCAGGGAUGGCAACAAGUCGAAUCAGUUCAGAUAUAUCAGAUAUCUCAAUCCAAAUCCAAAUUAUUUUUAAAAUCCAAAUCCAAUCGAGUUUCACAUAUCAAAUUCAAAUCCAAAUUCACGGGUUUCAGAUCGGGUUCAGGUUUGUUUGGGUUUAUCCAAAACCCGAAUCCAGAAAUGUAAGUAGUAUUGUAAAAAUAUUAUUUUUUAUUUUUUCACCCUUGAAUUUCAUUAUAUUUAAAACUAAACUACACACAUUCACACUUUAUCUAUCCAUAUUAUAAACACAAUUUAGUAUAUUUAAAAUUGAAAAAAAGUAUAUUAGUAUACUACAUACAUAUAUUUGGAUAUUUGGAAAUUUUUUCGGGUUUUGUGUUUGGAUCGAAUUUAGAUUUCGGGUCCGGUUUUGAUACGGAAUACUUAAUAUCUAAAUCCAAAUUCAAACUGGUUCGGGUCUAAAAAUUAAAUUCAAAUCCAAAUCCAAAAUAUCAUGUUCGUUAAAAUUCAUUCGGGUCGAGGUUGAGUAUCCAUUCGGAUCAGAUUUUUCUCUAACCAAUAAAUUUUGUAAAUGGUCUGCACAAACGCAGUUACCGGCCCAUUUCCGUAUGAAGCCCAUGAACAAUUAUUUGUUCUGUAUAUUUUUCAAUCAAACCAAACCCAAACGCUAACAGCAGAAUUAAUUAAAUUCCUUUCACAUGUGAUUUUGUAAUGGGCCUACAUUACAAAAAUACUGUAGGACUAUCCCACUAUCCCUGACCCUACAUGUUUUCUCAAUAAUUUUGAUAAAUAUAUUAAACAGAUAUUGAACUGUUACAAAAAUAUAACGUCUGUUUUUCAAAUAAGUAACGUACGGUUUCCGAGAGAUAAAGUUUGACUUAUAUUGACAAGAUAACGCUUGAAUUUAAUAUCUUUUUAAAAAAAACUAAUAUAAAAUCUAAAUUAAAUCUUCUUCUUAAAUGAGAAUCCAGAAAAAUCUCAAAAAUUCACAACUACAUCAAUAAAAUAUAAUAUCCAACAUUAAAUAAAAAUCUUUCAAUAUCCAUUUUUUGUGUAAUUUUCAACCAAUCUGCUCUAAUUAUUUCGUCACCUUUUAAAAUUUAAAAUUUUUAAAUACUCAAAACAAUUACCCUAACCGCCAACCACCUUAGAAUUAUAAAAUCUUAAAAUUAAAUGCUAAUAAGAUUAUCAGUGUUACUCACCUAAACCAAAACGGUUACAAAAUCUAACGGCAAUAUUAUAAACUUUUAAAAAUUAAAUUUUUAAUUAAUUUGGCAAGUGGUAUUCAUAUAGAACAAAACAGUUACAAAAUCAAACUGCAAAUUAUAAAAUCUUGAAAUUAUAUUUAAUACUGUAAGAUUUAGCAUGUGGGUCCCACACAAUCAGAAAAUAAUAUGAACACGAAAUCUUGCUCUAUUAAAUACACACACCUGUACAUACAUAUAUAAACACCCACCGCCUCUUCAACUUUCCAACAUCAAAACCCUCGUAAUUCAAUUGGGUUUCUGCUGUUAUUCUCCCCUCUCUCCUCUCUCUCGCCGAGAUUUUUAUAUGCAUACAUGCGUGGGUAUAUGUAUAUGUACACCCCCUUGGCAAAAACACAGACUAAACACUAAAAGAACCCACAGAAUCAUACCCAUGUUAUGGAUAUUAUCUGGGGUUUGUUGAAAUUGUUGUAGAAGGCCUAAAGAUUUGAUUUUGGAGUAGCCCAUUUGGUUCUUGAUUGAAUUUGGUUGUGUUUUGAGUGUGAAAAGGCAAGAUUUUAUGAUUCUUGAUGGAUGAAAGUGCUAUGUUUGGCUUGAAUGGAGAUAAUGANACAAAAUCUUGAAACGCUGUUUCUUGAUGGUAAUUCUUUUGAGGGGACGUUUCCACCGAAUAUAUUCAGGCUUUCUAAAUUAAAACACCUUUCCCUAUCUGCUAAUAAGUUUUCAGGUUCUGUGCCGGAUGACAAGUUGGUGUCGAAAGUGAGAAUGUUGCGGUAGGGGGUGAUUCGGAUGAGCUUGUUGUUGUUGGGGAGACAGGGCAGGUAUAAUGCUGCAUUUGUUGUUUUUGUCGAUAUUAUGUGUUGCUUUUGUGUUUUUUGUUAUGUUUUCAUAUGUUUAGUCCGUUAUUUUUUGGAGAAUUAAGUAGUCUGAUGAAUGUUGAUUAAUCCAAUAUAUAAGCUGGGCGUUUUUGUUUAAUGUGCUUAUUAUGAUUAUAUUAUUUUGUUUGAUAAUUGAAUUGUGUUUAGAUUGUUAAUCCAAAGCCAAGGUCAAAAGACGUAAGGUAACAUUGAUGUUAAUUGAUAAAACUAACCUCAGAAAGUAGAUUGUUUGAGGCAAUAGAGAGUGUGAGCCUCUAUCAUGACAAUUUAAGAAGUUUAUAGUUGAGUCGUUGACUGCAUUACUAUCAAAUGCAUAGGGGUAUGGAAAUGAAAACGGUUAAUAACAUAUGGGCAUUUAACCUAAUAAUUUGACAACUCGACACUCGGACUUGUAUAUGUAAGUUGUAGUAGAUGCAUACGGUGUUUUAGUAGUUUAUUUGUGUACAAAUUAUUUCAUUGGGUAUUAUUUGAAGUGAAUAGUAUAUUGGAUUCAUGCAUGUUCAGACUUUAAUAUCAACAUCUUUCAGAUUUUUCUGGAUAAUGGUUAAUAAAUUCUUUGUUUAAUAAUGACCGCUUCACUUAAUGUCAUUUCUCUUCUUUCUUUUUUUAAUUAUCGGAGUGGAUAUUUAUUUAAUUUUUUCUGAUUUAUGUUGCAACUUCCAAUAUAAUUUGUUUGGGUGCUAUACUUUGAUGGAUUAUAGGUCGCAUGUCGAGACUAUCCUCACCCACGAGAUCUUUGUGCUAAACUUCCCUUUACAUCUACUCCUCAUGAANUGCUAAACCAGGUAAUAAUAUUUUUUCUCAGAAUUAAUUAUUACACCUCUUUUCAGUGCCGAACGUUCUGCGUAUCUUAUUUGACCAUUGUCUGUUGCAGUGUCACUGUUAUGUUUGUGAUGCACCGGCUCCAUGUCUCAAAUGGGGAACUGGCAUAUCUGUCAGUGACCAUUGUCAUGCCACUGGGAAGGUGGAAUUCUGGAAUCAACAAAGCCUAAAUUUUUUGAAAAGGCUUUAAAAAAUUUGGAAUUUUUUAAAAAAAUGAAAAAUGUAAAAAUUAAAAAAAUCUAAAAAUAUCUGGAAAUUCAAAAAAUAUACCUAAAUUUUUGAAAUUAAAAAAUUUUAGAAUUUUUCCAAAUUUUCAGAUUUUUUCAAAGUUUUAAAUUUAUUUUCAAAAUUUUUAGAUUUUUUCGAUGUUUUUUCAUAUUUUUUAAAGUAUUUUAAAAAAAUUCAACUUUAUUAAAAAAUCGAUAUUUAUAUUUUUCUCAAAGUUUUUUUUAUUUUUUUUAAAGGAUUCUGUUAAAGGCAGCUGAUAUUUAACGUCGCAGUGACCUAUUUGCAAACUUUUAUUAGUUCAGUGAGUUGACUGCAACUUAAAUCGAGUUCUGUGAUCCGUUUGCAAACUUUUUAAGUUCAGUGACUUAACUGCAAGUUGGCCAUGAGUUCAAUGAUCUUUUCGCCUAUUAACCCGGACUAAAUCUACUAAAAUGAUAAUUAUGGACUCACAAUGUAUAUUUUUAAUUUAUAUGUUUAGUUAAAAAUUGGUUAAUUUGACUUUCGAAAAUCAAAAUGAACAUGUAAAAGGAGAUCGUGGUAAUAAGCCCCUCAACGUGUGUAAAUGUUAAGUAAAAGGGAUAUGUUUAUUUUUAUUUUAAAAAAGAAUUAAAAAUAUUAUUUUACAAAUUAAAUUAUAAAAUACUCUCUAUAUUCCAAAUUAGUGAGUUCGUUAAUUUUAGGCACACUAAUUUAGAUGAUUUAACUGCAUAGCUAUAUAAUUUAUUUUUAAUAUUUUUAAAAAACAAUUAAAAAUAAUUUCACGAAUAACAGAUGAUCAUUAUCUUUUAAAUCACAUGCUGAAAAUCGGAUGUUGCCCUUAUCAUUAUCACAUUUUUAAGUAGUAAUGUCUCGAAAAUUAAAUAUUAGAUCCAAUAUGAUUUCAAAUAUCACUUUAUAAUAUUCUUUUUUGUCAUAAUAUCACUUAAUAAUGUUAAAUGAGUGACGUUUAUAUUUUUUUUAAAGUGUUACACAAUGAGAAACUCUAAAAAAUAUAACGGUAGAUAAUGUAGUAUCAUAUCAAAACAUUACUUUAUCUAACCAGAACAUAAUAUUCCAAGGACAAUUUAACUUUUUUUAUAAUAUUCAGAACCUUCUUUUUUUUUUUUGAAUAAAAGACAAAUUUCAUUAAUACGAAAUGUCAUACAGAAAAAUCUCCAACAAUACAUCUCGAGGAGACAUAAACACUUUUUGACAAUUUAAAGAACAGGAUAAUUUAGCUACUAGAUGAGCUACUCCAUUCGCUUGUCGUUUAACAAAUGAAACUGAAUAACAUGGCUUCGAAUUUAAAAUAAGCUUGCAGGCAUUCAAGAUGUGACCAACUUCUAAAAGAUUUUCCUGAGAGUCAUGCAAGGCUUUAAUGGCCAGGAGAGAGUCUGAUUCAAUUUCCACCACCUCAUGAUUUAAUGAGCACAACCACGGGAGACCUUCAAAAGAGAAAAGGCCCCCAGUAACCUUUUUUUAGUGUCAAAUGCCCUAGUUGUCAUUAUAAUAAAAAAUGGCCCUCAUUAUCACUCUAUAACACUACUUAAACUCACGUUCUGUUUUUCCAUCAUAAACGGCACACGCAACAGUGUUUCCAGGUUUAAUACUUUUUAAAAAAAGUCUAACGUAACAUGAAGUUACGUUCACUGAUCUGAGUUUUUUUUUCAUAUUACUCACAUCUUGCUUAUUUCCAUAUAGAAAGAAAUUCACUCACUAGUCAACGUUAUAACAAAUUAUAAUAAUAUUUAACCAGUGCACCCCAAAGGGUAGCGGCUGCGGUUUCCUACGUUAAAAAGAAUAUUUAAGCGUUCAUACAUGGGGUUUAGAAAAAUUUGUUUAUAAUUGUAAAUUAAUUUUCUGAACGUUAGGGUUUAGGAUUGAGGGUGUAGGGCCGGUAGGCCCUACUCCCUCGAGCCUAAAACCUAAUUAAUGCGAGGCUGAAGGGCCGAAGGCCCUGAAGCCGAGAAAUCGGCAGAAUAAAUAAAUUUACAAUCGUUAACAUUUAGGGUUUAGAUUUGGGUUGCAGAAUGAUUAAUUCAUACUGUAAAUUAAUUGGCCGAACGUUAGGGUUUAGGAUUGAGGGUGUAGGGCCGGUAGGCCCUACUCCCUCGAGCCUAAACCCUAAUUAAUGCGAGGCUGAAGGGCCGAAGGCGAGAAACCGGCGGAAUAAAAAAAUUUACAAUCGUUAACAUUUAGGGUUUAGGUUUGGGUUGCCAUAAUGAUUAAUUCGUACUGUAAAUUAAUUGGCUAAACGCUAGGUUUUAGGAUUGAGGGUGUAGGGCCGGUAGACCCUCCUCCCUCGAGCCUAAACCCUAAUUAAUGCGAGGCUGAAGGGCCGAAGGCGAGAAACCGGCGGAAUAAAUAAAUUUACAAUCGUUAACAUUUAGGUUUAGGUUUGGGUUGCCAUAAUGAUUAAUUCGUACUGUAAAUUAAUUGGCCAAACGCUAGGUUUUAGGAUUGAGGGUGUAGGGCCGGUAGACCCUACUCCCUCGAGCCUAAACCAUAAUUAAUGCGAGGCUGAAGGACCUUCAAGCCCUAAACGCUCGAGCCUAAACCCUAAUUAACUCGAGGCUCUAGGGCCGUGAGACCCUAAAGCCGAGGAACCGGAAUUAAAAUAUAAAACAAAAUUUUAAAUGGCGUUUAAAGUGGCGACAGAAUUGUAAGUUGGGUGUUAAGCUAGCAAACGACAUUAAGUUACGUUUUAGAUUUUUAGGUUAUUAAAAAAUAAAAAAAAAAAUCAAGAACGUCACAUGAAGGCACGUUUUACUUCUGAUAUCAAGAACGUCACAUGAAGGCACGUUUUACUUCUGAUAAACACACCAGCACGUGACUAAAGUCUCGUUUUCAUAUAUAACAGCAAUUGAAGUGACGUUUUGCUUUUUUUAGUUUAAAAUAAUAACCCCAUAACGUGACCAGGAGUCACGUUUUAGUAUAAAUCCUAAACGCUGCUUCAGAACAUGUUUUGGAGUGACACCCGGGGCCAUUUUACGGGAUUGUGACUUUAAGGUCCAUAUUGUUACUGAUGGUGACUCACAGGGCCAACACCCCCUUCAAAAAUAGCGCUUGCUUCGGCUUCAAGGACAGUAGCCACCAUGGCUUUACAUAUUGUUUUACCCAUCACAAAAACUCCCUCGCUGUCACGCAGAACCAAACCCAACGAGACCGAGGCCUCACCGAAACGCACACCUGCAUCAACAUUUAGUUUGAGAACUCCAUCCGUCAGCUUUUUCCACUUCACUCGAGAAGAAGAUGCGGAACUAGAAGUACUACCAACCUGAACAACACGCUUAGCUUUAGCCUCCUUCCAGUCAGAAAUAAUCUUAGCGCUCCAAUCCAUAGCUAUAGCAGCUGUAACAACCUUGUGAUCCCAAACCUUCUUGUUUCGAAAAAACCAAAUUCCCCAAAGAACUCGAGCAAUAUUAAAAGUUUCAUGAUCAGGACCUGAUUCAAACCUAGCAAGUAACCAAGAGGGGGCAAACUCCACCAGAGACAAAUCAAAGACCAUACCUGAGUAUUGCCAACAUAACAUUGCAAACUGGCAGGUGAAAAAUAUGUGAAUAAGGUCUUCGUCACCAGAGUUACACAUGGGACAGUCAAGAGAAAGAUUUACUCCCUUAGAUUGUAAUCGACUUUUCACAGGCACAUUAUUCCUGCAAAAACGCCAUAAAAACACUUUGAUCUUAAGAGGAACCUCCAACUGCCAGAGUUUCUUCCACCCACUAGAUUGUGUAACAGUGCCAGUGCCAAUAUUUUGGGCAUGUCAAAACUGGUAACCUGUUUUCACAGAAUUUUGGCUGUUAGUAGUCUUUGACCAAGCUAGACGAUCCACGGUCGACCUACAGGGAACAUAAGUUUUUAAAAAUUAUGUAAUUCAUUCAAUUCCGUAUCAGACAAUACAUCUUAUCAUCGGUGAUAAUGAAAAUAGUGUAGAUGUUUGACCUAGUCCCUGUUUGACAACCAAUAUAAUAAGAAAUAAAUUCUUAUUUUUCUAAAAAAUAUAUUUUUGUAUAUAAAUGUUAAAGAGAUAUUUCUUAUUUGUUGUUUGAAAAAAGUAAAGACUUAUUUCAGAAUAAAAAAAAAUUAUUGUACAUUCUCUUUAUUUCUGAAAAUAAGUUUGGUCAAAUCAUCCAUAAUUCACGUAAUUCAAAAGCCCAUUAAUUUUUUUUUUCUUGCUAAUUGAUCAGCACACGCACACGUUUCCAACUUCCCGCAAAGGGUACAGGAGUACCACCGGAGUACCAUCACACCGACGCUUUGUUGGGCCCAAUAAUUGGCUGAAGUUGAACGGGGCUUUCUGCCUCCGCUGGACCCCAGUUGGGAGGACUCUUUCCAAGUCUUUCGGAGCCUCUUUCCCAUUGACUCCAACUUUCCAGGGUGUAUACAAAUUUUUUGAAAGAGGGUGUAUACAAAUUAUUCACGGCCAUCAAAUCAACCAGCGUAGCUGGUGAACAAAUAUUAUUGUUUAUUAUAAUUUUAUUUAAUUUAAAUGUGAUUAUAAGAACAUAAGAGGACGUUUGAAAGUGUGGGUCUUAUUUCAAACAGUAGAUUUAAAAAAAUAUGAUUUCAAUUGUUAUUUAAAAUUCUUAAAUUUAUAUUAUAUUAAAAUGUUCUUAUUCUAAUUAAUGAGUCACUAUUCGUAUUCUCAAGCAUGUUAGUUUGUUAAAAUUUAAAAUUUCAAAUGAAAUUAGGCUAAAAGACCAUAAUAUCAAAGCAAAAUCUCAUUAUCCAAUAUAUUGGUGGGCAAAAAUAUUAAACCUGGCUAUUCAUUAAUAUUGGUUCUUUAUUCAAAUUAUGUCAAAUUUAUAUAAAAUUUCGAAAAUUAUUUAUGAAUAAGAGUCGGCAUUCAUAUAUUUAUUAAGGAUACAAGUGAGAAAAUGUUAUUAAAUUAAUAUUUUUUUAAUAUACGUAAGUUUUUUAAAAUAAAUUUGUAGCGUGGGACGGGAGUAUUAGACUGAUUCUGGCUUGGAGUGAAUCAGCCCAUAAAGUUUACAGGGUAGAUGACCAUUCUUAAAUCUUAAAGAAUCUUACGGUGACAGCUAACUGAACGACUCGGUUUCAGAAGUGCUGAAAAGUUUCGACGUAAACUACAAUUUGCCUAGCAUGUAAUUUCCAUGCAUUUUCUCGUUACUAGUGACAGAUAACUUUUUUGAUAUUUAUAUAUUUUUAAUUAUAAUAAAGAUACUAGUGAUUAUGGUUAGCUUUUGGAGUACUUUCGGAGUACUUGGAAAUUUUCUUUUCGAGAAAGACGAGAGUACCUAUUUCAAUUUUUUACCAAAAAUUAUAAUUGAAAACAACGGACUUUUAUACUUAUCAUAACAAUUUUUAACAUCUUGUUUAGAAAUAACCUGUUGUUGUAUUAUGCAAAAGUAAUAUCACUAGUUUCUAUAUUCGUAUUCUAAUGAUAAUAAAAACAUCUCUAAUUCAUUAAAACUCUUACAUAGAAAAUGAUAAAAAAAAAAAAGAAGAUAUAAAAUAAUUUAUUAAAAAUAUAUCAAAGNGAAGAUAUAAAAUAAUUUAUUAAAAAUAUAUCAAAGUUUUUGCACUCGGUUAUAAUUAUUGUGUAAUUUCUUUUUUCAAUUCCAAGAUAUUGUUAUAAGAAAAUUUUACAUCAUAUAUAUAUUACAAAAAAAAUUAAUGUAUUCUAUAUAUAUAUAUAUAUAUAUAUAUAUAUAUAUAUAUAUAUAUAUAUAUAUAUAUAUAUACAAUAAANNNNNNNNNNNNNNNNNNNNNNNNNNNNNNNNNNNNNNNNNNNNNNNNNNNNNNNNNNNNNNNNNNNNNNNNNNNNNNNNNNNNNNNNNNNNNNNNNNNNNNNNNNNNNNNNNNNNNNNNNNNNNNNNNNNNNNNNNNNNNNNNNNNNNNNNNNNNNNNNNNNNNNNNNNNNNNNNNNNNNNNNNNNNNNNNNNNNNNNNNNNNNNNNNNNNNNNNNNNNNNNNNNNNNNNNNNNNNNNNNNNNNNNNNNNNNNNNNNNNNNNNNNNNNNNNNNNNNNNNNNNNNNNNNNNNNNNNNNNNNNNNNNNNNNNNNNNNNNNNNNNNNNNNNNNNNNNNNNNNNNNNNNNNNNNNNNNNNNNNNNNNNNNNNNNNNNNNNNNNNNNNNNNNNNNNNNNNNNNNNNNNNNNNNNNNNNNNNNNNNNNNNNNNNNNNNNNNNNNNNNNNNNNNNNNNNNNNNNNNNNNNNNNNNNNNNNNNNNNNNNNNNNNNNNNNNNNNNNNNNNNNNNNNNNNNNNNNNNNNNNNNNNNNNNNNNNNNNNNNNNNNNNNNNNNNNNNNNNNNNNNNNNNNNNNNNNNNNNNNNNNNNNNNNNNNNNNNNNNNNNNNNNNNNNNNNNNNNNNNNNNNNNNNNNNNNNNNNNNNNNNNNNNNNNNNNNNNNNNNNNNNNNNNNNNNNNNNNNNNNNNNNNNNNNNNNNNNNNNNNNNNNNNNNNNNNNNNNNNNNNNNNNNNNNNNNNNNNNNNNNNNNNNNNNNNNNNNNNNNNNNNNNNNNNNNNNNNNNNNNNNNNNNNNNNNNNNNNNNNNNNNNNNNNNNNNNNNNNNNNNNNNNNNNNNNNNNNNNNNNNNNNNNNNNNNNNNNNNNNNNNNNNNNNNNNNNNNNNNNNNNNNNNNNNNNNNNNNNNNNNNNNNNNNNNNNNNNNNNNNNNNNNNNNNNNNNNNNNNNNNNNNNNNNNNNNNNNNNNNNNNNNNNNNNNNNNNNNNNNNNNNNNNNNNNNNNNNNNNNNNNNNNNNNNNNNNNNNNNNNNNNNNNNNNNNNNNNNNNNNNNNNNNNNNNNNNNNNNNNNNNNNNNNNNNNNNNNNNNNNNNNNNNNNNNNNNNNNNNNNNNNNNNNNNNNNNNNNNNNNNNNNNNNNNNNNNNNNNNNNNNNNNNNNNNNNNNNNNNNNNNNNNNNNNNNNNNNNNNNNNNNNNNNNNNNNNNNNNNNNNNNNNNNNNNNNNNNNNNNNNNNNNNNNNNNNNNNNNNNNNNNNNNNNNNNNNNNNNNNNNNNNNNNNNNNNNNNNNNNNNNNNNNNNNNNNNNNNNNNNNNNNNNNNNNNNNNNNNNNNNNNNNNNNNNNNNNNNNNNNNNNNNNNNNNNNNNNNNNNNNNNNNNNNNNNNNNNNNNNNNNNNNNNNNNNNNNNNNNNNNNNNNNNNNNNNNNNNNNNNNNNNNNNNNNNNNNNNNNNNNNNNNNNNNNNNNNNNNNNNNNNNNNNNNNNNNNNNNNNNNNNNNNNNNNNNNNNNNNNNNNNNNNNNNNNNNNNNNNNNNNNNNNNNNNNNNNNNNNNNNNNNNNNNNNNNNNNNNNNNNNNNNNNNNNNNNNNNNNNNNNNNNNNNNNNNNNNNNNNNNNNNNNNNNNNNNNNNNNNNNNNNNNNNNNNNNNNNNNNNNNNNNNNNNNNNNNNNNNNNNNNNNNNNNNNNNNNNNNNNNNNNNNNNNNNNNNNNNNNNNNNNNNNNNNNNNNNNNNNNNNNNNNNNNNNNNNNNNNNNNNNNNNNNNNNNNNNNNNNNNNNNNNNNNNNNNNNNNNNNNNNNNNNNNNNNNNNNNNNNNNNNNNNNNNNNNNNNNNNNNNNNNNNNNNNNNNNNNNNNNNNNNNNNNNNNNNNNNNNNNNNNNNNNNNNNNNNNNNNNNNNNNNNNNNNNNNNNNNNNNNNNNNNNNNNNNNNNNNNNNNNNNNNNNNNNNNNNNNNNNNNNNNNNNNNNNNNNNNNNNNNNNNNNNNNNNNNNNNNNNNNNNNNNNNNNNNNNNNNNNNNNNNNNNNNNNNNNNNNNNNNNNNNNNNNNNNNNNNNNNNNNNNNNNNNNNNNNNNNNNNNNNNNNNNNNNNNNNNNNNNNNNNNNNNNNNNNNNNNNNNNNNNNNNNNNNNNNNNNNNNNNNNNNNNNNNNNNNNNNNNNNNNNNNNNNNNNNNNNNNNNNNNNNNNNNNNNNNNNNNNNNNNNNNNNNNNNNNNNNNNNNNNNNNNNNNNNNNNNNNNNNNNNNNNNNNNNNNNNNNNNNNNNNNNNNNNNNNNNNNNNNNNNNNNNNNNNNNNNNNNNNNNNNNNNNNNNNNNNNNNNNNNNNNNNNNNNNNNNNNNNNNNNNNNNNNNNNNNNNNNNNNNNNNNNNNNNNNNNNNNNNNNNNNNNNNNNNNNNNNNNNNNNNNNNNNNNNNNNNNNNNNNNNNNNNNNNNNNNNNNNNNNNNNNNNNNNNNNNNNNNNNNNNNNNNNNNNNNNNNNNNNNNNNNNNNNNNNNNNNNNNNNNNNNNNNNNNNNNNNNNNNNNNNNNNNNNNNNNNNNNNNNNNNNNNNNNNNNNNNNNNNNNNNNNNNNNNNNNNNNNNNNNNNNNNNNNNNNNNNNNNNNNNNNNNNNNNNNNNNNNNNNNNNNNNNNNNNNNNNNNNNNNNNNNNNNNNNNNNNNNNNNNNNNNNNNNNNNNNNNNNNNNNNNNNNNNNNNNNNNNNNNNNNNNNNNNNNNNNNNNNNNNNNNNNNNNNNNNNNNNNNNNNNNNNNNNNNNNNNNNNNNNNNNNNNNNNNNNNNNNNNNNNNAAUCAUCUGACAGGGCCUAUCCCCCAAAAAGGACAGUUCAGCACAUUCAACAAGGAUUCUUACCUAGGUAACUUUGCCUUGUGUGGAUUACCUUUAACUAAUAACUGUACACACACUGUGUCACCACCACAAGAAGGCGGAACUGGUGACAAUGAUGCCUAUGAUGAACCCGAUUGGGAAGUGAUCCUCAUGGGAUAUGGAUGUGGACUAAUAUGCGGAUUGUCCACUGGGUACGUUGUCUUCACAUUCAGAAAGCCUCAGUGGUUUAUGAGAUACACUGAAAGCGUGCAACAGAAGUUGAUGAGAUGAUGCAUGUUGAGUACCGUUCAAUCAUGAAGCACAACUGGAAACAAUGUUAUCUUAGGAAAACAUGUGUUCUGAACCAGUAGUGUUUGCACAAAAUUUGUGGUGCUAUGUAAUACUUAUAUAAUUGUACGUAUGAUUAUUGAUUAGUCGUUGAGAAAAUGCAUUUUAUUUCAGUGUCAAUGAUAAUCUACAUGUUUUGGAUACUUCCAGCUUCUCAUACUAAUAUAGGAACCACUUGAAAAAUUUUGCGAUGCAAAGCAGGGACUCAUGAGUAUUUUCAUAUGUGUAUUAGUUUUGAAGAUAAAAGUUGUAUGGACAAUUGUGUUGAUAAUUUGCGCAAUGAUAACUGGGAUAGGUCAUCUUCUCUCCCAAGUCUUGGAUGGACUCUUUCCAAGUCUUCUGAGAACCCAUCAGCUCAGAUUAGUCCAUACAAUGUCAAGGGUCCUAUGAUAUGGUCUACUAACAGCCCAGUGUCGGUAAUAAAUCCAAUUGCAUAUAACCUAUUCAAAAUCAAUCCCCUAUAAACAAUCAUCUCUAAAAACUAUUCACAUAAAAUAAAAUUUUAAAAAUAUAAAAUAUCUAGUUGUUUUCAAUAUAUAAUUUUCCACAGUAGAUAACAAAAUAUCUUUAUCAAAUUAUAUUAUUUAUGGGUUCAAUAUUUAAGCUAUAAUUCCAAUAACACGGCAAGCAUGCAUGCAGCAUAUAAAUAGAAGUGUGCAGUAUGUAUGGUAUUCAUAACCCAGUUGAGGAGAAACAUGGCACACUUUGUAAAGCCUUCUCACCUUCUUCUCUUUGUUUUCUUUCUCUCAUCACUUGAGUCCAUUCUUGCAACAAGACGAGAGGGAGAGGGAGAAGCUCUUGUGAAAUGGAAGAAUAGCCUAGCCCCUUCUUCUUUUCUCGACUCUUGGUCACUCACCAAUCUCGAUAAUCUUUGUAACUGGACUGGCAUUACUUGUAACUCUGCAGGUUCAGUCACUGAGAUUAACCUUUUCGGAAAAAAACUUGAUGGAAGGCUGUCCGAGUUUGGUUUCACUUCAUUUCCAAAUCUCAACAAUCUCACCCUUGCAGAUAACUUCUUCUUGGGUCCAAUACCACCAGCCAUUGAGAAUUUAACACAGCUUCAGUAUCUUGAUUUAAGCUUUAAUUAUCUCGAUGGUCCCAUUCCGUUCCAGGUUAGCCAUCUUCAAAGGUUGCUUGUCUUAAACGUGUCACAGAAUGCAUUGCAUUCUCCAAAUUGGUCCAAUUUCUCAAACAGAUGAAAUUAUGCAACUGAAAUUGAUGUAGUCUUAAAGAAUUCUCAGGCACUUAAACAUGUUUCAAAGAAUUCUCAGGCACUUAAACAUUUGGACGGGUUCUUUGGAAGCCAAGAUGCCCAGGUUAUCAUGGCCAUGCACAAAAUGCAGUAUAAAAAAAAAAUGAAUACCUUAAGAGAGAUUGCUCUGGGUCUCCCCAAGCCUUCUAGACUCAUUCCAAGUCUUCUGAGGACCACUGCCUCGCGCUUUCAAAGAUGUGAUGGUAGCUCGGGAGUGAUAUAAAUUAUUUUCGGGACACUAAUAAUAAAUAAUCAGAUCAAAUUAAUCAUCAAUAAUAAAUUGAGGAUACGAAAUCAAAAUUAAUCCUAAAUUUUGAUAAUAUAUAAAAAUUACUUUACGUACACUGUUUGCACGCAUUUUGAGCUCGUAUAAAGUAUAGUUUCAUAACUUUUUUUAAAAAAUUUCUUUUUUGAUAAAAGUUUAAACGUCAAACUUUUAUUCAGAGAAAAAAAAUUAAAAAAUAUAUCACGGAACUAUACUUUAAAUUAGUAUGGAAAAACGUGCCAAAAUUAACGUAAAGAAAUGAGGGGAACAAAGAUAGUAUAAUUAUAUUAUAAAUUAAAAUUGAAAUAACUUACGUGGCACUGAAAUUGAUAAAGGCAAUAUGGUUAAAUUGAUGAAAAGUCAAAGUCCUCUAAUAAAUCCAUAAAGAAUAUAAUAAUCAAAACGACGAAAAUUAUAAAUGAAAAAUCAAAAUCAUCCUAAUAAGUACACAAAAAGAAUAUGAUCGUUAGUGUAUUGGAAUAGUGUGCACACACUUAUAUAUCAAAAUUUGUGGUCCAAAAGCUAUGGCACAAUAUUCUAAAUACACCACAUUAAGUAAUAGUUCAAAAAUAUUCAAUAUAUAAUUGUUUUCAUUCAUAAUUUUGUUAUUAUUUUAAAAAAUAAUUUGGUUGCUGUUAACCUAUAUUUCAAUUAUAUAAUUAUAUUAUUUUUUAUUUUAUGUAUCUAGAAACAAUAUUUUUGUAAUAUUUAUUACAUUAAUUAUAUUAAAAGAUAUAAUUUGUUAAAAACUUGAAUAAAAUUAAGAGGAUAACUUUAUGUCUCUCCAAGUUCACAGCACGGGUGAGCAUUGGGUUCGGAUAUCCAUAUACCGAAUGGAUAUAUCAAAUCAAAACUAAUCAUGAAUUAUGAUAAUAAUUAAAUAAAUUAUAAUUAAGCUAUAUGAAUCAACUCCAAAUGACAACAACAGCACCAAACCUUAGUUACUUUAAUAUUGGUAAAUAAAUAUAAUAUAAUAAUCAAAUUGAUGAAAAAUCACAUCAUCUAAUAAAUUCACAAAAAAUAUAUGAUCAUUAGUAUAUUAUAUUAGUAUCCACACACUUAUAUUUCAAAAUCUAUCCUCCAAAAUUAUCAUCUCUGUAAGCUAGCCACAUAAAAUAAAAAAUUUAAAGAUAUUAGAUAUUUAGUUAUUUUCAUUAUAUAAUUUUUCCACACGAAAUAACAAAAUAUCUUUAUCAAAUUAUUAUUUAUGAGUUAAAUAUUCAAGUUAUAAAUCCAGUAUUCAGCGUAUAAAUAGAAGUGUGCAGUAUGAUAUCAGAUUCACAUAACCCAGUUGAUGAGGAGAAACAUGGCAUACUCUGCAAAGCCUUCUCACCUUCUUCUCUUUGUUUUCUUUCUCUCAUCACUUGAAUCCAUUCUUGCAACAACACGAGAGGGAGAAGCUCUUGUGAAAUGGAAGAAUAGCCUAGCCCCUUCUUCUUUUCUCGAUUCUUGGUCCCUCACCAAUCUCGAAAAUCUUUGUAACUGGACUGGCAUUACUUGUAACUCUGCAGGUUCAGUCUCUGAGAUUAACCUCUGUGAGAAACAACUUGAUGGAAUGCUGUCCGACUUCGGUUUCACUUCAUUUCCAAAUCUCAAGAAUCUCACCCUCGCAUACAACUUCUUCUCGGGUCCAAUACCACCAGCCAUUCAGAACUUAACAAGGCUUCAAUGCCUUGAUUUAAGCUUUAAUUAUCUCAAUGGUCCUAUUCCGUUCCAGGUGAGCCAUCUUCAGAGCUUGCUCAUCUUGAACCUGUCACAGAAUGCAUUGCAAACUCCAAAUUGGUCCCAUUUCUCUCCCAUGCCUUUCUUGCGCAUCCUCAACCUCAGUUACAAUCCUCUUGCGUCGAAAUUCCCAGAUUUUAUAUCCAGUUCUCAUAGCCUGACUCACCUUAGCCUUAAUUAUAACGAGUUUACUGGUGAUUUAGUACGUGAAUCAGUAUUUGCCGAUCUGCAUAAUCUUGAAAAGCUCAGUCUUGUUGGCAAUUCUUUCGAGGGGCCAUUUCCGCCGGAUAUAUUCAGGCUUUCCAAAUUAAAACAUCUUAGCAUGUCAGAUAACAAACUUUCAGGUUCAAUUCCCAAUGACAUAAGGUUGCUUUGUGAUCUUGAAUACCUAUAUUUAGCCAACAAUUCCUUUGAAGGACCGCUUCCACCAAAUAUAUUCAAGUUUUCAAAAUUAAAACAUCUUGUUCUUUGGGGUAAUAAGUUUUCUGGUUCUGUUUCCAAUGAUAUAGGUUUGCUUUCUGAGCUUGAAACUCUCGAUCUUAGCUCUAAUUUUUUUGAGGGGCCGCUUCCGCCAAAUGUAUUCAAGCUCUCCAAACUAAAAGUUCUCACCCUGUCAAUUAACAAAUUUUUAGGUUCAAUUCCCAAUGACAUAAGGUUACUUUGUGAUCUUGAAUACCUAUAUUUAGGCAACAAUUCCUUUGAAGGACCGCUUCCACCAGGUAUAUUCAAGCUUUCAAAAUUAAAACAUCUUUUUCUUUGGGGUAAUAAGUUUUCAGGUUCUGUUUUCAAUGAUAUAUGUUUGCUUUCUGAGCUUGAAACCCUCGAUCUUAACUCUAAUUUUUUUGAGGGGCCGCUUCCGCCAAAUGUAUUCAAGCUCUCCAAACUAAAGAUUCUUUCCCUUUAUGUGAACAACUUUUCAGGUUUUAUUUCUAAGGAUAUAGGUUGGCUUUUUGAACUUGAAACCCUCUAUCUUGGCUCUAAUUUUUUUGAGGGGCCGCUUCCCCCACAUGUAUUUAGGCUCUCCAAAUUAAGAGAUUUGGACCUCUCAGACAAUAGAAAUUUAUUUGAAGGAAGUAUUCCUAUUGGACUGGGACUCUUGACUAACCUCAGGUACUUAGAUCUACAUUUCAGUAAUCUCAGUGGCUAUAUUCCAUCUGACAUUGGAAACCUGAAGCUACUAGUACUUCUUGAUCUCAGUUCUAAUAAAUUGACUGGACCGCUUUCAAAGAUCAUUUCUAAUCUCACAAAUCUUAUAUUUCUUGAUGUAAGUGAUAAUAGUCUUAGUGGAAAUAUUCAGAGUGACUUGUGGAAAUAUAACGAUCAUCCAACUUUGGAAUACAUCGAUUUAAGUGGGAACCAUUUUACGGGUAUAGUUUUUCUCUAUAGAUCUUUUCUUUUUCUCAUAUGUAACUAAGCUAGUAAUCUGAUUAUUGCAGUUUCACCAAAGUUUCAACAAUCUUGACAGGUGAGCUUCCAACAACAAUUUGCAAUGUCACUUCCCUUUUGGUUCUUGAUUUGUCAAAUAAUGAAUUAAGUGGUGCACUUCCAAACUGUUUCGGGAAUCUUGCUGAUAGAUUGCUUUUCAUUAAUCUUGCUAAUAAUCAGUUUCGAGGAACAAUACCAACUACUUUCUCCAGGAGUUGUCAGCUGACAUAUCUAAACAUGGAUAAUAAUGAGUUUGAAGGAUUGUUGCGCCCAUCUUUGGCGAACUGUAAGCACUUGAAAAUUCUUGAUAUUGGCAAUAAUAAAAUAGGUGGUACAUUUCCGUCAUGGCUUUAUGCACUUGGAGAGCUAGAAGUCCUUGUCUUGCGAUCAAAUAAACUCUAUGGUACAAUAAGUGGGAGGAGCAUAGAAAAUCCCUUCCCCAAGUUGCGGAUUGUGGAUCUGUCCAACAAUCAAUUCACUGGCCAUUUGCCAAUUCAAUACUUUAAGAAUAUGAAAUCAACUGAUAAUUUGUAUAGUUAUCAGAAUGACACAGGAGUUUUUUCUUUCCAUUAUGAAGCAUCUGUAUCAUUAACUGUGAAGGGAACAGAGUAUGAAGUGAAAAAUAUCCUUCAUAUUUACACAACCAUUGAUCUGUCCUGCAACAAGUUUCAAGGAGAAAUUCCUGACGUUAUUGGAGAGCUUAGAUGGCUUGCAUUGCUGAACUUAUCUCAUAAUAGUCUAACAGGACAUAUCCCAUCAUUGCUGAGAAAUAUGAAAGGACUCCAAUCUUUAGAUUUGUCUUCAAAUCAACUGACAGGGGCUAUUCCACCUCAGUUAACUGCAUUGACAUUUCUAGAGGUCUUGAACCUCUCGGGAAACCAUCUUAGUGGAGAGAUUCCUCAGAAAGGACAGUUCAGCACAUUCAACAAUGAUUCUUAUCUAGGAAACUCCGCGUUAUGUGGAUCACCUUUGACAAAGAAAUGUGUAAACACAGCAUCACCUCCACAGGAAGUCGGAAAUGGUGAUGAAGAUGAUGCUGGCGAUGAAUGGACAUGGGAAGCAAUCGUGAUGGGAUAUGGAUGUGGACUGAUAUGUGGAUUGUCGUCUGCGUACAUUGUUCUCAGACUAGGAAGGCCUUGGUGGUUUGUGAGAUAUAUCGAAGUACUGCAACUGAAGUUGAUGAAAAGAUAUGCAUGAAGAAAGGUACUGGUAGAUCAAGAUGAACUUGAAAGUUAUUUUCGUGGAUGACAUUUGUGAACCAGUACUGUACUAGCUGCUUAAGUAUUUGGUAUUAUGUAAUAAUCCGUUUGGUCGGGACUCAUAAUGAUAUUUCUUGCUUCAGGGGUAUUAAUAUAAACCUUGGUAUUGUGUACUAGCUGUCUGUUUGGUCGUGACUCAUAAUCUUUCAUGUAUUAACAUAAGGUUUUAAUACAUCCCGUACCAGGUUAGCCAUCUUCAGAUAUUACACAUCUUACUGCUGUCGCAUAAUGAAUUGCAAUCUCCAAAUUGGUCCAACUUCUCUUCCAUGCCCUUUUUGCGCAUCCUCGGCCUUGGCAGCAAUAAUCUGGUGUCAAAAUUCCCAGAAUUUAUAUCUGACUCUCAUAGCCUCACUUUCCUUGACCUUUCUUUUAACAAGUUUACAGGUGAUCUUGUGCUUGAAUCAAUUUUUACCGAUCUACAUAAUCUUGAAAACCUCCAUCUUGCUGGAAAUUCCUUUGAGGGGCCGAUUCCACCUAGAGUAUUUAAGCUUUCCAAUUUAAAAGUUCUUGAACUCACGGGUAAUAACUUUUCUCGUUCUAUUUCCAACGAUAUAGGUUUGCUUUCUGAACUUGAGACCCUCUAUCUUGACUUCAAUUUUUUUGAUGGACCAAUUCCCCCAAAUAUAUUCAACCUUUCCCAAUUAAAAAUUCUUGAACUAACAGAAAAUAACUUUUCUGGUCCUGUUUCCAAUGAUAUAAGUUUGCUUUCUGAGCUUGAAAACCUCAAUCUUGCCUUAAAUUCUUCUGAUGGGCCUUUUCCAUCAAAGAUAUUCAACCUAACCAAAUUGAGACAUCUAAAUCUCUAUGGCAAUAAGAAUUUAUUUAAAGGAAGUAUCCCACUGGAUAUCAGAAACCUGAAGCUCCUGGAAUCUAUUAAUCUCGGUUCUAAUCAAUUGGUUGGACCACUUUCAAUGCUCAUUUCUAAUCUCACUAAUCUUAAGAUGGUUGGGCUAAGCGAUAAUAGGUUUUUUGGCAAAAUUCCUAGUGACUUCUUGAAAAACUUGCCAUCCUUACACGUCAUUGAUCUUUCAAAUAAUAAUUUGUCCGGAAAUAUUCCCAGGGAGUAUAACGUGCAUCCAAUUUUAGAAUACAUCAAUUUAAGUGGAAACCAUCUUACAGGUUUACUUCUCCCUCAAUAUAUUUUAUUUUCCUUUUGUAUGUUACAUUGAUUACACUUUUACCGAAGCUCAAACAAUUUUAACAGGUGAGAUCCCAGCAACAAUUUGCAAUGCUACAAACCUUUAUAUUCUGGUUCUGUCAGAUAAUGGAUUAAGUGGUGCCCUUCCGCAUUGUUUGGGAAAUCUUGCAGAUAAAAUGCAUUGCAUUGAUCUCGCUAAUAAUCAGUUCCGAGGACCAAUACCAACAACCUUCUCAGAGAGUUGCCAGUUAAGAUAUCUAAACAUGUAUGACAAUCAGUUAGAAGGACUUUUGCCCCGAUCUUUGUCAAACUGUAAGCACUUGAAAAUUCUUGACAUCGGGAACAACAAAAUGGGCGGUACAUUUCCUUCAUGGCUAUUCACUCUCAGAGAGCUAGAAGUCCUAGUCUUGCAAUCAAAUAAACUGUAUGGUCCAGUAAGUGGAAGGAGCACACAUCACAUCCAUUCCCCAAGUUGCGGAUUCUAGAUCUCUCCAACAACCAAUUCACGGGCUAUUUGCCAAUUCAAUACUCUUUAAGAAUAUGAAACCAGCUGCUGAUAACAUUUGUCUUAGGAUGACACAUGUUCUAAACUAUGACAAUAGUAUGCAAUCUCGUUUAAUACUUUCAUAUUAUGAACUAGUUCUGUUGAAUAAAUAAAUAUUAUUAAUUAAUCAAUCAUGUGCGCUCGAGUUUCCCUGGCCAGAUGCCCAGAUUAUUAGAGCAUCUCCAGCAGAGUCUUAACCGGUUCUCUAAAUAUAUAAUAAAAUAUGUAUCUUUUAAGGGAUUACUACAUUUUAGUGAAUGAGAACUCCAACAACAUUCCCUAUUUACAUUCUCUAUUAUUAUUAUAAUAUUAUAUUCAACUUGUAAUAAGAGAGAGAAAGUUUGGAAAGAGUAAAAGUGAGAAAAAAUAAGUGAAUAUUUUAUUCUUCAGAAUAAUAUAAGGAAAGAAAAUGCCAAAACAAUUAACUAUAAUCUACGCAAUAAUUUUUUAUAUUGAUUAGACGUUAUCUUUAUCAAUAUUUAGUCAGAUAUUCGGAUAUAUAUCAUUCCCUUUGUUUUUAUACCAUCUUUUUUUUGACUUUCGGGCCAAAUCACUACGUGGGUUGACUGGAUAGUAGAAAUUAAUAUUUUUGUCUGUUUUUUAAAAUAAAAAUCUGUAUUUUUAUUUUGAUUUCGAAGAAUAUAAUCCAUAAGGUAAAUAAUUUUUAANNNNNNNNNNNNNNNNNNNNNNNNNNNNNNNNNNNNNNNNNNNNNNNNNNNNNNNNNNNNNNNNNNNNNNNNNNNNNNNNNNNNNNNNNNNNNNNNNNNNNNNNNNNNNNNNNNNNNNNNNNNNNNNNNNNNNNNNNNNNNNNNNNNNNNNNNNNNNNNNNNNNNNNNNNNNNNNNNNNNNNNNNNNNNNNNNNNNNNNNNNNNNNNNNNNNNNNNNNNNNNNNNNNNNNNNNNNNNNNNNNNNNNNNNNNNNNNNNNNNNNNNNNNNNNNNNNNNNNNNNNNNNNNNNNNNNNNNNNNNNNNNNNNNNNNNNNNNNNNNNNNNNNNNNNNNNNNNNNNNNNNNNNNNNNNNNNNNNNNNNNNNNNNNNNNNNNNNNNNNNNNNNNNNNNNNNNNNNNNNNNNNNNNNNNNNNNNNNNNNNNNNNNNNNNNNNNNNNNNNNNNNNNNNNNNNNNNNNNNNNNNNNNNNNNNNNNNNNNNNNNNNNNNNNNNNNNNNNNNNNNNNNNNNNNNNNNNNNNNNNNNNNNNNNNNNNNNNNNNNNNNNNNNNNNNNNNNNNNNNNNNNNNNNNNNNNNNNNNNNNNNNNNNNNNNNNNNNNNNNNNNNNNNNNNNNNNNNNNNNNNNNNNNNNNNNNNNNNNNNNNNNNNNNNNNNNNNNNNNNNNNNNNNNNNNNNNNNNNNNNNNNNNNNNNNNNNNNNNNNNNNNNNNNNNNNNNNNNNNNNNNNNNNNNNNNNNNNNNNNNNNNNNNNNNNNNNNNNNNNNNNNNNNNNNNNNNNNNNNNNNNNNNNNNNNNNNNNNNNNNNNNNNNNNNNNNNNNNNNNNNNNNNNNNNNNNNNNNNNNNNNNNNNNNNNNNNNNNNNNNNNNNNNNNNNNNNNNNNNNNNNNNNNNNNNNNNNNNNNNNNNNNNNNNNNNNNNNNNNNNNNNNNNNNNNNNNNNNNNNNNNNNNNNNNNNNNNNNNNNNNNNNNNNNNNNNNNNNNNNNNNNNNNNNNNNNNNNNNNNNNNNNNNNNNNNNNNNNNNNNNNNNNNNNNNNNNNNNNNNNNNNNNNNNNNNNNNNNNNNNNNNNNNNNNNNNNNNNNNNNNNNNNNNNNNNNNNNNNNNNNNNNNNNNNNNNNNNNNNNNNNNNNNNNNNNNNNNNNNNNNNNNNNNNNNNNNNNNNNNNNNNNNNNNNNNNNNNNNNNNNNNNNNNNNNNNNNNNNNNNNNNNNNNNNNNNNNNNNNNNNNNNNNNNNNNNNNNNNNNNNNNNNNNNNNNNNNNNNNNNNNNNNNNNNNNNNNNNNNNNNNNNNNNNNNNNNNNNNNNNNNNNNNNNNNNNNNNNNNNNNNNNNNNNNNNNNNNNNNNNNNNNNNNNNNNNNNNNNNNNNNNNNNNNNNNNNNNNNNNNNNNNNNNNNNNNNNNNNNNNNNNNNNNNNNNNNNNNNNNNNNNNNNNNNNNNNNNNNNNNNNNNNNNNNNNNNNNNNNNNNNNNNNNNNNNNNNNNNNNNNNNNNNNNNNNNNNNNNNNNNNNNNNNNNNNNNNNNNNNNNNNNNNNNNNNNNNNNNNNNNNNNNNNNNNNNNNNNNNNNNNNNNNNNNNNNNNNNNNNNNNNNNNNNNNNNNNNNNNNNNNNNNNNNNNNNNNNNNNNNNNNNNNNNNNNNNNNNNNNNNNNNNNNNNNNNNNNNNNNNNNNNNNNNNNNNNNNNNNNNNNNNNNNNNNNNNNNNNNNNNNNNNNNNNNNNNNNNNNNNNNNNNNNNNNNNNNNNNNNNNNNNNNNNNNNNNNNNNNNNNNNNNNNNNNNNNNNNNNNNNNNNNNNNNNNNNNNNNNNNNNNNNNNNNNNNNNNNNNNNNNNNNNNNNNNNNNNNNNNNNNNNNNNNNNNNNNNNNNNNNNNNNNNNNNNNNNNNNNNNNNNNNNNNNNNNNNNNNNNNNNNNNNNNNNNNNNNNNNNNNNNNNNNNNNNNNNNNNNNNNNNNNNNNNNNNNNNNNNNNNNNNNNNNNNNNNNNNNNNNNNNNNNNNNNNNNNNNNNNNNNNNNNNNNNNNNNNNNNNNNNNNNNNNNNNNNNNNNNNNNNNNNNNNNNNNNNNNNNNNNNNNNNNNNNNNNNNNNNNNNNNNNNNNNNNNNNNNNNNNNNNNNNNNNNNNNNNNNNNNNNNNNNNNNNNNNNNNNNNNNNNNNNNNNNNNNNNNNNNNNNNNNNNNNNNNNNNNAUAUACACUUCCAUUUCCACUUUCCAGUAUUAAGUUUAGAAUUAAGAUCUUAACAACAUAGCAAUCAUUUAAACCUCGAAGAAAAUUGUGCACAUUAACAAGACCAAAGAGAAAACAGAUAGCAUAAAAUUGUGUAACACGUAUAAUUUAAAUCCACUUCUCAGUAUACUCCACAUUCAAGGUGAUCUAACUGCUACAAUAUUCUAAUUUUCACAGCUACGACACUGAACAAUAUAAGAACCAGUUUACUGUAAGUUUACUGAACAUAUAUAUACGACAUUGAACAAUAUAAAAUAGCUAUCCUUUGUAAGACCAAAAACAAAGGACACUAGCUAGCUAAUUCAAUAUACAAAACCACUCCAAUCAGUUUAUGAUAAGCAACUACAAACAUACAAAUACAUAUAAACAUACAAAUACAUAUAAACAUACUAUCUCAUUUUCCAAAAACCACAACUACAAACUAUCUCAUUUUCCAAAAACACACACUGAAAUACAUAUAUACAUACACAUACAACCACAAGGAUACCCAAACUCAAGUAAUAAAUAAGAAAUUACCUCCUCCAACUCGAAGAGAGCUUGAAUAGACUUGAACAGAGCUUGAACAGACUCCGAGCUCGAACUCCCUACAAACUCGAACUGAAGUACGAGCACCCACUAAACCCACAAACUCCACACUCGAACUGAACUCUGAGAUCUGUUGAAAAAACGAAUUAAAGAAGCAAAUGAGUAUUGUAAUCGAACAAACAUCAGUUUAUUAGGUACAAAUCAACCUUUAUCGCACAAAUUUAAGGAUGAAAUCGGCCGAAUUGGAACCUAGGGUUCGCUCGCUGAGAAAGGGGGAAGAACGGGGAGAGAGAAUGUAUUUUGUACAAAUGAUUUAAUUUAGGUAGUUUUAUUAGUUUUAUGUCUUUUUCCUUUUAAUUUUAUGUUUAAAGACAGGUGUUGAUGUCUUGUUCAGACAACACAUCAACUAAGCAGCGGGGUUUUAAAGGCGGGGUUUUUUUGUUUGUGAAAAAUUUGGCUAAGUGGGGAAUAGAAGCGGGGAAGCGCGGCCAAUUUUUUAAAAACAUGUUUUAGACAUCGGUUCUACACUAAGAUGAUGUCUAGUUUUUUAAUAGACAUCGGUUUUUAAAAUUUCGAUGUAAAAAAGGGUUUUAACAUCGGUGGUUUUUUUAACCGAUGUCUAAUCUGUGAUGUCUGAUCCUGUUUUUCUAGUAGUGAUCACUGCAACAAAAUAUUAGUUACGACGGAACAAUGUCGCUGGACUUUAUUUGUUUACAUUUUUUUAAUAGUAGUUAAUUUUUAAACUUGCGACGGAAAACAUACGACAGUCUACUUCGCGAGAGAAAAUCAUUUUAUUUUAUUUUUUAGCGCCAGAAUUUUAAUACUAAACUACUAUAGGGCCGUUUGGGCUAGCUUAAAAAAAGUGAUUUUUUACUUACAGUAAAGAAGUGGAUUAAAAGUGAGAAGCAAAUAAGUCAAUAAAAUGUUUGGAAAAGAAGUAGAAGCUGUGAGAGAGAAGUUAGCAUUCUCAGCUUCUUAAAAGUGCUUCUGCUUAUUUACAUAAACGGGUAAAAAAAAAAAAGCAAAAGCCAGAAGCAGCUUCUACUUCUCGAAACAAACAGGGCCAAUAUAUAUGAAGGAAACUGAUCUCUAUUGUUUUCAGCUUGCUCAUCCAUGGUAAGUAAUCCGUCGAAAAAGUUAGUUUGUUGUCGUGGUGUCUUAUCAUGAGAGAAAAUGGUAAUAUCGCAAAAUAUUUGCAACUGAAAGAUAAAUUAUAGUUCUAGAAACCAUUUAGGUAACGAUGCGCGGAGUUAUUUUCACUCACUUAGAAUUAAUGAUAAAUAUUUGCAACUGAAAGAUACAUUAUAGUUCUAGAAAAGGAUCCACGGAAUUAUUUUCACUCACUUAGAAUUAAUCCUAAGUUAUUGUGAGUUUUUGAAUAUGGAUUAUCUCAAAUUUUAUUAAAACACAUAUCGAUUCAUAUAGACAAAUUUGCCUACCUAAUAUUAUAAUAUUUAUGGCGAAGUUGUAUGAACAAUUGUGUAGAUAAUUAUACUUUACAAAGCAUACUUCUGCUAGCUGAAUUUUGAUUAAAAAAUCGAAAGGGAUAGGUCUGGGUCUCUCCAAGUCUUUGAGGACUCAUUCCAAGUCUUCUGAUGAGGACAAAAUAUAUCGCUGGUAGUCUUUCAGUCCUUCCUAGAGUAUUUUAUGCUCUGCACUGCAUUUGUGUUGAUAAUUUGCGCAAUGUUGAUGAGGAUUGCUCCAAGUCUUGGCGGACUCUUUCCAAAUCUUCCGAGGACCUAUCGGUUCAAUUUAGCCCAUUAAAAAUUUUAUUAUCUCAAAGCUAUCUGCAAAAUAAUAUAUAAGGUAAAAAUGAAUAUAUACCAUUGUUUUGUGAUUAAGUUGUAUAGGCAAUAUGCAUUGCAAAAUCAGCAACAGGAUAUAUGAAUACUAAUUAAUUACCUGAUAUCAGUAUGAACAAAUACUUUCUAUGUAGUUGUAAUAUUAGUCUUCUUUAAAAGUUAUCAUGAGGGAAGGUAUAUAUUGUGAUGCGGGAGAAAUAUUGUCACUGAAAAUAAUUAUAAUUCUAAAAUUUCCAUUAUACACUUUUUUUAGUGUUUGUACGUGGUAAGUACUUCAGACGACAUUUCUCGCGUAUGCCUCCGAUUAAGAAUUUGAUGUUCAGCCUAGUCCUAAACUAAAAUUAUUAUAAAUGUGUACUUCAAAAUUAUAUAUAUUGCUGGUAGUCUUUCAGUUCUUCCUGGUGUAUGCAAUUGUUUCAUUCAAUACCAAUUAUUUUAUACUAUGCACUCUGAUAUCAUGUUGAGAACAAUCCAUCAAAAACUUUAAACCUUAAUUAAGGUGUUAGAGGAAAAUACCAAUUAGAUCUUAUGCUAUAUUUCAAUACUUCCAACACUCUGCGAUGCAAAGCAGGGACUCUUGAGUAUUUUCAUAUGUGUAUUAGUUUUGAAGAUAAAAGUUGUAUAGAGAAUUGUGUUGAUAAUUUGCGCAAUUGCGCAAUGAUAACUGGGAUAGGUCAUCUUCUCUCCCAAGUCUUGGAUGGAAUCUUUCCAAGUCUUCUGAGAACCCAUCAGCUCAGAUUAGUCCAUACAAUGUCAAGGGUCCUAUGAUAUGGUCUACUAACAGCCCAGUGUCGGUAAUAAAUCCAAUUGCAUAUAACCUAUUCAAAAUCAAUCCCCUAUAAACAAUCAUCUCUAAAAACUAUUCACAUAAAAUAAAAUUUUAAAAAUAUAAAAUAUCUAGUUGUUUUCAAUAUAUAAUUUUCCACAGUAGAUAACANNNNNNNNNNNNNNNNNNNNNNNNNNNNNNNNNNNNNNNNNNNNNNNNNNNNNNNNNNNNNNNNNNNNNNNNNNNNNNNNNNNNNNNNNNNNNNNNNNNNNNNNNNNNNNNNNNNNNNNNNNNNNNNNNNNNNNNNNNNNNNNNNNNNNNNNNNNNNNNNNNNNNNNNNNNNNNNNNNNNNNNNNNNNNNNNNNNNNNNNNNNNNNNNNNNNNNNNNNNNNNNNNNNNNNNNNNNNNNNNNNNNNNNNNNNNNNNNNNNNNNNNNNNNNNNNNNNNNNNNNNNNNNNNNNNNNNNNNNNNNNNNNNNNNNNNNNNNNNNNNNNNNNNNNNNNNNNNNNNNNNNNNNNNNNNNNNNNNNNNNNNNNNNNNNNNNNNNNNNNNNNNNNNNNNNNNNNNNNNNNNNNNNNNNNNNNNNNNNNNNNNNNNNNNNNNNNNNNNNNNNNNNNNNNNNNNNNNNNNNNNNNNNNNNNNNNNNNNNNNNNNNNNNNNNNNNNNNNNNNNNNNNNNNNNNNNNNNNNNNNNNNNNNNNNNNNNNNNNNNNNNNNNNNNNNNNNNNNNNNNNNNNNNNNNNNNNNNNNNNNNNNNNNNNNNNNNNNNNNNNNNNNNNNNNNNNNNNNNNNNNNNNNNNNNNNNNNNNNNNNNNNNNNNNNNNNNNNNNNNNNNNNNNNNNNNNNNNNNNNNNNNNNNNNNNNNNNNNNNNNNNNNNNNNNNNNNNNNNNNNNNNNNNNNNNNNNNNNNNNNNNNNNNNNNNNNNNNNNNNNNNNNNNNNNNNNNNNNNNNNNNNNNNNNNNNNNNNNNNNNNNNNNNNNNNNNNNNNNNNNNNNNNNNNNNNNNNNNNNNNNNNNNNNNNNNNNNNNNNNNNNNNNNNNNNNNNNNNNNNNNNNNNNNNNNNNNNNNNNNNNNNNNNNNNNNNNNNNNNNNNNNNNNNNNNNNNNNNNNNNNNNNNNNNNNNNNNNNNNNNNNNNUGUAUUAGUUUUGUAAGAUAAAAGUUGUAUGGACAAUUGUGUUGUAUAAUUUGCGCAAUGAUAACUGGGAUAGGUCAUCUUCUCUCCCAAGUCUUGGAUGGAAUCUUUCCAAGUCUUCUGAGAACCCAUCAGCUCAGAUUAGUCCAUACAAUGUCAAGGGUCCUAUGAUAUGGUCUACUAACAGCCCAGUGUCGGUAAUAAAUCCAAUUGCAUAUAACCUAUUCAAAAUCAAUCCCCUAUAAACAAUCAUCUCUAAAAACUAUUCACAUAAAAUAAAAUUUUAAAAAUAUAAAAUAUCUAGUUGUUUUCAAUAUAUAAUUUUCCACAGUAGAUAACAAAAUAUCUUUAUCAAAUUGUUAUUUAUGGGUUCAAUAUUUAAGCUAUAAUUCCAAUAACACGGCAAGCAUGCAGCGUAUAAAUAGAAGUGUGCAGUAUGUUAUCAGAUUCAUAACCCAGUUGAUCAGGAGAAACAUGGCAUACUCUGCAAAGCCUUCUCACCUUCUUCUCUUUGUUUUCUUUCUCUCAUCACUUGAAUCCAUUCUUGCAACAACACGAGAAGGAGAAGCUCUUGUGAAAUGGAAGAAUAGCCUAGCCCCUUCUUCUUUUCUCGAUUCUUGGUCCCUCACCAAUCUCGAAAAUCUUUGUAACUGGACUGGCAUUACUUGUAACUCUGCAGGUUCAGUCUCUGAGAUUAAUCUCUGUGAGAAACAACUUAAUGGAAUGCUGUCCGAGUUUGGUUUCACUUCAUUUCCAAAUCUCAACUAUCUCACACUCGCAGACAACUUCUUCUCCGGUCCAAUACCACCAGCCAUUGAGAAUUUAACACAGCUUCAAUAUCUUGAUUUGAGAAAUAAUUAUCUAGAUGGUCCCAUUCCGUUCCAGGUUAGCCAUCUUCAGAGCUUGCUCAUAUUAAACCUGUCACAGAAUGCAUUGCAAGCUACAAAUUGGUCCAAUUUCUCUCCCAUGCCUUUUUUGCGCAUCCUCAACCUCAGUAGCAAUCAUCUUGUAUCGAAAUUCCCAGAAUUUAUAUCCAAUUCUCAUAGCUUGGCUAUCCUUGACCUUUCACAUAACAACUUUACAGGUGAUCUUGUGCGUGAAUUUACCAAUCUACAAAAUCUUGAAACCCUCUGGCUUUAUUGUAAUUCUUUUGAGGGGCCAUUUCCGCCGGAUAUAUUCAGGCUCUCCAAAUUAAAACGUCUCUCCCUGUCAAGUAACAAAUUUUCAGGUUCAGUUCCCAAUGACAUAAGGUUGCUUUGUGAUCUUGAAUCCUUAAACUUAAGCAACAAUUCUUUUGAAGGACCGCUUCCACCAAAUUUAUUCAAGCUUUCGAAAUUAAAGAGUCUUUUUCUUUGGAGUAAUAAGUUUUCAGGUUCUAUUUCCAAUGAUAUAGGUUUGCUUUCUGAGCUUGAAUUUCUCAAUCUUUACGAUAAUUUUUUUGAGGGGCCGCUUCCAUGCAUCAAAUAUAUUCAAGCUCUCCAAAUUAAGGGUUCUUUACCUUAACGGUAAUAAACUUCUAGGUUCUCUUUCCAAUGAUAUAGGUUUGCUUUCUGAGCUUGAAACCCUCAAUCUUCGCUCUAAUUUUUUUGAGGCUCCGUUUCCGUCAAAUAUAUUCAAGCUUUCCAAAUUAACAAUUCUUGACCUCGCAUACAAUAGAAAUUUAUUUGAAGGAAGUUUUCCUAUUGGACUGGGACUCUUGACUAACCUCAGCUACUUAGAUCUAACUUCCACUAAUCUCAGUGGCUCAUCUGCCAUUGGAAACCUCAAGCUACUACUAUAUCUUGGUCUCAGUUAUAAUCAAUUGACUGGACCGCUUUCAAACAUUGUUUCUAAUCUAACAAAUCUUAUAUUUCUUGGUGUGGAUCAUAAUAGUCUUAGUGGAAAUAUUCCGAGUGACUGGUGGAAAGCCUCUGUAUCCUUACUUUACAUUGAUCUUGGAUAUAAUUAUUUGUCUGGGAACAUUCCUAAGGAAUAUAAAGAUCAUCCAACUUUGGAAUACAUCGAUUUAAGUGGGAACCAUUUUACAGGUAUUUUUUUCUCUAUAUAUCUUUUCCUUUUGUCACAUGUAACUAAGCUAGUAAUCUGAUUAUUGCAGUUUUACCUAAGUUUUAACAAUCUUGACAGGUGAGCUUCCAACAACAAUUUGCAAUGCUACCUCCCUUUCGGUUCUUGCUUUGUCAAAUAAUGGAUUAAGUGGUGCACUUCCAAACUGUAUUGCGAAUCUUGCUGAUGGAUUGCUUUACAUUAAUCUUGCUAAUAAUCAGUUUCGAGGAGCAAUACCAACUACUUCAUCCAAAAGUUGUCAGCUGACCUAUCUCAACAUGGAUAAUAAUGAGUUUGAAGGAUUGCUGCCCCCAUCUUUGGCGAACUGUAAGCACUUGAAGAUUCUUGAUAUUGGCAAUAAUAAAAUAGGUGGUACAUUUCCUUCAUGGCUUUAUGCACUUGGAGAGCUAGAAGUCCUUGUCUUGCGAUCAAAUAAACUCUAUGGUCCAAUAAGUGGGAGGAGCAUAGAAAAUCCCUUCCCCAAGUUGCGGAUUUUGGAUCUGUCCAACAAUCAAUUCUCAGGCCAUUUGCCAAUUCAAUACUUCAAGAAUAUGAAAUCAACUGAUAAAUUGUAUCGCUAUCAGAAUGCCACAACAUUAACGGGUUUCCAAUAUGAUGCAUCAGUCCCAUUAACUGUGAAGGGAACAGAGUAUGAAGUGAAAAAUAUCCUUCAUAUUUACACAGCCAUUGAUCUGUCCUGCAACAAGUUUCAAGGAGAAAUUCCUGACGUUAUUGGAGAGCUUAGAUGGCUUGCAUUGCUGAACUUAUCUCAUAAUAGUCUAACAGGACCUAUCCCAUCAUUGCUGAGAAAUAUGAAAGAACUCCAAUCUUUAGAUUUGUCGUCAAAUCAACUGACAGGGGCUAUUCCACCUCAGUUAACUGCACUGACAUUUCUAGAGGUCUUCAACCUCUCGGGAAACCAUCUUAGUGGAGAGAUUCCUCAGAAAGGACAGUUCAGCACAUUUAACAAUGAUUCUUAUCUAGGAAACUCCGCGUUAUGUGGAUCACCAUUGACGAAGAAAUGUGCAAACACAGCAUCACCUCCACAAGAAGUCGGAAAUGUUGAUGAAGAUGAUGCGGGUGAUGAAUUGACAUGGGAAGCAAUCUUGAUGGGAUAUGGAUGUGGACUGAUAUGUGGAUUGUCAUCUGCUUACAUUGUUCUCAAACUAGGAAAGCCUUGGUGGUUUGUGAGAUAUAUCGAAGUGCUGCAACUGAAGUUGAUGAAAAGAUAUGCAUGAAGAAUGGUACUGGCCGAUCAAGACGAACUUGAAAGUUGUUGGACAUUUCUGAACCAGUAGUGUACUAUUCUCUUUGUGGCUGCAUAAGUUUUUGGUAUUGUGUAAUAUUCUGUUUGGUCUUGAAUUUCAGGGGUAUUAAUAUAAACCUUGGUAUUGUGUAAUAUUCUGUUUGAUCAAUGUUUAUAUCAAUAAUUUUAUGCUCCUCACUGCAUCAUGCAGCUCUCAUAUUAUCUUCAUAUGUGUAUUAUUUGGAUAUCAAAGUUGCAGGGACAUAUGGAUAUGUGUUAACAGGGACUGCUCGGUCUUGGACGGACUCUUUCCAAGUCCUCUGGGGUCCUAUCGGUUCAAAUUAGUCUAUUAUCUGCAUACUAAUUUGUCCAACUCGGGCUUGAAUAGUAAAGAUAAAGAGUGCGAGUUGAGUUUCUCAAAGUAUGAGUACAAUAUCGUUUUUGAAUGAUAGUUAGGGGUGCGAUAUGCAAUUACCUCAAAAAUAUAUGAUCAUUAGUAUAUUAUAUUAGUAUCCACACACUUAUAUCUCAAAAUCUAUCCUCCAAAAUUAUCAUCUCUAUAGGCUAGCCACAUAAAAUAAAAAUUUAAAGAUAUUAGAUUUUUAGUUAUUUUCAUUAUAUAAUUUUUCCACGCAAAAUAACAAAAUAUCUUUAUCAACUUAUUAUUUAUGAGUUAAAUAUUCAAGUUAUAUAAUUCGGACAUGCUGGGUAUAAAUUGAAGUGUAACGCCUAAUUUCCGGGGUCUGGGAGUAGUUGGCGGGGUAUGAGAGAGCAGGCUAUUUAGAAGUCUUGGUCAUGAAAACUUCCAAGCUAAACUUCGACAACGGAAUCUUCUGAGGCUACUAUUCUAAAGCACGCAUAAUCAUUGUAUCCAUUUUCCGACAAAAAGUCUAUUUAAGCAAAUGAAAUACAAACAACUGAGUGGAAUGCUGACCGAAAGUCUUUUUGACUAAGCUUAUGAUUUAUUAGUACAUGAUUAAUAUGAUAAGCUAAGCUGAGAGCAUAAGAUAUCGUGUGUAUAAUUUUGUGUUUAUUAAUGACUUAUAAAUUAUUAAAAAUAUAAUAAGAAAAAUAAAAAUGAUUUAUAACUAAUUUAUGUUUUAUGAGUAAUUUUUAUUAGAAAAAAGUUUUAAAAAAUUAUUUCACUGGAAAAAAAACCUCCAACUAACUUUUGGCUCUAAGUCAGUUUUUGAUUUAUUUAUGACUUUAUGUCGGAUUCUGAUUUUUACACAAAAAUCUGGUUUUAAACCUCUGAGUUUGGUUUCACUUCAUAUACAAACCUCAACAAUUUCACCAUCAAACACAAUGACUUCUCCAAUCUCCGGUCCAGUACCACCAGCCAUUGAGAAUUUGGCACAACUUCAAUUCCAUACCAGGUUAGUCGUCUUCGGAGAUUACACGUCUUAGACCUGUCAAAUACAAAUUUCAAUCUCCAAACUGGUCCGAUUUAUCUUCUAUGCUUUUUGUUGAGUCCGGCUCAUCUAAAGCCUUAAGAUGUUAGAGGAAGCACCCAAUGAAUCUUAUAUAUGCUAUAUUUUAACAAUUCUGAGCACACUCAACCUUGGUAUUAAUAAUAUUGUGUCGAAAAUUCCAGAAUUUAUAUCUAAUUCUCAUAGCCUAACUUUCCUUGACCUUUCCAUAUAACAAAUUUACAGUUAAUCCUGUGCUUGAAUCAGUAUUUGCAACCAAAAUUAUGCAAUUAUAGUGCAGGUAGUCUUCCAGUUUACGCUCUACACUCCAGGAUAAGCUCGCAUAUAAUUGACAGCUAUAAUCCUUCCAACACUUUGUGAUGCAAAGCAGAGGGAUAGGUUGGCUUAAAAAUAUAUAAGGUCACUUAUGCAUCGCUCUUCACACACUUAGACCCUGUUUGUGUGGGCUUUAAGUCCCGGCUCAAGCUAUUUCGACUUAAUCACUUCCGAGACCAAUACCAACAAGUUAAGAUAUCUAAAUAUGUAUGACAAUCAGUUAGAAGGACUAUUGCCGGGCAACAACCUUCUCAAAGAGUUGCCAGUUAAGAUAUCUAAACAUGUAUGACAAUCAGUUAGAACUUUAGAAGGACUAUUGCCCCCAUCUUUGUCAAACUGUAAGCACUUAAAAAUUCUUGACAUCGGGAACAAUAAAAUGGGUGGUACAUUCCCUUCAUGGCUAUUUAAUCUCGGAGAGCUAGAAGUCCUAGUCUUGCGAUCAAAUAGACUGUACGGUCCUGUAAGUGGAAGGAGCACAUCACAUCCAUUCCCCAAGUUGCGGAUUCUAGAUCUCUCCAACAAACAAUUCGCGGGCUAUUUGCCAAUUCUAAACUUUAAGAAUAUGAAACCAGCUGCUGAUGAUAACGCGUAUAGUUAUAAAAAUAAGUCACAAGGACUAAUUAAUUACAUCUAUGAAGCAUCUAUCUCCUUAAAUGUGAAAGGAACAGAGUAUGAAGUGAAGAACAUUCUUCAUAUUUACACAGCCAUUGAUCUAUCGUGCAACAAAUUUCACGGAGAAGUUCCAAAGAGAGCUUAAAUGGCUUGCAUUGCUCAAUCUAUCUCAUAAUAGUCUUGCCGGACAUAUGUUCUGAAUUAUUAUUAUGCUUUCAUCAAUAUUUUCAAACAUUUCUCAAUAUGUAUUUUCAAAGAAUUCUCAAGCCCUGGAACAUUUGGACCGGUUCUUUGGAAGCCAAGAUACCCAGGUUAUCAUGGCCAUGCACAAAAAUGAAUAAAUUAUUCCAAGUCUUCCAUGACUCAUUCCAAGUCUUCGGAGGAGACCCUGAGCACAAAGAUGCUCAGGGUCUCCCCAAGCCUUCCAGGACUCAUUCCAAGUCUUCGGAGCACGGUCUCGCCUCGCCCUUUCAAAGAUGUGAUAGUAGCUCGAGAGUGAUAUAAAUUAUUUUCCCGACACUAAAAAUAAAUAAUCAGAUCAAAUUAAUCAAUAAUGUAUUAAGGAUGAAAUCCAAAUUAAUCCUAAAUUUUGAUAAUAUAUAAAAAUUAUAAUUAUAAAUUAUAUACCAAAUCAGAAUUGAAUUAAUUCCUUGGCACUAAAAUUGAUAAAGAAAGUAUAAUAAUUUAAAUUUAAUUGAUGAAAAGUCAAAGUCUUCUAAUAAAUCCAUAAAGAAUAUGAUAAUCAAAAUAAUGAAAAUUAUAAUUGAAAAAUCAAAAUCAUUAGUGUAUUGGAAUAGUGUUCACACACUUGUAUAUCAAAAUUUGUGGUCCAAAAACUAUAGCACAAUAUCCUAAAUACACCACAUUAAAUAUUAGUUCAAAAAUAUUUAGUAAAUAAUUGUUUUCAUUCAUCAUUUUGUUAUUUAAAAAACUAAUAAUUUGGGUUGAUGUUAACCUAUAUUUUAAUAUAUAAUUAUAUUAUUUUCGUCUUAUUUAUUUAACUAGAAACAAUAUUUUUAUCAUACAUCAAUUAUAUUAAAAGAUAUAAUUUUAUUAAAAAAAUUGAAUUAUUAUUUAUGAAUUCCAGCAUGAAGCGUAUAAAUAGAAGUGUGCAGUUGAUCAGAUUUAUAACCCAGUUGAUCAGGAGAAACAUGGCAUACUCUGCAAAGACUUCUCACCUUCUUCUCUUUGUUUUCUUUCUCUCAUCACUUGAAUCCAUUCUUUCAACAAGACGAGAGGGAGAAGCUCUUGUGAAGUGGAAGAAUAGCCUAGCCCCUUCUUCUUUUCUCGACUCUUGGUCACUCACCAAUCUCGAAAAUCUUUGUAACUGGACUGGCAUUACUUGUAACUCUGCAGGUUCAGUCUCUGAGAUUAACCUUUGUGAGAAACAACUUGAUGGAAUGCUGUCCGAGUUUGGUUUCACUUCAUUUCCAAAUCUAAACAGUCUCACCCUCGCAGACAACUUCUUCUCGGGUCCAAUACCACCAGCCAUUCAGAACUUAACAAGGCUUCAAUACCUUGAUUUAAGCUUGAAUUAUCUCAAUGGUACCAUGCCUUUCUUGCGCAUCCUCAACCUCAGUAGCAAUCCUCUUGCGUCGAAAUUCCCAGAUUUUAUAUCCAGUUCUCAAAGCCUGACUCACCUUGACCUUUCAUAUAACAUGUUUACCGGUGAUCUAGCAUGUGAACCAUUAUUUGCCAACCUGCAUAAUCUUGAAGUCCUCAGUCUCGUUGAAAAUUCUUUUGAGGGGCCAUUUCCACCGGAUAUAUUCAGGCUUUCCAAAUUAAAACAUCUUAGCCUGUCAGUUAACAAACUUUCAGGUUCAAUUCCCAAUGACAUAAGGUUGCUUUGUGAUCUUGAAUACCUAUAUUUAGCCAACAAUUCCUUUGAAGGACCACUUCCACCAAAUAUAUUCAAGCUUUCAAAAUUAAAACAUCUUGUUCUUUGGGGUAAUAAGUUUUCAGGUUCUGUUUCCAAUGAUAUAGGUUUGCUUUCGGCGCUUGAAGCCCUCGAUCUUUAUUCUAAUUUUUUUGAGGGGCCGCUUCCACCAAAUAUAUUCAAGCUCUCAAAACUAAGGAUUCUUUCCCUUGGGAACAAUAACUUUUCAGGUUCUGUCUCUAAUAAUAUAGGUUUGCUUCCUGAGCUUGAAACCCUAUGUCUUGACUCUAAUUUGUUUGAGGGGCCGCUUCCCCCACAUAUAUUCACGCUCUCUAAAUUAAGAUAUCUAGACCUCUCAAACAAUAGAAAUUUAUUUGAAAGAAGUAUUCCUAUUGGAUUGGGACUCUUGACUAACCUCAGGUACUUAGAUCUAUAUUCCAGUAAUCUCAGCGGCUAUAUUCCAUCUGACAUUGGAAACCUGAAGCUACUAGUAGGUCUUAAUCUCGGUUCUAAUAAAUUGACUGGACCAGUUUCAAAGAUCGUUUCUAAUCUCACAAAUCUUAUAUUUCUUAGUGUAAGAAAUAAUAGUCUUAGUGGAAAUAUUCAGAGUGACUUGUGGAACUUCCCUAAGGAAUAUAACAAUCAUCCAACUUUGGAAUACAUCGAUUUAAGUGGGAACCAUUUUACAGGUAUCUUUUCUCUAUAUAUCUUUUCCUUUUCUCAUAUGUAACUAAGCUAGUAAUCUGAUUAUUGCAGUUUUACCAAAGUUUCAACAAUCUUGACAGGUGAGCUUCCAACAACAAUUUGCAAUGUCACUUCCCUUUCGGUUCUUGAUUUGUCAAAUAAUGGAUUAAGUGGUGCACUUCCAAACUGUUUCGGGAAUCUUGCUGAUGGAUUGCUUUACCUUAAUCUUGCUAAUAAUCAGUUUCGAGGAACAAUACCAACUACUUUCUCCAGGAGUUGUCGGCUGAAAUAUCUAAACAUGGAUAAUAAUGAGUUUGAAGGAUUGAUGCCCCCAUCUUUGGCGAACUGUAAGAACUUGAGAAUUCUUGAUAUUGGCAACAAUAAAAUAGGUGGUACAUUUCCGUCAUGGCUUUAUGCACUUGGAGAGCUAGAAGUCCUUGUCUUGCGAUCAAAUAAACUCUAUGGUACAAUAAGUGGAAGGAGCAUAGAAGAUCCCUUCCCCAAGUUGCGGAUUGUGGAUCUGUCCAACAAUCAAUUCACAGGCCAUUUGCCAAUUCAAUACUUUAAGAAUAUGAAAUCAACUGAUAAUUUGUAUCGUUAUCAGAAUGACACAGGAGAUUUUAUUUUCCAUUAUGAAGCAUCUGUCUCAUUAACUGUGAAGGGAACAGAGUAUGAAGUGAAAAAUAUCCUUCAUAUUUACACAGCCAUUGAUCUGUCGUGCAACAAAUUUCAGGGAGAAAUUCCAAAGGUUACUGGAGAGCUUAGAUGGCUUGCAUUGCUCAACUUAUCUCAUAAUAGUCUUACUGGACCUCUCCCAUCACUGCUUGGAAAUAUGGAAGCACUCCAAUCUUUAGAUUUGUCUUCAAAUCAACUGACAGGGGCUAUUCCACCUCAGUUAACCGCAUUGACAUUUCUAGAAGUCUUAAACCUCUCGAGAAACCAUCUUAGUGGAGAGAUUCCUGAGAAAGGACAGUUCAGCACAUUCAACAAUGACUCUUAUCUAGAAAACUCUGCGUUAUGUGGAUCACCCUUGACGAAGAAAUGUGUAAACACUGCAUCACCCCCACAGGAAGUCGGAAAUGGUGAUGAAGAUGAUGCUGGUGAUGAGUUGACAUGGGAAGCAAUCGUGAUGGGAUAUGGAUGUGGACUGAUAUGUGGAUUGUCAUCUGCAUACAUUGUUCUCAAACUAGGAAGGCCUUGGUGGUUUGUGAGAUAUGUCGAAGUACUGCAACUGAAGUUGAUGAAAAGAUAUGCAUGAAGAAAGGUACUGGUCGAUCAAGACAAACUUGAAAGUUGUUGUCCUGGUAGACAUUUCUGAACCAGUAGUGUACUAGCUGCAUAAGUAUUUGGUAUUAUGUAAUAAUCCAUUUGGUCGGGACUCAUAAUGAUUUCUCUUGCUUCAGGGGUAUUAAUAUUAACCUUGCUAUCUUGAUCUGUGUUAAUGCAAAUGAAAAAGAAUGGAAAAACAAAAAAAUUGCAUCAAACCUGUUGUACCAAGAUCCAUUAAUCUGCUUUCAUCUCUUACGCAACAAUUUAACAGCACUUUCACACUGUUUGAAUGAUUAUCAUAAAUUCGAGUUUUCCUCGCCAGCACCAAAUCCAAAUAUACAAUCCCACACAUUCCAGUCUCAGCUUCAGCUCCCAGGCUAGCAUUGAUUUAGCCAAGCACGACAGUGGCCGCUUGUGUGCCUAACAAUGACAGUUGGGGAUUUGAUGGAACGUGCCUUGGUCCUGCCUUCAAAUGUCUAACAAUAACAGUUGGAUAUGUCGACAAAAAAAUUGUUCCUCACACUGAGGAAUAACUCUGACAGUUCUUUUCAUUGUGCCUUGGUCCAGUAAGUGGAAGGAGCACAUCACAUCCAUUCCCCAAGUUGCGGAUUCUAGAUCUCUCCAACAACCAAUUCACGGGCUAUUUGCCAAUUCAAUACUUUAAGAAUAUAUGAAACCAGCUGCUGAUAAAGCGUAUAGUUAUCAAAAUAAGUCACAAGGACUAAUUAAUUACAUAUAUGAAGCCUCUAUCUCCUUAAAUGUGAAAGGAACAGAGUAUGAAGUGAAAAACAUCUCUUUAUAUUAUAGCUCCUGAUGCGUGAUUUGUACAGUUACCACACUGCUUAAUUCUUCACCUCAAAGUUCCACCUUAUUACAAAAAUGCCACCGCUCUAUUAAGCGGCACCCACGUAAGCUCAUUGCCACCACGUGCUAUCUUCCUGCUGUCUUUUGUUUAUUUUAUUCACUAAACCGUACUUACCCGAAGCUUAUGUAACAAGCUUACAUUCUUUACAUUUUACUCAUUUCAAAAUUUAAAACCCAGCCUCCACGGCUCCCUUACAAAAGUAACCGGUUUGAACGUAAAGUUUUCAAAACUAACCAGCCUACGUUCAACUUUUCAAAACUAACCAGCCUAAAUCAAAAAAAGUCGGGCGACCCUUACCUGUUUUUUUCCCGAGCACCGGUCGCCCUCCUCAGGGGCGUCCCCCAUUGGAGUUCAUCAAGCACAGGUCGCCCUCCUCAGGGGCGUCCCCCCUUGAAGUUCUGUGACGUGGUCCGCCCAAUCACGGGCGACCACGUGUGACACUACCCCCUUAAAACCCCCUCCCAGCCACACAAACACACAAUUACACACACAUUUGCACACACUCAGUUUGAAAACAACACUGCAGCAGCCACAGCAAGGAGCCGAAAGGGGAGAUUUUGGUAAAGGAAGGAAGAAAAGUGGGAGAGGAUCGCCCGAGCUAGCAUCAAGGUCGCCCACCCUAGCAAAAAAUUUGAAGGUACUACCUUAUUCCUCCCCUAAAUAUUAGUAUAUAAAGCCUUGAUUUGUAAUUUAUUACUUGAUUAGUUUGUCUUGCAUGUUACAAAUAUCGAUUAUGUUCAUGAUUAUGGCUAAUUUAUAGACUAGUGUUAUAAUUACCGGCUUGAGAUUAGUGUUAUAAUUACCGGAUUGAGAUUUGGUACAUUAUGAUUUUUAAAUUUGUUAAAAAAUUUAAAGAUUUAUAAUAGAAAUUAAGGAUAAUUUAUAGAUUUGAUAUGUUGGAAUUUAAGAUUUUAUGCUUUUUAGAUUUUGUAGGUAGUAAUUAAAUUUAGUUGGAGAGAAAAAAUAUAAUAUAAUAUUCGAAUUAAAAAGAUAUUGAGAAUAUAAUAUUCGAAUUAAAAAAUAUUCGAAUUAAAAUAUAUUAAAAUAUAAUAUUCGAAUUAAAAAUAUAAUAUAAUAUUCGAAUUAAAAUAUAAUAUAAUAUAUAUUCGAAUUAAAAAAUAUUCGAAUUAAAAUAUAUUAAAAUAUAAUAUUCAAAUUAAAAAUAUAAUAUAAUAUUCGAAUUAAAAUAUAAUAUAAUAUAUAUUCGAAUUAAAAAAUAUUCGAAUUAAAAUAUAUUAAAAUAUAAUAUUCGAAUUAAAAAAUAAUAUAAAAUAUAUUGAGAAUUAAAAAAAUUAGAAAGCAAAUAAAAUAUUCGGAUAAAAAAGAUAUUAAUAGCUAAUAUUAAAAAAAAUCGAUUUAUAAUAAUAAAAAUUCGAAAAAAAGCAAAAUAAUCGAAUUAAAAUAAAAUUUUCGAACAUAUAUUAAUAAAAAUCUUAAUUAUAUUAAUAUAUAAUUCGAAUAUAUGAAAUUUCGAGAAUUAGAAUAUUUAUGAAAUUAAGAGAAUUAAAAUAAAUAGGAAAUUCGAACAAAAAUUAAUUUAAGGUACGCUCUCGAUUCUCUCUAAAUUAAUGUGUAUAUAUAUAUAAUGACUUGAUUUGGAUUAUUGUUGUUUUAUUAGCUUGAGUUGCAUGUUAUAAGAUCGGUUAGUUUAUUGAUUGUGGCUUGAGAUUUGUUAUAAUUGAAAUUAAGGCUAAUUUAUAGAUUUGAUAUGUUGGAAUUAAGGCUAAUUGAAAUUAAGGCUAAUUUAUAGAUUUGAUAUGUUGGAAUUAAGGCUAAUUGAAAUUAAGGCUAAUUUAUAGAUUUGAUAUGUUGGAAUUUAAGAUUUUGUGCAUGUUAGAUUUUGUAGGUAGUAAUUUAAUUUAGUUAGAAACAAAAGCUUUGAAUUCGAAUUACAAAUAUUAUGUUGGAAUGAGAUUUUGUAUAUAUACAAAAGCUUUGAAUUCGAAUUAUAAAUAUAUUUGAAAAUUGUUGGCGCAGAUGGAUCCUGCAGCUUAUCAUCCCGGGCCGGUUAACGGCACUUUGUUGACAUUGCAGGACACGCAUAGGUCCACUUUUGUGUGGAACAGUAGUACGGUAAUGACUUGAUGGACUGUUGUUUAUUAAAGUUAAUGUUUGCUUCACUAUAAACUGCUGACAAGUUCCUGUAUUUUAAAUUGCAGGACAUUCCUGAUCUUAGAGUCAGGACGAACUUCGGUGAGUACUGGAAUGUAGUUGACCAAACCAGGCCGCCUCAGACGAUAAUAGAUGCUAUUAAUGAUGCGGGCUUUGAGUGGGUGUUCAGGUUGGGUCAGGUCAAGCAUGACAGGGGCUUGAUCACUGCUUUUAUCGAGAGGUGGCGUCCAGAGACGCACACUUUUCAUCUACCUUUCGGGGAGGCCACCAUUACACUGGAGGAUGUCCAUCACAUUCUCGGGUUACGAACCACUGGCCGGCCAUUUAUUCUACAUGGCUUCACCACCACAGCUCGCGAGAGAUUGGCCAUGAUACGCGAUGUUCUUGGAGUGACUCCUAAGCCGGCUGAUGUGAGGAAGAACGGCUUGAGGAUCGGUUGGUUGAUUGAAAAAUUUGGCGACUGUGCCCGGUUGGACGAGGCAGCGGAGGAUUUUGAUGCACAGACUAUCUUUCACAUCAGGGCACACCUACUGUGUGUUAUUGGAUCGUUGUUUCCUGAUAGCAGCGGGAACUAUGUGAAUCUCAACCUCCUUUGGAUGCUACGUGACUUGCAGAGCGUGGAUGGUUAUAGCUGGGGGAGUGCUGUUCUUGCAUACCUUUAUAGGAAGAUGUGCGAUUCCACCCAUAAAGUCACAACCGGCUUCAUUGGCUACGCCACCACUACGCCAUAUAUGAUCUAUCGCAAUGGUAUGAACGCGAGUGUUGCAAAAUUAUGUUGCAAUAGAGACACUGAUCCAUAUCUACCGCAACGAUAACCAUUCAUGUCAAUUAUAUGUUGCAAUAGCAAACAUUAUGUGUUGCAGCUUGUAAUAUACUUGUAAAAGUGUUAGCUUAAAGUAUUAUAAUAUUAUUUUAACAUUAAAUAAUAAUUUAAAUUAUUUUAACAAUAUUUUAAAGUGAUAUGCAAAUUAAAUAAAUAAGAUACGCGAUGAUAUGCAAAUUUUAUUCAUAAUAAUUAAAAAAAUUAAAAUAGGAAUUUUAAAAGUAAUUAAUUUUUUUAAAAGCAAUGAAAAGUAAAAAUAAUUAAAUUCCCCUUGUUUUGAUAUCAGAACUGAUAUAUAAGUUUCAAAAAUAAAAAUAUAGAUAUACGAAUUAUAAGUAGUAAUAAAUACAUAUAAUGAAUUUUGUUCCUAAAAUAAUUACAUGAAUUUUAUUUGUUAAAAUAAUAAAGUAUAGGUGCAGACGUGCAGUACAUUAUUUGACUUUAUUGAACUGGGCAAAUAUCGAGCUCAAAGCGGGUAAAAAUUAGGCUUACAGCCGCCCAAAUUUUCAGCCAAGUUUGAAAUUUUCACACAUACACUAUACACGCUCGAGUCUCCUUGAAUACCCUCAACACUCACUACACUCUCUCCCUCGCUCAACUCUCUCUCCCUUCUCUACUCUCUCUCUCUUGUUAAUCUCUCUGAAGCUAAUCUCUCUCUGGCCACCAUUUUCACUCAAUCUCGCCAUCACUUUUAAUUAACUUGGAUUUGCAUUUAUAGUUGGAGCACAGUUGAUUUGUGGGUCGAGGUUCCAAUUCUUCAAUUAGGGUUUUGGCUUUUCAAUCAGGGUUUUGGUUCUUCAUUAAACUUCAAUUAGGGUUCAAUUACUUACAUAUAAUCUCUUAAACUUCAUCUGAUAUCUCUUUCUCUUUGAUUUCAGGUGUUCUUAGUUUGGGUUUGCACUCCAAGACUUUAUUAUAAGGUAUUUUUGAAUUUAGGGCUUCAUGUUAUGAGUUUAUUUGCAUUUAGUGUUCUUUGUUUUUAUGUUUAUUUGGUUUAUUAUCUUUAUCUAGUUUAUUUCCUUUGAUUUUUUGUUUUUUUUUUCAUUUGUUUUGUGAAAUUGCAAUACUCUGUUUUUGUGUUAAUUUUUUUGUUGCUUAAAAGUGUUCAACAACAAUAUUCUUCUUAAUUAUAAAAGAUCUAUCACGAGGAAGAGGUCCCUGUUUUGUAUAAUAUCUUGUAUGUCUUUUCUUUUCUGUAUAUUAUUAAGCUACCUUGGGGCAUCCUUUUUCUAGACCAGAUUUCGUGCGCAAUCUUUAGUAAAGAGCAAAUAUUCCGAUUCUUUUGCAUUUGUCUCAAUGUCAGUGCUUUGCAUAUAUGGAUAUAUUUUACAUGAAAAUGGUGCUUUUGUUGUUGGCCUGCUUAAUGUUCAAGACAUGUAGUCAACUCAGUUUAGUGUGACAAUAAGACUUUCUCAUUUCAUUAUGAUUCUCACAUAUUUUAUGCUCGUCACAGUACAACACAGUUUUGUAUUUGGUGUGAGUGAGCAGUAAAGAAUUCUAUGGAAGAUGCUAGUGACUACCGGUGGUAUAUAACCAGGUAAAAAUAAUGCUCAGUUGAUAAUCCUUAUAAGGGAGGCUCUUACUAUUUCUUCCUCUUUAACAUUGAGUUGUUUUAAUGUACAUACUAGCUGGUUGCUCAAGUGUUCUAUCAUUAUAAUGUAUACAUUGGAUACAAUAUUUGUUCAAUGAGGUAUCUAACUAGCUUGCUGAUGGCCGGGGACUAUAGAUUUAUUCAUUGCUAAUUGGUUAUAUUCGUUGUACCUGUUAUGCCUCAAUCAUAAUGGCAUAGUGACAAUAAAAGGAAAACGAAUUAUAAAUAUUUCACAUAGCAUGCUCUAGUUAUCUACAACUAUUGUUUUGGACUUCUGGUUUGGCAUUUAUAAUAAGUUGGCAUAUGUCUUUGAAUUCAUAUAGUUUGUAGCAUGACCUAAUUGGCACAAGUCAUCCUCUGCCAUGUCUUAUAUCUUUAGUUAGUAAGAAUUAAUAUUUCCCAUGUUUCAGCCACUAUACAAAUAUUGAUCAUGGACGAAGUUCUUACCCUGUUUAGUAUUAAUUUCAUUAUCUGCUGCAACUUUAUUGUGUUAUCUGUGCACUGCCCAACUAAGUACACAUAAUUUGAGUUUAAAAUAAAGCAUGCUUCUUUACUGGAGCUCAGCUUAGUAGUUGCAUUGUAUUGUUGCAGGAGAAGCUUAAGCCGUUAAUGGAUCAACUUAACAAAGUCAAAGACUUGACUGUUCCAGAAUUUGGAAAUUUCCGAACUUGAGAAGUGCGAGCAAAUGCAAGAAUAUGUUUAUAUAUAAUAGUGUAGUGUAGUGGGAUGUUUGGUUGGAUUCGUUUAAUACUUUGAUUUGGUUGGAUUUGUUAGGUAGUUUUGUUUGGUUGGAUUUGUUAUAAACUUUGAUUUGUAUGAAAGAAUAGUUUAAUGUUUCAGUGGAUAUAGUGAAAUAUUGCAAAGUUGUUAAUUUAGUCUUGCAUUAGCACAUAUAUGUUGUAGUAGCUAAUAUAUAUAUGUUUCAAUUUAUAACAAAAAAUGUUGCAAACAUGCAACUGAAAAACAGGUGUCCAAACAUAGGACCCACAUGUGUGACCCACGUGUGGGUCCCACUUUUUUUGAAAUCAGGAGGUCUAACGUAACAUAAUAUAUUUGUUGCUAUAGGGUAGUCAGAUGUUGCAAUAUCACGUCUAUUGUAACAUAAAAAGCCGUGUUGCAGUAGGUUACCCAAAUGUUGCAAUAGAAGCCUAGGGCAACAUGAAAAAAUGCAACUUAAAUUUUAUGUUGCAAUAGCCCUUUUUCGGGCUAUGGCAACAUAUUUUGGGGUUAUGGCAUCAUUUUUUUGAUGUUGUCNNNNNNNNNNNNNNNNNNNNNNNNNNNNNNNNNNNNNNNNNNNNNNNNNNNNNNNNNNNNNNNNNNNNNNNNNNNNNNNNNNNNNNNNNNNNNNNNNNNNNNNNNNNNNNNNNNNNNNNNNNNNNNNNNNNNNNNNNNNNNNNNNNNNNNNNNNNNNNNNNNNNNNNNNNNNNNNNNNNNNNNNNNNNNNNNNNNNNNNNNNNNNNNNNNNNNNNNNNNNNNNNNNNNNNNNNNNNNNNNNNNNNNNNNNNNNNNNNNNNNNNNNNNNNNNNNNNNNNNNNNNNNNNNNNNNNNNNNNNNNNNNNNNNNNNNNNNNNNNNNNNNNNNNNNNNNNNNNNNNNNNNNNNNNNNNNNNNNNNNNNNNNNNNNNNNNNNNNNNNNNNNNNNNNNNNNNNNNNNNNNNNNNNNNNNNNNNNNNNNNNNNNNNNNNNNNNNNNNNNNNNNNNNNNNNNNNNNNNNNNNNNNNNNNNNNNNNNNNNNNNNNNNNNNNNNNNNNNNNNNNNNNNNNNNNNNNNNNNNNNNNNNNNNNNNNNNNNNNNNNNNNNNNNNNNNNNNNNNNNNNNNNNNNNNNNNNNNNNNNNNNNNNNNNNNNNNNNNNNNNNNNNNNNNNNNNNNNNNNNNNNNNNNNNNNNNNNNNNNNNNNNNNNNNNNNNNNNNNNNNNNNNNNNNNNNNNNNNNNNNNNNNNNNNNNNNNNNNNNNNNNNNNNNNNNNNNNNNNNNNNNNNNGCUUAUCCUCGUAUGUAGUUUGUUUAUGGUUAUGUACCUGACCAUGUACUCGUACAUUUUUAUUUCUUGAUCUGAUUAUGUACUCUUAGUCUAGUAGAUCGGUUGUUACGUUAUUAUGCAGUUCUUGUGCAUUCUUAUGUCAUAAUGUUUUAUAAUGAUUCAAGCAUUGAAAUUCAUAUGGACAAUAAAGGAAACCUAACAUAACAUAAUAAACGACAGAACACUAAAACACAUACACAUGUUGAUCUUUCUCGAAACCAGUAAAACUGACUUUAUUUUGACUAAACUUUACAUAUAUCAAAUAACUGAAAAAAAUAAUAUAAAAUUUGAAUUACUUGAACAACAAAAGUUGAGACAUUACAUAUAAGAUACAAUACAUAUAGUAAUGGGGGUGAUCUUUUGGAGAAAAUACCUAACUCAAAGGGAUUUCUUCAAAUAAUUUGAGAUGGGUCAGAGCUUCAAGAAUCUGUGUACUCUGCUUUUACAAGUACAAAGUGGGAAAAAGUGAGACAUAAAUAAAAUGUAGUGAAGUAUUUGAGAUGGGAGAAAGUAAAACUAACUUAAUUUCAUAUUAAUAUUGUGAAGAUAUUAGCAUAGAAUGAUAAAUAUACAUUUCUACUACCCAUUUAUAAAAGAAAUAUUAUAAAAUAUAAAACUCUACGCUUUAAAUUUAAAUUGUUUUAAGUUGUUUUCUAUUAAAUUAUUUUCCCCACAGGGGAAAAUAAUAUUAAAUUGUUUUAAUAUUAUUGUUUUAUUAUUAUUUGAUUAUUAAAUUAACGAGUACAUAAUUUGUAAAGUUUAGUGCUAAGAUAUAUAUAUUAUUUAAUUUUAUUAAUUAUAUUAAUUUCACAAAACAAUUAAAAUUUGAUUUUAAAUAAAAUAUUAAAUAUAUAAUACAAUAAUAUUAAAUGGCGUAUAAUCAGUGUUACAGAAAUCGGGAAUCGGACCUAAUCGGUUGAGCUACCGAUUCAGGGAUUAAUCGGAAAUCGGAGAUUAAUCGGACUGAAAAUCGGAUUUAUUUUAAUAUUAAAAUAUUAUUUAUUAUUUAGUUAUUAUUAUAUUAGGUAUCUAGUAACUAAUAUAUUUACUAUAUUCAUAAACUCUAUAAUUAUUCAUAUUUAAAGUAAUAUAGUAUUUUAAUUCUAAUAAUUUAUCACAUAUACUUCUAUUAGAAAAUAUGUUAUAAGGAUUAAUCGGAUUUUAAAAAUCGAAUCGGUGGCCGACCUUGCAGGAGAUUAAUCGAGGAUUAAUCAGUUAAAUCGGGGAUUUUUAGAACAUUCGGCGUAUUAUAAUACAAUUAUAUCAAAAUUUAAAAAAAAAUCAGUACCUCAGUUUGGGUAUCGGUCAGCCACCUAGGACAAGUGAAUGAGUGAAACCGCUACAAAAAAUGUAGUAGUAUGGGUCGCCCCUGUCAAGGGCGAUCCUAACUGUAUUUUGUAACAGUAUGGGUCGCCCCUGACGAGGGCGACCUGAACGGGGAAAAACUUCAGCUUGGGUCGCCCGACUUUUUUUGAUUUAGGCUGGUUAGUUUUGAAAAGUUGAACGUAGGCUGGUUAGUUUUGAAAACUUUACGUUCGAACUGGUUACUUUUGUAAGGGAGCCCAGCCUCCACCAUUGCAGCUCUGAGCAGCCAUGAACCAGGUUAUACUCCAGUCUCCUUUUCUCCCCCGCGUGUGUAAGUCUGUACUGCAGCCCACAUUUUCAACACGCUUCUGUCCUAAGCUUCGCAAGAAAUAUCUUUUUUUUGAAAUUCAAAAAAUUUGCGCACCAUAUCAUCGUCCAGCCAAACCACCAUCGGCGAAUCAGCAAAUAUACAUAUCAGAUCUAAUAUACACCAAUCUGAGCUUUGAUGACUGAGGUUUGAUUUGUGUUUUAUUUAAUAAAAUGAUAAAAUGAUGUCUUCUUUCAUGAUCAUGCGAUUAAUCGAUUGUAACUUUAAGGGAGAUGGAACAAGCAAUUCACGACGUCUAUUUACCUCCGAAGACAUGAUUAGUGGUAUGGUUACAUAAAUUUAACUUCUCUAUUUUUCUACCAUGUGUGGCCUAAUUGUUUCAUCUCUUGCUUUGUAGGUUAUCAGUCCAAAAAGCGGAGGAAAAGGGGCUACACAAUUAAGAGAUGAAACAGUAUUGAGCAUGUGAGCUUUAAAACUUGAUGAUUAAAUUUUUCAUAUUAUAUUUGUUCUGUAUUUAGAAAUUUGUGGAGGAUGUGUUUGAUAAUAUGUCUGAGAGAAGAAGUUAAUAAAUUUAUCGUGUUGAGGAUGUGUUUGAUGAUAUGUCCGAGUGAAAAAAUUAAUAAAUUUAUUUUCAAAAUGUUGCGAACAAAUUGUAAUUUAUAUCUAGCAGCUUCAAAUAAUUUUUUUUAGAGCAAAAAGAAUCGCAAUUGCAUGUGAAGAGAUGCACCUCCCUGAUAUUAGACUUUUAGUGUAAUUGCAUGUGUAACUAAACCGCUUGACUAUAAUGUUGGUGUAGAGUACGGAGCUUUAAUUUAUGAUGUUCUCCUCAAUCUGUCCAAAUUAUAGCUGAUCGUGGGAAUCAACUUUAGGGUAAGCUCUGCUCUGAAACUCAUUUUCUUAUAUUGGAACUUGGUUAUUUCUUAAAUGAAACGACUUUGACGUUUUCACCGAGUAGUCAUAGAUGCGUGAGUUGUACAAUAGUAAAAGAAAAAUAAAUUACAUAAAGACUGUCUGAGGUAAAAUAGUAUACAAGCUGCAAUUUUAUAUUUGGUACAUUGACGUAAAAAGUUAUUGUUAUGUUCAGGGGGAGGUGCUGAGAAAUGACAUGAUUAUAUCAUACGAGCGGCGACAAACUACUGAAGUUGCAAAAGAAAUGAUCUUAAAGAAAGCAGAGAAAGUGGGGGAGUUUUUUCAAGAAAAGAAUUUAAAGAGGAGAUGAGAUGCCAGAGUAUUACGCGCUAUUGCCGAAACAGGAUUAAAAACUAUAUUGGGUAUCUCUUCUUGAUCUCUUGAUUAAUUCCACUAGGAAGCUUCAAUAUUAUAUAGGAAGUUUUCUUUUUAAGCUUAAUUUUGAAUUUGAAUCCUCAAACUAUAACUACUGUAUAUCUCUUUAUAUUAUAGCUCCUGACGCCGGGAACUUCCCCUUCUACAACCAGCCCAACUGUACAUAACAGUUGCUUGCUUAUGAAUUUCAAAUUUAUAUUAUAAUGUUUAUAUGUAAUAUUGAAUCAAAGUUGCUUGCUUGCUUAUGUAAUAUUGAAUAUCUACUGUUGGAUGAUUGUUAACUGCUGUGUUACCAAGUGUUUGAUUAAAUUCCUACAAGUUUUGUUUGAAUUUUGUUCUUUAUUUAUCAUUAGUAUGUUUCAUUUUUAUGUUUGACUCUAUGCUAAUCGCUGAUAAGAUUUCUAUGAUUAUAGGAGAUGAGUGUUCUUAUGGCAUGAAUGAUAUUGGAAAAGUGAAAUGUGUUGAUGCUUUGUGUAAAUAAAUCAUGAUCUGCCGUUAUAGUUUUCUGUUUGUUUUCAAUUUGUGUGUACCUAGGUGGUUGUUACUGAGCAUUGAUCAACUGUGUUAAUUAAUUUAUUAAAAUGGAGUUGAGUCUGAGAACUAAAGGGCAAUUAUAUACUUCUUUAGGCUUUCCUUAACAUGUUUUUAUUCAUUAAAAAAAAUCGAUGAGUUUUUAUAAAUAUAUAUACUCUGUUAUUUUCUCUGUACCUAAUUAAAAGGAUUUUAAUUCGAAUUAUAGGUGUUUGUCAUGUGAAUAUUAUCUAAAAGAUAAUGGGGCCGUUUGGGUUAGCUUAAAAGAAGUGACUUUUUGCUUAUAGUAAAGAAGUGGAGUAGAAGUGAGAAGUAAAUAAGUUAAUAAAGUGUUUGGAAAAGAAGCAGAAGCUGUGAGAGAGAAGCUAGCAUUCUCAGCUUCUUAAAAGUGCUUCAACUUCUUUACACAAACAGGUCAAGAGAAGCAGAAGCCAGAAGCAGCUUCUGCUUCUCUUGGCCAAACAGGCCCAAUAUCUUUAAGGUCUCUUGCAUUGGUCAUUUAAUGUGUUAAUUAAAAGUUUACAUUUAAAUUUUUUGAUCUAAUAAUUUUGGAUAGAUGGUUUGUGAGGUUAAUGAAUGAACUAAUAUGGAAUGAUAAAAUGUAGGAGGUCUGGAAAGAUGGGUUUCAAUGCAGGUUUAUUGCUACUUUCCUUCAGGUCUGCAUUGCUUUGGUCUGUCUUCAGGACUGAGACUGUGAUUGGUUUCGGAACAGACACAAGUAUAUAUAUGGACCAAUGCAAAGCACCUGAUUAUCAUACUUUAGGCUUUUGCUCUGCUUUCUAUGGUAAAAAAAAGUGACAUUACUUCGAAUCUGAUACAGUUUAUCCAAGAGCUUGCUUCAAUAUUAAGAAUGCAAUACGUGUUGCAGAUAAAAUUUUGACCAGCAACAUUGGGGCACCCAACCCAAAUCUAGCAACAUUGGCCGUGGAGCUUUAAAUAUCUCCGUAAGAUUCUUUUCCCUCGCAGGCAGGCAUCUUUUUCUGCGAAAAAUAUACAAGAAAAAAGGACUAAUUUGUUUAAUUGAAAAUAAAUUUCGGAUGAGUUGGAUUAAGAAUCAAAUGGAGAGUCCUGUUUUGGUUUCAUUUUGAUGGAGAGGUUGCUUAGGUCCUGUUUUGAUCGAAAGGUUGAAAAAAUAUUUGGUAUUUUUUGGUCUCAUUUUGGUUUGUUUCGUUCCUUCACAGGUGUGCAACAAGUGAUGAUAGUAUUUAAACAUGAUUAGCAAACUGCCCAGCAAUCCAUGCAUGGCAAGGGGAAUGCACAGCUUAAUGAUUUCAGUCUCCGUACCAUCCAAGUGCAACAAAAAUCAAUUAUCUUGUGAUGUCUAGGAUUCUACAAAAGUAAGAAGCCUUCAUUCAUCUUCAUUCAUCCCCUGUUACUAGAAAAGCAUUGGUAGCCUAUAAGCAGGUACACUAAGUAGCUCACCUAAUUUUUGCAUUUCAGUAUCAACGGAAAGUGGUGCAGGACUCCACUUUAUAAUUAAAUUAUGUGUCUAAAUUAUGCGUGUUGUAAUGUUUAGUGACCAUGUUCCAGACCCGACAUGUCCUUACUUGGCAGAUCAAGUUAUCCAAGAUUUGGGAAGGAGUUUCGCCUUUGAGAUCUCCAACAAGUAAGAAGAAAUAAUGUCAAGGAAUGAACUAAUGUAAAAUGAUAAGAAGAUGAAGGUAUAAAACAAUGAUUAUAAUGUAGGCUUCUUCGUAAUGUAAUGAACAAAAUAAUGGAGUAACUAUAACUAUUCUUGCUGCAAGCCUGUGUUUGUUUAAUGCUAUCUGGCAGUAGUUUAGCAUUGGUAUAUUCCUUAAGGUGGAUUUGGAUAGAGUGAGAGGAGACAUUACUUAUCUUUACCUAGCUACUGCUUUUCAUGAGAUUUGGGCAGAGCGUAACAUUAGAAUUCAUCAUCCUAAGAGUUUUAAAGUUGCAAACCGGCUUAUCAAGGACAUAAUAGCCUCUGUUACUAUUUUUACAUGCUCCUCUAUUGUUGUGUGAACUUGCUGAACUCCUUUUUUCUGUUGUUCUACUUACUAAAAUCUUUUUAAUUUUCUUUUGUUAGGUACACUAAGUGGUUCACUCAAUUUUGGCAUUUUAGUAUCAUUGGCAAGUGGUGUAGGACUCCAUGAUUCUGUGUUGUCCACAAGCAACGAAAAAAANNNNNNNNNNNNNNNNNNNNNNNNNNNNNNNNNNNNNNNNNNNNNNNNNNNNNNNNNNNNNNNNNNNNNNNNNNNNNNNNNNNNNNNNNNNNNNNNNNNNNNNNNNNNNNNNNNNNNNNNNNNNNNNNNNNNNNNNNNNNNNNNNNNNNNNNNNNNNNNNNNNNNNNNNNNNNNNNNNNNNNNNNNNNNNNNNNNNNNNNNNNNNNNNNNNNNNNNNNNNNNNNNNNNNNNNNNNNNNNNNNNNNNNNNNNNNNNNNNNNNNNNNNNNNNNNNNNNNNNNNNNNNNNNNNNNNNNNNNNNNNNNNNNNNNNNNNNNNNNNNNNNNNNNNNNNNNNNNNNNNNNNNNNNNNNNNNNNNNNNNNNNNNNNNNNNNNNNNNNNNNNNNNNNNNNNNNNNNNNNNNNNNNNNNNNNNNNNNNNNNNNNNNNNNNNNNNNNNNNNNNNNNNNNNNNNNNNNNNNNNNNNNNNNNNNNNNNNNNNNNNNNNNNNNNNNNNNNNNNNNNNNNNNNNNNNNNNNNNNNNNNNNNNNNNNNNNNNNNNNNNNNNNNNNNNNNNNNNNNNNNNNNNNNNNNNNNNNNNNNNNNNNNNNNNNNNNNNNNNNNNNNNNNNNNNNNNNNNNNNNNNNNNNNNNNNNNNNNNNNNNNNNNNNNNNNNNNNNNNNNNNNNNNNNNNNNNNNNNNNNNNNNNNNNNNNNNNNNNNNNNNNNNNNNNNNNNNNNNNNNNNNNNNNNNNNNNNNNNNNNNNNNNNNNNNNNNNNNNNNNNNNNNNNNNNNNNNNNNNNNNNNNNNNNNNNNNNNNNNNNNNNNNNNNNNNNNNNNNNNNNNNNNNNNNNNNNNNNNNNNNNNNNNNNNNNNNNNNNNNNNNNNNNNNUUUUACAUGCUCCUCUAUUGUUGUGUGAACUUGCUGAACUCCUUUUUUCUGUUGUUCUACUUACUAAAAUCUUUUUAAUUUUCUUUUGUUAGGUACACUAAGUGGUUCACUCAAUUUUGGCAUUUUAGUAUCAUUGGCAAGUGGUGUAGGACUCCAUGAUUCUGUGUUGUCCACAAGCAACGGAAAAAAAGCCUGCAGAAAUGUUUCGAAUACUUUGAACGAAAUAAAGGUACAUUAUUAGGCAAGUGAUUGUGGCGGCAGAGAUAGCAGUUUGAUUGCUACACAAUUAUGUGUUUCACAAGAUUUUGCUAUUUUAAAUUAUAGUAAAUUUGAUUAAAUCCCACUCGGAAAGUUUGAAAUUUCUUGAUGUUGCUUAGUUAAAAUUUGGAUAUGGACAAUUAUGAUAUUUGUGAAUUUGGGUUCUUUUUAUAGGUGAUUUUUGAACAUUGCUAGAAUGAUAUAUGAUCUCAGGCCUCACACUCUUAACAUCUUUACGAGGCUUACGAGGUUCGAGAUGAGUUGGUUACUUAACAUGAUUCGUUUAAUUUAAUUAUGUGUUUGUGUAGUUGGGUUGAUUUGUUGUUUGUUUCGUUUAAUUGUACAAUUAAGGAGAUGGUGUUUACAAUAAUAAUAUUGAAGAUAGUUUGUAACUAGAGUAUGUUGUUAAUAAUUUGGUUAUGAGAAAUUGAGGCCGACACAAGUUUAAUCUGGCUUUCUCGAGAUGAUCUGACCUCGAGAAGAAAGAUUAUCUCAAAGUAGUUUUGUAAGUUGCUUCUCUCUGUUUUUGGACAAUGUAAAUUCUUACAUUACAUCUGCCUCUUGCAGGUAACAUCUUUGCUUUUAGGCUCUUUAUAUCGCCGAUGUAAGUUUUGCUCCAUAAAUUUCAGUGUUUGGCUAGAUCUCCUACAACUGUACUUUUAAAGAAAAAUAGAAGAAAUCAAGAACUGAGUUUACUGUACUUUUGCAGUGAUAAUCAGAUAUGUACCGGUUUUGCUUCGCAUAGUCACACCUUUUCUUUGUACAAUUGCAGACCCACUUUUAGGGGUAUUAUGAUGAGGAACGAGUGUACAGAAGACUUCUCAGGUCUUCCAUAUCUAUAUGCCCUCCUGCACUGCUUGAUUUGUGCCUGGUAUGGCAUGUCGUUUAUGUCAGAUGAUAAUGUGCUUGAUAACUGUAACCUUAUACAGCUACAUUUACUUUAAAUGUCUUGAACACAGUGGUUGCAAAUAAUGGUUAAAUGAUUAAUAUUUACACUGAUCUACUGCUUUUACACUGAUCACUGCUUAUGAUGUUGAAAAACCAAAAUUUGGUGGAGAAAUUGGGAUCAAUGGAGGGAGCUUGCACUGACACACGAAAUCUGUCAAAGCCUAGAUUACAAAGUAAUACUUUACUUGACUGAUCGACGGUUCAACUCAGCAGGAUAUGGAGUAUGCUCGCAGUGUACAUAACAUCCAAUCUCCCAAGGUCUCAUCAUCUACUUUGGAGACAACCUCAAAAUGGGUGUAGUUGCACUUGCACCCAAAAAUGAAGCCAGUGCAAAAAUCAAAGAGAUGACCCAUUUGUUAAAAAUGUUGAGGCUGAAGAGUACAAGGGAACCAAGGUCAGAGAUGUCUCCUCCGCUAAGAGAUGAGGAAAUAUGGCAGUCGUUGGUAUUUGGGAAAUGCAUGUUAGCAAAUACAUGGAUUAUAAAUUGUAUGAGUGACAGGAUGAUAAUAUAGCGUCUCAUAGUCUAAUAUUGCCAAUGACAGGGCUAAUAGCAAUAGCACUUUCAAAAGUAGGUUUGCAGCUGUGAAAUUCACUCAAAGUUGUGAAAUUUGUGAAAUUUGCUUUUGCUCUAACAUGUAAUACCCCGGGUUCCAUUCUUUUGUUUACUUGAAUUUGAAUUGUAUUGUUAUCUUUGUUUUUUUAUUAUAAUUAUCCAAAAAUAGAUGUCCAUCUUGACUUUUGGUUGGUUAUUAGACAGAGGAAUUGAGCCCGGAAAUAAAAGUGUUACUAAUUAUCAUCCAUUAUUAAAGCAAUUAUUAUAUUAGACCAAUUUUAUUUUUGCACUAUUUGAAAUAUUCACUUUAUCUGAAUGAUGAAUGGUUCUUCUUUCAGUUAAUACAGUGUCAUUCACUGGUUAACAAAUGACCUCUUAAAUUAUUCAUGAAAUCAUUUAAAAAUAUAUAAAGUUUAAUUGACAAAUUUAUCUUUUUUAAUAAAAUUAUACUCAAAUUUUUGGUUGAAAUGUAUGUAGCUUUAAGAUUAUAAUCACUUUUAGCCGAAAGUACUUUAAUAUUAGUGUUCAUAAAAAUAAUUUUUGAAUAACUUAUUAAUGAUUAAUUAUUUUAUGUAACGGUUUAAUAAAAUUAUACAAAUAUAAUGAUUUCUAAUUUGAGAAUAGUUUUUUAUAGUUCAAAACAAAAUUUAUAAUAAAAAAAUUUAACGAGUUAUCAGUAAUUAAUAAUAUACAUUUACAAUUAAAUUAUCCAAAUUAAUUAUAAAAUAUUAAAAUUUAAAAUAUUUGACUAAAGUGCGAGGCGUCACCGCUCGGCGACGUCGAGGGGCACUUGAUAGAAUAUGACUUUUCAUAUAUUACAAAGUUUAGCUAUAUAAUUAUUUUGAUUAUAAGAUAUUAAAAUAUAAAAUAUUCGACUAAAGUGUGAGGCGUCGCCGCUCGACGACACCGAGGAGGACUUGAUAAAAUAUGACUUUUCAUAUAUUACAAAUGUUUAGCUAUAUAAUUAUUUUGAUUAUAAAAUAUUAAAAUAUAAAAUAUUCUACUAAAGUGUGAGGCGUCACCGGUCGGCGACGACGAGGAGCACUUGAUAGAAUAUGAUCUUUCAUAUAUUACAAAGUUUAGCUAUAUAAUUAUUUUGAUUAUAAGAUAUUAAAAUAUAAAAUAUUCGACUAAAGUGCGAGGCGUUGCCGCUCGGCGAGCCGAGGAGUACUUGAUAAAAUAUGACUUUUCAUAUAUUACAAAUGUUUGGCUAUAUAAUUAUUUUGAUUAUAAAAUAUUAGAAUAUAAAAUAUUCGACUAAAGUGCGAGACAUCGCCGGGGAGCACUUGAUAAAAUAUGACUUUUCAUAUAUUACAAAUGUAUUAUAUAAUUAUUUUGAUUAUAAAAUAUUAAAAUAUAAAAUAUUCGACUAAAGUGCGAGGUGUCGCCGAGGAGUACUUGAUAAAAUAUGACUUUUCAUAUAUUGAAAAUGUUUAGCUAUAUAAUUAUUUAAAUUAUAAAAUAUAAAAUAUUCGACUAAAGUGCGAGGCGUCGCCGAGCGGCGACGCCGAGAAGUACUUGAUAAAAUAUGACUUUCAUAUCUUUAAAAAUAUUAUGUAAUUUUCGAACGUAAAUGAAUUUUAAUUACGAAUUAACUUUUAUAAAUACUCAAGUUAUACAACGGUUUUUGUUGAAUUUGAUUUUUAUUUUACACUGAACUUUUAUUUUUAUAACUACAAAAUCACAAGUUAUAUUUAAUAUUUUUUUUAUAACUCAAUUGUUGUUUUCUUGCAUAUAAAAGUUUGUAAGUAUAAGUAAUGGAUAUAAUAACGUCAUAUUAAUUUUCAAAAUAUAAUCAAUAUUUUAAAUCUUAUUGACAAAAAAAGGACUAAAUUCUAUCUAUUAUUUUAAAAUAUUAUUUUAAAAUAUUAUUGUAUAUACAAAUACUCACAAAUACUCCAUGACGCUGACGAACAUCCAAUAAUCAUUAUCAGGUAGUGAAAGAUCUGAGGAACACAUUAAAAUUUGUACUUCAAUAAAACACAAUUGAAAGAUGAAUUUUAGCCAAAAUAAAUAUGCAUGAAUACAGGUUGGCAAAUUGGCGUAACAACCACUGAGCUACUCAAGUACAAGGACUCGAUGAAAGGCCUCUACUACUCCCAGAACCUGAAAAUGCUAUUUCUAUAAUUCCAUCACGUUAUUUAUCUUAUUUAAUGUACUGUUCUGUGAUAACGUAUGGGAACUCGCUAAUAUGGAAUGCUAGCUUUGCAUUUGGUCUCCUCGCCAUAUUCACAAAUCAUUAGGAUUCAUAUAGAAUUGGUGCGUGUUCAAAACAGAAUUUUUUCAAGCACAAGAUCAGCAAAAAUAAAUUUAUUAAUCUUCUGCAAUUUAAAAUGCCCAGCAAGGCGGGCAUAAAUACUAGUUCUUCAUAUUUACACAACCAUUGAUCUGUCUUGCAACAAAUUUCAAGGAGAAGUUCCAAAGGUUACAUGAGAGCUUAAAUGGCUUGCAUUGCUCAAUCUAUCUCAUAAUAGUCUCACCGGACAUAUCCCAUCACUCCUCGGAAAUAUGGAAGCACUCCUAUCUCUAGAUUUGUCUUCAAAUCAAUUGACAGGGGCUAUUCCACACCAAUUAACUAAAUUGACAUUUCUAAAGGUGUUGAACCUCUCGGGAAAUAAUCUUACUGGGGAAAUCCCGCAAAAAGGGCAAUUCAGCACUUUUGGAAAUGAGUCAUACUUGGGGAACCCGGCCUUGUGUGGACUUCCUUUGACGGAAAAAUGCAUGCAUGCAGUGUCACCAACUCAAGAAGUCGGAAAUGGUGAUACUGAUGAAGAUGACGAUGCUGAUGAUGAACUUAAUUGGGAAGCCAUCCUGAUGGGAUAUGGAUGUGGAUUGAUAUGCGGAUUGUCUUUGGGGUACAUUGUUUUCAAGAUAGGAAAGCCUUGGUGGUUUGUGAAAUACAUUAAAAUACUACAACUGAAAUUGAUGAAAACAUGCACAAAGCAUAGCAGACGAAAGACUUGAGGAGAUGUUGUCUUAGGAUGCAAUCUCGUUUAAUACUUUCAUCAUUAUUCUCCAAGAUGUCUGAACAUGUAUUUUCAAAGAAUUCUCAGUUCACCUUUAGCCUUAUAAAGUAAAAGACAUUUUAAAGGCACUCUCAACUUACACCUAUAUAUACACGUACGGUUCACUUCAGUACAAAGAUUAUUAGCCAUGCAAAACAUGCAGAACCACUAGUAAUGCAGAAAAACAAAAUAUCAGUUUUCUCCAAAUAUCACUACAACAAAACUGCCAUUUUACGACGGAAAUCUAAUAUUCUAAAGGUUUACGACCAAACUAUGUUGGUGGACUUUAUUUUAAUUUACAGUUUUAACAGUAGUUAAUUUUGGAUAUCUAAACUUGCGACAGAAAACAUACGACAGUCUACCUCGCGAGAGAAAAUCAUUUUAUUUUAUUUUUUAGCGCCAGAAUUUUAAUACUAAAAUAUUAUAUAUAUGAAGGAAACUGAUCUCUAAUGUUUUCAGCUUGCUCAUCCAUAUGUAAGUAAUCCGUCGAAAAAGUUAGUUUGUUGUGGUGGUGUCUUAUCAUGAGAGAAAAUGAUAAUAUCGCAAAAUAUUUGCAACUGAAAGAUAAAUUAUAAUUCUAGAAACCAUUUAGGUAACGAUGCACGAAGUUAUUUUCACUCACUUAGAAUUAAUGAUCAUAAAUAUUUGCAACGGAAAGAUACAUUAUAGUUCUAGAAAAGGAUCCACGAAGUUAUUUUCACUCACUUAGAAUUAAUUGUAAGUUAUUGUGAGUUUUUGAAUAUGGAUUAUCUCAAAUUUUAUGAAAACACAUAUUGAUUCAUAUAUACAAAUUUGCCUACCUAAUAUUAUAAUAUUUAUGGAGAAGUUGUAUGAACAAUUGUGUAGAUAAUUAUACUUUACAAAGCAUACUUCUGCUAGAUGAAUUUUGAUUAAACAAAAUCGAAAGGGAUAGGUCUGGGUCUCUCCAAGUCUUUGAGGACUCAUUCCAAGUCUUCUGACGAGGACAAAAUAUAUUGCUGGUAGUCUUUCAGUCCUUCCUAGAGUAUUUUAUGCUCUGGACUGCAUUAUGCAGCUCUCAUAUAACUUUGCGAUGCAAAACAGUGGCAAGUAAGUAUUUCCGUAUGUGUAUUUAUUUGUAUAUUAAAGUUGCGUAACAUUUGUGUUGAUAAUUUGCGUAAUGUUGAUGAGGAUUGCUCCCAAGUCUUGGACGGACUCUUUCCAAAUCUUCUGAGGACAUAUCGGUUCAAAUUAGUCCAUUAAAAAUUUUAUGAUAUGAAGCUAUCUGCAAAAUAAUAUAUAAGGUAAAAUGAACCAUUGUUUUGUGGUUAAGUUGUACAGGCAAUAUGCAGUGCAAAAUCAGGAACAGAAUAUAUGAAUACUAGUAAUAUGAUAUCGGUAUGAACGAAUAUUUUCUAUGUAGUUGUUAUUGUGAUGCGGAAAAAAUAUUGUAACCAAAAAUAAUUAUAAUUCUAAAAAUUUCCAUUAUACACUUUUUUAGUGUUCGUGGUACUUCAAAUGACAUUUCUCGCGUAUGCCUCCAAUUAAGAACUUGAUGUUCAGCAUAGUCCGAAACUAAAAUUAUUAUAAGUGUGUAAUUCAAAAUUAUAUUGCUGGUAGUCUUUCAGUUCUUCCUAGUGUAUGCAGUAGUUUCAUUCGAUACCGAUUAUUUUAUGCAUUGCCCGAGAACCAGUCUAUCUAAAACCCUAAGAUGUUAUAUUUUUAUACGUGUAUUAGUUUUGAAGAUUAAAGUUGUAUGGACAAUUGUGUUAAUAAUUUGCGCAAUUGCGCAAUGAUAACUGGGAUAGGUCAUCUUCUCUCCCAAGUCUUGGAUGGAAUCUUUCCAAGUCUUCUGAGAACCCAUCAGCUCAGAUUAGUCCAUACAAUGUCAAGGGUCCUAUGAUAUGGUCUACUAACAGCCCAGUGUCGGUAAUAAAUCCAAUUGCAUAUAACCUAUUCAAAAUCAAUCCCCUAUAAACAAUCAUCUCUAAAAACUAUUCACAUAAAAUAAAAUUUUAAAAAUAUAAAAUAUCUAGUUGUUUUCAAUAUAUAAUUUUCCACAGUAGAUAACACAAUAUCUUUAUCAAAUUAUUAUUUAUGGGUUCAAUAUUUAAGCUAUAAUUCCAACAACACGGCAAGCAUGCAGCAUAUAAAUAGAAGUGUGCAGUAUGGUAUUGCAUUCAUAACCCAGUUGAGGAAAAAUAUGGCACCCUUCCUAAAGCCUUCUCACCUUCUUCUCUUUGUUUUCUUUCUCUCAUCACCUGAGUCCAUUCUUGCGACAACACGAGAAGGAGAAGCUCUUGUGAAGUGGAAGAAUAGCCUAGCCCCUUCUUCUUUUCUUGAUUCUUGGUCACUCACUCAUCUCGAUAAUCUUUGUAACUGGACUGGCAUUACUUGUAACUCUGCAGGUUCAGUCUCUAAGAUUAACCUUUUUGAGAAACAACUUAAUGGAAUGCUGUCCGAGUUUGGUUUCACUUCAUUUCCAAAUCUCAGCAAUCUCACCCUCACAUACAACUUCUUCUCGGGUCCCAUACCACCAGCCAUUGAGAAUUUAACCCAGCUUCGGUAUCUUGAUUUGAGCUAUAAUUAUCUGGAUGGUCCCAUUCCGUUCCAGGUUAGCCAUCUUCAGAGCUUGCUCAUCUUGAACCUGUCACAGAAUGCAUUGCAAGCUCCAAAUUGGUCCCAUUUCUCUCCCAUGCCUUUCUUGCGCAUCCUCAACCUCAGUUACAAUCCUCUUGCGUCGAAAUUCCCAAAUUUUAUAUCCAAUUCUCAUAGCCUGACUCACCUUAGCCUUAAUUUUAAUGAGUUUACUGGUGAUCUAGUACGUGAAUCAAUAUUUGCCAAUCUGCAUAAUCUUGAAGUCCUCAGUCUUCUUGGCAAUUUUUUUGAGGGGCCAUUUCCGCCAGAUAUAUUCAAGCUUUCCAAAUUAAAACAUCUUCACCUGUCAGGUAACAAAUUCUCAGGUUCAAUUCCAAAUGACAUAAGGUUGCUUUGUGGUCUUGAAAACCUAUUUUUAAGCAACAAUUCCUUUGAAGGACCGCUUCCACCAAAUAUAUUUAAGCUUUCAAAAUUAAAACAACUUGUUCUUUGGAGUAAUAAUUUUUCAGGUUCUAUUUCCAAUGAUAUAGGUUUGCUUUCUGAACUUGAAACCCUCAAUCUUCAAUUUAAUUUUUUUGAGGGGCCGCUUCCCCCACAUAUAUUUAGGCUCUCUAAGUUAACAGGUCUAGAACUCGGAGACAAUAGAAAUUUAUUUGAAGGAAGUAAUAUUCCUAUCGGACUGGGACUCUUGACUAACCUCAGGUACUUAGAUUUACAUUCCAGUAAUCUCAGUGGCUAUAUUCCAUCUGACAUUGGAAACCUGAAGCUACUAGUACUUCUUAGUCUCGGUUCUAAUCAAUUGACUGGACCGCUUUCAAAGAUCGUUUAUAAUCUCACAAAUCUUAUAUUUCUUGAUGUAAGUAAUAAUAGUCUUAGUGGAAAUAUUCAGAGUGACUUGUGGAAAUAUAACCAUCAUCCUACUUUGGAAUACAUCGAUUUUAGUGGGAACCAUUUUACAGGUAUAUUUUUUCUCUAUAGAUCUUUUCCUUUUGUCAUAUGUAACUAAGCUAGUAAUCUGAUUAUUGCAGUUUUACUGAAGUUUCAACAAUCUUGACAGGUGAGCUUCCAACAACAAUUUGCAAUGUCAUGUCCCUUUCGGUUCUUGAUUUGUCAAAUAAUGAAUUAAGUGGUGCACUUCCAAACUGUUUCGGGAAUCUUGCUGAUGGAUUGCUUUACAUUAAUCUUGCUAAUAAUCAGUUUCGAGGAACAAUACCAACUACUUUCUCCAGGAGUUGUCAGCUGACAUAUCUAAACAUGGAUAAUAAUGAGUUUGAAGGAUUGUUGCCCCCAUCUUUGGCGAACUGUAAGCACUUGAGAAUUCUUGAUAUUGGCAAUAAUAAAAUAGGUGGUACAUUUCCGUCAUGGCUUUAUGUACUUGGAGAGCUAGAAGUCCUUGUCUUGCGAUCAAAUAAACUCUAUGGUACAAUAAGUGGAAGGAGCAUAGAAGAUCCCUUCCCCAAGUUGCGGAUUGUGGAUCUGUCCAACAAUCAAUUCACAGGCCAUUUGCCAAUUCAAUACUUUAAGAAUAUGAAAUCAACUGAUAAUUUGUAUCGUUAUCAGAAUUCCACAGGAGUUUUUUCUUUCCAUUAUGAAGCAUCUGUCUCAUUAACUGUGAAGGGAACAGAGUAUGAAGUGAAAAAUAUCCUUCAUAUUUACACAGCCAUUGAUCUGUCCUGCAACAAGUUUCAAGGAGAAAUUCCUGACGUUAUUGGAGAGCUUAGAUGGCUUGCAUUGCUCAACUUAUCUCAUAAUAGUCUGACAGGACCUAUCCCAUCAUUACUGCGAAAUAUGAAAGGACUCCAAUCUUUAGAUUUGUCCUCAAAUCAACUGACAGGGGCUAUUCCACCUCAGAUAACUGCACUGACAUUUCUAGAAGUCUUAAACCUCUCGGGAAACCAUCUUAGUGGAGAGAUUCCUCAGAAAGGACAAUUCAGCACAUUCAACAAUGAUUCUUAUAUAGGAAACUCCGCAUUAUGUGGAUCACCAUUGACGAAGACAUGUGCAAACACAGCAUCACCUCCACAAGAAGUCGGAAAUGUUGAUGAAGAUGAUGCGGGUGAUGAAUUGACAUGGGAAGCAAUCUUGAUGGGAUAUGGAUGUGGACUGAUAUGUGGAUUGUCAUCUGCAUACAUUGUUCUCAAACUAGGAAAGCCUUGGUGGUUUGUGAGAUAUCUCGAAGUACUGCAACAGAAGUUGAUGAAAAGAUAUGCAUGAAGAAUGGUACUGGCCGAUCAAGACCAACUUGAAAGUUUGUUGUCCUUGUGCACAUUUCUGAACCAGUAGUGUACUUGCUGCAUAAGUAUUUGGUAUUAUGUAAUAAUCCGUUUGGUCGGGACUCAUAAUGAUUUCUCUUGCUUCAGGGGUAUUAAUAUUAACCUUGCUAUCUUGAUCAAUGUUAAAGCAAAUUAAAUGAAUGAAAAAACAAAAAGUAUGCAUCAAAUCCGCUCCUGCUGUACCAAAAUCCAUUAAAUUGCUUUGGUCUCUUACCUAACAAUUUAACAGCACACUUCCACACUGUUCAUACCUAAUUUGCGUGUAAUAUGAAAACUAAGAGGCAUGGCUUUUGUCUCUAUAAGUCUUUGAGAACUUAUUCUUCCAAGUCUUCUUCGGAGGCCUGCUGCCUCAACAACCUUUCAAAGAUGUAGCAGUUGCUCGAGAGUAACAUAUAUAUUAGAUAAAGACUAUGCAAUAAUCCACGUGACAGAAAAACCAAAGUCCAAUUAGUUUUCCAAGUUCAUAAAAAAUACUAUAGGAUCAUUAGCAUUACAUUAGUAUUCCACUAGCAUACAGCAUAUUAUAAGACAAAAGUAAGCGGAAAUAAACAUAAUUUCAAUAGAUUUAACUUACUCUUCAGAAUCGAUAAGUUUGGAACACGUUGAUUGAGCACAAGACGAAGGCCACACAUGCGCAUCAUCUGAUGCAGCUAUAUAUGGUGCCUUUACAGUUGCUCAUACAUAUAGUGAAACAAUAAGGAUCAACUCCUCCAUUGUACGUACACAUUUUCAUACAAGCUAUAAAGCAUGGUGAUAGAGUCUUUGCAAUCUCGUCAUGACCGGCACAUCCGAUUAUGAUAAACUCUAGCAGGAUCAUCCAAGUAAUAAUUUUCAUAAUGAUAUUAAUUAUCAUUGUGAAUAGUUGCAUUGAGUUAUAUAUGUGUGUGUAUAUAUAUGCAAUGGAUUUUGUGGUUGAGAAUAUCUAUUAGAUUUUGUAUAUCCAUAACAAUUAUUAAAAUUUAAACAAGAAUAUCUAUUAUUGGUUGUGGUUGACUAUUGUAGUAGUCCAAGAAAUCAAUGCAAGUGAAAUCUAUAUUAUAUUUUAAAAGAUUAUACAUGAAAUACAAAAGGUUUUUUUAGGACUGCUGUUAAAAAUUGUUAUGUUGUACGAAAAAAUGCUGAUAAAAAGAGUGUUAUACGAAAAAAUGCUGAUAAAAAAAAUGUCGUAUAAAUCAGAUAUGACAGCUUCCCACAAAAACUAAAAAAAACAGUUUUCCGUAAUAAUAUGGGAGAGGAAAAACUGUUUGUAGAUUUAUAGAACAAUUUUUCGGUAAAAAACUGUUGUUGUUUUCGAGAGUAAUGACAAACAGUGCCGAAAUCAUUUUGCAGGUAGUUAAUCUCACUUCCAUAUAAUAUACUCCUAUAUAUUACCGAAAAAACAUGAAAUGAUGCAAACCUCAUACUAUUGACAACAGCUAAACUCCUUGCAAUACUUUCAGCUGCAAAAUCCAUCAAAUUUUUUGAUUUAUCAUGUAACUGUUUGACAGAGUACUUCCAAGCCUAAGUAUCAAAAAUCACUACCUUACGAAAUAUAUCUCACCCUACCUUCUCUGCUUAACUGUUUCGAGUGCUUUUACCAAGCAUAUUUUCCAUUAAGCGUGAAAGGCACAGAAUAAUUAGGAUCACCGAAUAUCCCAUCAGUGCUGGGGAAUAUGGAACCAUCUUAUCAAUUAACUAGUUUAACAUUUCUUGCGGUCUUGAACCUCUCAGAAAACCAUCUUAUCCUAAUGUGCCGACUUCCUUUGACGGAGAAAUGGUGAUGCUGAUGCUAAUGAUAAUGAACUCAACUGGGGAGUGAUCCUUAUGGGAUACGGAUGUGGAUUGAUAUGCGGAUUUUCUUUGGGGUUUAUAUUUUGUGGUUUGUGAGAUACAUUGAAGUACUGCAGCUGGAGUUGAUCAUUAUAAAGAACAUAGGCAAGUUAAUCGCUUAUUGAAAUUAGUAAUUGUCAAAAGUAAAAUGUUGAAAUUACUUUUUUCGAUUGAAAUCAUUGAAAAAAAGUCUCUGUCGAAAUUGAUCUGCCAAAAUUAUGUUUAAUAUCUACGGCCAAGAUUAUCUGUCGAAUAUAUUUCCCGACAAUUUUAAAAGACAAAUUUUUCGCCUCUCAGCUGUGAGCGGGAACAGAUAUUUUCGACAGAAUUCCAUUGAAAUUAGCUAAUUUCAACAUAAAUUUUCUAUCGAAAUUACUUGAGUUCUUUGUAGCUUGUUUUCACAAAUACGCUGAUAGCCUUUGGGGACGGGUAUAUUGUUUUCACAAAGCCCUGGUGGUAUGUGAGAUGCUUCGAAGGACUGCAACUGAAGUCGAUAAGAACAUGCAGAAAGAAAACCGAUCCAUCUUGAUAAACUUGAAAAAUGUUGUCAUAUGGUGAUAUAUACUCCCUGGCCCCAGUCUCUUGGAAAGAACUUGGUUGAUUUUUUUUUUUCAGUAUUGUUGGAGCUGUCAUACUAGUGCUAGUGUGCCGACUAGCACUAGUAUGACAGCUCCAACAAGUAUCCAUCCCUAAUAAUUGCAGCAAAUUAAAAAAUAUAGCUAUAUCUUUUUAGCAAUGGUGCAAUUUGGAAAGCUUUCUCAUCAUCUUCUUCUUUUCUUUAUCUCAUUACUCUCAUCUAGUUCCACUGUCCUAUCUGCAACAAUUCGCGAAGGAGAAGCUCUUGUGGAAUGGAAGAACAGCCUAUCCCCGAAUUCAUUUCUUGGUUCUUGGUCACUAAUUAAUCUCACUUAUCUUUGUAAUUAAGUGGACUGGCAUUGUAUGCAACUCUGCAGGUUCAGUCAGUCAGAUUAAUCUUCAAGAACUCACACUUGCUAACCUCCGUUUCUUUUCGUUUCCAAAUCUCACCAAUCUCAACAUUACACAUAACAACUUCACUGGUCCAAUACCACCCGAGACUUUAGCUAUAGUAAUCUCAAUGGUACCCUUCCAUACCAGGUCAGCCAUCUUCAGAGGUCGGUCGUCUUAGGCCUCUAAUUUAAUCACUUGAAAGCUCUAAGCUUGUCCAAUUUUUCCCCCAUGCCUAUACUGGUUGGUCGCGGUCUUGGUGGUAAUAAGCUGGCGUCAAUUUUUCCAGAAUUCAUAUCUAAUUGCUAUAACAUGAUUAACCUUGAUCUUUCAUUUAACAUGUUAACUGGUGAUCCCUUCAACAACUUGCGAAUCUUGGAUCUCUUCGACAAUGAAUUCACUGGUUACUUGCCAAUCCAAUAUUUUAAUAAUAUGAAACCAGUUAAUACCGUGAUUGAUUAUUACAACAUAACAGUGAAUCAUGAUUAUCAAGCAUGUCUUGUUAACAUUUUGCACUCGUAUUAAUUGUCUUAUAUAUGACUAACUCAUCUUGCACUCGUAUUAAUUGUCUUAUAUAAUACUAAUAACAAAAAUAUGAGGCGGUGCUUAGUCAGAUGAUUUUAGUUGUUAAAAUAUUUUUGUGUUAUUUAUAGAUAGUGAAACAUGUCUAAUAUUUUAUCAAUUUUGUUUCGUUUCUUGAGAUUUCCAAAUAUUUAUUGGGACAUUGUACCAUGGUGUAUUUCACAUAUUCGCAAUUUUAAUUAUUUUGUAUUUUUAUUUUAAAGAUAUGAUAAAGUUUAUUUAUUUAUUUGUUUUUAUCUUAAAAGCGAUUUUCGAGUGUUGCUUAAACCUCGAAGAUUCCAAUCGAGUUUUAUUCUCGGAUCUGUUUCGGAAUUGAGCUUGGCCUUGAUUGUUUUCUGAAUAAAUCAGAUCUUUUGAAAUCAAAGGUUCGAUUGUGUUUUCCCGUCUCGCCUUUUGGCGUGUGUUGAUUUAGUACCCAAUUUUUGGGUGAUUCUGCGUUGUUAUAUUUGUGGUUGUUAUGUCUUUCUGUGUUAUCAAUGAGAAUGAUUGGGAUGGAGUUUUGGGAGAUUUGGCUUAUCGCAUCAUUACAUCUUUCGGCAUGUCUAUAGCUGGCUCCCGGCAUGUAGAUAGCUGGGGUAUGCUUGGAACGGUGGCGAUCGCAUGUGCUCACCUGUCACAAAUUAUAGUUGUUCAUUAUUCGAGGGCUCUUGUUCCUCGUUGCUUAGUUUUUACAACUGAGUCGUCUGAACACCGCAACAGCCAUGGAACUAUUGUGAAGGUCAAUUGUGAAGCUAUCAUUUUCGAGAUUGAUGUAGGCUGGAUUACUCGAGAAGCUUUUGUAUUCAUUUUCAGUUUCAAGAAUUCUUGAAUUCAGUGUGUUAAGCAGUCUGGAAACAAUGCGGCUAUUUGAUUAGCUCGUUUUAUUGUUUAUCAACCUGAUUGCAUUGUCAGUUGGGGAUUUGUCCCGAUUAAACUUGUUUUAAUAUAAUGGAAUGAAUUUGCAUUUUGUCAAAAAAAAAAAAAAAAAGCGAUUUUGAGUUGUUUGAGUUAGAUAUAUACUCCUACUGUGGUUCAACUAGUUUUGCCAUAAGUGAAUAACUUCCGGUCAAUAUUUUGAAAUUUGUCGUUAUCUUCUAAUUAAAAUAAAGGGUUAAAUAGCUACUUCAUCAUUAAUAUCGUUGAAAAUUUGCAGCUGAGUCAUGUUGUUGAAAAGACUUUCAAACUGCAUCAUUAAGUAAUUAAAAAAUUUCAAAAACACCACUCUCCGUCAGUUAUGUUAAACAAUUAACGGAAAGUUCGAAAAAAAAUAAAGAAAAGACAAAAAAACAUUAAAAAAAUUUGAAAAAAAAACCCGAAAAAAUGUGAAUAAACUAUGAUAUUUUUUUUCUUUUUUUGAAAAAUGUGAAUAAAAUCAAAAAAUCAAAAAAAAUGGGAAACCAAAAGUGGCAAGCUUUUUUUUUUUUUGUUCCUUUCAAAUUUUCUAAAAUCUGGGGAAAAAAGAACUUGCCAACUAAUUUUUUCCAAAUUUUUUCAAAUUCUUUUCAGAUUUUUGAAUUUUUUUCCAAUUUUUUCCUCACUUUUUUUCUGUUUUUUUUUGAAUUUAUUAAGAUUUUUUUUGUUUUUUCUGCUUAUUCUGAAUUUUUUAAGAUUUAUUCGCAUUUUUAAAAAAUAUUUUUGAAUUAUCCGUUAAGUAAUUAAUGGAACUGACGGAGAGUGAUGCUUUUGAAAGUUUUUAAUUACUUGAUAAUGCGUUUGAAAAUUUUUUCAACAACAUGACUCAGUUGCAAGUUUCCGGCGAGGUUAGUAAUGAAUUAGUUAUUUAACUCUUAAUAAAAAUCUAUCUAAACAAUAUUAUAAAUAUAAUGUUAUGGGUUCGAUGAGUCGUGUAAAACAUGGAAGAAGUUUAGGUGGGGUAAAAAGAGCCUAGCUGUGUGAUUUCCAUUCUGUUAUACGUGAUAUACUGUAGUUGAUCAUCUCCUUUGUCCGCUUCAUCCUGUGCAACCUUAACCUUUAAGGAAAAACUUAUGAGAUUCUCUAGUGCAUCUAAAUUCUUGUGUGAAGAAUGUGAAGAAAAAUGUUAGUCUCAGAUUAUUUUUCCUAAAAUGCUUGCAUGUUACAUUUUAUAUGUAUGUCCUGACUUUAAGUAUAAUUUAGCAUUUUUAUUUAGUAUUGUGUAAAAAUAAUAUAUUUUAUUCAGUCUUAUUAAAAAUAUAAUCAUGUUAUACUGUAAAAGUAUUUGUGAAUUUCUUUGUUACAUAUGUGUUUAAAUUAUUUUAUUUAUAUAUGUUUUACAAUUUUUUACAAAUAUAUAGGUUGAGUAUUGCAUAGGAAUAUAAUUACACGUUAGCAAAUAUGAUUAUGUGUAAACUGUUCUGCGUGCAUGUAUAUUGCUGCUAAGUUUUAAACUUCUUACUAACCGGAAUAAUUUUGACAGAUGUGUGGAACUUGAUUAAUUUAGUUGCACUAUAAGAGAAAGCGUUUUUGUCAAUAAAAAUUGUUAAGGAAAUUAGUCCGUUGGUAGUUCUCAACGGAUUUGUAACAAUUUGACUGGUCAAUGUUCUGUCAACCAAUUCGUAAUGAAAUACCCACACUUAUUUACAACGAGAUGUUCUAUUAGGAAAUAUAGCCACACAAUGGAAUAAUAACAAAAGACCAAGGAAUGAGCAACAGACUAGCAACGAAAGUAUCUGUUAUUACAUUCGUUGAUAUUCCCUUGAUAAAUACUAGACUUUUUAGCACUUUGGUGGCUUGUACUAUUUCAAAUUUGCACGUUAGUGGCCGACCUUUAAAAGUCAUCAAUUGUGUUGCUGAACUUAUUUUUUUUUAACACAUUAGGGGCUCCGCAUCAUAUCCGUUAAAUCGAAGUAACGGCGUCAAAUGAUCAAUACAUAUCUCCUCCUCCUCUUAUUUCCCUCCAAAUUAAAAAACGAAACGGCUACCCUCUUUUCCGAAGCAAGAACGACGACGAAUUCCUGCUUACAGAGAUGAGUUGGUUCCGGCGUCUUAAAGAGGAUGCUGAUGUGUAUUAGCCUCGACAGUGCCCCGAUUACUGUAGUAAGCUCUUCAACUUUUCUUCUUUGUAGCAUAUGAAAUGAGUUUAAUUGACCAUUAUUUCAGUGUUUGUUGUUGUUAGUGGCUAGUUGUUUAGUAUUAUGGACCUGCAAUUGCUUUAUACUAUUAAAAUGAAAGAUUCUGCUUGUGGGUUUUUAAAAAUUAAGGCUUUUACAUAGUCCAAGAUUCGGUCAUUAUAAAAUCAAUUUAUGCCUGUUUUAGUAUAGUGCUUGUUGUUAGUGGCUAUUUGUUAAGUAUAGUGUUGUUUAUUGUAAAUAAAACUGUUGCUUUGCACUCUACAUUUGCAGAACCUGGUGAUUUUACCCUAAAAAUAUAUCAUGGGGCCGAUUGGGUAGAUAACCCUAGGGCAUAUGUGGGAGGUACAGUAGAUUUCUUUGACUUCUGUAAUGCUGAUCAGAUCAGCAUAAUUGAGAUAUAUAGUAUGUUGAAAGAGGUUGAUGAGUUUGGGUUUCACCAACUGUGGUAUAAGCUACCUGGCACUACAUUCGAUAGAGCUUUUGUACUAAAUAAUGAUGAGGAGCUAAUGACCAUGUGUGAGCUUAUAUCUGAUGUGGAUAAGUAUAUGGAGAUUUAUGUCACCACUAUGGCACAUCUAAGUAUAGUGCCCUAUAGAGAUUUAGAGGUUGAAUUUGUUGAACCAACUCCUAAAGAAGCACCUGAAAAGAACAAUCCAUCACCUGAAAAGAUCAAUCCAGCACCUGAAAAGAUCAAUCCAGCACCUGCAAAGAUGUAUCCAGCACCUGCAAAGAGCAUUCCAACUGUGGGAAAUGAUGAUGAUCAGGAAGAGUUUGAGUUUGAUUUUGACAAUACACGGUUUUGGGAUACCACCCAAAAUGAAAUUGAAAUUGUGCAACAAGUUAGGGAAAUGGAGGGGUUGGAAGAGGAAUUUUCAGACACAGAUUCUGAUGAUGAGGAUUUUGUGCCAGAAGAAAAGGAAAGUAGUGAUGAGACCUUCCACUGUGAUAGUUCCAAUCAAGAUAAUUCUGAUGAUGAUUUGUUGUUUGAUGAUGAUUACUACCAUCCUUACCAGCAGAUGGAAACCAACAAAGAAAAAUAUACAACAACAACAACACAGCAAGAAUUUUCCAGUUCCUUGCUUGCUUCUGCGCCUCGGAUAGUUCUUCACUGUAGAAAUCCUUGUACUCAUCUUUGGCCUUAAUCAUUUCAGCAAAACAUUCAUCGUCCUUGUUCUUCAAACGCCUUAUCAGUCCAUUGAUUACACUCUUGCUGCGCGCAUCAAACUCGGGUUCAACCCACUUGAAGAAAUUGCACCUUCCAUUCACGCAAGUCAAGAAUCUUCUACCCGGAUUGUACUCCGUCCACGAUGUCUUCUCCACUGCCCAGCUUCCACACAUACAUUGUUGAUUCAUCUUUGCAGAGCUUUUUGGUUUGGAUGAGAGAUUUAGGUUUGAAUAUGCUCAAUUACACACAGCAGAAACGUAUAUAUAUACACAGCAUAUAGCCGUUGCAAAAAUAUUUUCCUGAAAUACCCCUGACGACCGUUACUUCGAUUUAAUGGAUAUGAUGCGGAGCCCCUAAUGUGUUAAAAAAAAAAUAAGUUCAGCAACACAAUUGAUGACUUUUAAAGGUCGGUCACUAACGUGCAAAUUUGAAAUAAUACAAGCCAUCAAAGUGCCAAAAAGUCUAAAUACUAACAGUUUCGUUAGUAAUUGAUUAUUAGUUUUACAUGGACAAUUGAUAUACACCACAUGAGCACAUACACGGAUACAAUGCCAGGCUCUUAGUUGAAAUGUGUGUACUGCUAAAGCUCAAGGAGAUUUAGUUGACUAAAUUGAUUUGAGUUGUAGAAAAAGGUUUAAUAAUAUAAUGGACUUUGAUAUAUGUAUUGUAGAUAUUAAGUAAUUCUCUUGAAUUUAUAUAUGUAACAUAAUUGUUAAUUGGCUCAUCCUUAACUAGAUAUUUUAUAUUACAUUCUUAACUACAGAUUUUGUAUUUAAAAUUUUUUUAAAAAAUUAACCUUUAUUUGGUAUGUGGAUUUUGUAGUCAAAUGUGGUCAAUUUACUUAGCCUUCGAUCGAAUACCUACCCAAAACAUAAAAAUAUUUUUUAAUCAUUUAUUUUCGACGAUCCAACUAUACGGAUAUUAUUGUAAUGUGAUAAUAUUGUUUACAAAUUUUUUUUAAAAAAAUUAGCCUUUUAUUUGGUAUGCGCAUUUUGUAGUCAAAUGCAAUUAAAUUACUUAGUCUUUAGUGGAAUCUUUACCCGAAACAUAAAACUUUUUUUUAAAAAAAAAUUUGGACAAUCCAACCGUACAGAUGUUAUUGUAACGUGUUAAUAUUGGUUAAAAUAAAUUUUGAGAAAAUAUGUCUUUUAUUUGGUGUGUGGAUUUUGUGGUCAAAUGCGGUCAAAUUACUUAGCAUUUAAUCGAAUACUUACCCAAAACAUGAAACUAUUUUUUUUAAAAAAUAAUUUCGGACGAUCCAACCGUACGGGGGUAUUGUAACACAAUAAUAUUGAUUAAUUUUUUUAUAGGAAAAUUAUAGCCUUUUAUUUGUUGUGUGGAUUUUGUUGUCAAAUGCAGUCAAAUUACUUAGCCUUUAAUGAAAUACUUACAUUAAACAUGAAUUUAUUUUUUUUUAAAAAUCAUUUGGAUGAUCCAAUCGUACGGAUGUUAUUAUGACAUGUUAAUUGAUUAAAAAAAUAUUUAAAAAAAAUGCCUUUUAUUUAGUAUGUGGAUUUUGUAGUAAAUGCUACUUAGCCUUUAAUCGAAUACUUACCCGAAACAUGAAACUAUUUUUCUAAAAAUCAUUUUGGACAAUCCAACCGUACGGAUGUUAUUGUAACAUGAUAAUAUUGAUUGUUUUUUUAUAUAAUAACCUUUUAUUUGGUGUGUGGAUUUUGUAGUAAAAUGCGGUCAAAUUACUUAGCUUUUAAUCGAAUACUUACCUGAAACAUGAAACUAUUUUUAAUAAAAUUAUUUUAGAUGAUCCAACCAUACAGAUGCUAUUGUAACGUGAUAAUUGAUUAUUUUUUAAAAAAAUUAGCCUUUAAUAUGGUGUAUGGAUUUUAUAGUAAAAUGAGGUCAAAUUACUUAGUCUUUAAUGGAAUAUUUAUUAGAAAUAUAUUUUAAAAAAUUAUUUUGGACGAUCCAAACUGUAUGAAUGUUAUUUUAACAUGUUAAUAUUGAUUAAAAUUGUUUUUAAAAAAAAAUUAGUUGUAUUUUAUGUGUGAAUUUUUAGUCAAAUACGAUAAAAUAUUUAUUUAGCUUGUAAUGAAAUAUUAAAACCCUACUUCAAAAGAAACUUGUCUAAAACUACCUAUAAGUGUUAGAGAAUCAUCGAUUUAGUUAUCAAAUUAGUUAUCAUAAGGGUUUUACUCCGCUUUUCUCUGGUAUGAUGUUGAUUUUUGGGGUUUGAUUGGUCGAUUUUCAUGUUUUAUAAGUUAUGUGAGUUCGAUUUUGAUGUUUUUACAAUUAGGUUUAUGUAUGUUCUUAUACAGGUUUCAUGUUCAUGUUUUGAUUUGUUGAUUUCCUAUUUUUCAUAUUUUGUUGAUUAGUUAUUUGUGUGGGUUUUGAACUUUGAUGAGUGUGUAUGUAAUCUCCUGUUUUUUUUUUUCAUUUUUCUGGUUCGAACACUUCGAUUAGUAGCUGGAAAAACAGCUGAUGCGGCAGUAGCGGCUAGUGAGAUGGAUAACAAGAAAAGGAUGAUUUCGAGGUCAUCUCGUGCAAGUCUUCAGAUAUAGUUUUGUUCCUUUAUGUUUUUAAUUGACAUAAAUUUUCACAUUUGAUGAUUAUAUUAUGGGGGAUUCUGGGUAUACUUGUAUAUAAUCUAGCAAGUUAUUAUAAUUCUGGACGGGGGGCUUAUUGUGAAAUUAAAUUGAGGGAUAAGUUGUGUUAUUGGUUCUAGUGGAUUAAAUUUAUGUUGACACUUGAUAUAUGCAUUGAUGUCGUAAAAUAAGUUGCACAUCAAACUAUUUGGCUUGUUUAAGUUGUAUGGAGUAAGGCUGUACGCGGAUCGGAUCGGUUCGGUUGGAGGGUAAUAACCAAACCAAACCGCAACUUACGGUUUUCUAAAAUCUCAAACCGCGACCAUACUGUUGGUUAAAAAAACCCAACCAAAUCCAUCCACGUAAUUGCGGUUGGUUGCGGUUCAACUGCUAAAAUAGUUAUAACAAAGAAAAUAUAUAAGUUAUUGCUUAAAAUCUUGCAUAAAGUACAGACUUUAACUCAAAAAUAUAUAAUUUAUCACUUAAAAUCUUGAAUAAAGUUAAUACAAUAAAUCUGAUUACAUAUUACAAAAGCAAACUACUCCGGAAAUAUAUAACUUGAAGCAGAGCUUCAAGUUAAUGGUUAUUAAAAAUUUCAUCCGCGACUGCCCACAUUUUACGGUUAUCCAUAAUACACGGAUCGGUUGCAGGUGGUUGUUGCGGUUAAUGCGGUGGAGCGGAUUGAACGUACAGCCCUAUGAAGUAUGGUUGCCAAGCAUUGGUUGGUUGUACACGUGUAAACAAAAUGAUAUUUUAAUAUUUAAACAAAACAAUACAGUCAUAAACAGAUCGUGUCGGGCUGGACUGAUUGUGAUUUUCCUUUUUGGAACUCGUACUCGGCAUCUUCCAAGCGAAUGAUAUUUAGAAGUUUGUUGCUAGUAUACUCCAUGUCAUAAUAAGAGUUCUUUAGAUUUUUUAUAUGUAAUUCGAAGUAUAAAAAACAUAUUUUAACAUAUUAUUUUUAAAUUUUUUAUACAUAAAAAUAUAACAUCUAUAUUUUUAUUUAGAAAAAAAUUUGAAAUAUAAUAUAUAGAUGCAUGUCUUUUUUAUACGUGAAAUUACAUGUAAAAAAUUAAAAGACUCUUAUUUUGAGUAAGAGAGAAUAUGAUGUACCAUAAAGUCAUCGAUCUUUUGUUAUCAAAUAAAUGUGAUAUUUAAUUAUUUAAGAGCAAGUCCAAAAGUAUCUUAGUUAAAGUCCUAAAUAUAAUAUAAAAUAUUACGUUCUGGUGAUUUAGGAUAUAUUUUACUAACUUGGACUCCAACAAUGUGUCUUAUUCUCAUAAGAAGUUUAAUAUUUUAUUAUUAAAGACUCUCUUUCAUCAUUAAAGCAUAAUAUAAAAGUAGAGAGAGAAAAAGAGUGUUGAUAAGAAUUAAUAAUAAAAUAUGGGAUAGGGUUAGGAGAGAUGUGCCUCAAAAAUAGGGUUUGAGGAGUUUCAUUAGGUGUGGACACGGAGACCAAGAAGUAAAAGAUGAGUACAGUUAAAUGAAGAUGUGGUAAAAUAAUGUGACCCAUUUAUAUUUAAUAAUACAUUUGAAAUAGUGGAGGAAAGUAACGAGUGUAAUAACGUUUAUAUUAUUAUAGCAUAUAGAUAGCAGAAGAAAGCAAUGGGUAUAAAAGUGUAUUAUAUUAUUAAAGUUUUGAAAUGUUUAGAAAUAAUGGGGCAAUCAAAAAGAAAACUGUAUAAAAAUGGACGAGAGAAUACAAUUCAAGAAGUAAUAUAUCUCAAUUCAAACUAGGUAAUAUAUUUAUGAAUUAUAUUAAAAAAAAUUUGACAUUCAAAUAUAAAAAUUUAUUUUAUCAUCUUAACAAUGGAAUAUUCGAUUAUUAACUUUCGUAAAUAACAUUAAUUUUUCAUUAUAAUAUACUCUAAACUUUUAUUUUAUGUGCCUGUUUGUUUACAAGAAGCUGGAGUCCUACUUCUCUUGACUCGUUUGUGUAAAAACGUAAAAAGUGCUUUUAAAAAGUACUGAGAAGGAAAUGGAAGUAGAAAAUGCUAGUUUUUCUUUAUAAUAUCUAUUUCUUUUCUAGACACUUUAAUAAUUUAUAUAUAUUAAUUUAUUUCUCACUUAUACUCCAUUUUUUUAUAGAGAACUUCUUUUAAACUAAUCGGCUCCUAUAAUCAGUAGUUUCUCAAUUUUAAUAGGAAUAAGAGCAUGUUUAUCUGAGCUUAAAGCCCGGGGUUUAUAUCAUCUCUGGCUUUAAGCUGAAAAAUGUAUGUUUGUGUAUUAAGUCGGAAGUCGGCUUAAAGUCGGAAAUAAGUCAAAAAUUGACCUAAAACCAGAAGUUAGUUUGAGAUACUUUUCUCGGUGACUAAUUUUUUUUUUAGCCAUUUUUUGAUAAAAAUUAUUCCUAAAUCACAAAUUACUCAUAAAUUACUUUUAUUAUUAUUAUUAUUAUAUUUUUAAUAACUUAUAAAUUAUUAAUAAAUCAAAAUUAAUCAAACAAAUAUUUUAAGUUCUCAUAUUAUGAGAUAACUAACGUUAAGUCAUGAAUCAACUGAACGGGAUGUAAGUCUUCUUCUCCCCGAGUCAUCAGCAGACUUUUUCCAUGUCUUCUGAGCCCCCAUUGGCUCACAAUUGGCCCAAAAAAUAUUUGGUUAUGCAUUGCUAUUCACACACUUAGACAUCAAAAUUUAUCAUCCGACAGGCGACAGCUAACUGCACACUAUUUUUCCCACAAGCUGAAAAAUCAACGAUCAAUUAAUUUUUCUUAUCAAUUAAUAAAGUUAUGAUUUCACGUACACGGCAGGCAAAAUGCUAAUAAAUAGACGAGUGCAGUAUAGUAUGGGUUCAUGAUCACCUUGAGAUUUAAUUGAAAAAUAUUAUGGUGAUAUAGAUUAAAUUAAAUUAUAAUAUCUUGAAAAGUUAUAAAUAAUUUUAAUUACUAAUAAUAUUUAUUUGUACAUUUAAAUAUUUUUAUAAAAACACAAAAAUAGCAUUAUACUCAUUUAAGUUUCUCGUAUCCGCCUCUCUUCUUGGAGAUUGUGGAUUUGCGAUAUUUAUAUUGAUUAUUAUAGGAAAAUGUUAUUUCCAGAGCAAACAUUUUUAUUUCCGGAGCAAAUUCAAACAAAUUUUUCCAAAUUGUUCUGGAAAUUAAAAUAUUGAUAUGGAUAUAACAAUUCCCUUAUUAUAUCCUAUGUAUAUUACAUUAAUGCAAUUAACAUGGUUGAUUGUUUUAGUAUAUAAUCAUAUUACUGUGACCUUUUAGUAUAUAAUUAUAUUAUUUUUGUUAUAUUUUAUGCAUCUAGAAACAAUUUUUUUAUGAUAUUUAUUAUAUUAAUUAUAGUAAAAGAUAUAAUUUUGUUUAAAAAAUUGAAUAAAACUAAGAGGGAUAGCCUACGUCUCUCCGAGUCUUCGAGGACUCAUUCCAAGUCCGAGAGGACCACAGCCUCAACCUUUAAGAGAUGUGAAAGUAGCUUGAGAGUGAUAUAAAUUUAUUUUUGACAAUAAAAUUUAAUAAUCAAAUAAAUUAAAUUAAAUUAAACUAGUUUAUAAUCGAUUAAAAAUAUAUAAAUCAAAAUUAUUCCCGAAUUAUGAUAACAAUUAAAAUCAUUUUAAAAGUUGCAUAAAUCAAAUCCAAAUCGAACAAAUUCCCCUAACACUAAAAUGUAGUUGCUUUAUUGUAGAUAAAAACAGUAUAAUAAUAGUAUUGAUGAAAAAUCAAAUUCAUCAAAUAAGUUUAUAAAAAAUACAUGAUUUUAAUUUUAAAAAAAAAACAUGAUUUUAGUGUGUUGUAUUAGUAGUGUGUCCACGCAUUUAUAUAUUAAAAUCUAUCCUCUAAAAACUAUCGAUCUAUUUACACAACUAUUGAUCUGUCGUGCAACAAAUUCCAGGGCGAAGUUCCAAAGAGAGCUUAAAUGGCUUGCAUUGCUCAAUCUAUCUCAUAAUAGUCUUAACGACAUAUGUUCUGAAUUAUUAUUAUGAUUUCAACAAUAUUUUCAAACAUUUCUUAAUAUGUAUUUUCAAAGAAUUCUCAAGCACUUGAACAUUUGGACCGGUUCUUUCGAAGCCAGGCAAUGCACAAAAAUGUCCAAAAAUGAAUAAAUUAAGAGAGAGUAGCUCACCCUUUCAAAGCCUUCCAGGACUCAUUCCAAGUCUUCGGAGGACCACUGCCUCCCCCUUUCAAAGAUGUGAUAGUAGCUCGAGAGUGAUAUAAAUUAUUUUCCCGACAUUAAAAAUAAAAAAUCAGAUUAAAUUAAUCAAUAAUAACUUAAGGAUGAAAUCCAAAUUAAUCCUAAAUUUUGAUAAUAUAUAAAAAUUAUAAUUAUAAAUUAUAUAACCAAAUCAGAAUUGAAUUAACUUACUUGGCACUAGAAUUGCUAAAGACAGUAUAAUAAUUUAAUUGAUGAAAAGUCAAAGUCUUCUAAUAAAUCCAUAAAGAAUAUGAUAAUAUGAAAAUUAUAAUUGAAAAAUCAAAAUCAAUAGUGUAUUGGAAUAGUGUUCACACACUUAUAUAUCAAAAUUUGUGGUCCAAAAACUAUAGCACAAUAUCCUAAAUACAUCACAUUAAAUAAUAGCACAAAAAUAUUCAAUAAAUAAUUGAUUUCAUUCAUAAAUUUGUUAUUUUAAAAACUAAUAAUUUGGUUGAUGUUAACCUAUAUUUUAUAUAUAAUUUCGUCUUAUUUUAUUUUACUAGAAACAAUAUUUUUAUAAUAUUUAUUACAUUAAAUAUAUUAAAAGAUAUAAUUUUAUUAAAAAAAUUGAAUAAAAUUAAAAGGAUAAGUCUCGGCCUCUCCAAGUCUACAAGACUCAUUUCAAGUCCACCGAGGGCCUCAACCAUUGAGAGAUGUGAAAGUAGCUUGAGAGUGAUAUAAAUUAAUUAAAUUAGUUAAUAAUGAAUCAAGACUAAUCAUGAAUUAUGAUAAUAAUUAAAUAAAUUAUAAAAUUAAAUUAUACAAAUAACACUAAACCUUAGUUACUUUAUUGGUAAAUAAAUAUAAUAUAAUAAUCAAAUUGAUGAAAAAUCAAAAUCAUUUAAUAAAUUCACAAAAAAUAUAUGAUCAUUAGUAUGUUAUAUUAGUAUCCACACACUUAUAUUUCAAAAUCUAUCCUCCAAACUUAUCAUCUCUGUAAACUAGCCACAUAAAAUAAAAAUUUAAAGAUAUUAGAUAUUUAGUUAUUUUCAUUAUAUAAUUUUUCCACACGAAAUAACAAAAUAUCUUUAUCAAAUUAUUAUUUAUGAGUUAAAUAUUCAAUUUAUAAAUCCAGUAUGCAGCGUAUAAAUAGAAGUGUGCAGUAUGAUAUCAGAUUCACAUAACCCAGUUGAUGAGGAGAAACAUGGCAUACUCUGCAAAGCCUUCUCACCUUCUUCUCUUUGUUUUCUUUCUCUCAUCACUUGAAUCCAUUCUUGCAACAACACGAGAGGGAGAAGCUCUUGUGAAGUGGAAGAAUAGCCUAGCCCCUUCUUCUUUUCUCGACUCUUGGUCACUCACCAAUCUCGAUAAUCUUUGUAACUGGACUGGCAUUACUUGUAACUCUGCAGGUUCAGUCUCUGAGAUUAACCUUAGUGAGAAACAACUUGAUGGAAUGCUGUCCGAGUUUGGUUUCACUUCAUUUCCAAAUCUCAACAAUCUCACCCUCGCAUACAACUUCUUCUCGGGUCCAAUACCGCCAGCCAUUGAGAAUUUAACACAGCUUCAAUACCUUGAUUUAAGCUUUAAUUAUCUCGAUGGUCCCAUUCCGUUCCAGGUUAGCCAUCUUCAGAGGUUGCUCAUCUUAAACCUGUCACAGAAUGCAUUGCAAGCUCCAAAUUGGUCCCAUUUCUCUCCCAUGCCUUUCUUGCGCAUCCUCGACCUUAAUAGCAAUCAUCUUGCGUCGAACUUCCCAGAAUUUAUAUCCAAUUCUCAUAGCUUGGCUAUCCUUGACCUUGGAUAUAACAACUUUACAGGUGACCUUGUGCGUGAAUUUACUAAUCUACAAAAUCUUGAAACCCUCUACCUAGAUGAAAAUUCUUUUGAGGGGCCAUUUCCGCCGGAUGUAUUCAGGCUUUCCAAAUUAAAACAUCUUCGCCUGUCAGGUAACAAAUUCUCAGGUUCAAUUCCCAAUGACAUAAGGUUGCUUUGUGAUCUUGAAUCCCUAUAUUUAAGCAACAAUUCCUUUAAAGGACCCCUUCCAUCAAAUAUAUUCAAGCUUUCAAAAAUAAAACAUCUUGUUCUUUGGAGUAAUAAGUUUUCUGGUUCUGUUUCCAAUGAUAUAGGUUUACUUUCUGAGCUUGAAACCCUCGAUCUUAACUCUAAUUUUUUUGAGGGGCCGCUUCCGUCAAAUAUAUUCAAGCUCUCCAAACUAAGGUAUCUUUCCCUUUGGGGUAAUAACGUUUCAGGUUCUAUUUCCAAUGAUAUAGGUUUGCUUUCUGAGCUUGAAACCCUCGAUCUUAACUCUAAUAUUUUUGUGGGGCCGCUUCCGCCAAAUUUAUUCAAGCUCUCCAAACUAAAGAUUCUUUCCCUUUAUAAAAAUAACUUUUCAGGUUUUAUUUCUAAGGAUAUAGGUUUGCUUUUUGAACUUGAAACCCUCUAUCUUGGCUCUAAUUUUUUUGAGGGGCCGCUUCCCCCACAUGUAUUUAGGCUCUCCAAAUUAAGAGAUUUGGGUCUCAGAGACAAUAGAAAUUUAUUUCAAGGAAGUAUUCCUAUUGGACUGGGACUCUUGACUAAUCUCAGGUACUUGAGUCUAUUUUCCAAUGAUCUCAGUGGCUAUAUUCCAUCUGAGAUUGGAAACCUGAAGCUACUAAAAGUUCUUGAACUCGGUUCUAAUCAAUUGACAGGACCGCUUUUAAAGAUAGUUUCUAAUCUCAAAAAUCUUAUAUAUCUUGGUGUAAGUGGUAAUAGUCUUAGUGGAAAUAUUCAGAGUGACUUGUGGAAAUAUAACGAUCAUCCAACUUUGGAAUACAUCAAUUUAAGUGGGAACCAUUUUACGGGUAUAGUUUCUCUCUAUAGAUCUUUGUCAUAUGUAACUAAGCUAGUAAUCUGAUUAUUGCCUUUUCACCAAAGUUUCAACAAUCUUGACAGGUGAGCUUCCAACAACAAUUUGCAAUGUCACAUCCCUUUUGCUUCUUGAUUUGUCAAAUAAUGAAUUAAGUGGUGCACUUCCAAACUGUUUCGGAAAUCUUGCUGAUAGAUUGCUUUACGUUAAUCUUGCUAAUAAUCAGUUUCGAGGAACAAUACCAACUACUUUCUCCAGGAGUUGUCAGCUGAAAUAUCUAAACAUGGAUAAUAAUGAGUUUGAAGGAUUGUUGCCCCCGUCUUUGGAAAACUGUAAGCACUUGAGAAUUCUUGAUAUUGGCAAUAAUAAAAUAGGUGGUACAUUUCCGUCAUGGCUUUAUGUACUUGGAGAGCUAGAAGUCCUUGUCUUGCAAUCAAAUAAACUCUAUGGUACAAUAAGUGGAAGGAGCAUAGAAGAUCCCUUCCGCAAGUUGCGGAUUGUGGAUCUGUCCAACAACCACUUCACAGGCCAUUUGCCAAUUCAAUACUUUAAGAAUAUGAAAUCAACUGAUAAUUUGUAUAGUUAUCAGCUUUCCACAGCAGUUUUUUCUUUCCAUUAUGAAGCAGCAGUCUCAUUAAUUGUGAAGGGAACAGAGUAUGAAGUAGCAAAUAACCUUCAUAUUUACACAGCCAUUGAUCUGUCGUGCAACAAAUUUCAGGGAGAAAUUCCAAAGGUUACUGGAGAGCUUAAAUGGCUGGCAUUGCUCAACUUAUCUCAUAAUAGUCUAACAGGACCUAUCCCGUCAUUGCUGAGAAAUAUGAAAGAACUCCAAUCUUUAGAUUUGUCCUCAAAUCAACUGACGGGGGCUAUUCCACCUCAGUUAACUGCGCUGACAUUUCUAGAGGUCUUAAACCUCUCGGGAAACCAUCUUAGUGGAGAGAUUCCUCAGAAAGGACAAUUCAGCACAUUCAACAAUGAUUCGUAUCUAGGAAACUCCGCUUUAUGUGGAUCACCAUUGACGAAGAAAUGUGCAAACACAGCAUCACCUCCACAAGAAGUCGGAAAUGUUGAUGAAGAUUAUGCGGGUGAUGAAUUGACAUGGGAAGCAAUCAUGAUCGGAUAUGGAUGUCGACUGAUAUGUGGAUUGUCAUCUGCAUACAUUGUUCUCAAACUAGGAAAGCCUUGGUAGUUUGUGAGAUAUGUCGAAGUACUGCAACAGAAGUUGAUGAAAAGAUGCUUGAAGAAAGGUACUGGUCGACCAAUAAGAACUUGAAAGUUGUUGUCCUGGUAGACAUUUCUGAACCAGUAGUAUUUGGUAUUAUGUGAUAUUCUGUUUGGUCCGGACUCAUAACGAUUUCGCUUGCUUCAGGAGUAUUAAUAUUAACCUUCCUAUCUUGAUCAAUGUUAAUGCAAAUUAAAAUGAAAAGGCAAAAAAUAUGCAUCAAAUCCCCUCCUGUUGUACCAAGAUUCAUUAAUUAAGAGGCAUGGCUUUUGUCUCUCCAAGUCUUCGAGAAAUUAUUCCAAGUCUUCUUUGGAGGCCUACUGCCUCAACAACCUUUCAAAGAUGUAGCAGUUGCUCGACAGUGAUAUAUAUAUUAGAUAAAGACUAUGCAACAACCAACGUGACAGAAAAAUCAAAAUAGGACAAAAUCCGUACGAAUCAAAAUAGUUUAUUUCUAAGGGGAAUAGCUGAAUUAAAUUGUAAGAGAAGUAAAACAGAUUCUUUUAUAUUUUGGAAUAUAACUGAAAAAGAUUUUGAGAUAAUUUUCAGAAAUCAAACCAGUCAAAUAAAUAUUCGCUGAAGGAACAGAGUAAAGAUACAACGAAUAUAACAAGUUGUAAGAUGAAUAUCGCUGAAUCAAACAGGGUAGAACCCGUACAAAAACGCCAAACAGAAAGGAUCAAAACAGAGUAAUCAAAUUUACCUAACACUAAUAGAAGUAGUGCUGAAUAAAAGAGAACGAAAUCUGUACCUUAAAAAUAGCAAACGCAAACACUAACCAACCUCACAAGGGACCAUCUAAACUCCCUAACCCCGACUUUAUCUUAAACUCCAAAUAUCUCCCUGACUCCAAUAUGCCCAGAACAAUAAACGAAUGUUUUGACCUUCUAAACGAUGUUUUCUGGAAUAACGCAAAACACGAAAAUCGUAGAGAACGAAAAGACCUUUCCGAAAAGGUAAGGCUCGUCAAGAACGGAGUCAUAACGAAUCGGGAAUUAAAUAAAACGUCCGCUGAUUCAGAACUCAAAGCGAGAACAGGAUCUGAUUAAGUUUUGUAAUUUUGAGAACAGUUUGAAACAUAAUCUGAGAAAACAUUAUAAACGAAAGUAUAUGAGAUUGAAAGAGCUUUCCGAAACAUCAAGAAUCAUCAAAUUCCGAUAAGAAUUGAAUUUUCUACGAAUUUUACAAGACAGCUGAUUUGUGAGAAUAAAGCCCUACGAAUUUUUGUCAUAAAAAUGAAGAGAAGGUUGAGUAGCUCUCAAAAGUAUAUAAAAAGAAUGAGAGAACAAAUCAAUAUACUCCCUUUGUCCCUCUCGUUUAUUUACAGUGUUUGACACGCAUUUUAAAGCGCAUAUAAAACAUAGUUCUAUGAUUUAUUUUCAAAAUUUUUCUUUUUUGUAUAAAAAUUUAAACAUCAAAUUUUUAUCUAGAAAAAAAGGAAGUUCAAAAUAAUUUAUUGAACUACGUUUUACGAGAGCAUUAGAAUGCGUGCCGAGCCCCCGUCCCCCAAUGUAAACAAAUGAGAGGGACGGAAGGAGUAUAUAUACAGAGUCUUGAGACCCUAAUUCUAAACCUAUCCAUUAUCUGAAUGCAAGGCUGAUCUAUAUUUUAAGUACACUAUCCUAAUUCAAUUUUAAAUCCUAUUCAUAAUCUAAUUUUAAUCCUUUAUUAUUAUUACUAACCAAUUAAUAUUAUUUUAAAAAAAUACUGGAUAUUACAUUCCUGAUCAGACUAGUGAUCGGAUUGCAACCGCAAAGCAGCCUAUAUAUAGUGACAAUUAAAUACACAACAAAACAACUUCUUUCUUCUCUCUUGGGUUAUAAUACUCAGACGGACAAGCUAUAUCUGAGGCGAUUUUCUGGGCGAUUAAACACACAAUAAAAGCAGCUUCUUCUUCUUCAAUUAAGGUUUAUUCUACACCCAAUCACAUACACACACACACUUUAAUAUGACUAGUGAGUUCAAUUUUUGGUGGUAUUAUAUGAUUAUCAUGUUCUCUUUUUAAAUAUUAGUAACGUUAUUUUCGGAGUGGACUCUGUUGAUGUUUAAAUUUGAUAUAGAUAUUGUAAUUGAAAAUUUAUGUUGAUUUGUUGUUCAGAUUUCAAGUAUUAAUUUGUGUGUGAUCAAAAUUUUGCUUCUACAUCGAUUAUCAGGAGGAAAUAUGAGGCCGAUCUUGAUCAAAGGACACGAAAGGCCAUUAACAUAUCUAAAGUAUAACAAGGAGGGUGACCUCCUCUUCUCCUGCGCAUUAGACAGAAACCCCGCUGUUUGGUACGCUGAUAAGGGAGAGCUUUUAGGCACUUACCGUGGGCACAUUGGUUCUGUUUGGGGUUGUGAUGUUUCUAGGGAUUCAAAACUUUUAAUAACUGCAAGUGCGGAUCAAACAGCAAAGGUAUGGGAUGUUCAAACUGGGUCUGAGCUGUUCACGUUUGAAUUUAAGUCCACUGUGAAAUCAGUAGAAUUUGGUGUCGGAGACAAGCUUGCUGUCAUUGCAACAGACUCCUUUCGUGACAUGUCUUCUGCAAUUCAUGUCAAACACAUAGCCAGAGAUCCUAGUGAACAGUGCGGUGAUUCUGUGAUUGAAUUCUCACCUGGAGGAAGAAUCAAUAGAGCUGUUUGGGGACCUUUAAAUAGGACCAUAAUAAGUGGUGGUGAACAAGGCGUUGUUCGUGUGUGGGACGUUGAGACAAAGAAAGUGAUUUAUGAGUCAGACAAGGAUACUGGUCAUCAGAAGGCCAUUACAUCACUUGCAAAAUCAAGAGACGGUUCACAUUUACUUACUGCUUCCAUUGACAAAUCAGCUAAGCUUUGGGACAUCAGAUCAAUGAAACUUCUCAGGACAUACAAGGCUGAAGCCCCAGUUAAUGCAGUUGCACUCUCUCCACUACUUGAUCAUGUCGUGCUCGGAGGUGGUCAAGAUGCAUCGACUGUUACAAACGAUCCUCGUGCUGGCAAGUUUGAGGCCAAAUUUUAUUCCAAGGUCCUUGAAGAAGAAAUUGGAUCUGUGAAAGGACACUUUGGUCCGAUAAAUGCAUUGGCAUUCAACCCUGAUGGAAAAAGUUUCGCAAGUGGAGGUGAAGAUGGUUAUUUGCGAUUACAUCACUUUGAUCAUGACUACUUCAACAUGGCGAUUUAAUUCGAAUUACUUACAUUGCUACGUCUUUUUUUUUUUUUUUCCGGUUUUAUUCAAGUUAUUUUCUGGUUUUUAUGUUGAUCUUAUGUUCUUUGUUAUAAAUAGAAGUGUGGUUCCUUUUAAAACUAUUUACAUAAGUUUUUGGCUUUUCAUGUAAUUUAAUCAAAGUAAAUGCCAUGAGAUCCUGAAUAUAUCUACUUAUCUAUCUAUCUACUUAUUAAAGCAGAAUCAGGGGAAAAAUAUACCAGAAAUUGGAUGAAAAAUUUACAUACACACCCUCAAUUAUUCAUCAAUUCCGAAAUUGGCCUGUAGUUUAGCUGUUAACUUGCAGGAUUUUUGUAAAAGUAGGAAUCAGCGAUUCUUAGGUACCCCAGUGACCCCGAAUCGGUUUCUCAGAUUCUUGGAAAUCCUCGGUCAGUUGAUUUAGAUUGUGGGCAUAUAUACACCUAUAGUCAGCCUCCGGCGGUGCAAUCUUUUGGUGGUGUUUUUCAGCCUUUUCUGCUAUAGCGAUUCUUGUUAAAACAUUCAGGUGCUAGGGUUGUUUUGUUGGUAAAGGGAAUUGGAUUGUUGUAUCUGCGGUUGUGGCAAAGGUAAUUUUCUUGCCCUUGCUAUUCUUUUGGGAUGUCUGAUUAUAAAUAGCCCUUCUAACUUUGUUCACCUGUUCUGUAUGAUGUGUGUCAUUUGUGAUUGAGUCGAGCAGUAUAUCAUUUUGAUGCAUAUUGUUAAUUUCACUCUGGGAAAUUUUUAUGCUGAUGUUUGGGCAAUUAAUUCUGGUUAUUUCGUUGAUUUUGUUUGUGGUUUGUUUCCACCUGCCAUUAGAACUGUAAAGUAAAGUGUAUUUAUUGAUCAUGAUUCAAGUGUUUGUAGAUAAUCGAUGUGGGUGACAAAGAAGCUGCAAAUGAUGAUGGUUCUUCACAAAUUUUAUCUGCUUUGCUUCCUUUUGUUGUGGCUCUCACCAUGGUUGUCAAGUCGACGACUGCUGUUGCUGCUCUUGCUCAGCCCUCAACUUUCACCUGGUAACAACUUUUGUAUGUUUGGUAAAAUAUUUUGAUUUUUUUUUUUUUGUAAGGGUAAAAUAUUUUGAUUGUGAUAAGCUAAUUUAUUGUUUUUUAAUGAUUCCAACACUACAACAGAUUUAGCAUCACACAACGGUUUUUGCCCGUUGUCUGAGACCACGGAAAACCGUGGUCUAUCGAGACGCCGUCUGAUAUGCGUAUCAGACAACGGUGCGCACCGUUGUGUGAUAGUGCUAAACACGAUGGUUUACGUUAAAAAAAUUGUUGUGCAACACCCAGAACCAACAACGUUUACUCUUAAACGUGGUGUUGUUAGAAACACUCCUUAACAAUAGUCGAUUUCAAAAAUGGUGUUGUUAGAGAGACUAUCCACAACAGUUUUAUUAGCUCGCAAGACUUGUUGGAAAGAUGAUCAUACAACAGUAGUUGAAAUAGAGAAGCUCGUUCUUUCCUCUCUUGUACAACGGGUUUCGAACACCAAGCCACUUGUGUAAGGCCCCUUCUAACAAUGUUUUAAUUAGUGAGGUUGUUGUGUUUAGUUACGUCAGACAAUGGUUUUCUUUCAUAGUUGGUUGUCGUUUACAUGUUUUAACAAUUGUUUCUGUUUCAUCAUUAUUGCAAGUCAUUUGUUUGGACAAUGGUUUUGUGACAAUAAAUCAUUGUUUCCAGUUUUAUGAGACAAUGUUUUUAAUGAAUAAUGAUUAUUGUAUCAUGUUCAGUAUGACAAUGGCCCUGUAUUAUCCCAUUACCUAAAUACAUAAUAGACAAUGAUUAACAUAACUCGAUUAAACUAAGCUAGAGAAUGUAAUUAAAAAGCCAAAAAUUUGUAAACAAAAAAUUUCAUUAUGCACUAAUAACCAUUGUUACAACCAAAUCAUAUAUACCAUCCAAUAUCCAGAAAUAUUUCCCCCGAGGAUGGCAAAUCUCAAAAAUAUAAAUACCUACAAUAAAUGGUAGCAUCUAGAGAGGCAUAUGUGACUACAAGAGUCUUUUGUGAGCUUUUCAACUACCCAGCCCAGGAACAAUCCUCUGAUUGCAUUCUUUUGAUUCGGAUGGAGCCCUCCUGCUAUCUCUUUUGGAAGUGACUCUACUGCAACCACCUGUAAUACAUAAAAAAGUUCUUGAUAUGCUUUUCGUACAAAGAAAUUAAUGUGGUUGAGGAGUAUGUUUCGAGUUCAAAAUAUACCAGUGUGCCAUCUUCCAUGGUUUCACGUCAUUCAUACACAAUAAAUUGUAGCAAUUGUGAGCCCUAUCAACAUACCAGUCUUUCUGUAUUUAGAGUUGGAGCAGCUAAGCCAAAAUCAGACAAAUGGGGAUUGAGUUCAUCAAGUAAAAUAUUUGCUGACUUUAAGGUACUAUUAACAACAUAAGGAACAACAUCAGCAUCUUGCUUCUAUCAUCAGUGAAGUAUAAAAACUCUUGCAAGCUACUAUUUGCAAUAUAAUCAUGGACCAGAAGACGUACCAUGUUCAGCGGAAUAUCAUUCAAAUCUCUGGCAUGGUUGUUGUGAUGGAUAAAAAUAAGUUCCUUUAUGACCUGAAUUAAACAUUAAAAGAUACCAAAUUAACCGAAAUGCGUAGAGAUGCACAAAAAGUCCAGGCCCGAAAAUAUGGUCAUAGAGAUUUAAAAAAAGUCGAAAAUAAAGACAAACCAUGUGAGUAAAAAGCAGAGUAAGGAGGAUUGAUGGUAGUGUUUGAUAUAGAUGCCAUGUGGGUAGAUCCAUAUGAGCUGCUGGAAGCAGAGAGAUUUCUUCCAAACUCUCUUACAUUAUUGACAACAUUUGUGUUAACAUAUAUGUGUUGUAUAUGAAAUUUUAAAGAUUAGAUACAUAAAUAUAAUAUUAUUCGGAAAAUAUAACAUACCAUCUCGAGUCAUUUUCUUGCUUGGUCAUUAAAAUAACCUACAGCAAGUAAUGUACCCUCACUCUAUAAGAAGAAGAUGGACAAAAAGAAGUCAGUUGUAUGGAUGCCUCGGAAUAUAUACAAGAAUGUCCCAGGGAUAUUUAUUCAGUUGAUGAAGCAUGUAUAUCUAGAAAUUAACAAACCUCAUCAGCCAAAACAAAUAUAAAAUUAAUAAAAUCAUCUGUCUCCAAACACACAGAUUAAAAUCAAAGCACAAAUGUUAUCACACAAAACCAAGACAACACAAGAUCCAUCACUAAAACACACAACUACUACUAAAAUCAAACACACAAACAAAAAUCUCAUAUAGAUUCAAACUUUAUCCCCAAAAUCAAGUAUAAUUACACAGUAAAAAGCAUUCGUUUACCUCUUCAUAAGGUGAAUUGUUGUUAAACUAAUCAGCACGGUCAACACCGGCAUCAAAAACUUGAAUGGCCUUUGGGGUUAUCGCCGACAGAACAGAUCUGAGUAAGCUUUGUAGAAAAUGAGAUAGAGACGGGGGAGGGAGGGGAGAGUUCAGAGGAGGGUGAGGGAGAGACAGAGGGCGAGAGGGAGGGGAGGGGCGAGAUGCUUUAACAAAUCAAUUGCGGCAAGAGUGGGGAAGACACAGCCGCACCAGAAGAGGAAGAGAUAGAUUCAGAAGAAGAGAGAUUUACUCUCACUUACAAAUUUUAGGUCAAAAUAGAGGGGGGGAAAUGAAAAUUUGGAUAAACAAGUAGAGAGGGAAUUGAAAAUUUUUGUAAGGUGGAAAUCAUUCGUUCAUCCCGUGUAAAUAACAAAAUCAAUGUAUUAUAAUAUCCAUAUAGUUGAAUUAUAAAUAAAUGAAUUUUUUAAAUUAUAUUUUUGUAUUUGAUUACAAAUAUUUCAUAUUAAAUAAAUUUUAAAAACAAUUUUAAUGUAGAUGUCAAUAUCUAAUUAUUUUAGUUAUUUGUGAAAAUCUUCAAAAAAUUAAAAAUUAAUCUGGUAAAUCUUUUUGACAAAAUAUAGUUGAAAUACAACUAUUUAAUAAAAAAUUAAUAAUUCUUUAAAAGUUAAAAUUCUCAUUUUCUCGAUGUAUUCCGUUUUUGUACUCUUUGUCUAAAUAAAAUAUACACAAAUUUUUAUUAUUCAUUUGUAAUAAGAAGAUAUUUGUGUGGUUCAAAUGUCAAUAUUAGUAUAAAUUUCAUAUUUACAAUAUAGGAUGUACUUAAUAGAAGUUUUGUGAUCUAUAUGAUUAACCCCGUAUUAAUUUUGAAAUAUUUUCGAUCAUCCAAACAUAUAAAGAUCUUAAUAUCUAUCAAUAUUAGUCAUGUAUAAUAUUUUUAAAUUUUUCUAUAUUUAUUUAUAUCUUGUUGUAACAAAACUAGUGAUGAUCGUUGUUUUUAUGUCAUUUCUUAUUUUUGUACUUUUUAUCAAAAAAUUAUAUUUAUAUUAUGCAUAUGUCCAAAUUUGUAUUAUUCAUUUGUAAUUGGAAGAUAAUUUUGUUGUUCGGACCUGAGUAUUACUAUGUGUUUUAUGUUCACAAUUUAGGAAGCACUAGAUAGAAUUUUUGUUAUCUACAAAAUUUGCUCUGAAUUAAUUUAUAAAUAUUUUUUUCGAUGAUAUAACCGUACGGAUGUUAAUAACUAACAAUAUUAGUCAUGCAUAAAAAAAUUAGAUUUUUUUAUGCUUAUUUUAUAUGCUUUUUUUACAAAACUAGUCAAUUGUAAAUUUUGUCUUAUUGUAAAAAGGUAAUUUUUGUCUUGUAGUGUCCAACAGACAACGGUACUUAUAGGCACGUGUGUUGUAUGAGUUAAAAUGACACAACUGUUAUGGACAUUAUACAGUCAUAACAAAAUCUAUUGUCUAAAAUAGGCUCAAACAAUGUUUCGGGAAAAACUCGUUGUGUGUAAGUAGUGUAGACAAUGGUUUCUGGGAGGCAAACCGUUGUAUAAUAAAUUUUCAUUUUUAAGAGUUAGAAAUUCACAUUUUCUUGAUUAGUUCUUGUUUUUGUACUCUUUGUCUUAACAAAUAUACUUAUAUUAUGUAUAUAUGCAAAUAUCAAUUGUCAUUUGUACUAUGAAGAUAAUUUUGUAGUUCGAACAUGAGUAUUGGUAUGUGUUUUAUAUUUACAAUUUAGAAAGUACUGAAUAGGAUCUUUGCUAUAUAUAAGAUUAGCUCCGUAUUAUUUUAUAAAUAUUGAUUUUGAUGAUCUAACCGUACGGAUGUCGAAAACUAACAAUAUUAGUCAUGUAUAAAAAAAAUCAAUUUUUUAUGUUUAUUUUGUAUGUUUUUUUUAACAAUACUAGUCAAUUGUAAAUUUUGUCUUACUGUAAAAAGGUAUUUUUUGUCAUGUAGUGUCUAACAUACAAUGGUUUUUAUAUGCACCUAUGUUGUAUAAUUGAAAAUGAUACAACUGUUACAGAAGUAUACCGUUCUAAGAAAAUCUAUUGUCUAAAUUAGGCUCAAACAACGGUUCACGGAAAAUCCGUUGUAAAAAAGUAGUGUAGACAACAGUUUAUGGGAAGGAAACCGUUGUAUAAUAAAUUUUCAUUUUUAUGAGUUAAAAAUUCGCAUUUCCUUGAUCAAUUCUUGAUCUAAUGCAAGAAAAACAUAUGACUAUCAAGAAAUUGAUUGUUUUGUUAUAACUUUGGUUAGGACUUUGAAUCUUUGCACUCUCUUAUGUACAUCCAUUUUCUUAAAAUUCAUUCAAUCAUACAACAUUUUAUUAGUUAGUAGAGGCUUGUCUAUAAUGCCAUGCUACAAUGCUAACAAAAACACUUGUAUGUUAGCUUCCCAGUCACACAACACUAUAUAAAACCCUUGUUUGAACUCCUCGUAAACAACACAACAAAUAAAACACUUGUCUAAUUACAACGACGGUUUCUUGAACUAUUGUCUGAAGUUUCUUCACACAUCGGCUCUCAAAACAGUUGUCUAACAUGCAUCAUUACACAAUACCACAGUUAAGAAACCAUUGUCUAAUUGAAUUUACUAGACAACAAUUUUUUAACCGUUGUAGGUCGUAGAUGUUAGACAAUAGUUUUUCGAGGCCGAAAAGAAAGUGUUGUGUCUUUUUUCCAAACAACGCUUUUUUCACCGUGCGUUGUCUGAUCAGUGUUGUCUAAUGGUGUUAUUGUUGUAGUGCAAGUUGGAUUUAUUUAAUGCUAAUAGGUACUUGUUCAAGUGAGGAGAUUUAACUGAGAUUCAGGUUCUGGCAUUUGUCUUGUGUUGUUAUUUGUUUAUGUACCGGUUUUGAGAGUCAUUAGAGAUAUGUAAGGUAUUUAUUCCUAUUUUUUAUUAUUAGUAUUACAUCGUUUUCGGGUAAAAUAAUCGAUGAUUGUUUGUUUUAACUGUGUAAUAGCCUUAUGAUCUGCCAACUUAUGUAGACAUGUGAUAAACAUGUUGACUGUGGUCAAUAUUUUAGAUGAGGUAGUGUGUUUGUUGUUAUUGCAAGACUUUUUGGAAUAAUCAUUGUCAAAAAGAACUAACGAUGAAUGGAAAUGAAGUUCUGAAGAAGUGAUGAUACAAUGUUAAAGAGAUUGCUUUUUGUUGAAUUUUUCUGACUCUGGAAUUAAACUGCGUUAGUAUCUUCUUCUCUGAUUUUCCUUAUUUGGUAGACCUACUACUUUCAGAAGAUACAUGUGGUAUUUGUUUGGUUGAUUAAUUUUGGUAAGAUACAGUUUCCGUUUGGAAUCAGACUAUCCAUUGAACAAUCAGACUAUCCAUUGAAGAUUUUAUGCUCGCUCUUAAAUGGUUGAUCCACUGAUCUUAUUCUUACUUCAUAUGAGCUAAAGCCAGCUCUAGGGGUGUUUCUCGCAUACAAAAAAAUUAAAAAAAAUAUUAUGAAACUAUACUUUGCAGGAGUCUCAAAAUAAAUAAGUGUAAACGAUAAACUUAAACACCUAACUUCUUAAACACCUAGCAUAACACGGGUGAGCAUAUGGUCAAUCAUACCAAAUUGAAUAAAUCGAAAUUAAAAUUUAAAUAUUUUUAGACUGGACCAAACUGAAAUAUUUUGUCCGAUCCAGUUCAGUAUGAUCGAAAAGAAUUGAUUCUUUUGGAAAAAGUAACUUAAUAUUAUAAAUAAAAUUAAGAUUUAUAAUUUAUUUAAAAACUAUCAAUGAAUCAUCAACACUUCUUCAAAAAUAGAUACAUUUGAAUUUAUACAUUAGAUAUUAUAACUUCUAAAAAGUAUAUAAAAAUAUAUAAUAUAAAUAUAAAUUUAUAGUAUAAUUUUUUUGACUAUUUAGAAUAUAUUUUUAACCCAAAUAUUUUUUUUUAAAAUCAAAUUUUAUUUCGAUGAACUUUUCUAGAAAAUUAAGAUAGAAACGAAACUCAUUCCUACAGUAAGGUUUCAGUUUUUCGGCUGCAAUACGGUUUUGCUCAUCAUUAGCAUAAAUGGAGUAUGUAGUAAAUAUGAAUGAAUGGCAUGGGAAUUCUUGGAAUGGUAUCAAGAAUUAAGAUUAAAGCACAUUAGAAGUUUAGAACCAUGAAUGUUAUUUUUGAAAAUAGUAAUCCCUCCGUUUCUUAUCACGUUUCUCGUUUGAUAUGUCGGAACGGUUCAUAAUAUGAGACAAAUUAGUAAUUUAUGUCCAAUUUAUAAAAUUAAAUAUAGUCAUGAGUGAUCUUGUUGGAUUCGUAUCUAUGAGUACUUUAAUAAGAUGAAAUUUUUAUAUUUAAUGUUAAUACAAAAUUAAAAUAUAUUAAUUAAAAAUAUAUAUUGACAAACGUGAUAAAAACAAACAGCAAAAAUAUUAAGAAACGAAGCGAGGGAGUAAUAAAUAUGCUUUAUGCUGAACUGAAUUGAGUGCGUGGAAGCUUGGGGAGGCAGCUUACUACAGUAUCUACGUGUAUCUGUAUAUGCAAUAAAGACACAAAUACUCACAGGAGAUUAUUUUUCAAACACUUAAUUUCCCCCUUUCCUUCUCGUAAUAUUCAACUCAAUUCAUCACAUCAUCUUCUUCAGACAAACAACUAUACUCACUUCAGAUCAUCACAUCAUCUUCUUCUUGACUUCAGAUCCACAUUUCAAACCCUAAUCAUUCGCUUGGUCCCCUCCCUCUCUGUAAUAAUACAAUUCUUUCUACACACAAACAAUAACAUCAUCAUCAUCGAGUGAAGCUUCAUAUCCACAUUCCAAGACCUAAUUACUCGCCAAACCACUCUCGCUCUCAUGGAGGAGGCCUUAGAAAUGGCGAGAUCGAAUGAUACCAAGAAGCGAAGGGCGGGAGUGGAUCGGCUGCAACAGCUUCUUGAAGAUUCAAGAAAGUGCUUGUCAUCGUCGGAAGUGACGGCGCUAGUCGACACGUGUCUUGAGCUUUUGAAGGACACGUGUGUUGCUGUCGUCGGCCGCGGAGUUGUUUAAGUUGCAUUCUGAUAGAAUUAUGACGGCGGUUGUUGAUAGGUUGUGGGAUGGGGAGCAGCGGGUUCGAGACUCGGCGAGGAGGCUGUUGAUUACCCUUAUGGAGGUAAUUUAUUAAUUUUCUUGGGGAAUGCCAGUUGAUUUUAUGGAAUGUGAUAUAGUAUAGUUUCUAUCAAUCGAGUAUCUUAAAUUGAUGACUACAACAAGUAUUAUCGUUUUGCACGCAAGUGGCUAAACUUUUAUGCAUGCCAAAUUGCCAAUCGGGUUUCAAUUUCAGAUCUCUGCCUUCACUUGCAUACGAACACAUUUGAGUUUAAAAAGAUGAAUCACCUCAUAAAUAUCAUUAAUAAUUAGUUGGUGUUAAUAGUGCACUGAAAAAUGGGAGAGAAUGACAAGACUAUAGACAGUAGUAGGGCUGAGCGAGAUGUUAAUUGAGUACUUAUAUGAUGCUUCACUAUGUUCAGGGAGUUAGUUUAUUGCUUCUUUCCUACACUUUCACUUGAAUUAGUACUAAUUAAUAAUUCCUUCUCUAUCUUGUAAAAUUUCUCCUUCAUUGCUAAGCAUAUCUACUCUGAUUAAUUUUCAAACAAACUUUACUACUGAGAUAGGAUUGUUUGCUGGGUAGGAGCACCAUAGAAUGAGUAGCUCUAUUGCUAUAUACUGAAGGGUGCGGUGGCAUCCUCGGUUAUAUUUUAAGUGCUACUUCGAAUUUAGUUGUUGGCUUUUGCAAUUUAUUUUCAUUCACAAUGUUUUAAUAAUGAUACCCCAUAUUAGGUGAGAGAUAUUAGUGCCAGGCUGGAGCAGAUUCAGAUUCAACCAGCAACUUCCGUCUCUUCCAUCUCUGAAGGACUUAAUAGUAAUCUUCUCCACCAUGCACCUGAUUUAGAAGUAUAAUGUAUUAAUGUGAACUUUUUAUUUAUAUUUAUUUCCAUGUGUAGUAAAACGAUCACAUCUUUUAAGAGCUUAGUACAAUGUUAUGUACAAUGUGUAAUUAAUUAAGAGGUUUGUACAUAGUUUAGUAUGAAAUGGAAAAAGUUUGUACAGAAGUUUAUUUGUUCACAUUACAGCUGAGACGAGCAAGCAAAAACCAUCAGAGAAUUCAAAGGAUAAUGAUAAAGGAAUUGAGCCCCUACUGGAACUGCCGGAAGAUAUUAUCUUUCUACAAAUUCUGCCUAAGUUGAACAGCCUAGAUGUUCUUCCCCUGGUUUUGGUGGCUAGGAGUUGGGCCUCCUUUCUUUUGCAUGAGGGACCCAGACUGAUGUUAUUCAACCCACCUAAAAAUCCUACACCUAAACACACUUCAAUUUUAUUUGAUGUAAGCCCGAUUCCGUACUCUGUUUCAGUUUUGUUAUCCCCAGAGAGCCGCCAACUGUGUCAGUCUAGGUGUAUAAUUGUUCCAAUCUUGAAUUCUGGUAUAAAACAUGCUGUUCCAAUUUUCACUGACUACCCAGAUUUUUUAAAGCAGGGGGAAGUCCCAACUGUAGUGGGAUCUUCCAGUGGUAUUAUAUGCCUCUAUAUCACCAGUUCUCCCUCUAGAUACAUCCUGCUAAACCCCUUAACAAAACAUUAUAAAGAGGUUGGGGCCCCUUAUAUUUUUGUACCAGAUUGUGAGCAAGCUUCUGUAACUUCUGGAUUCUUUUAUGAUGAAUGGACUGAUGACUUAAAGAUCGUACAAUUGUUGAGAUGGGAUCAAAGGCUUACGAGCUUGGAUGCUCCGGGACCCAAAAAGAUACAUGCGCUUCGCGUUUGUUCUGUAAAUUCUGCAAAUUGGGAAGUUGUUGACUUGGGGCCAAUGAAAGUCUCCGAUCGUCUUGGUGGUGUGUUAUUUUUGCCGAAAGCUCUCGUCACAUUUGUAGAUGCGUUUGCUACAGAGCCGGAGAUUAACUUUUGGUUGGAUUUUCGUGAUUGCCGUCUAAAGGCAGUUCCGGAAUUAGAAGGGGCUGAACUCAGUAUGAAAUCGGUUUGGUGGAAUAACCAGGUUGGUGUUAUUGUUGGAACUGACAGCAUUUAUGUCCUUGAUGAGGAGUUUGCAGCCUGGUAUUACUGCACAGUGCUUCCGGACGUGGGAAAUUGUGUAUUCUGUUUAGAUGAGAACAAAAUUGUGGGGAUGGGGGCUGGGGAAAGCGGAAGCGUAAAUGAUUACAAUAUUCUUAAUUCCACAAGCGGCGAAAUCCAACAUAUAAUCUCGUUGCCUUCUUGCAGGGUUUUUCCGUAUGUUCCUACAUUCUACUAUAUCGAGGGAAUGGCUAAUUUUUAGACUUUUGCAAGUCACAAUGUAAUAAAAGAAUGUAAACAGUACAUAGCAGCAAUACCUCUCUAUAGCAUAUAGUUUCAGAUACAACAUGUAUUGUGAUGCCAGCUUGUAGAGUACAAGUAUUAUUCUAGGUGAUUGAUUGUUGAGAAUAAUAGAGGCAACCGGUUGCAUGAUGGUAUCCUUGAAACUUUCAUAAUUACUAAUAUCGAACUCAGAUAGCAUGCAAUUUUUCCGGAGAUCAUAUUCUUUAGCUAUCAACUAACUCUACAUUAUAUAUUAUGUCCCAGAUCAAUGAGUUUGUUUGCUAUAAUGUCCUAUUUUAUAUGUGAUUUAGGAAUAUGUUCCAUUAACUUGUUAUCACCCUCAAAUCUAAAAUCUAAGACUACCAUGUCCUUAGUUUAUUUUGUUUAAUAUUUGUGAAUAGACUCUAAUCUGAUCAUAUCAAUUAUAUUUUAGUAACAGAUGUUUAAAUGCAUAUGUUUUUGUUAUCUAGUUAUUUCAAUGAUGAUGGGAUUAAAUUUUUUUAUUCUUGUAAUAUGUACAAUGAUUGGUUUAGCUUUAAUAUUUAUUUUUAUUUUUAUUUACCAAUUUUAAUGUAGGUAAAGUUUUAUCAGCAAAUUUUAUUUUUUGUAUGCAGUAAUCUGUUCUAAUAUCAAAUUUUGAUUUAGAUCGAGUAUUAGUAUGUUGAAUUUGCAUUCAUCUAGUUAGAUGAGUGAAACUGGCUAAUUAAUGGAAAAUCAUAAGUACCUGAGUUGUUUUCAAAUUUUUUUCCCAAAUUUUAAUUGUUUGAUUGGUUUCUUCAAAUUAAUAUUAAUGGAAUCAUGAACGCACAUAAAUAAUUUAAUUAAAAAUUAUUUAUUUAUGUGUCAUUUAGAAAAAAUUGGGGACAAAAUUUGGGAUAGUAAUGGGGACGAAAUAUGUGUUAGCGUUAAUGGUUUAGCGGCAGUGGAGAACGCAAUUUAAGAGCAAAUCCAAUAGUGUCCUAAACUAGUAUCCUAAAUUAAAAAUUAAGGUAUUUAUAUAAAUGAGUGCUCCACCUAAUGAGUGCUCCACCAAUGUCCAGUGAUACCUUAAAAUACUAGGAAAUCCAUCAAGCGUCUCGUUUUUAAGACAUCACUAGGCAUGCCCUAUUUCACUUCUAUCAAUAAAAUAUAUCUUUCCCUCGUUUUUUACAGAUCUCUUCUCUCUCAUUUUUUCCAUUUAUGCCCAAUUAUAAUUCAAAUAUAAUACACCUUCAGUCCCUUUUUAGUUGUGAAAUUUACAAAAAUAAUUUGUCCUUAAAUAAUAUUCUCAUCCUUGUUCCAAUACAUAUUUAUACAUAUUUUUUCAUGUUUACCCCUUGAUUGUUGGUUCAAAUGUUUGACUGUACUACUAAUAUAUACAGUUUUGACUUAGUAUUUAAUAUAAUAAAUAAGGGCAUGCGUGGAAACAACUUACAACAUUUAAUUUUCUUUAAUAUAUGUAUUUUUGCAAAUGUGACAACUAAAAAGGAACAGAGAGAGUAUUAUUUUAAUCAUAAAACAUAUUGUUGGAGUUAAUAUAAAAAAAUCAUGUCUUAAAUCAUAAGAUUACUAUAUUUAAUUAUAUUUAUAAGGCAUCUAAUAGUACAAUAUUGGAUUUGCUCUGAUCACAGAUCAAUCAAAUGAUCGGCAACUUAAGCGAUCAAAUGAGAUGACUCGCAUAGUCCACGCUAAUCGAUAUCCUUAAGAGGAUGUUUGCCUGGGCUUAAAGCCCUUGCUUUAAGCCAUCUUUGGCUUUAAGCUGAAAAAUGUCUGUUUGUGUAAUAAGUCAGAAGCCAGCCUAAAGUCAGAAAUAAGCCAGAAGCUGACUUAAAGCCAGAAGUUAAUUUGAGGUACUUUUUUCAGUGGCUAAAUUUUUUUGAACUUUUUUUUUGAUAAAAAUUACUCCUAAAUCAUAAGUUUCUUAUAAAUCACUUUUAUUUUUAUUAUUAUAUUUUUAAUAACUCAUAAGUCAUUCAUAAGCCAAAAUUACCCAAACAGACAUUUUAAGCUAUCAGCUUAUCAGAUAAGACACGUUAAGUCACAAGUCACAUUAAGUCAUAAGCCAUAAGCUCAGCCAAACGGGCAAGUUUUCUAAGAGACAUUCCUGCUUAGUGCAUUUUUAAUAGGGUUGCCUAAAUCGUUGACGAAAUUGGACAUGUGAGACAUUAUAUAAAAUUUGUUAAACAUGUAAGUGAUUGUGUUUCAAUAAUGUUAACUACAUUGAUAGAUUAUAACUUAAAAAUAGUAUGUUAUUAAUAUUUAGAUUGUUAUAAAAAAAUAUAUGAGUUUAAUAUGAUAGGAAAUGAUGUGUAAAUUACCCCGAUUAUAUAUAUAUAUAAAUAAUAAUAUAUUUAUAUAUAUUAUACUAAAUAUAUUAUUAAAAAUAGAUAAAUUUUAUAAUAUAAUCAAAAGUAAAAAAUAAUCUUUAUUUUUAUUGAUUGAUUAUAAAUAUAUUGUAAUAUAAUAUAUUUUAUAAUUUUAAAUUGUUGUUUAUUUAUAUUAUAAAUCAAUUUUAAUAUGAUUUGAGGUUGAAAAUAUAAGAUAAUAUUAUUUUAUUAUUAUAUUAGGAGUUUGUAGUUUGUUUUUUAAUUAAAAAAAUAUAUUAUAUAUUAUAAAAUUAUUAUGUUUUUAUUAAAAAAUAAAAUUCCCCGAAACCCCGCGGGGAUCCCCGUUCCCCGUUCGGGGCGGGGAUCGGGGCGGAAAAUAAUCCCCGUUCGAGGUUCGGGGCGGGGUCGGGUAGGGCCGUAGGGGUAUUGAAUUCGGGGAUCGGGGUCGGGGAUAGCACUCCCCGCCCUCGAAGUCUCCCCGUGCCCAUCCCUAGUCGAACCUCUAGAGGUCCGUAAAAAAUCUCCAAGAAGAUUACACUAUGUAAUCUUCUUGGAGAUUUUUUACGGACCUCUAGAGGUUCGACAAAUAUAGUGGCCGGUAGGAUGUUGGUUAAAAUUAUAGAUAAGUGGUGUCUAUGGUUGAGUGUGAUUUUUUUGAAUAGAAUGGCUAUAUAUUUUAUUUUUGGGAUGCCAACUCAAUUUUUAAACUAAGGACUUCUCAUAUUUGGAGAUGCUAUAUGAUGGCAAAUCCCGCAAAUCUUCAAUUUUGACAUAUAUUAUCCUAAAUUCUCUUUCAACAAUGAUUGAUUCAAAUUUGGAUCAAGAUUGUUGGAUCCCGCUGACGUGGCAGUGACGUCAUGUUGACGUGGCGCCCUGGGGUGGACCCCGGUGCUGACGUGGCAGAUGACGCGGCGGUGACAUGGCGCCUGGUUGGGGUCCCAUUACUAACGUGGCAUUUGGGUAGAAAGUAUAAAUUACGGAAAAUUGAUGACAAACUGAGAGGUGCAUAUUAUAAGUUUUAAAAAGUAUGAGGAGAUAUUUGAUCAGUUUAAAACUAGUUUUUAGGUUUUUAGGCUAACCGUGGUUUGUAUAUUCGAGCAUCCCCGUGUAUAUUGACAUAUAGGUAAACUCCUUGCAAUACUUUGAGCUGCAAAAUCCAUCAAAAUUUUGAUUUAUCAUGUAACUGUUUGACAGAGUACUUCCAACUUUCAAGCGUAAGUAUCAAAAUCACUACCUUCAUAUGUUCCAUUAAGCGUGAAAGGUACAGAAUAAGAAGUGAAAGAAAUCCUUUAUAUUUACACGGCCAUUGAUCUUAUAGGAUCACCUAGCCCAUCAGUGCUAGGGAAUACGGAACCAUCUUAUCAAUUAACGAAGAAAUGUAUGCAUGCAGUGUCACCACCACAAGUCAGAAAUGGUGAUGAUGCUAAUGAUAAUGAACUCAAUUGGGAGUGAUCCUAAUGGGAUAUGGAUGUGGAUUGGUAUGCGGAUUCUUUGGGGUUUAUUGUUCUUACAAUGGGAAAGCCUUGGUGGUUUAUGAGAUACAUUGAAGUAAGUUGAUAAUGACAUGCACGGCUUAAUUAAGAUUAAUUAAGACAAACACCUUGACAAAAUGUUGUCUUAGAAUGAUAUGUAUUCUGAUUUUUCCUAAUUUAAAAUCAAAUUUAUUACAAUUAAAGUUAAAAUCUGCGUAGCACAUACUAUACUUUGAUUAAAUUUUUAUUGAAGUUGUCCAUAUUAACCUAGUGGCCGAAAGUGAAUAAAUUAAAUUAGUGGGGUCUAAUAUAAAAAUUGCAUUAAUUAAAAUUUGUAAUGUAUAGAUUAUGCUAAAGCUAUUCAUUAUAAAGAACAUAGGAAUGUUAAUCUCUUUAUAUGUUUGCAUGCGGAUAGUCUCUCGGGAGUGUGGUAUAUUGUCAUGGCUGGAAAAACGGCUAAUUUCUACGGUUUUUUUUUGACAGAAAUUAAUUUUGACGGAAUACUGUCGAAAUAUCGAAAGUCGAAAAUAAGCCGCAAAAUUACUUUUUUCAAUUUUCAAUUGAAAACUGUCAAAAAAGUCUCUGGCAAAAUUAUAUUUAUUUCUACAGAUAAUGUCGAAAAUAUUUUCCUGCAAAUUUCCCGCACCUUAGUUGUGAGCGGAAAUAGAUAGUUUGGACAGAAUUCCGUCGAAAUUACGCGAGUUCUUUGUAGUGUGUUUUCACACAUACGCUGAUAAUCUUUGGGGACUGGGGUAUAUUGUUUUCGCAAAGCACUGGUAGUUUGUGAGCUUGUCCAAUUUUUCCCCCCAUGCCUAUACUGGUUGGUCUCAGUCUUAGUGGUAAUAAGCUGGCGUCAAAUUUUCCAGAAUUCAUAUAUAAUUGCUAUAACAUGAUCCGAUGCCUGAAUCAGCAGCUAACAAUUUACGUAAUCUUGAAGAACUAUAUCUUGGUGCCAAUUCUUUCGAGGGCUCAUUUCCAACGAAUAUAUUCAAGCUUUCCAAAUUAAGGGUUCUUGACCUAUCUGUGAAUAAUUUUUCAGGUUCCAUUCCCAAUGGUAUAGAGAUGCUUCCCGAUCUUGGAAUAAAUCGUAUUUAUAAUAAUUCAUUUGAAGGAAUUAUUCCUUCUUCAAUUAGUCUACUUAAAGAUCUUCAACACCUAGACUUCGGUGACGACAACCUUGUGGUUUCAAGUAUAAUGUCUUACGGGUCCAAUCUAACCGAUCAUUACAGGCAACCCCAUUGGAGAUGCUCUUAAUAACAUUUUAACUAGAGAGUAUUUUCUAUCAAUUGCAUUUGUAUUAAAUUUGAUUUAGAUGAAGAGAAACAGAAUACAUAUGAUCCCGAGACAACAUUUUGUCAAUGUUUUCGUCUUGAUUGAACAGUCUUCUUCAUGCGUGUCCUUGUCAACUUCAGUUGCAGUAAUUCAAUGUAUCUCAGGAACCACCUUGGCUUUCCCAUUUUGAUAACAAGUAUCCUGAAGAUAAUCCGCAUAUCAAUCCACAUCCGCGCGUAUCCCAGUUGAUUUAUUAAUUUAUUCAUGAAGUGUUGCGAACGACAUUCCUGCAAAAGUAAAAGUCAGUGGAAUUUGUAUGAUAGCAUGAUGAAUAUUUAAAGUUUCAGUUAAAAUUUCACCAAGUAUUUUAUUUCUGGCUUAAGUCCCGGAUUGACGAAUUCUGCUGAUCACAUUUCUAAUCGACCAAUUCUGGUCGAAUAAAUUAAAUGGCACACUUCCUGAGUUGGUGGUAGGGGCGUUCUUCUUGUGUUUCUUUCUUUUCAUUAUUGACAUUGUUAUCCAGGCCCUUGCUUCUGGGCUUUUGUAAAGCACCCAUUUACGCCAUUGUCAUGAUCAUAGCUAGUCUUCCAUAUCCAAGAUACGCGCAUUAUAGUGGAUUUAUCUUUAUUAGUGAUUUCUGUGGAAAUGCAUAAUCUUAAUUAUAAGCUCCAAUAUUAUAAAAUAAACCUAACUUAUUAGAGUUAACAGGGCAUUUGUGUUGAUAAUUUGCGCAAUGUUAAUGGGGAUCGCUCCCAAGUCUUGGACGGACUCUUUCCAAGUCUUCUGAGGACCCAUCUGCACACUAAUUUGUCCGCCAACUAAAAAUUUAUAUAUAUUUUUCCAUAGAAUAUAAAUAGUUGGGGGUACUAACAGAACCUCUAGUAAAAUUAAUUAAUACCGUUAUGAUUUCGCAAACACAGCAGACAGCAGGCAUAAGGCUUAUAAAUAGAAGUGUCGUAUUUGGUUGAUGGUCAAGUUGAGUGGAAAUAUGGCACACUUUGUAAAGCCUUGUUAUCCUCUUCUCUUUGUUUUCUUUCUCUCAUUACUUCAAUCCAUUCUAACAACACAAGAGGGAGAAGCUCUUGUGAAAUGGAAGAAUAGCCUAGCCCCUUCUUCUUUUCUCGACUCUUGGUCACUCACCAAUCUCGAUAAUCUUUGCAACUGGACUGGCAUUACUUGUAACUCUGCAGGUUCAGUCUCUGAGAUUAACCUUAGUGAGAAACAACUUGAUGGAAUGCUGUCCGAGUUUGGUUUCACUUCAUUUCCAAAUCUCAACAAUCUCACCCUCGCAAUUAACUACUUCUCGGGUCCAAUACCACCAGCCAUUGAGAAUUUAACACAGCUUCAAUAUCUUGAGUUGAGCAAUAAUUAUCUAGAUGGUCCCAUUCCUUUCCAGGUUAGCAAUCUUCAGAGGUUGCUCAUCUUAAACCUGUCAGAGAAUGAACUGCAAGCUCCAAAUUGGUCCAAUUUUUCCCCCAUGCCUUUUUUGACCAUCCUCGACCUUUAUAAAAAUAAUCUUUUGUCAGAAUUUCCCGAAUUUAUAUCUAACUCGUGUAACCUUACGUACCUUGACCUCUCAUCCAACAAGUUUAGAGGGGAUCUUGCGCGAGAAUCAGUAUUAACCAAUCUAGGUGAUCUUGAAACCCUCUAUCUUAUUAGAAAUUCUUUCAAGGGGUCAUUUCCGUCAGAUUUAUUCAAGCUUUCUAAAUUAAAACGUCUUCACCUGUCGAGCAACAAAUUUUCAGGUUCAAUUCCUAAUGCCAUAAGGUUGCUUUGUGAUCUUGAAUUCCUAUAUUUAGGCAACAAUUCCUUUGAAGGACUGCUUCCACCAAAUAUAUUUAAGCUUUCAAAAUUAAAACAUCUUGUUCUUCGGAGUAAUAAGUUUUCAGGAUCUGUUUCCAAUGAUAUAAAUUUGCUUCCUGAACUUGAAUAUCUCGAUCUUAAUUCUAAUUUUUUUGACGGGCCGCUUCCUCCAGAUGUAUUCAAGCUCUCCAAACUAAGGUUUCUUUACCUCUCGGGUAAUACCUUUUCACGUUCUGUUUCCAAUGAUAUAGGUUUGCUUUCUGAGCUUGAAACCCUCGAUCUUAACUCUAAUUUUUUGAGGGUCCGCUUCCGUCAAAUAUAUUCAAGCUCAAAUUAAAAAUUCUAGACCUCUCAAACAAUAGAAAUUUAUUUCAAAGAAGUUUUCCUAUUGGACUGGAACUCUUGAGUAACCUCAGCUACUUAGGUCUAAGUUCCAGUAAUCUCAGUGGCAAUAUUCCAUCUUACAUUGGAAACCUGAAGCUACUAAUAUCUCUUGAUCUCAGUUCUAAUCAAUUGACUGGACCGCUUUCAAAGCUCGUUUCUAAUGUCACAAAUCUUAUAUUUCUUGAUUUAAGAGAUAAUAGUCUUAGUGGAAAUAUUCAGACUGACUUGUGGAAAUAUAACGAUCAUCCAACUCUGGAAUACAUCAAUUUGAGUGGGAACUAUUUUACGGGUAUAGUUUUUCUCUAUAGAUCUUUUCUUUUGUCAUAUGUAACUAAGCUAGUAAUCUGAUUAAUUGCAGUUUUACCAAAGUUUCAACAAUCUUGACAGGUGAGCUUCCAACAACAAUUUGCAAUGUCACUUCCCUUUCGGUUCUUGAUUUGUCAAAUAAUAACUUAAGUGGUGCACUUCCAAAAUGUUACGGGAAUCUUGCUGAUGGAUUGCUUUACAUUAAUCUUGCGAAUAAUCACUUUCGAGGAACAAUACCCACUACUUUCUCCAGGAGUUGUCAGCUGAUAUAUCUGAACAUGGAUGAUAAUGAGUUUGAAGGAUUGAUGCCCCCAUCUUUGGCGAACUGUAAGCACUUGAAAAUUUUUGAUAUUGGCAAUAAUAAAAUAGGUGGUACAUUUCCGUCAUGGCUUUAUGCACUUGGAGAGCUAGAAGUCCUUGUCUUGCGAUCAAAUAAACUCUAUGGUACAAUAAGUGGAAGGAGCAUAGAAGAUCCCUUCCCCAAGUUGCGGAUUGUGGAUCUGUCCAACAAUCAAUUCACAGGCCAUUUGCCAAUUCAAUACUUUAAGAAUAUGAAAUCAACUGAUAAUUUGUAUCGUUAUCAGAAUGACACAGGAGUUUUUUCUUUCCAUUAUGAAGCAUCUGUCUCAUUAACUGUGAAGGGAACAGAGUAUGAAGUGAAAAAUAUCCUUCAUAUUUACACAACCAUUGAUCUGUCCUGCAACAAGUUUCAAGGAGAAAUUCCUGACGUUAUUGGAGAGCUUAGAUGGCUUGCAUUGCUGAACUUAUCUCAUAAUAGUCUAACAGGACAUAUCCCAUCAUUGCUGAGAAAUAUGAAAGGACUCCAAUCUUUAGAUUUGUCUUCAAAUCAACUGAAAGGGGCUAUUCCACUUCAGUUAACUGCAUUGACAUUUCUAGAGGUCUUGAACCUCUCGGGAAACCAUCUUAGUGGAGAGAUUCCUCAGAAAGGGCAGUUCAGCACAUUUAACAUUGAUUCUUAUCUAGGAAACUCCGCGUUAUGUGGUUCACCUUUGAUGAAGAAAUGUGCAAACACAGCAUCACCUCCACAAGAAGCCGGAAAUGGUGAUGAAGAUGAAGCUGGUGAUGAAUUGACAUGGGAAGCAAUCGUGAUGGGAUAUGGAUGUGGACUGAUAUGUGGAUUGUCAUCUGCAUACAUUGUUCUCAAACUAGGAAAGCCUUGGUGGUUUGUGAGAUAUAUCGAAGUACUGCAACAGAAGUUGAUGAAAAGAUAUGCAUGAAGAAAGGUACUGGUAGAUCAAGAUGAACUUGAAAGUUGUUGUCGUGGUAGACAUUUGUGAACCAGUAGUGUACUAGCUGCAUAAGUAUUUGGUAUUAUGUAAUAAUCCGUUUGGUCGGGACUCAAAAUGAUUUCUCUUGCUUCAGGGGUAUUAAUAUUAACCUUGCUAUCUUGAUCAAUGUUAGGGCAAAUUAAAAAGAAUAUAAAAGCAAAAAAUUUGCAUCAAACACCUGUUGUACCAACAUGCAUCCAUUAAUUUGCUUUCAUCUAUUAAGUAACAAUUUAAGAGCGCUUCCACUCUGUUUAAGCAUGGAGAUAACACAAAGAAGGCAAGUCCAUGGACUAAUAUAUUAACACGUAGUCCACAUCUAUGGUAUGAACAAUUCAUAUUGCUCUUCUAUCUGUUCAACAGUCUCCCGAAGAUAGGCCAAAAAUGUCAUCUGUGGUUCUUAUGUUUGUCAGUGAAGGAGAAUCUCUGAUGCCUACACAACCUGGUGUUUUUACAGAAAGGAAUGUAGGUGAAACCAGGGGCGUAAAAUGAAUCAGGACUAAAAUCUGCUAAAAUGAUAAUUAUUUACUCAUCAUUCAAGAUUAGUCGGGCUCAAAGAUUUAUAUGGAUUUUAAGAACAAACUAUGACUAAAUAUGAAAAAAUCAUUAAUUUUUCCGACUCAAUAUUUUUUAGCCUCCCCCGGCCCUGGGUGAAACCAUAAGCUUCUCUGGUGCACAUCCAAAUCAUUCAGUUGGUUCUACUUUCAGCUCACCCACAGGAACAUCAUUCUGCAGGUACUCUUUUAUCUGUACUUUCUUAUAUUGUAUGCCAGUAAAUUUUAUAUCGACAAACUGCACAAUACACCUCGAUCUCAUAUUAUUGACAGGUGAGCUCCUCUCAUAAUGCUCACAGGCGAACCCCUGCAUAUAUACUUUGUGAUGUCAUUGAUGAUCGAUAGACUUGAAAAAAAAUUAUGACAAAGAUUCAUAAAAUAUCUACUUCCAUCCUAAUUCAGUAUUCAAUAUUAUUCAUUCGUAUCAUCAUCCAAUCAAUUCUAAUAGUUCUUCUUUAAAUCAGUACAAAUAUUGUUAAAUACCUGGAUGAUGGUUGUCUUUCCGCGAACCAAUCAUGAAAUUACCUCUGUAUAAAUCCAUCGGAAAUAAGACAGUUAAUAUCCCAAUCGAAUACACCCCGUCAGUUGUCAAACUCCUCGAAACGUAUUAAUCACUUUAGAAAAUUUGUUCCACUGGCGCUAGUCAGUCCCAGAGUUGGUGGUGGGUGCUUCUGGGCUUUCGAAAAGCACCCAUUUACUCCAUUGUUUAGAGAAGUAAAACCCCACCUUCCGCUCAUUUGAUUGAUCAGCUGAAUUAGGCAGAGUUUACAUGGUCAUGAUCAUAGUCUCCCAUNUUAAUAGUCUGACAGGACCUAUCCCAACAUUGCUGAGAAAUAUGAAAUAACUCCAUUACUCCAAUCUUAGAUUUGUCCUCAAAUCAACUGACAGGGGCUAUUCCACCUCUGUUAACUGCAUUGACAUUACUUUUCUCUUUAUAUUCUUUCCUUUUGUAUGUACCUAUGCUAAUUAUCUGAUUAUUAAAAUUAUAACAAAGCUUCAAGAUUUUUAACAGGUGAGCUUCCACUAAAAAUUUGCAAAGUCACUUCCCUUUCGCGUCUCAUUAUGUUAGAUAAUGGGUCAAGUGGUGCACUUCCACAGUGUUUGGGGAACCUUUCUUUGCUUGGUUUCAAUAAUCUUGCUAAUUAUCAAUUUCAAGGACCAAUACCAACGACUGUCCAAGACUUGUCUGUGCAUAUCUAAACAUCCAUAACAAUCACUUUGAAGGUUUGUUGCUCCAAUCUUUGGCAAACUGUAAACACUUACAAAUUCUUGAUAUUGGAAACAACGUUGGAGAGCUAGAUGUCCCAGUUAGGGCGGUAAUUCGACUAGAGCAAACCGAGUUUUGAGCGGAGCCAAAUUCGAGCCAAGUUUAAUCGAGUCGAGCCGAGUCGGCUCGUUUAGCUAAUCGAGCCUAAAACUUAGCCCGAACUCGACUCAUUUAAUUUCACGAGUCGAGUCGAGCCAACUCGUUUAGCUAAAUGAGCUGAUUUUAACAAGUCGAGCGAGCGAGCUCGUAUAAUUUUAACUUAGUCGAGCCUGAAUCUCUACCCAAACUAUUGGCUCGUGUAAUUUCGCGAGUCGAAUCGAGCCGGCUCGUUUUAUUAAACAAGCCGAAAUUUUUGCCCGAAUUUGCUCGUUUAACAAGCCGAUCUGAGCCUAGUUAAAUGAGUUCGAGUUAGUCGAGCUCGCGAGCUGCGAGCUCACCUGCCAGCUCUAGUCCUAGUCUUGCAAUCAAAUAGGUUUAACGGUAUAGAAAGUGGAAGGAGCACAAGGCAUCCAUUCCCCAAGGCUAUUUACCAAUUCAGUACUUUGAGGAUACAAAAUCAUUCUGCAGGUACUCUUGUAUCUGUACUUUCUUGUACUGUAUGCCACUUUGACAGUAGAGUAAAAUUUAUAUCGACAAACUGCAUAUGUUCUGAACUACUCCUCUAUCCCAAAUUAGAUGAGCUAGUUGACUUUGAGCACGUAACUUAAGGUACAUUGACCAACUAGUUCCGAUAUUUAUUUUUUUAAUUUUUCUUUUGUAAAUGAAAAUUUCAUAUUUAAAUUUUUAUUUGCAAAACUAAAAUUUAAAAAUAUGUAAUGUGGCUAUGCGGUCAAUGUCAACGAGCUCAUCUAAUUUGGGAUUGGGAUGCAGGGAGUAUUACGUACUAUGUUAUGCAAGCUGUUUACAACUUUCAUCAAAAUUUUCAAACAUUUCUGAAUAUGUAUUUUCAAAGAAUUCUCGGGCACUCUUAAGGCCUAUAAUUAUUGGAACUCUCACGUUAUGGACCAGAGGACCACUAUGUAUUUUACAAGCACGACGAAUCAUGUGGUCAUUAUGGACUCCCCAAGCCUUAGAGGACUCAUUCCAGGUUUUAGGAGGACCACUGCCUAGCUCACCCUUUCGGAGUGAUGUAAAUUAGUUUCCAGACACUAAAAAUAAGUAAUCAGAUUAAUCAUUACAAAAUUUUGAUAUAAAAUCAGAAUAAAUCCUAAACUUUGAUGAUACAAAAAAAAUUAUAAUUGUAAAUUAUACAAUCAAAUUAAGAUCGAAUUAACUUCCCUCACACUUAAAAUUUAUAGCGAUCAAAUCAAAAUCGAAUUAACUUUCCUAUUACUAAAAUUUAAUUACAAUAUUAUUAGAUAAAGAGAAUAUAUAAUAAUCAAGAGAAAAUAGAUUUUUUUUUGCCACUCAACUUAUUGUGUUUUAAGAAACUUACCACCCAACUAAAUUUUUUUCCUUUUGCUCACUAAUGUUAGGUUUGGAUUUGUUUUUAGCCACCAAAUAAGGUUCGGAUUUGAUUACCAGCAUUAUGAUAAUUUUUUUUGUCACUAAACUUAUUGCGUCUUUAGAAACUAACCACUGAACUAAAUUUUUUUUAUUUUACUCACUAAUGUUAGAUUUAGUUUUUUUUGUCACUAUAGUUAGGUUCAGAUUUGAUUAUUAGCAUUACAUUAAUUCUGUGUAGCAUUUUUAAAAUAUGGUAGUAGUCUGUGAUAUUUAGAUGAUUUGAUAUAUGUCUGUAUUUUUAUAUAUAGUAUAUUUUAUGUCCCCAAGGUCGUUUACCUUGGGUCAUAAAAAUUUUACACUCAUUUUAUGACUUUUAAAAGAUGUAGUUUCAUAAAUAAUUUUAUUUUUUUCUUUCGAAUUAAAAUUCAGCAUUUGAAUUUUACACACAAAAAAAUCGCAAGAAUAAGAUAUGAAACUAUGCUUUACAAGAGUCUUAAAAUACGUGCUAAACGGUAGAAAAAACUGUAAACUAAUGAGAGGUACAUAGGGAGUAAUAAUAACAUAAAAUGAUGCACAAUCAUCGAAUUAAGUUUUCCUCUCUCUAUAUAUUUAUUUUGUAAAUUUUAAUAAGAUAAAGUUAUUAAAAUUUAUGAUAUAAAUUUAAGAGAUAUCUUAGAUUGAGUGGCAAAAAUUUAGUUGGGUGGUAAGUUUCUAAAAACACAAUAAAUUGAGUGGGAACAAAAUCUAUUUUCCCAAUAAUGAGUGGGAAUAAAAUCUAUUUUCCCAAUAAUCAAAGUGACGAAAAAUCAAAGUCAUCUAAUAAGUCCAGAAAAAAUAUGACCAUUAGUAUAUUGAAAUAAUAUUCACGCAUUUAUAUACGAGAAUAUAUGGUCCACAAGUUAGUGCACAAUGUCCAAGAAUCUUUAUCAAAUAACACGGCAAGCAUGCAGCAUAUAAAUAAGAGUGGGCAGUAUGGUAUUGCAUUCAUAACCCACUUGAGCAGAAAUAUGGCACACUUCCUAAAGCCUUCUCACCUUCUUCUCUUUGUUUUCUUUCUCUCGUUACUUCAAUCCAUUCUACCAACAAGACCAGAGGGAGAAGCUCUUGUGAAAUGGAAGAAUAGCCUAGCCCCGUCUUCUUUUCUCGAUUCUUGGUCACUAACCAAUCUCGAUAAUCUUUGUAACUGGACUGGCAUUACUUGUAACUCUGCAGGUUCAGUCUCUGGGAUUAACCUUUAUGAGAAACAACUUGAUGGAAUGCUGUCCGAGUUUGGCUUCACUUCAUUUCCGAAUCUCAACAAUCUCACCCUCGCAUACAACUUCUUCUCGGGUCCAAUACCACCAGCCAUUGAGAAUUUAACACAGCUUCAAUAUCUUGAUUUAAGCAUCAAUAGUCUCGAUGGUCCCAUUCCUUUCCAGGUUAGCCAUCUUCAGAGGUUGCUCGUCCUAAACCUGUCACAGAAUGCAUUGCAAGCUCCAAAUUGGUCCCAUUUCUCUUCCAUGCCUUUUUUGCGCAUCCUCAAGCUCAGUAGGAAUCAUCUUGUAUCGAAAUUUCCAGAAUUUAUAUCCAAUUCUCAUAGCUUGGCUAUCCUUGACCUUGGCCAGAACAACUUUACAGGUGAUCUUGUGCGUGAAUUUACCAAUCUACAAAAUCUUGAAACCCUCUGGCUUUAUCGUAAUUCUUUUGAGGGGCCAUUUCCGCCGGAUAUAGUCCAGCUUUCCAAACUAAAAGAUCUUGCCCUGUCAAGUAACAAAUUUUCAGGUUCAGUUCCCAAUAACAUAAGGUUGCUUUGUGAUCUUGAAUACCUAUAUUUAGGCAACAAUUCCUUUAAGGGGCCACUUCCACCAAAUAUAUUUAAGCUUUCAAAAUUAAAACAUCUUGUUCUUUGGAGUAAUAAGUUUUCAGGUUCUGUUUCCAAUGAUAUAGGUUUGCUUCAUGAGCUUGUAACCCUCAAUCUUAACUCUAAUUUUUUUGAGGGGCCGCUUCCGCCAAAUGUAUUCAAGCUCUCCAAACUAAAGUUUUUUGCCCUUCAUGAGAAUAACUUUUCAGGUUUUAUUUCUAAGGAUAUAGGUUUGCUUUCCGAACUUGAAAUCCUCUAUUUUGGCUCUAAUUUUUUUGAGGGGCCGCUUCCUCCACAUGUAUUUAGGCUCUCCAAAUUAAGAGGUCUGGACCUCUCACACAAUAGAAAUUUAUUUGAAGGAAGUAUUCCUAUUGGACUGGGACUCUUGACUAACCUCAGGUACUUAGAUCUACAUUCCAAUAAUCUCGGUGGCUAUAUUCCAUCUGACAUUGGAAACCUGAAGCUACUAGUACUUCUUGAUCUCGGUUCUAAUCAAUUGACUGGACCGCUUUCAAAGAUCGUUUCUAAUCUCACAAAUCUUAUAUGUCUUGAUGUAAGUCAUAAUAGUCUUAGUGGAAAUAUUCAGAGUGACUUGUGGAAAUAUAACGAUCAUCCAACUUUGGAAUACAUCAAUUUAAGUGGGAACCAUUUUACGGGUAUAGUUUUUCUCUAUAGAUCUUUUCCUUUUCUCAUAUGUAACUAAGCUAGUAAUCUGAUUAUUGCAGUUUCACCAAAGUUUCAACAAUCUUGACAGGUGAGCUUCCAACAACAAUUUGCAAUGUCACUUCCCUUUCGGUUCUUGAUUUGUCAAAUAAUGAAUUAAGUGGUGCACUUCCAAACUCUUUGGGGAAUCUUGCUGAUGGAAUGCUUUACCUUAAUCUUGCUAAUAAUCAGUUUCGAGGAACAAUACCAACUACUUUCUCCAGGAGUUGUCGGUUGACAUAUCUAAACAUGGAUAAUAAUGAGUUUGAAGGAUUGUUGCCCCCAUCUUUGGCGAACUGUAAGCACUUGAAAAUUCUUGAUAUAGGCAAUAAUAAAAUAGGUGGUACAUUUCCGUCAUGGCUUUAUGCACUUGGAGAGCUAGAAGUUCUUGUCUUGCGAUCAAAUAAACUCUAUGGUACAAUAAGUGGAAGGAGCAUAGAAGAUCCCUUCCCCAAGUUGCGGAUUGUGGAUCUGUCCCACAAUCAAUUGACAGGCUAUUUGCCAAUUCAAUACUUUAAGAAUAUGAAAUCAACUGAUAAUUUGUAUCGUUAUCAGAAUGACACAGGAGUUUUUUCUUUCCAUUAUGAAGCAUCUGUCUCAUUAACUGUGAAGGGAACAGAGUAUGAAGUGAAAAAUAUCCUUCAUAUUUACACAACCAUUGAUCUGUCCUGCAACAAGUUUCAAGGAGAAAUUCCUGACGUUAUUGGAGAGCUUAGAUGGCUUGCAUUGCUGAACUUAUCUCAUAAUAGUCUAACAGGACAUAUCCCAUCAUUGCUGAGAAAUAUGAAAGGACUCCAAUCUUUAGAUUUGUCUUCAAAUCAACUGAAAGGGGCUAUUCCACUUCAGUUAACUGCAUUGACAUUUCUAGAGGUCUUGAACCUCUCGGGAAACCAUCUUAGUGGAGAGAUUCCUCAGAAAGGGCAGUUCAGCACAUUUAACAUUGAUUCUUAUCUAGGAAACUCCGCGUUAUGUGGUUCACCUUUGAUGAAGAAAUGUGCAAACACAGCAUCACCUCCACAAGAAGCCGGAAAUGGUGAUGAAGAUGAAGCUGGUGAUGAAUUGACAUGGGAAGCAAUCGUGAUGGGAUAUGGAUGUGGACUGAUAUGUGGAUUGUCAUCUGCAUACAUUGUUCUCAAACUAGGAAAGCCUUGGUGGUUUGUGAGAUAUAUCGAAGUACUGCAACAGAAGUUGAUGAAAAGAUAUGCAUGAAGAAAGGUACUGGUAGAUCAAGAUGAACUUGAAAGUUGUUGUCGUGGUAGACAUUUGUGAACCAGUAGUGUACUAGCUGCAUAAGUAUUUGGUAUUAUGUAAUAAUCCGUUUGGUCGGGACUCAAAAUGAUUUCUCUUGCUUCAGGGGUAUUAAUAUUAACCUUGCUAUCUUGAUCAAUGUUAGGGCAAAUUAAAAAGAAUAUAAAAGCAAAAAAUUUGCAUCAAACACCUGUUGUACCAACAUGCAUCCAUUAAUUUGCUUUCAUCUAUUAAGUAACAAUUUAAGAGCGCUUCCACUCUGUUUAAGCAUGGAGAUAACACAAAGAAGGCAAGUCCAUGGACUAAUAUAUUAACACGUAGUCCACAUCUAUGGUAUGAACAAUUCAUAUUGCUCUUCUAUCUGUUCAACAGUCUCCCGAAGAUAGGCCAAAAAUGUCAUCUGUGGUUCUUAUGUUUGUCAGUGAAGGAGAAUCUCUGAUGCCUACACAACCUGGUGUUUUUACAGAAAGGAAUGUAGGUGAAACCAGGGGCGUAAAAUGAAUCAGGACUAAAAUCUGCUAAAAUGAUAAUUAUUUACUCAUCAUUCAAGAUUAGUCGGGCUCAAAGAUUUAUAUGGAUUUUAAGAACAAACUAUGACUAAAUAUGAAAAAAUCAUUAAUUUUUCCGACUCAAUAUUUUUUAGCCUCCCCCGGCCCUGGGUGAAACCAUAAGCUUCUCUGGUGCACAUCCAAAUCAUUCAGUUGGUUCUACUUUCAGCUCACCCACAGGAACAUCAUUCUGCAGGUACUCUUUUAUCUGUACUUUCUUAUAUUGUAUGCCAGUAAAUUUUAUAUCGACAAACUGCACAAUACACCUCGAUCUCAUAUUAUUGACAGGUGAGCUCCUCUCAUAAUGCUCACAGGCGAACCCCUGCAUAUAUACUUUGUGAUGUCAUUGAUGAUCGAUAGACUUGAAAAAAAAUUAUGACAAAGAUUCAUAAAAUAUCUACUUCCAUCCUAAUUCAGUAUUCAAUAUUAUUCAUUCGUAUCAUCAUCCAAUCAAUUCUAAUAGUUCUUCUUUAAAUCAGUACAAAUAUUGUUAAAUACCUGGAUGAUGGUUGUCUUUCCGCGAACCAAUCAUGAAAUUACCUCUGUAUAAAUCCAUCGGAAAUAAGACAGUUAAUAUCCCAAUCGAAUACACCCCGUCAGUUGUCAAACUCCUCGAAACGUAUUAAUCACUUUAGAAAAUUUGUUCCACUGGCGCUAGUCAGUCCCAGAGUUGGUGGUGGGUGCUUCUGGGCUUUCGAAAAGCACCCAUUUACUCCAUUGUUUAGAGAAGUAAAACCCCACCUUCCGCUCAUUUGAUUGAUCAGCUGAAUUAGGCAGAGUUUACAUGGUCAUGAUCAUAGUCUCCCAUAUAUCCCUGAUACGCACAUUAUAGUGGAUUUAUCUUUAUCAGUGAUUUCUGUGGAGAUGCAUAAUCAUUAUAAGCUCCAAUAUAAAAUUUUAAAGUUAGUAUGGGAAUUUGUGUUGAUAAUUUGCGCAAUGUUAACAGGAUUGCUCCCAAGUCUUGGACGGACUCUUUCAAAGUCUUCUCAGGACCCAUCUGCACACUAAUUUGUCUGCCAACUAAAAAAUCAACAAUAUGUUACUCCCUCCGUUUUUCUUAAACUGAGGUUAAAAUUUUUGACACAAGAUGGGUUGACAGUAUAAAAUUAAAAUAUUUGUGAAUAAAAAUUUUGGUUAUAUUUUUUAUUUAAAAAGAAAAUCUUGAAAAUAAUAUUAUUAACUACCAGUCAGAUCACUUAAGUGUAUGUCCAAAAUUAAAGCGGCAUAUAAAAAAAAGGGAGGAAGCAUGUACUAACUGUUUCCAUAACAGUUUACAAGUAUAAGCUAUACCCCCUCUCUAUUUUUUUCUAUGACAGCUUUGAUUUUGGGCACACAUUCUUAAGUGUUUUGACCGGAUAGUUAAAAAUUUAUCUUCUAAAAUUUUUAAAAAAAGUAAAAUCGCAAAAAAAAUUAGAAAGCUGGUAUUUUUGAUAAAUUUCCAAAUAUGUAAUCAAGAAAAAUAACUUUUACUAUCCAAUCAACUCAUUUAAAGAUGUGUGUCAAAAAUCAAAAUAUCAUACAAAAAAUAGGUAUACAUUUUUUUAAUAGAUUAUACUCCCUCUGUUCCAAAAUAAGUGUCAGCUGGGGGUAAUAACAAGACCUUAGUCAACCCAAGCACAGCAGACAGCAGGCAUAAGGCAUCAGGAAUUUCACAGGACCAUUAUCUUUCUCUUAUUAACUGUGAAGGGAACAGCGUAUGAAGUAGCAAGAACCUUCAUAUUUACACAGCCAUUGAUCUGUCGUGCAACAAAUUUCAGGGAGAAAUUCCAAAGGUUACCGGAGAGCUUAGAUGGCUUGCAUUGCUCAAUUUAUCGCAUAAUUAAUAGUCUGACAGGACCUAUCCCAACAUUGCUGAGAAAUAUGAAAUAACUCCAUUACUCCAAUCUUAGAUUUGUCCUCAAAUCAACUGACAGGGGCUAUUCCACCUCUGUUAACUGCAUUGACAUUACUUUUCUCUUUAUAUUCUUUCCUUUUGUAUGUACCUAUGCUAAUUAUCUGAUUAUUAAAAUUAUAACAAAGCUUCAAGAUUUUUAACAGGUGAGCUUCCACUAAAAAUUUGCAAAGUCACUUCCCUUUCGCGUCUCAUUAUGUUAGAUAAUGGGUCAAGUGGUGCACUUCCACAGUGUUUGGGGAACCUUUCUUUGCUUGGUUUCAAUAAUCUUGCUAAUUAUCAAUUUCAAGGACCAAUACCAACGACUGUCCAAGACUUGUCUGUGCAUAUCUAAACAUCCAUAACAAUCACUUUGAAGGUUUGUUGCUCCAAUCUUUGGCAAACUGUAAACACUUACAAAUUCUUGAUAUUGGAAACAACGUUGGAGAGCUAGAUGUCCCAGUUAGGGCGGUAAUUCGACUAGAGCAAACCGAGUUUUGAGCGGAGCCAAAUUCGAGCCAAGUUUAAUCGAGUCGAGCCGAGUCGGCUCGUUUAGCUAAUCGAGCCUAAAACUUAGCCCGAACUCGACUCAUUUAAUUUCACGAGUCGAGUCGAGCCAACUCGUUUAGCUAAAUGAGCUGAUUUUAACAAGUCGAGCGAGCGAGCUCGUAUAAUUUUAACUUAGUCGAGCCUGAAUCUCUACCCAAACUAUUGGCUCGUGUAAUUUCGCGAGUCGAAUCGAGCCGGCUCGUUUUAUUAAACAAGCCGAAAUUUUUGCCCGAAUUUGCUCGUUUAACAAGCCGAUCUGAGCCUAGUUAAAUGAGUUCGAGUUAGUCGAGCUCGCGAGCUGCGAGCUCACCUGCCAGCUCUAGUCCUAGUCUUGCAAUCAAAUAGGUUUAACGGUAUAGAAAGUGGAAGGAGCACAAGGCAUCCAUUCCCCAAGGCUAUUUACCAAUUCAGUACUUUGAGGAUACAAAAUCAUUCUGCAGGUACUCUUGUAUCUGUACUUUCUUGUACUGUAUGCCACUUUGACAGUAGAGUAAAAUUUAUAUCGACAAACUGCAUAUGUUCUGAACUACUCCUCUAUCCCAAAUUAGAUGAGCUAGUUGACUUUGAGCACGUAACUUAAGGUACAUUGACCAACUAGUUCCGAUAUUUAUUUUUUUAAUUUUUCUUUUGUAAAUGAAAAUUUCAUAUUUAAAUUUUUAUUUGCAAAACUAAAAUUUAAAAAUAUGUAAUGUGGCUAUGCGGUCAAUGUCAACGAGCUCAUCUAAUUUGGGAUUGGGAUGCAGGGAGUAUUACGUACUAUGUUAUGCAAGCUGUUUACAACUUUCAUCAAAAUUUUCAAACAUUUCUGAAUAUGUAUUUUCAAAGAAUUCUCGGGCACUCUUAAGGCCUAUAAUUAUUGGAACUCUCACGUUAUGGACCAGAGGACCACUAUGUAUUUUACAAGCACGACGAAUCAUGUGGUCAUUAUGGACUCCCCAAGCCUUAGAGGACUCAUUCCAGGUUUUAGGAGGACCACUGCCUAGCUCACCCUUUCGGAGUGAUGUAAAUUAGUUUCCAGACACUAAAAAUAAGUAAUCAGAUUAAUCAUUACAAAAUUUUGAUAUAAAAUCAGAAUAAAUCCUAAACUUUGAUGAUACAAAAAAAAUUAUAAUUGUAAAUUAUACAAUCAAAUUAAGAUCGAAUUAACUUCCCUCACACUUAAAAUUUAUAGCGAUCAAAUCAAAAUCGAAUUAACUUUCCUAUUACUAAAAUUUAAUUACAAUAUUAUUAGAUAAAGAGAAUAUAUAAUAAUCAAGAGAAAAUAGAUUUUUUUUUGCCACUCAACUUAUUGUGUUUUAAGAAACUUACCACCCAACUAAAUUUUUUUCCUUUUGCUCACUAAUGUUAGGUUUGGAUUUGUUUUUAGCCACCAAAUAAGGUUCGGAUUUGAUUACCAGCAUUAUGAUAAUUUUUUUUGUCACUAAACUUAUUGCGUCUUUAGAAACUAACCACUGAACUAAAUUUUUUUUAUUUUACUCACUAAUGUUAGAUUUAGUUUUUUUUGUCACUAUAGUUAGGUUCAGAUUUGAUUAUUAGCAUUACAUUAAUUCUGUGUAGCAUUUUUAAAAUAUGGUAGUAGUCUGUGAUAUUUAGAUGAUUUGAUAUAUGUCUGUAUUUUUAUAUAUAGUAUAUUUUAUGUCCCCAAGGUCGUUUACCUUGGGUCAUAAAAAUUUUACACUCAUUUUAUGACUUUUAAAAGAUGUAGUUUCAUAAAUAAUUUUAUUUUUUUCUUUCGAAUUAAAAUUCAGCAUUUGAAUUUUACACACAAAAAAAUCGCAAGAAUAAGAUAUGAAACUAUGCUUUACAAGAGUCUUAAAAUACGUGCUAAACGGUAGAAAAAACUGUAAACUAAUGAGAGGUACAUAGGGAGUAAUAAUAACAUAAAAUGAUGCACAAUCAUCGAAUUAAGUUUUCCUCUCUCUAUAUAUUUAUUUUGUAAAUUUUAAUAAGAUAAAGUUAUUAAAAUUUAUGAUAUAAAUUUAAGAGAUAUCUUAGAUUGAGUGGCAAAAAUUUAGUUGGGUGGUAAGUUUCUAAAAACACAAUAAAUUGAGUGGGAACAAAAUCUAUUUUCCCAAUAAUGAGUGGGAAUAAAAUCUAUUUUCCCAAUAAUCAAAGUGACGAAAAAUCAAAGUCAUCUAAUAAGUCCAGAAAAAAUAUGACCAUUAGUAUAUUGAAAUAAUAUUCACGCAUUUAUAUACGAGAAUAUAUGGUCCACAAGUUAGUGCACAAUGUCCAAGAAUCUUUAUCAAAUAACACGGCAAGCAUGCAGCAUAUAAAUAAGAGUGGGCAGUAUGGUAUUGCAUUCAUAACCCACUUGAGCAGAAAUAUGGCACACUUCCUAAAGCCUUCUCACCUUCUUCUCUUUGUUUUCUUUCUCUCGUUACUUCAAUCCAUUCUACCAACAAGACCAGAGGGAGAAGCUCUUGUGAAAUGGAAGAAUAGCCUAGCCCCGUCUUCUUUUCUCGAUUCUUGGUCACUAACCAAUCUCGAUAAUCUUUGUAACUGGACUGGCAUUACUUGUAACUCUGCAGGUUCAGUCUCUGGGAUUAACCUUUAUGAGAAACAACUUGAUGGAAUGCUGUCCGAGUUUGGCUUCACUUCAUUUCCGAAUCUCAACAAUCUCACCCUCGCAUACAACUUCUUCUCGGGUCCAAUACCACCAGCCAUUGAGAAUUUAACACAGCUUCAAUAUCUUGAUUUAAGCAUCAAUAGUCUCGAUGGUCCCAUUCCUUUCCAGGUUAGCCAUCUUCAGAGGUUGCUCGUCCUAAACCUGUCACAGAAUGCAUUGCAAGCUCCAAAUUGGUCCCAUUUCUCUUCCAUGCCUUUUUUGCGCAUCCUCAAGCUCAGUAGGAAUCAUCUUGUAUCNUUUUUAUUUAAAAAGAAAAUCUUGAAAAUAAUAUUAUUAACUACCAGUCAGAUCACUUAAGUGUAUGUCCAAAAUUAAAGCGGCAUAUAAAAAAAAGGGAGGAAGCAUGUACUAACUGUUUCCAUAACAGUUUACAAGUAUAAGCUAUACCCCCUCUCUAUUUUUUUCUAUGACAGCUUUGAUUUUGGGCACACAUUCUUAAGUGUUUUGACCGGAUAGUUAAAAAUUUAUCUUCUAAAAUUUUUAAAAAAAGUAAAAUCGCAAAAAAAAUUAGAAAGCUGGUAUUUUUGAUAAAUUUCCAAAUAUGUAAUCAAGAAAAAUAACUUUUACUAUCCAAUCAACUCAUUUAAAGAUGUGUGUCAAAAAUCAAAAUAUCAUACAAAAAAUAGGUAUACAUUUUUUUAAUAGAUUAUACUCCCUCUGUUCCAAAAUAAGUGUCAGCUGGGGGUAAUAACAAGACCUUAGUCAACCCAAGCACAGCAGACAGCAGGCAUAAGGCAUCAGGAAUUUCACAGGACCAUUAUCUUUCUCUUAUUAACUGUGAAGGGAACAGCGUAUGAAGUAGCAAGAACCUUCAUAUUUACACAGCCAUUGAUCUGUCGUGCAACAAAUUUCAGGGAGAAAUUCCAAAGGUUACCGGAGAGCUUAGAUGGCUUGCAUUGCUCAAUUUAUCGCAUAAUUAAUAGUCUGACAGGACCUAUCCCAACAUUGCUGAGAAAUAUGAAAUAACUCCAUUACUCCAAUCUUAGAUUUGUCCUCAAAUCAACUGACAGGGGCUAUUCCACCUCUGUUAACUGCAUUGACAUUACUUUUCUCUUUAUAUUCUUUCCUUUUGUAUGUACCUAUGCUAAUUAUCUGAUUAUUAAAAUUAUAACAAAGCUUCAAGAUUUUUAACAGGUGAGCUUCCACUAAAAAUUUGCAAAGUCACUUCCCUUUCGCGUCUCAUUAUGUUAGAUAAUGGGUCAAGUGGUGCACUUCCACAGUGUUUGGGGAACCUUUCUUUGCUUGGUUUCAAUAAUCUUGCUAAUUAUCAAUUUCAAGGACCAAUACCAACGACUGUCCAAGACUUGUCUGUGCAUAUCUAAACAUCCAUAACAAUCACUUUGAAGGUUUGUUGCUCCAAUCUUUGGCAAACUGUAAACACUUACAAAUUCUUGAUAUUGGAAACAACGUUGGAGAGCUAGAUGUCCCAGUUAGGGCGGUAAUUCGACUAGAGCAAACCGAGUUUUGAGCGGAGCCAAAUUCGAGCCAAGUUUAAUCGAGUCGAGCCGAGUCGGCUCGUUUAGCUAAUCGAGCCUAAAACUUAGCCCGAACUCGACUCAUUUAAUUUCACGAGUCGAGUCGAGCCAACUCGUUUAGCUAAAUGAGCUGAUUUUAACAAGUCGAGCGAGCGAGCUCGUAUAAUUUUAACUUAGUCGAGCCUGAAUCUCUACCCAAACUAUUGGCUCGUGUAAUUUCGCGAGUCGAAUCGAGCCGGCUCGUUUUAUUAAACAAGCCGAAAUUUUUGCCCGAAUUUGCUCGUUUAACAAGCCGAUCUGAGCCUAGUUAAAUGAGUUCGAGUUAGUCGAGCUCGCGAGCUGCGAGCUCACCUGCCAGCUCUAGUCCUAGUCUUGCAAUCAAAUAGGUUUAACGGUAUAGAAAGUGGAAGGAGCACAAGGCAUCCAUUCCCCAAGGCUAUUUACCAAUUCAGUACUUUGAGGAUACAAAAUCAUUCUGCAGGUACUCUUGUAUCUGUACUUUCUUGUACUGUAUGCCACUUUGACAGUAGAGUAAAAUUUAUAUCGACAAACUGCAUAUGUUCUGAACUACUCCUCUAUCCCAAAUUAGAUGAGCUAGUUGACUUUGAGCACGUAACUUAAGGUACAUUGACCAACUAGUUCCGAUAUUUAUUUUUUUAAUUUUUCUUUUGUAAAUGAAAAUUUCAUAUUUAAAUUUUUAUUUGCAAAACUAAAAUUUAAAAAUAUGUAAUGUGGCUAUGCGGUCAAUGUCAACGAGCUCAUCUAAUUUGGGAUUGGGAUGCAGGGAGUAUUACGUACUAUGUUAUGCAAGCUGUUUACAACUUUCAUCAAAAUUUUCAAACAUUUCUGAAUAUGUAUUUUCAAAGAAUUCUCGGGCACUCUUAAGGCCUAUAAUUAUUGGAACUCUCACGUUAUGGACCAGAGGACCACUAUGUAUUUUACAAGCACGACGAAUCAUGUGGUCAUUAUGGACUCCCCAAGCCUUAGAGGACUCAUUCCAGGUUUUAGGAGGACCACUGCCUAGCUCACCCUUUCGGAGUGAUGUAAAUUAGUUUCCAGACACUAAAAAUAAGUAAUCAGAUUAAUCAUUACAAAAUUUUGAUAUAAAAUCAGAAUAAAUCCUAAACUUUGAUGAUACAAAAAAAAUUAUAAUUGUAAAUUAUACAAUCAAAUUAAGAUCGAAUUAACUUCCCUCACACUUAAAAUUUAUAGCGAUCAAAUCAAAAUCGAAUUAACUUUCCUAUUACUAAAAUUUAAUUACAAUAUUAUUAGAUAAAGAGAAUAUAUAAUAAUCAAGAGAAAAUAGAUUUUUUUUUGCCACUCAACUUAUUGUGUUUUAAGAAACUUACCACCCAACUAAAUUUUUUUCCUUUUGCUCACUAAUGUUAGGUUUGGAUUUGUUUUUAGCCACCAAAUAAGGUUCGGAUUUGAUUACCAGCAUUAUGAUAAUUUUUUUUGUCACUAAACUUAUUGCGUCUUUAGAAACUAACCACUGAACUAAAUUUUUUUUAUUUUACUCACUAAUGUUAGAUUUAGUUUUUUUUGUCACUAUAGUUAGGUUCAGAUUUGAUUAUUAGCAUUACAUUAAUUCUGUGUAGCAUUUUUAAAAUAUGGUAGUAGUCUGUGAUAUUUAGAUGAUUUGAUAUAUGUCUGUAUUUUUAUAUAUAGUAUAUUUUAUGUCCCCAAGGUCGUUUACCUUGGGUCAUAAAAAUUUUACACUCAUUUUAUGACUUUUAAAAGAUGUAGUUUCAUAAAUAAUUUUAUUUUUUUCUUUCGAAUUAAAAUUCAGCAUUUGAAUUUUACACACAAAAAAAUCGCAAGAAUAAGAUAUGAAACUAUGCUUUACAAGAGUCUUAAAAUACGUGCUAAACGGUAGAAAAAACUGUAAACUAAUGAGAGGUACAUAGGGAGUAAUAAUAACAUAAAAUGAUGCACAAUCAUCGAAUUAAGUUUUCCUCUCUCUAUAUAUUUAUUUUGUAAAUUUUAAUAAGAUAAAGUUAUUAAAAUUUAUGAUAUAAAUUUAAGAGAUAUCUUAGAUUGAGUGGCAAAAAUUUAGUUGGGUGGUAAGUUUCUAAAAACACAAUAAAUUGAGUGGGAACAAAAUCUAUUUUCCCAAUAAUGAGUGGGAAUAAAAUCUAUUUUCCCAAUAAUCAAAGUGACGAAAAAUCAAAGUCAUCUAAUAAGUCCAGAAAAAAUAUGACCAUUAGUAUAUUGAAAUAAUAUUCACGCAUUUAUAUACGAGAAUAUAUGGUCCACAAGUUAGUGCACAAUGUCCAAGAAUCUUUAUCAAAUAACACGGCAAGCAUGCAGCAUAUAAAUAAGAGUGGGCAGUAUGGUAUUGCAUUCAUAACCCACUUGAGCAGAAAUAUGGCACACUUCCUAAAGCCUUCUCACCUUCUUCUCUUUGUUUUCUUUCUCUCGUUACUUCAAUCCAUUCUACCAACAAGACCAGAGGGAGAAGCUCUUGUGAAAUGGAAGAAUAGCCUAGCCCCGUCUUCUUUUCUCGAUUCUUGGUCACUAACCAAUCUCGAUAAUCUUUGUAACUGGACUGGCAUUACUUGUAACUCUGCAGGUUCAGUCUCUGGGAUUAACCUUUAUGAGAAACAACUUGAUGGAAUGCUGUCCGAGUUUGGCUUCACUUCAUUUCCGAAUCUCAACAAUCUCACCCUCGCAUACAACUUCUUCUCGGGUCCAAUACCACCAGCCAUUGAGAAUUUAACACAGCUUCAAUAUCUUGAUUUAAGCAUCAAUAGUCUCGAUGGUCCCAUUCCUUUCCAGGUUAGCCAUCUUCAGAGGUUGCUCGUCCUAAACCUGUCACAGAAUGCAUUGCAAGCUCCAAAUUGGUCCCAUUUCUCUUCCAUGCCUUUUUUGCGCAUCCUCAAGCUCAGUAGGAAUCAUCUUGUAUCGAAAUUUCCAGAAUUUAUAUCCAAUUCUCAUAGCUUGGCUAUCCUUGACCUUGGCCAGAACAACUUUACAGGUGAUCUUGUGCGUGAAUUUACCAAUCUACAAAAUCUUGAAACCCUCUGGCUUUAUCGUAAUUCUUUUGAGGGGCCAUUUCCGCCGGAUAUAGUCCAGCUUUCCAAACUAAAAGAUCUUGCCCUGUCAAGUAACAAAUUUUCAGGUUCAGUUCCCAAUAACAUAAGGUUGCUUUGUGAUCUUGAAUACCUAUAUUUAGGCAACAAUUCCUUUAAGGGGCCACUUCCACCAAAUAUAUUUAAGCUUUCAAAAUUAAAACAUCUUGUUCUUUGGAGUAAUAAGUUUUCAGGUUCUGUUUCCAAUGAUAUAGGUUUGCUUCAUGAGCUUGUAACCCUCAAUCUUAACUCUAAUUUUUUUGAGGGGCCGCUUCCGCCAAAUGUAUUCAAGCUCUCCAAACUAAAGUUUUUUGCCCUUCAUGAGAAUAACUUUUCAGGUUUUAUUUCUAAGGAUAUAGGUUUGCUUUCCGAACUUGAAAUCCUCUAUUUUGGCUCUAAUUUUUUUGAGGGGCCGCUUCCUCCACAUGUAUUUAGGCUCUCCAAAUUAAGAGGUCUGGACCUCUCACACAAUAGAAAUUUAUUUGAAGGAAGUAUUCCUAUUGGACUGGGACUCUUGACUAACCUCAGGUACUUAGAUCUACAUUCCAAUAAUCUCGGUGGCUAUAUUCCAUCUGACAUUGGAAACCUGAAGCUACUAGUACUUCUUGAUCUCGGUUCUAAUCAAUUGACUGGACCGCUUUCAAAGAUCGUUUCUAAUCUCACAAAUCUUAUAUGUCUUGAUGUAAGUCAUAAUAGUCUUAGUGGAAAUAUUCAGAGUGACUUGUGGAAAUAUAACGAUCAUCCAACUUUGGAAUACAUCAAUUUAAGUGGGAACCAUUUUACGGGUAUAGUUUUUCUCUAUAGAUCUUUUCCUUUUCUCAUAUGUAACUAAGCUAGUAAUCUGAUUAUUGCAGUUUCACCAAAGUUUCAACAAUCUUGACAGGUGAGCUUCCAACAACAAUUUGCAAUGUCACUUCCCUUUCGGUUCUUGAUUUGUCAAAUAAUGAAUUAAGUGGUGCACUUCCAAACUCUUUGGGGAAUCUUGCUGAUGGAAUGCUUUACCUUAAUCUUGCUAAUAAUCAGUUUCGAGGAACAAUACCAACUACUUUCUCCAGGAGUUGUCGGUUGACAUAUCUAAACAUGGAUAAUAAUGAGUUUGAAGGAUUGUUGCCCCCAUCUUUGGCGAACUGUAAGCACUUGAAAAUUCUUGAUAUAGGCAAUAAUAAAAUAGGUGGUACAUUUCCGUCAUGGCUUUAUGCACUUGGAGAGCUAGAAGUUCUUGUCUUGCGAUCAAAUAAACUCUAUGGUACGAUAAGUGGAAGGAGCAUAGAAGAUCCCUUCCCCAAGUUGCGGAUUGUGGAUCUGUCCCACAAUCAAUUGACAGGCUAUUUGCCAAUUCAAUACUUUAAGAAUAUGAAAUCAACUGAUAAUUUGUAUCGUUAUCGGAAUUCCACAGGACCAUUAUCUUUCUCUUAUGAAGCAGCAGUCUCAUUAACUGUGAAGGGAACAGAGUACGAGGUAGCAAAGAACCUUCAUAUUUACACAGCCAUUGACCUGUCGUGCAACAAAUUUCAGGGAGAAAUUCCAAAGGUUACUGGAGAGCUUAGAUGGCUUGCAUUGCUGAAUUUAUCUCAUAAUAGUCUGACAGGACCUAUCCCAUCCUUGCUGAAAAAUAUGAAAGAACUCCAAUCUUUAGAUUUGUCCUCAAAUCAACUGACAGGGGCUAUUCCACCUCAGUUAACUGCAUUGACAUUUCUGGAGGUCUUCAACCUCUCGGGAAACCAUCUUAGUGGAGAGAUUCCUCAGAAAGGGCAGUUCAGCACAUUUAACAAUGAUUCUUAUCUAGGAAACUCCGCGUUAUGUGGAUCACCUUUGACAAAGAAAUGUGCAAACACAGCAUCACCUCCACAAGAAGUCGGAAAUGGUGAUGAAGAUGAUGCUGGUGAUGAAUGGACAUGGGAAGCAAUCGUGAUGGGAUAUGGAUGUGGACUGAUAUGUGGAUUGUCAUCUGCGUACAUUGUUCUCAAACUAGGAAAGCCUUGGUGGUUUGUGAGAUAUAUCGAAGUGCUGCAACUGAAGUUGAUGAAAAGAUAUGCUUGAAAAAUUGUACUGGCCGAUCAAGACGAACUUGAAAGUUGUUGUCCUUGUGGACAUUUCUGAACCAGUAGUGUACUAGCUGCAUAAGUAUUUGGUAUUAUGUAAUAAUCCGUUUGGUCAGGACUCAUAAUGAUUUCUCUUGCUUCAGGGGUAUUAAUAUUAACCUUGCUAGUUAAUUCAAAUUAAAACAAAUAUAAAAUCAAAAAAUUUGCAUCAAACACCUGUUAUACCAACAUCCAUUAAUUUGCUUUCAUCUCUUACGUAACAAUUUAACAGCGAUUCCACACUGUUUUAGGCAUGGAGAUUACACAAAGAAGGCAAGUCCAUGAACUAAUAUAUUAACCCGUAGUCCACAUCUAUGCUACGAACAAUUCAUAUUGGUCUUCCAUCUAUUCAACCGUCUCCCGAAGAUAGGCCAAAAAUGUCAUCUGUGGUUCUUAUCUUUGUCAGUAAAGGAGAAUCUCUGAUGCCUAUACAACCUGGUUUUCUUACAGAAAGGAAUGUAGGUGAAACCAGGGGCAUAAAAUGAAUCGGGACUAAAAUCUGCUAAAAUGAUAAUUAUUUACUCAUCAUUCGAGAUUAGUCGGGCUCAAAUGAAGAUUUAUAUGGAUUUUAAGAACAAACUAUGACUAAAUAUGAAAACUAGACAACCUGGUUUUCUUACAGAAAGGAAUGUAGGUGAAACCAGGGGCGUAAAAUGAAUCGGGACUAAAAUCUGCUAAAAUGAUAGUAAUUAUUUACUCAUCAUUCAAGAUUAGUCGGGCUCAAAUGAAGAUUUAUAUGGAUUUUUAAGAACAAACUAUGACUAAAUAUGAAAAAAAUCAUUAAUUUUUCCGACUCAAUAUUUUUUAGCCUCCCCCGGCCCUGGGUGAAACCAUAAGCUUCUCUGGUGCACAUCCAAAUCAUUCAGCUGGUUCUGCAGGUACUCUUCUAUCUGUACUUUCUUAUAUUGUUUGCCAGUACAUUUUAUAUCGACAAACUGCACAAUACACCUCGAUCUCAUACACAGGUGAACUCCUGCAUAUGCUUUGUGAUGUCAUUGAUGAUCGAUAGACUUGAAAAAAAAUUAUGACAAAGAUUCAUAAAAUAUCUACUUCCAUCCUAAUUCAGUAUUCAAUAUUAUUCAUCCCGUAUCAUCAUCCAAUCAAUUCUAAUAGUUCUUCUUUAAAUCAGUACAAAUAUUGUUAAAUACCUCGAUGAUGGUUGUCUUCCCGUGAACCAAUCAUAAAAUUACCUCUGUAUAAAUCCAUCGGAAAUAAGACAGUUAAUAUCCCAAUCGAAUACACCCCGUCAGUUGUCAAACUCCUCGAAACGUAUUAAUCACUUUAGAAAAUUUGUUCCACUGGCGCUAGUCAGUCCCAGAGUUGGUGGUGGGUGCUUCUGGGCUUUCGAAAAACACCCAUUUACUCCAUUGUUUAGAGAAGUAAAACCCCACCUUCCGCUCAUUUGAUUGAUCAGCUGAAUUAGGCAGAGUUUACAUGGUCAUGAUCAUAGUCUCCCAUUUCCCAGAUACGCGAAUUAUAGUGGAUUUAUCUUUAUCAGUAAUUUCUGUGGAGAUGCAUAAUCAUUAUAAGCUCCAAUAUAAAAAUUUAAAGUUAGUAUGGGCAUUUGUGUUGAUAAUUUGCGCAAUGUUAACAGGAUUGCUCCCAAGUCUUGGACGGACUCUUUCAAAGUCUUCUCAGGACCCAUCUGCACACUGAUUUGUCUGCCAACUAAAAAAUCAACAAUAUGUUACUCACUCCGUUUUUCUUAAACGAGGUUAAAAUUUUUGACACAAGAUGGGUUGACAGUAUAAUAAAAUUAACAUUUUUGUGAAUAAAAAUUUUGGUUGUAUUAUUUUAUUUAGAAAAAGAAAAUCUUGAAAAUAAUAUUAUUAACUACCCAGUCAAAUCACUUAAAAGUAUAUGUCCAAAAUUAAAGCGGCAUAUAAAAAAACCGAGAGAGAGUAUGUACUAACCUGUUUCCAUAACAGUUUACAAGUAUAAGUUAUACUCCCUCUCUAUUUUUUUAUAUGACGCUUUGAUUUUGGGCACAUAUUUUUAAGUGUUUUGACCGGAUAAUUAAAAAUAUUAUUUUCUAAAAUUUUUAAAAGAAAGUAAAAUUGAAAAAAAAAUAGAAAGCUGGUAUUUUUGAUAAAUUUCCAAACAUAAUCAAGAACAAUAAUUUUUACUAUCCAAUCAACUCAUUUACAGAUGUGUGUCAAAAAUCAAAAUAUCAUAUAAAAAACAACAAUAUGUUACUCCCUCCGUUUUUCUUAAACUGAGGUUAAAAUUUUUGACACAAGAUGGGUUGACAGUAUAAAAUUAAAAUUUUUGUGAAUAAAAAUUUUGGUUAUAUUUUUUAUUUAAAAAGAAAAUCUUGAAAAUAAUAUUAUUAACUACCAGUCAGAUCACUUAAGUGUAUGUCCAAAAUUAAAGCGGCAUAUAAAAAAAAGGGAGGAAGCAUGUACUAACUGUUUCCAUAACAGUUUACAAGUACAAGUUAUACUCCCUCUCUAUUUUUUCUAUGACGCUUUGAUUUUGGGCACACAUUCUUAAGUGUUUUGACCGGAUAGUUAAAAAUUUAUCUUCUAAAAUUUUUAAAAAGAAGUAAAAUCGCAAAAAAAAUUAGAAAGCUGGUAUUUUUGAUAAAUUUCCAAAUAUGUAAUCAAGAACAAUAACUUUUACUAUCCAAUCAACUCAUUUAAAGAUGUGUGUCAAAAAUCAAAAUAUCAUACAAAAAAUAGGUAUACAUUUUUUUUAAUAGAUUAUACUCCCUCUGUUCCAAAAUAAUUGUCAGCUGUGACAUUUUGCAAAAGUAGCUGGGGGGUAAUAACAAGACCUUAGUCAACCCAAGCACAGCAGACAGCAGGCAUAAGGCAUCAGGAAUUUCACAGCACCAUUAUCUUUCUCUUAUUAACUGUGAAGGGAACAGAGUAUGAAGUAGCAAGAACCUUCAUAUUUACACAGCCAUUGAUCUGUCGUGCAACGAAUUUCAGGGAGAAAUUUCAAAGGUUACUGGAGAGCUUAGAUGGCUUGCAUUGCUCAAUUUAUCUCAUAAUAGUCUCACAGGACCUAUCCCAUCAUUGCUGAGAAAAAUGAAAGAACUCCAAUCUUUAGAUUUGUCCUCAAAUCAACUGACAGGGGCUAUUCCACCUCAGUUAACUGCAUUGACAUUACUUUUCUCUUUAUAUCCUUUCCUUUUGUAUGUACCUAUGCUAAUUAUCUGAUUAUCAAAAUUAUAACAAAGCUUCAAGAUUUUUAACAGGUGAGCUUCCACUAAAAAUUUGCAAAGUCACUUCCCUUUCGCGUCUCAUUAUGUCAGAUAAUGGGUCAAGUGGUGCACAUCCACAGUGUUUGGGGAACCUUUCUUUGCUUGGUUUCAAUAAUCUUGCUAAUUAUCAAUUUCAAGGACCAAUACCAACGACUGUCCAAGACUUGUCUGUGCAUAUCUAAACAUCCAUAACAAUCACUUUGAAGGUUUGUUGCUGCAAUCUUUGACAAACUGUAAACACUUACAAAUUCUUGAUAUUGGAAACAACAAAAUAGGUGGUACAUUUCGGUCAUGGCUAUUUAUUUUGGAGAGCUAGAUGUCCUAGUUAGGGCGGUAAUUCAACUAGAGCAAACCGAGUUUUGAGCGGAGCCAAAUUCGAGCCAAGUUUAAUCGAGUCAAGCCGAGUCGGCUCGUUUAGCUAAUCGAGCCUAAAACUCUGCCCGAACUCGACUCGUUUAAUUUCACGAACGAGUCAAGCGAGUGAGCUCGUAUAAUUUUAACUUAAUCGAGCCUAAAUCUCUACCCGAACUAUUGGCUCGUGUAAUUUCGCGAGUAGAAUCGAGCCGGCUCGUUUUAUUAUAGAAGCCGAAAUUUUUGCCCGAAUUUGGCUUGUUUAACAAGCCGAUCUUUCAUCAAAAAUUUCAAACAUUUCUGAAUAUGUAUUUUCAGAGAAUUUCUCCAGCACUCUUAAGGCCUAUAAUUAUUGCAACUCUCACGUUAUGGACCACUGUGUAUUUUACAAGCACGACGAAUCAUGUUGUCAUUAUGGACUCCCCAAGCCUUAGAGGACUCAUUCCAGGUCUUAGGAGGACCACUGCCUAGCUCACCCUUUCGGAGUGAUGUAAAUUAUUUUCCAAACAUUAAAAAUAAAUAAUCAGAUUAAUCAAUACAAAAUUAAAGAUAUAAAAUCAGAAUAAAUCCUAAACUUUGAAUAUACAAAAAAAAUUAUAAUUGUAAAUUAUACAAUCAAAUUAAAAUUGAAUUAACUUCCCUCACACUUAAAAUUUAUAGCGAUCAAAUCAAAAUCGAAUUAACUUUCCUAUUACUAAAAUUUAGUUACAAUAUUAUUAGAUAAAGAGAAUAUAUAAUAAUCAAGGGAAAAUAGAUUUUUUUUUUUUGCCACUCAACUUAUUGUUUUUUAAGAAACUUACCACCCAACUAAUUAUUUUUUCCUUUUGCUCACUAAUGUUAGGUUUGGAUUUGUUUUUAGCCACCAACUAAGGUUCGGAUUUGAUUACUAGCAUUAUGAUAAUUUUUUUUGUCACUAAACUUAUUGUGUCUUUAGAAACUAACCACUCAACUAAUUUUUUUUUAAUUUACUCACUAAUGUUAGGUUCAGUUUUUUUUUGUCACUGAAGUUAGGUUCGGAUUUGAUUAUUAGCAUUACAUUAAUUCUGUGUAGCAUUUUUAAAAUAUGGCUCAUAAGAAUUUUACACGCAUUUUAUGACUUUUAAAAGAUGUAGUUUCAUUAAUAAUUUUAUUUUUUUCUUCCGAAUUAAAAUUUAGCGUUUGAAUUUUACACACAAAAAAUCGAAAGAAUAAGUUAUGAAAGUAUGCUUUAUAAGAGUCUUAAAAUACGUGCUAAACGGUAGAAAAAACUGUACACUAAUGACAGGUAAAUAGGGAGUAAUAAUAACAUAAAAUGAUGCACAAUCAUCGAAUUAAGUUUUCCUCUCUCUAUAUAUUUAUUUUGAAAAUUUUAAUAAGAUAAAGUUAUUAAAAUUUAUGAUAUAAAUUUAAGAGAUAUCUUAGAUUGAGUGGCAAAAAUUUAGUUGGGUGAUAAAUUUCUAAAAACACAAUAAAUUGAAUGGGAACAAAAUCUAUUUUCCCGAUAAUCAAAGUGACGAAAAAUCAAAGUCAUCUAAUAAGUCCAGAAAAAAUAUGACCAUUAGUAUAUCGGAAUAAUAUUCACACAUUUAUAUACGAGAAUAUAUGGUCCACAAGUUAGUGCACAAUGUCCAAGAAUCUUUAUUAAAGUAACACGGCAAGCAUGCAGCAUAUAAAUAAGAGUGGGCACUGGGCAGUAUGGUAUUGCAUUCAUAACCCACUUGAGGAGAAAUAUGGCACACUUCCUAAAGCCUUCUCACCUUCUUCUCUUUGUUUUCUUUCUCUCGUUACUUCAAUCCAUUCUACUAACAAGACCAGAGGGAGAAGCUCUUGUGAAAUGGAAGAAUAGCCUUGCCCCUUCUUCUUUUCUCGAUUCUUGGUCACUCACCAAUCUCGAUGAUCUUUGUAACUGGACUGGCAUUACUUGUAACUCUGCAGGUUCAGUCUCUGAGAUUAACCUUUAUGAGAAACAACUUGAUGGAAUGCUGUCCGAGUUUAGUUUCACUUCAUUUCCAAAUCUUAACAGUCUCACUCUCGCAUACAACUUCUUCUCGGGUCCAAUACCACCAGCCAUUGAGAAUUUAACACAGCUUCAAUAUCUUGAUUUAAGCAUCAAUAGUCUCGAUGGUCUCAUUCCGUUCCAGGUUAGCCAUCUUCAGAGGUUGCUCGUCUUAAACCUGUCACAGAAUGCAUUGCAAGCUCCAAAUUGGUCCCAAUUCUCUCCCAUGCCCUUUUUGUGCAGCCUCAACCUCAGUAGCAAUCCUCUUGCGUCGAAAUUCCCAAAUUUCAUAUCCAAUUCUCAUGGCCUGACUCACCUUAGCCUUGAUCAAAACGAGUUUACAGGUGAUUUAGCGCGUGAAUCAAUAUUUGCCAAUCUGCAUAAUCUUGAAGUCCUCAGUCUUGUUGGCAAUUCUUUUGAGGGGCCAUUUCUGCCAAAUAUAUUCAAGCUUUCCAAAUUAAAACGUCUCACCCUGUCAAGUAACAAAUUUUUAGGAUCAAUUCCCAAUGACAUAAGGUUGCUUUGUGAUCUUGAAUUCCUGUAUUUAGGAAACAAUUCUUUUGAAGGACCGCUUCCACCAAAUAUAUUCAAGCUUUCAAAAUUAAAACAUCUUGUUCUUUGGAGUAAUAAGUUUUCAGGUUCUGUUUCCAAUGAUAUAGGUUUGCUUUCUGCGCUUGAACUUUUGAAUCUUCACUCUAAUUUUUUUGAGGGGCCGCUUCCGCCAAAUGUAUUCAAGCUCUCUAAACUAAGGUUUCUUAACCUCUGGGGUAACAACUUUUCAGGUUCUGUUUCCAAUGAUAUAGGUUUGCUUCCGGAGCUAGAAAUCCUCAAUCUUCACUCUAAUUUUUUUGAGGGCCGCUUCCGCCAAAUAUAUUCAAGCUCUCUAAACUAAGGUUUCUUAACCUUUGGGGUAAUAACUUUUCAGGUUCUGUUUCCAAUGAUAUAGGUUUGCUUCCUGAGCUAGAAUUCCUCAAUCUUCACUCUAAUUUUUUUGAGGGUCCGCUUCCGCCAAAUGUAUUCAAGCUCUCUAAACUAAAGUUUCUUCAUCUUCGAGGUAAUAAGUUUUCAGGUUCUGUUUCCAAUGAUAUAGGUUUGCUUCCUGAGCUUGAAAUCCUCAAUCUUCGCUCUAAUUUUUUUGAGGGGCCGCUUCCGCCAAAUGUAUUCAAGCUCUCCAAACUAAGGUUUCUUUCCCUUAAGGAAAAUAAAUUUUCAGGUUCUGUUUCCAAUGAUAUAGGUUUCCUUUCUGAGCUUGAAUACCUAUAUCUUGACUAUAAUUUAUUUGAAGGAAGUAUUCCUAUUGGACUGGGACUCUUGACUAACCUCAGCUACUUAGAUCUAAGUUCCAAUAAUCUCAGUGGCUAUAUUCCAUCUGACAUUGGAAACCUGAAGCUACUAGUAUUUCUUGAUCUCAGUUCUAACCAAUUGACUGGACCGCUUUUAAAGAUCGUUUCUAAUCUCACAAAUCUUAUGAAUCUUGAUGUAAGUGAUAAUAGUCUUAGUGGAAAUAUUCAGAGUGACUUGUGGAAGAACUCUAUAUCCUUACGUUACAUUAAUUUUGCAAAUAAUUAUUUGUCUGGGAACAUUCCUAAGGAAUACAACGAUCAUCCAACUUUGGAAUACAUCAAUUUAAGUGGGAACCAUUUUACAGGUAUAUUUUUCUCUAUAUAUCUUUUCCUUUUCUCAUAUGUAACUAAGCUGGUAAUCUGAUUAUUGCAGUUUUACCAAAGUUUCAACAAUCUUGACAGGUGAGCUUCCAACAACAAUUUGCAAUGUCACUUCCCUUGCGGUUCUUGUUUUGUCAAAUAAUGGAUUAAGUGGAGCACUUCCAAAUUGUUUCGGGAAACUUGCUGAUAGAUUGCUUUCCAUUAAUCUUGCUAAUAAUCAGUUUCGAGGAACAAUACCAACUACUUUCUCCAGGAGUUGUCAGGUGAAAUAUCUAAACAUGGAUAAUAAUGAGUUUGAAGGAUUCUUGCCCCCAUCUUUGGCGAACUGUAAGCACUUGAAAAUUCUUGAUAUUGGCAAUAACAAAAUAGGUGGUCCAUUUCCGUCAUGGCUUUAUGUACUUGGAGAGAUAGAAGUCCUUGUCUUGCGAUUAAAUAAACUCUAUGGUACAAUAAGUGGAAGGAGCGUAAAAGAUCCCUUCCCCAAGUUGCGGAUUGUGGAUCAAUAGACAUCGGCUAAAAAGCGAUGUCUAUGUAAAAUCAGACCGAUGUCUUCGUGGGUGAUGAGAAAAGUAAGUGCAUUACACAUCGCUUUCUAGCCGAUGUCUAUAACCUAUUUACACAUCGUUUAAUAUGACAAUCUGAUGUAUUUUUUAACAGUAGAUACCUUCACUAUAAUUUCAGUUCCUCAUUCCUAUGCCCUCUAUAUCAUUUUAAACUUGUCACAUGCUUAAUAAAAUGAUACUUUAACAUCUUAAAACUUGUAAAAUAGAUGUAUAUGAUAACCUUUUACAUCAUGCUUUUAUAGGAAGUGAUGUGGUACCCUUCUUUUCUUUAAGAAAGCGAUGUCUUUGUUCUUGUUUUACAUCAGUGAUUUUUAUACUCUGAUAUCUAUUAUAUAGUUUAACAUCAGGCUUUUUCUUGUUAACUGAUAUGUAUUCAUUCUUAUGACAUCGCUUACUAAGUGAUGUAAAUGUUAGUUUUAAAUUGCCAUGAAUCCUCCUGUUUCUUAUGAAUCCCCCUGUUUCAUUUAAAUUUCCAACAAAUUCCAAAACAACACCAAAGCUAUACUAAUUAAACAACCAAUUACCAAUGUCUAGCCUACCAUAACAGAACUAAAACAAAACUAGCUAGCAAAACAAUACUUCCGCAAAAGCCAAAUAUAUUACCAUCAAUCAUUACCAAUCAAAUUACAUCCCACAAUCAAAGAAACUGCACAAAUCCUAAAUAUUAACCAAGCAACCAUAAUUUACAAGCAGUUCACCACGUACUCCAGCAACCAUAAUUUACCAACUACAUUUCCCUCCAUUUAUCAACAAAAUCUACUUAGCUAGCUAGUGUCACUGUCUUACAUAAACUGAACUAAUUAAAGGAAACCAAAGUUCUCCAAUAAACCAAAGGCCUGUUUAUAAGAAGGACUCGAUAUGGCUAAGUGUCUCAAACCGAACCUCGUCAAGCUCAGCCUUGGAACAAAUCACUUUUCGAUUCUUGGAUGCCCACUGAAAAAUGUAAAACAAUAACAUUGAAUUAUACCUAAAUUUAUAUGUACACCAUUUAAUUAUAUCAACAAUGGAUUAGGCAAAGAAAAAUACCCUUUUAAAAAAUGUCAUUUCAUUGUCCAUGACAAUCUCUUUCAUAUACCGCAUAAUAACAUAGCCGCAUUCAGUUCCACCGGGCUGUUUAGGACAUCCCUAUUUAACCAAAAAAAACUCAAAAUAGUAAGUAAAGUAAUGCCCCUGGUUCUAAGCAUCAGUAGCACAAAUUGUUAAAAAUAAAUACGAAAGCUUACUGUAAUAUAUUUGAAGCUUGGGGCUUUAUUUCCCCUUCCGGCCUGAACAUUGAAAGUAAUCACAGCCCUGUCAUCUUGGCAGUGUUAAUAAUGCACAUGCAUUUAUAUCUCCAUAAGAAAGAUAAUCAAUAAAAAAAUAAAUGAAAAUACCUUGAUAUUGCUUUUUCCAAGUUGGGGAAACUAGUUGAACGAGGCAGAGGAUUAAGUAUGAAAACCUCGCCACCCCAAAACAGAACCAAUACCCAAUGGAAACUAUUUUUAACAAAUAUUUAUGAAAAACACAAUUACUAUCAAAAUCAUAUAAAUUUUAUUUUCAGUCAUGUAAAAAACUAAAUAAAAGAGAUUUAUAAUAAAUAAGAAAACACUUAAGCUACUUACUUGCUAUUAUGCGGCAUCAAAAAGAGACGAUCAGGAUUACCCUCUUUAAAUCGAUUAACCAAGUUAUCUUCAAAAGAAUUGUUCAUCAAGUUCAGCGAGGCUCCAGGAUCACAAAAAGCAAAUUGAUCCUUAGUGCCAUUUUCACGAACCACGCAAUGCAAGUAUCUACAUUGUAAAUGAAAUGAAAUUAUAUAAAAUUACACGAAUAUGAAUUAUAACUAAACAACAGUCAUGAUCUAGAAGACAGUAAUUAAAAAAAGUUUACUCACGCCAUGUAUGCAGCAAUUGCUGCUUGGCCAAUCAUAUUAAACUCCAGCAAGGCGACUAUGUUUUCAUACAAGAUGAAGAUUCUUUUCUCGAUACCAAACACCUCAGCAUCACACGGGAUUUGAAUUGAGUCUCCGGAGGAUUGCAUAAAUGUUGUUGCAUGUUUAUACAACAACCGAAAGCGUUUUGGAACAUUUUUAUUGAUCUCCAUGUUAUGAAACAAGGACUGGACUUUAUCUAAAUCGGUUUUAGGUUCCUUUACUUUCCGUUUACCUUUCUGAAAAAUGAACAAAAUUAAUUUAAAACAAAAUAUAACAAAAUAUAGGGGUAACAUAUAAUAGUACAAUCCAGUACAACAAUUAUGUUAAAGUACACACCAUAGUAGGAAUAGUAGGAGGGGCAUUUGGGAAUAUGAUCAAGUCGCGGGGCCAUGAGACGUACGAGCCAACAGCUUGCUCUACUGUUUCAAUCUCACCUGGUACCGGUUUAGGAAUCUUGGCUUGUCCUUGAAUUGGGCCAUCCACUGAGACGCGAACACAUCCAGGCUCUAUCGGCACUCCAUGUAUAGAUUUGUUCAUGUUAUCAUCAUCAAACAACAAACCAAAUGCCACUUUAUUUUCUAUUGUGCCUACAGCCAACUCACAUUUUCGUGGACCGGCCUACACACAUAUAUUUAAACAAUUAUGACGAAUGCUUGAAAUAUGUUGAGCUAAAUUGAAUAAAUGUGCUAGUUAUUUUACCUUAUUCUCUGGUGGAUUAGGUUCCAAGUCAACUUCAAUCAUCUCUGGUUCCAGUUUUUUCACCACCUCUGUCUUAGCUUCUUUGACAGUGUUUGCCUCACAACUUGCUUUAUCAGAAGCAAUAGGAGAUGAAAUAUUUGCUUUGCUGAGCAAGGCCUUCAUUUCAGCCAUCUCCUGCCUUGUCUUCUCCAUUUCCAUGGCCAUCUCUUUCUUGGCUUUCUCCAGCUCCGCGUCCCUCUCUCGAUCCCUCUCCAACAACUCAGCUUUGGUGAUUCUAUUUCUUCUUCCUGGUGGUAUAUUAAAAAAAAUUGACGGGCUCACAAAGCCUCCAACUCCUCGAACCCUCCCCGAAUGUUCAGGAGUUUGUAGGGCCGUAGUCAACACAUCUCGACUCCCAGAAGGAGUGAAUUCCCCCUUACUUUGCUGCUCUAGUAAAAUAUUCUGACAUGAAAAAUAUGAACAUACAAAUCAUCAUCUAGUGAACCUCAUCAUCAAUAUUAACUUUAAUUUUACGAGCCUUUUAAUUAUAAAUACUCACAAUUCUUUUUCCUAUUUCAGCUAGGUCUGAAUCCUCAUCAUCAGCAUCAUCAGCCUCAUCAUCAUCAUCAACAUUAUCAUUAUCAUCAUCAAUUUUAAUUUUACGAGCCUUUUGCCACAUGAGAGCCCGAUCAGGUUCUUCAUCGGCAGCCAAAGUUCCUUUCUUGAUCUGAUUAAAAUCAAAAAAAAAUUAAAAAGGCCAAGAUAUGUAAAAUACAAUUAUUUAGGUUCAAUGCUUAAAAUACAACUAUUUUUAUACCUCUUCUUCCAAUAAUCCAAUGUAACCCUUUCUUGAUGUCCGGUGAGGAUAUUUUCGAUUACUCACCCUCAGCUUUUGUUUUUCACUAAAAGACUUCAAAUAUUUUAAAUAAUAUUAGAAUACUAUUUUUCAGAAUAUAAAAAGACAUUUAUAUCACAAUAAAGCAGAACAUAAAAUAUAUUUCAUACCAGAAAUUUCGAGGUAGUCCUCUCAGCAACAAAAUUUUUCCAAGCCUCCUUUCCAACAAAAGCAUACUUCUUUGGAGGCUUUCGUAAUUUCUUCUUCUGCCCAAGAUACGGCCUCACAUAAUCUCUUGUUAAAUUUGCUUUAAAAUUCCUCCACUUUGCUCCUGCAGACCUGAUCAACCCCUUCUCAAGUUGCUUAGGAACUUUAAAUGUCUCCUGCAACCAAUGUUAAUUGACAAAAUUUACAAAAUUAUACUCUAAAUGAGUAGAAGAAAAUGCAAAAUUUACAAAAUGCAUAGGAGAUUACUUAUUUUUAUACCUUCACAUCAAUCCAUAUUUUCUCCUUUAGUUCAUCAGGUACCUUUGACCAGUUAGGAUAAUCAAUCGGAAUCAUUGUCCUAGCCAACAUUCCAGUGUAGGAUUGUAGACUGUGCCUUGCAUCCCCUGUAGGAACUCCAUGUGCAUUACAUGAAACCUUUGUUUUCUUGCCCUGCGCCUUCCUCACCACCACUUUAUACAUAGCAGAAACCCCUCGGGCACCCCCACGCUUUUUCUUUGCUGUUUCAGAUGUUGUAACUGUUGCAUCCGUUUCCUCCACAGAAUUCACAUUUUCUCCCUGAGGUUCUGUUGUCAGCUCCAACCUUUUAUCUGAUGCCUCAUCCGACUUUUUGGAGUCUUCAUGGAAUUGUACUUUGGUUUUUUGCUUUUUAUUUGCCAUUUAUCUUCUUCAAUCUGAAAAUGAAACAUAUAUAAUCCAUUAGUCACAGGCAUAUAUACGAGCAAUUACAGGAUAAGCAGUUAUAAAGUUACAUAAGCCUACAUAAGCCGUUACAAAAUUGUAAAAAUGCAUAACUAAACAUUUACACAGAGUGAAAAUUACAGGAGUCUAAUUACACAGAGUAAAUUACAAAGUUGCAUCACAUAUAUUACAUGACUUGAAAUAAUGUUAUCACAGAGUAAAUUACAAAGUCUCAUCACAAAAUUAACUAUUACAUGACUUGAAAUAAUGUUAUCACUUCUUAACCCAAGUGCCCUUAAUAUUUUCUCUAAUACUUUUCUCAACAUCAUCACCGACAUCACAUGUAGGAAUUUGGCAGCAGAAUGGAGGAUUUUCCAUGGUUGUGUCUCCUAAAUCAUCAUCGUUAUACACCUCUUGGUAGUCUCGAGUUGUAGAGGUUAAUACGACGGACCACUUGGCAUCCACCGGAUCUUCAAUAUAAUAAACUUGCUUUACUUGAUCUAUAGACACGUAUUUAUCUCUCUUGUGGCCUUGUCGACUUAGAUCGACAAGUGUGAACCCAAGAUCAUCCACCUUAAUUCCCUUGUCAUUGUCCGCCCAAUUACAUAAAAACAGUGGGGCUUUGAAUGCAUGAUAAUCCAGCUCCCAUAUAUCUAGGAUAACACCAUAAAAUGUCAAGUCACUUUCUACGGGGUUUAAAUCUUUAGCGCUAGACACUUGGACAGUUUUAGCAACUAAAGACACUCCGCUGUUUUGAACUACCCUCACAUUGUCUCGCUGUUUUGUAAAGUAUCGGACCCCGUCUACUAGAUAAGCUUCGUAAGUCAUAACUGAAAAUGAUGGUUUUCCAGCUAUCCAUCUUACUGUCUCUGAAACUCCUCCAGGAUUCUCCACCAUUUCACUACUGACCUACACAUUUCAUAAACAGAAAUUAUCCUAAAUUACUAUAGAGAAAAUAAAUUAGGCACAAAUGAAACUAUAAAAAUACUAACUUUUUCUAGAAACCAAUCAGCAAAACUGUUAUUGUGCUCUCUCAAGAGCCAAUGAACGCUUUUCUUUUUCCCACGAUGGAUUUCCUCUAGAUACUCCUUAUGCAUUCUGCCAAAAAUUAUAUAUUCAUUAAAGAAGUAGUUUAUACAGAAUGUAUAUAUUAAUUGAACAGCCACAAAAUUAAAAAAAUCUUACAAGAUAUAUGGCUGUACUUCAAGGUUGUUUAGAAGAACGUGUAAAUGAGCUUCAUCCCUCUCUUUUUCUUCGAUUGAUUUCAUUACCGCAACAGAUAAUGGACCACUUAACUUGCCUUCAUCUUUGCGAAGACCAGCAGUGGUGCAAGUUUGCUUGACAAACUCUUGGCAGAAUUCAAUCGAUUCUUCUCCAAGAUAACAUUCUGCUAUACAACCUUCGGGGUAGUAACGAUUGCGUACGUAACUCUUCAACACCUUAUUAAACCUCUCAAAUGCAUACAUCCAUCUAUAGAAGACUGGCCCACAUAACCGUAAUUCCCGAACCAAGUGCACUAUGAGAUGUAUCAUUACAUCAAAAAAUGAUGCAGGAAAAAUUUUUUCUAGCUCGCACAAAGUUACUAUUACAUCUGAUUGCAAUUUAUCUAGUUUAGAUACGUCGACAACUUUGCUGCAUAAAGCAUUAAAGAAGAAACACAAUCUAAUUAUUGUGACCCUGACUUUUUUUGGAAGUACCGCGCGAAUUGCAAUAGGAAGUAAUUGUUGAAGUAGGAUGUGGCAAUCGUGGGACUUCAACCCAAACAUUUUUAAUUCUUCCAUGGAAACACAGUUUUUAAUGUUUGACGCGUGUCCAUAAGGAAGUUUCAUGUGCAUUAACGAUGACAACAUCUUCUUCUUUUCUGCCUUGGACAAAUUAAAAAUCGAAGGAGGUAAAUAGGUCUUUCUUUCUCCUUUUUGUGGAGCUAGAUCAGCCCUAACCCCCAUGUCAAUCAUGUCAAGACGAGAAGCUUCACUAUCUUUAGACUUAUGUUUCAUAUUCAGUAGUGUGCCAAUCAAGCUAUCACACACGUUUUUCUCCACGUGCAUAACAUCUAGACAAUGACGGACAUGGUGAAAUUUCCAAUACUCUAACUCGAAGAAAAUUGACUUUUUCUUCCAUGGACAGUCAACCUUCUUUGACUUCCUUACUUCUUUCCCAAACUGAAAUUCAAUUUUUUCUUGCUGCAAUAAAACCUCUUCUCCCGAAAGAGGUUGACGUGCCUGCCCUAAUUCUUGUUGUCCAUUAAAAGCAGCUUUUUGCUUCCUAUAUGGAUGAUUUCUAGCCAAGUAACGUCGAUGACCUUGGUAACACAUCUUCCUACUAUGGCUUAAAUACUUUGCAACAGUAUCAUCACCACAUAUUGGACAAGACAUAUAACCUUUAUUAACACAUCCGGACAGAUUUCCAUAUGCGGGAAAGUCGUUUAUUGUCCACAAUAAAAUUGCUUUUAAAGUGAAAUACGACUUAGUGUGUGCAUCAUAGACAUUUGGUUCACCUUCCUCCCACAACUUCUUUAAAUCAUCGAUUAGAGGCUGUAAAUAUACAUCAAGGUCAUUACCAGGCUCAUGAGGACCGGGAACUAAAACUGUUAGCAUCAUAAACUUCCUCUUCAUGCAUAACCACGGAGGAAGAUUAUAAGUCACUAGUACUACUGGCCAACAAGUGUAUCUAUUGGUUAGACCGUUAUUAUGCGGGUUUAUACCAUCUGCAGACAACGCCAAGCGAAUAUUUCUUGCCUCACUACCGAAGGCAGGCCACCUAUAGUCGAUAUUUCUCCAAGAAGGAGAGUCGGCUGGAUGCCGCAUCUUUCCAUCUUCUAUUCGCUGCUUUGCGUGCCAGGUAAUCAGUUCAGAUGUAGAAGGAGAUUUAAACAUUCGCUUCAAUCUCGGAAUAAUUGGAAAAUACCACAUUAUUUUAGCAGGAACAUUAAUCCUUACUUUACCAUCCUUUCCUAACUUCCAGCGAGAUAGACUACACUUAGGACACUUAGAAGCAUCAACAUAUACCCCCCGAUAUAGUAUGCAAUCGUUUGGACAUGAGUGGUACUUUAUGUAUUCUAGGCCUAAGUUGGAUAAUGUUUUCUUGGCUUCAUAUGCAUUAGGUGGCAUCACAUUUUCCUUAGGAAGGAGAGAGCCAACAGUAGACAAUAAAUCUGUAAAGGCGCUAUCACUAAUUCCAAACCUUGCUUUCCAAUUAUGCAGUUUUAGCAUCGACUCCAAUUUGGUACAUUCACUACCCUCAUACAAAGGCUGUUGAGCAUCAGCCACAAAUCUCCUAAACUGAUACGACUCAUUAUUGUACUCACUCGAAUUAUACGCAGCAUCACAAACAUUGACUGUUUGUGAUGCAUGACCAGGGGAAUGCAUCGAUGCAGGGUCAAGCGUAGGUGCAGGGCUAGGGGCAUUGUCAUGAACUGUUGAUCCAGUGAUUCCACACCCUUGUGUGUGCCAAAUCCAAUCAAGGUAUCCCAAACUAAAACCGUAUUCAUAUAAAUGUCCCCUAAUAAUCUUAACUGCAAAUUUUUUAAAGUUAACACAUCUUUUGCAGGGGCAUGGGAUUUUUUUAGUAUCACUAGCAUUUUCCUCGGCAAAUAUUAAAAACUCUUCAACCCCGAUUUCAUAGUCAAGUGUAUCCCUAUCUUUGAAAAUCCAAGACUUGUCCAUGUUAUUCUCAAACUACCUGAUUGUCAAAUAUGAUAUCAAAUUACAUGGUAACAAAGAUCCAAACACAAUAUACAAUUACAUUUACAAACUAAACAAACACAAAUAUAUUUACACAGCUGUGCAUAAAACAUAAAAAACAAAUCCCAAGCUCUAAACAUAUAUAACACAGUACAUAAAAAAGAAACCCCAAGCUCCAAACAUAUAUAAAACAUAUAUACAACUACACGUUUAAUUUUCACAUGCAUACAUAUAACUACAAAAAGUUAUACUUGCAACCGAAACAUUUAUAUAAAUAUAAAGAAGAAUAUAGAAGAAUAUAUAUACCUAAAACCCAGCAGCUUCGAAACCCAGCACCUCCAAAAUCCAGCAGCUAUCCAGCAGCUUCGAAAACCCAGCAACUACCCUAAUCUCCAAGCUUCAAAUCUCCAAGCUUCAAAGAACCCUAAUCUCCAAGCUCCACUCGACCCUAAGCUUGAAGAUCGAACCUUAAGCUUGAACACAGCAGCUUCGAAUCGCGCACAAAUCGCACCUAGGGUUUAGAAGAGAGGGAAUCAGUUAAUAGAACAUUUGAAAGGGGGUUUAGAAGAGAGGGAAUCAGUUAUUAAACCAAGAACGAGGAUUGAAGGACUGAAGGAUUGAAGAAAAUCGCAUACCUAGGUUUAGCUGUCGAGAGAAAGGGGGAAGAGCUGCUGUCUGAAAGAAAUAUGUAUAUAUGUCCCGAUUGUUUUCUUUUGAAUGCUUUUGUUUUAAUUUUGAUUUAUUUUUAAUGUUUUUUUAUUGUUUUAUACUGAGGCGGGAGUGAAUGAUAUGUUAAAGGGGGGGAAAACAGUAGGGGGAACUAAUUAAAAAAUUGACUAAGGGCGGGGGAGCGGAGGGCGCGGGCUUUAAUAUUUUUAAAAUUGAGAUUAGACAUCGCUUAAUAAACAAUGUGAUGUGAAAAAAUUUUAAAGUGAGAGCUUAGACAUCACUUAUGUUAAGGACUGAUGUAAAGAUACCAGAAAGACAUCACAUAUAAAACGAGCGAUGUAAAAAAGGCAUUUUACAUCGGUGACACUUCCGACUGAUGUCUAAUGUGCGAUGUCUAUUGACGAAUUUCUAGUAGUCUCCAAAGGAUAUUUAUCUUUCCAUCAUGAUGCAGCAGUCUCCUUAACUGUGAAGGGAACGGAGUAUGAGGUAGCAAAGAACCUUCAUAUUUACACAGCCAUUGAUCUGUCGGGCACCUAAUUUCAGGGUCGAAUUCCAAACGUCACUGGAGAGCUUAGAUGGCUUGCAUUGCUCAAUUUAUCGCAUAAUAGUUUAACAGGACCUAUCCCAUCAUUGCUGAGAAAUAUGAAAGAACUCCAAUCUUUAGAUUUGUCCUCAAAUCGACUGACAGGGGCUAUUCCACCUCAGCUAACUGCAUUGACAUUUCUAGAGGUCUUGAACCUCUCGAAAAACCAUCUUAGUGGAGAGAUUCCUCAGAAAGGACAGUUCAGCACAUUCAACAAUGAUUCUUAUCUAGGAAACUCCGCGUUAUGUGGAUCACCUUUGACGAAGAAAUGUGCAAACACAGCAUCACCUCCACAAGAAGUCGGAAAUGGUGAUGAAGAUGAUGCUGGAGAUGAAUUGACAUGGGAAGCAAUCGUGAUGGGAUAUGGAUGUGGACUGAUAUGUGGAUUGUCAUCUGCGUACAUUGUUCUCAAACUAGGAAAGCCUUGGUGGUUUGUGAGAUAUAUCGAAGUACUGCAACUGAAGUUGAUGAAAAGAUAUGCAUGAAGAAUGGUACUGCACUACAACAAAAACAGCAUCACACAACGGUUUUUGCCCGUUGUCUGAUACCCAAGAAAACCGUGGUCUAUUGCGAUGCCGUCUGAUACGCGCCUCAGACAACGUUUUAUUAGUUAAAGGCUUGUCUAUAAGGCCAUGCUACGAUGGUAACAAAAACACUUGUAUGUUAGCUUCCUGGUCACACAACACUGUAUGGAACCCUUGUUUAAACGGCUCGUAAACAACACAACAAAUAAAACACUUGUCUAAUUACAACAACGGUUUCUUGAAAUAUUGUCUGAAGUUUCUUCACACAUCGGCUCUAAAAACAGUUGUCUAACGUGCAUCAUUACACAAUAUCACAGUUAAGAUACCGUUGUCUGAUUGAAUUUACUAGACAACACUUUUUAAACCGUUGUAGGUUGUAGGUGUUGGACAAUAGUUUUUCGAGGACGAAAAUAAAGUGUUGUGUCUUUGUUUCGGCCAACACUUUUUCCAGCGUCCGUUGUCUGACUAGUGUCGUGUGAUGCCAGUUUUGUUGUAGUGCUGGUUGAUCCAGACGAACUAGAAAGUUGUUGUCCUGGUAGACAUUUCUGAACCAUUUGUGUCCUGGCUGAAUAAGUAUUUGGUAUUAUGUAAUAAUCCGUUUGGUUGGGACUCAAAAUGAUUUCUCUUGCUUCAGGGGUAUUAAUAUUAACCUUCCUAUCUUGAUCAAUGUUAAAUCAAAUUAAAUGAAUGAAAAAACAAAAAGUAUGCAUCAAAUCCGCUCCUGCUGUACCUAACAAUUUAACAGCACCCUUCCACACUGUUCAUACCUAAUUUGCGUGUAAUAUGAAAACUAAGAGGCAUGGCUUUUGUCUUUGAGAGAACUUAUUCCAAGUCUUCUUCGGAGGCCUACUGCCUCAACAACCUUUCAAAGACUAUGCAAUAAUCCACGUGACAGAAAAACCAAAGUCCAAUUAGUAUUAUAAGUUCAUAAAAAAUACUAUAGGAUCAUUAGCAUUAGCAUUACAUUAGCAUACAGCAUAUAUAUAAAUAGAAGAAUGCAGUGUGGUAUUGGAUUCAUAAUCCAAUUGAGCAGAAACAUGGCACACUUUGUAAAGCCUUAUGACCUUCUUCUCUGUGUUUUCUUUCUCUCAUCACUUGAAUCCAUUCUUGCAACAAGACGAGAAGGAGAAGCUCUUGUGAAAUGGAAGAACAGCCUAGCCCCGUCUUCUUCUCUUGAUUCUUGGUCACUCACUCAUCUCGAUAAUCUUUGUAACUGGACUGGCAUUACUUGUAACUCUGCAGGUUCAGUCUCUGACAUUAACCUUUUCAACAAACAACUCACUGGAAAGCUUUUCGAGUUUGGUUUCACUUCAUUUCCGAAUCUCAACAAUCUCACCCUCGCAGAUAACUUCUUCUCUGGUCCAAUACCAUCAGCCAUUGGGAAUUUAACACAGCUUCAAUAUCUUGAUUUGAGCAAUAAUUAUCUCAAUGGUUCCAUUCCGUACCAGGUUAGCCAUCUUUCAAAAUUACACGUCUUAAACCUGUCAGAGAAUGAACUGCAAGCUCCAAAUUGGUCCAAUUUCUCCCCCAUGCCUUAUUUGACCAUCCUCGACCUUUAUCAGAAUAAUCUUAUGUUGGAAUUUCCAGAAUUUAUAUCUAACUCGCGUAACCUGACAUACCUUGACCUUUCAUAUAACAAGUUCACAGGCGAUCUUGUGCGCGAAUCAGUAUUAGCCAAUCCAGGUGAUCUCGAAACCCUCUAUCUUAAUGAAAAUUCUUUUGGGGGGCCAUUUCCACCAGACAUAUUCAAACUUUCCAAGUUGAGAGUUCUUGCCCUGUUCAAUAAUCUUUUUGAGGGGCCGCUUCCGUCAAAUAUAUUCAAGCUCUCUAAACUAAGAUUCCUUUUACUUUGGAGUAAUAAUUUUUCAGGUACUCUUUCGAAUGAAAUAGGUUUGCUUUCUGAGCUUGAAGACCUAGAUCUUCACUCCAAUUUUUUUGUGGGGCCGCUUCCGCCAAAUAUAUUCAAGCUCUCUAAACUAAGAACCCUUUUCCUCUUGGGUAAUAACUUCUCAGGUUCUAUUUCCAACGACAUAGGUUUGCUUUCUGAGCUUGAACACCUAUAUCUCGACUCCAAUUCUUUUGAGGGACCUUUUCCAACAAAUAUUUUCAAGCUUUCCAAAUUAAUACAACUUGGUCUCGCAAACAAUACAAAUUUAUUUGAAGGAAGUAUUCCUCCAGGACUGGGGCUCUUGACUAACCUAGAGGACUUGUCUCUUGCUUACAAUAAUCUUGGUGGCUAUAUUCCGUCUUCCUUUGGAAACCUAACACUACUAGUAUAUCUUAAUCUCGCUCGUAAUCAAUUGGUUGGAACACUAUCAAAGACCAUUUCUAAUCUCACAAAUCUAUGGUUUCUUGAUGUACAUCAUAAUAGUCUCUCUGGGAAUAUUCAGAGUGACUUCUGGAAAAACUCUACAUCACUGCGUUACAUUAAUUUGGCAGACAAUAAUUUUUCUGGGAACAUUCCUAAGGAAUAUAAUGUUCUUCCAAUCCUGGAUCACAUCAAUUUUAGGGGGAACAAUUUUACAGGUAUUUUUCUUUCCAUAUUUUUUCCUUCUGUUGUAUUCAAUUAUGCUAGAAACUACAGCCUCUGUUUUUUCAAAUACAUAUCGUUUAACUUUUUGGCACAAAACUUUAUAAUAAUUCUAACUAAAAGGUCAAUGAACUCAAAAAUGUGUGUCAAAAAGUCAAACGUCAUUUAUCUGAAAUCAGAGGGAGUAUAUAUUACUGUUUUACCAAAGUUUCAACAAUCAUGACAGGUGAGCUUCCACCAACAAUUUGCGAUGCCACUUCCCUUUCGAUUCUUGAUCUGUCAAAUAAUGGAUUUAGUGGUGCAGUUCCACAUUGUUUGGGGAAUCUUGCGGAUAAAUUGAUUUCGAUUAAUCUUGCUAAUAAUCAGUUUCAAGGACCAAUACCAACAAAUUUCUCCGAGAGUUGUCGUCUGACGUAUCUUAACAUCUAUAACAAUCACUUCAAAGGUUUGGUUCCCCAAUCUUUGGCAAACUGUAAGCACUUGCAAAUUCUUGAUUUUGGAAAAAAUGAAAUAGGUGGAACACUUCCGUCAUGGUUUUUUACUCUUGGAGAGCUAGAAGUCCUGAUCCUGCGAUCAAACAGAUUUUUCGGGAGAAUAACUAGAAGGAGCAUACCACGCCCCUUUCCCAAGUUGCGGAUUUUGGAUCUAUCCAACAAUCAGUUCACCGGCUAUCUGCCAAUUUUAUACUUCAAGAAUAUGAAACCAAAUGAUAAUAAUUAUGAUUAUUUCAACAACACAAACGAAGCCUAUUACGUUUAUCAAGUUUCUAUCACAUUAAAUGUGAAAGGAAGCGAGCAUGAAGUGACAAAUAUUCUUCAUAUUUACACGGCCAUUGAUCUGUCGUGCAACAAAUUUGAAGGAAAAGUUCCAGACAUUACCGGAGAGCUUAGAUGGCUUGCAUUGCUAAAUUUAUCUCAUAAUAGUCUUUCGGGGCCUAUUCCAUCACAACUGGGAAAAAUGAAAGAGCUCCAGUCUCUAGAUUUGUCGUCAAAUCAAUUGACAGGUGUUAUUCCGGAUCAACUUACUAGUAUGACAUUUCUUGCUAGUUUGAACCUCUCAGAAAACCAUCUUUCUGGGAAAAUCCCUCGGAAAGGACAGUUCAGCACUUUUGGCGAAGAAUCUUACUUAGGUAAAUCGGCCUUGUGUGGAGUUCCUUUGACAAAGAACUGUAUAGACGAUGUGCCACCUUCACAAGUUGGAAAUGGCAAUGAUGAAAAUGUUGAUGAAGAUGAUACCGUUGAUGAAUUCAAUUGGAAAGUGAUCCUGAUGGGAUAUGCAUGUGGAUUAAUAGGCGGAUUGUCUGCAGGAUACAUUGUCUUCACAGUCGGAAAGCCUUGGUGGUUUUUGAGAUACAUUGAGACACUGCAGCAGAAGUUGAUCUGAUGCGCAACUAGAAACAACGUUAUAAUCUUAGAAUGACUUGUGUCUUUAAACAGAGUUAGGAACUUAGGAUGACUUGUGGUGCUAUAUUUUUUUUUUGAAAAAAAAAAACAUAUUUUUGUAAUUUUUUAGAUACAGAUGUUAAGAAGGUGUUGUAUAUUCAUUUUUUACCCAAAAAAAAAAAGAGGGCUUAUUUCAUGAAAAUUAGAGUUUUAUGUAUUUUCUCCAGAAAUUAGUCCUUAUUUCUGAAAAUAAGGUUAGUCAAAACGGUCACUACACGAUUGGUAGCCUUUCAGUUCUUCCUAGUGUCCACUACAGUUUCAUUCCUUACCAGUUAUUUUAUGCUCUGCACUGCAUUAUGCAGCUUUCAUAUUACUGACAGCUAAUCUCCUUCCAACACUUUGCGAUGCGAAGCAGGGACGCAUAAGUAUUUUUAUAUGUGUAUUAGUUUUGAAGAUUAAAGUUGCAUGGACAAUUGUGUUGAUAAUUUGAGCAAUGUUAACCGGGAUAGGUCUUCUUCUCUCUCCCAAGUCUUCUGAGGACUCAUCGGCUCAGAUUAGUCUAUCCAAAAAUUAUGAUCUGACGGCUAUUGGCACACUAACGAUUUACAUAUCACUUGAAUAUUACUGGAUACCCGCAUCUUGUUUUAAAUGGCGUAUAUCGGCUAAUAGUUCAACGAUGGUGACAAAUCCCGGUGAUCCAAAUAAUUGAUUGUCGCAAAAUUUUCCGCUUACAUCCAACUAACACGUAUUAGGAAAAAAAAUUAUAUAAUUAAACACGCUCAUGUAUCUAUAUCUUUUACAAGAUUGUAAGUCCCCAAUUCUAUGUGAUAUUAGCUAUAUGUGACUAGAAGGUUUAGAAAUACUAGAUUAUCAAGAUUUCUUUUUAUUCUAGCUAGUGUUGAGUUAUAUUUAUUUUCUUCAAACAAUCAAUACUUAUUUUUUAUUAAUAUGUGAAACUCCAAUAUAUAUUAUUAUACGAUAUAUUAUGAAAACACUAUAUUUUGUAAUGUUCAUCUUAUCCUACCAGCAAAAUUACAUCGCUAACAAAAUUAUAUCAAUUUUAUUUUAUAAACUCAAAUAAUUUAAUUUAUGAAACAACUCUAUGAGAUUCUUAUCAUGAGUUAGAAUUCAAAUAAAUAAAGAGUUCAUAUUGAUAAGUGGAAUUGAUGUGCAAGUAAGGGGUAUAAAAAAAUCUCAAAAUAACUCCAAAAAGCACAUGACAUGUUUGAUUUAAUAGAACUGGUACAUAAACAGGGGGACCAUUAUAUUUAUAAGCAAGUGACCAACAAUAGUUUACUACUGAUAUUUUGUGAUAUUUUUUGUGAUAUUUUUUGAGACCUUUAACAUUAUUCUGUGAAGUGGUAUACUACUGUUACUAGUUCUGAAACUUCAAACAAAGUAGGCGCAACAUUGUAAGAGUGAUUAAUAAAGUUGAGAAACAGUGUGUACAUUGAGCAGUAUGACAAUCAGGUUCAGCAUAUAAUACAAUCAGAUUCACAAUCAGGUUCACGAGAAACAUGCUGCAUUCCAAAAAGCCUUAUUAUCUUCUUCACUAAAUAACAAGGCAAAUACAGCAUAUAAAUACAAGUUAUAAGUACAAGUGUGGUAUUAGAUUCAUAACCCAGUUGAGGAGAAACAUGGCACACUUUGUAAGGCCUUCUCACCUUCUUCUCUUUGUUUUCUUUCUCUCAUCACUAGAAUCCAUUCUUGCAACAAGACGAGAGGGGGAAGCUCUUGUGAAGUGGAAGAAUAGCCUAGCCCCUUCUUCUUUUCUCCACUCUUGGUCACUCUCCAAUCUCGAAAAUCUUUGCAACUGGACUGGCAUUACUUGUAACUCUGCAGGUUCAGUCUCUGAGAUUGACCUUUGUGAGAAACAACUUGAUGGAAUGCUGUCCGAGUUUGGUCUCACUUCAUUUCCAAAUCUCAACAAUCUCACCCUCGCAGACAACUUCUUCUCAGGUCCAAUACCACCAGCCAUUGAGAAUUUAACACAGCUUCAAUAUCUUGAUUUAAGCAUGAAAAGUCUUAAUGGUCCCAUUCCGUUCCAGGUUAGCCAUCGUCAGAGCUUGCUCAUCUUAGACCUGUCACAGAAUGCAUUGCAAGCUUCAAAUUGGUCCAAUUUCUCUCCCAUGCCUCAGUUGCGCUUCCUCAAGCUCAGUAGCAAUCAUCUUGUGUCGAAAUUCCCAAAUUUUAUAUCCAGUUCUCAUAGCCUGACUUACCUCAACCUCUCAUAUAACAUUGGAAACCUCAAAAAAUAUAUAUUUAUAUAUUUAUAAUUAAAAAAUUGAAUUACUUAAUAUAUUAAAAAAUUGAAUAAAAUUUUAUAUAUUUUAUUAAAAAAUUGAAUAAAAAUUGAAUAAAAUUGAAUAAAAUUGAAGUACACGAAAAGGUACACGACACGAAAUACACGACUGAGAAGUCGUGUCGGUUUUGUGUUUACCCUUCGGGUACACGACACGAGGUACACGAAAUAAAUAAAUAAAUAUAUAUAUAUAUAUUUACCCUUCGGAUUAAGAGUUGGUCGCGGACAAAUUCAAAGUUUCCCAAUUAUCCUUUAUUUUAUGUAACUUUGCUUAUGUUUAAGCCUAAAUUUGGACAAUAUUUGUAAAAUAUUAAUAUUUCGUGUACUAAUUCGUUACCAGUUUCGUGUAUUUUUUCGUGUAUAUUUCGUGUUUUCGUGUUUUCAUGUACUAUUUCGUAUCGUGUCGUUUUCGUGUACAUGAAAAAAUUCGUGUACUACAGUUCGUGUCGUUUUUACCUGUUUCUAAAUCGUGUCGUGUUCGUGUUUACAAUCGUGUACACGAAUUGAAUUCGUGUCGUGUUCGUGUAUACCCACCAGAUACACGAAACACGAAAGUACACGACACGUUUAUACACGACACGAACGAUUUGCCAGGUCUANGAAACACGAAAGUACACGACACGUUUAUACAUGACACGAACGAUUUGCCAGGUCUAUUCAAACCUAGCAAGUAACCAAGAGGGGGCAAACUCCACCAGAGACAAAUCAAAGACCAUACCUGAGUAUUGCCAACAUAACAUUACAAACUGGCAGGUGAAAAAUAUGUGAAUAAGGUCUUCGUCACCAGAGUUACACAUGGGACAGUCAAGAGAAAGAUUUACUCCCUUAGAUUGUAAUCGACUUUUCACAGGCACAUUAUUCCUGCAAAAACGCCAUAAAAACACUUUGAUCUUAAGAGGAACCUCCAACUGCCAGAGUUUCUUCCACCCACUAGAUUGUGUAACAGUGCCAGUGCCAAUAUUUUGGGCAUGCCAAAACUGGUAACCUGUUUUCACAGAAUUUUGGCCGUUAGUAGUCUUUGACCAAGCUAGAUGAUCCACGGUCGACCUAUAGGGAACAGAAGUUUUUAAAAAUUAUGUAAUUCAUUCAAUUCCGUAUCAGACAAUACAUCUUAUCAUCGGUGAUAAUGGAAAUAGUGUAGAUGUUUGACCUAGUCCAUGUUUGACAACCAAUAUAAUAAGAAAUAAAUUCUUAUUUUUCUAAAAAAUAUAUUUUUGUAUAUAAAUGUUAAAGAGAUAUUUCUUAUUUGUUGUUUGAAAAAAGUAAAGACUUAUUUCAGAAUAAAUAAAAAUUAUUGUACAUUCUCUUUAUUUUUAAAAAUAAGUUUGGUCAAAUCGCCCAUAAUUCUCGUAAUUCAAAAGCCCAUUAUUUUUUUUUUUCUUGCUAAUUGAUCAGCACACGCACACGUUUCCAACUUCCCGCAAAGGGUACCGGAGUACCACCACACCGACGCUUUGUUGGGCCCAAUAAUUGGCUGAAGUUGAACGGGGCUUUCUGCCUCCGCUGGACCCCAGUUGGGAGGACUCUUUCCAAGUCUUUCGGAGACUCUUUCCCAUUGACUCCAACUUUCCAGGGUGUAUACAAAUUUUUUGAAAGAGGGUGUAUACAAAUUAUUCACGGCCAUCAAAUUAACCAGCGUAGCUGGUGAACAAAUAUUAUUGUUUAUUAUAAUUUUAUUUAAUUUAAAUGUGAUUAUAAAGAACAUAAGAGGACGUUUGAAAGUGUGGGUCUUAUUUCAAACAGUAGAUUUCAAAAAAUAUGAUUUCAAUUGUUAUUUAAAAUUCUUAAAUUUAUAUUAUAUUAAAAUGUUCUUAUCUAUACUAUACUAUUAAAACCGAAACAUUAAAAGUUUGGUCGGUCGGUACUUGGGCCGAUAUAUGGGCCUAUCUAUAUAACUAAUUAUUUUUUUUUAAUUUUGGGCCGAAAUACAGGCCUGUCUAUAUAAUCAAUUAUUCUUUUUAACUAAAAUAUGUUAUCUUUUUUACUAUUAAAGCCAAAACAUUAAAAAUUUGAUCGGUCGGUACUUGGGCCGAAAUAUGAGCGUAUCUAUAUAACUAAUUAUUUUUAUUUUUUUUUAUUUUUGGCCGAAAUACAGGCCUAUCUAUAAAAUCAAUUAUUCUUUUUAACUAAAAUAUGUUAAUUUUUUUUACUAUUAAAGCCGAAAUAUUGAAAGUUUGGUCGGUCGGUACUUGGGCUUCUAGGCCGAAAUAUAGGCCUAUCUAUAUCAUCAAUUAUUCUUUUAAACUAAAAUAUGUUAUCUUUUUUACUAUUAAAAUCGAAACAUUGAAAGUUUGAUCGGUCGGUACUUGAGUCGAAAUACGGGCCUAUCUAUAUAACUACUUAUUAUUUUUAACUUGGGCCGAAAUACAGGCCAAUCUAUGUAAUCAAUUACGCGGUAUUCUUUUUAACUAAAAUAUGUUAUUUUUUUAACUAUUAAAGUUGAAAUAUUGAAAGUUUAGUCGCUCGAUACUUGAGCCGAAAUACGGAUCUAUCUAAAUAACUAAUUAAUUUUUUUUAACUUUGGAUGGAAAUACAGCCCUAUCUAUAUAAACAAAUAUCUUUUUAACUAAAAUAUGUUAUCUUCUUUAUACUUUCUAACUAAAAACUCAAUCUUCUAAAUGAACAUGGAAGAAUAUAGUAAUUAUCUUUUUAACUAAAACAAAUUAUCGUCUAUUAAAUCAAAUUAUAACAAACUAUCCAUAAACAUCCUUAAUUUAUAACAAAUUAUUAAAUAUUUUUUAUCAUCUACUAAAUCAAAACAUUAAAAAUUAGAUUACCAUUAUGGAUCAGUAUUUGAAUUACGCUUCUCUUUAACUUAUAAUAUGUUUUAUACUAUAUUAUUAACUAUUAAUAACUAAAUAUUAAAACGCUGAUUGGGUUGUUUCUAUCUGGGUUUACGGGUCUCCUCAAAUUAUAAUCCCUCCGUUCUUAAAUAUCUGCCUUUUGACUUUUUGGCACGCAUGUUAAAGUGUUUUGAAUUUAUAGUAAAAAUAUUAUUUUUAAAUUUCUUUUUCUGAAUAAAAAUUUUAUAUCAAUACUUUUAUUCAUAAAAAGAAAUAUUUGAAAAUAACAUUUCUAGCUAUGUGGUCAAAAUAUCUUAAAAUGUGUGCGAAAAAGUCAAAAGGCAUAUAUUCAAGAACGGAGGGAGUAACAUGUAAAAAAAAUUAUUUUAACAUUAUCAUUAAAAAAUUAUAUAUUUGACCUAAUUAUAAAUUAACUAUUUGAAGGAAUAAACUAUUAAGAAUUUAUUUAGCUGCUAAAUAAAAGUUUUUUUAAUAACAUUAUUCUAUCACAAUUUUACUUUCAAUAAAAUUCGUUAAAUCUAAAAUAUAUGCGAUGAAAUAACAAAUAUUAAAACCGCCCGUGCAUUGCACGGGUUUUAAGCUAGUUCUAAUUAAUGAGUCACUAUUCGUAUUCUCAAGCAUGUUAGUUUGUUAAAAUUUAAAAUUUCAAAUGAAAUUAGGCUAAAAGACCAUAAUAUCAAAUCAAAAUCUCAUUAUCCAAUAUAUUGGUGGGCAAAAAUAUUAAACCUGGCUAUUCAUUAAUAUUGGUUCUUUAUUCAAAUUAUGUCAAAUUUAUAUAAAAUUUCGAAAAUUAUUUAUGAAUAAGAGUCGGCAUUCAUAUAUUUAUUAAGGAUACAAGUGAGAAAAUGUUAUUAAAUUAAUAUUUUUUAAUAUACGUAAGUUUUUUAAAAUAAAUUUGUAGCGUGGGACGGGAGUAUUAGACUGAUUCUGGCUUGGAGUGAAUCAGCCCAUAAAGUUUACAGGGUAGAUGACCAUUCUUAAAUCUUAAAGAAUCUUACGGUGACAGCUAACUGAACGACUCGGUUUCAGAAGUGCUGAAAAGUUUCGACGUAAACUACAAUUUGCCUAGCAUGUAAUUUCCAUGCAUUUUCUCGUUACGAGUAGGUUUGUCCGGAAGUACAAUUCAAAAUAGAGUGCUGUUAAAAAAAAUUGAGUUACUUAUUCAAUAACUUUUUUGAUAUUUAUAUAUUUUUAAUUAUAAUAAAGAUACUAGUGAUUAUGGUUAGCUUUUGGAGUACUUUUGGAGUACUUGGAAAUUUUCUUUUCGAGAAAAACGAGAGUACCUAUUUCAAUUUUUUACCAAAAAUUAUAAUUGAAAACAACGGACUUUUAUACUUAUCAUAACAAUUUUUAACAUCUUGUUUAGAAAUAACCUGUUGUUGUAUUAUGCAAAAGUAAUAUCACUAGUUUCUAUAUCCGUAUUCUAAUGAUAAUAAAAACAUCUCUAAUUCAUUAAAACUCUUACAUAGAAAUUGAUAAAAAAAGAAGAUAUAAAAUAAUUUAUUAAAAAUAUAUCAAAGUUUUUGCACUCGGUUAUAAUUAUUGUGUAAUUUUUUUUUUCAAUUCCAAGAUAUUGUUAUAAGAAAAUUUUACAUCAUAUAUAUAUUACAAAAAAAAUUAAUGUAUUAUAUAUAUAUAGGGUCCUACUCUGGUACAAACCUUUUUAGCGUACAAACUACAAACCAAAAUUAAAAAGUCUCUAAAUCAAAUCAGAAUAUAGCACAUAUGGUAUGGAAAUUGAUCGUUGCGAGAUGAACAAAAAUAAUGAUUAUAAAGUUUGUAUUUGAGCCAUUAUAUAUAUACUUACAAUAAAAGUAAUAAUAUAUUAUAUUCUAAAUAUAGUUAACCACUGCAGUUGGUCGCUUAUAAAUAGAAGUGUGCAUUAUAGGAUGAAACGUACAUCAAGCUGAGGAGAAACAUGGUACACUCUGCAAAGCUAUAUCAUCUUCUUUUACUUGUUUUCUUUUCCUCCUUACUUCCAUCCAUUCUAUUGGCAACAAGACGAGAAGGAGAAGCUCUUGUGAAAUGGAAGAAUAGCCUAGCCCCGUCUUCUUUUCUUGAUUCUUGGUCACUCUCCGAUCUCGAUAAUCUUUGCAACUGGACUGGCAUUACUUGUAACUCUGCAAGUUCAGUGUCUCAGAUAAAUCUUUCCCAAAAACAGCUCGAUGGAACGCUGUCCGAAUUUGGUUUCACUUCAUUUCCGAAUCUCGAAAAUUUGACUAUAAGAGACAACAGCUUCUCCGGGCUAAUACCACCAGGCAUUGCGAAUUUAACACAGCUUCAAUACCUUGAUUUAAGCUACAAUUAUUUCAGUGGUUCCAUUCCGUACGAGGUUAGCCAUCUUCAGAGAUUACGUGUUUUAGACUUGUCGUAUAAUGAAAUGCAGGCUCCAAAGUGGUCUGACUUCUCUCCCAUGCCUUUUAUGAGCAUCCUCAACCUACGGGCCAAUCAUCUUGUGUCGAAAUUCCCAGAAUUUAUAUCCAAUUCUUUUAGCCUGACUUUCCUUGACCUUGGAGACAACAAGUUCACCGCUGAUCAUCUUGUGCUCGAAUCAGAAUUUACCAAUUUGCAAAAUCUUGAAACGCUGUUUCUUGAUGGUAAUUCUUUUGAGGGGACGUUUCCACCGAAUAUAUUCAGGCUUUCUAAAUUAAAAUACCUUUCCCUAUCUGCUAAUAAGUUUUCAGGUUCUGUGCCGGAUGACAUAGGGAUGCUUCGUGAUCUUGAAUCCCUUUAUCUUGGUAACAAUUCUUUCAAAGGGAUGCUUCCACAAAAUAUUUUCAGACUUCCCAAAUUACGGGAUCUUUCCCUCUGGGGUAACAAUUUUUCAGGUCUUAUUUCAGAUGAUAUAAGGAUGCUUUCUAACCUGGAAUCUCUUGAUCUUAAUGGUAAUUCUUUUCAGGGUCCGCUUCCACCAAAUUUCUUCAAGCUUUCCAAAUUAAGACAUCUCGCCCUCUCAAAUAAUAAAAGAGUAUUUAAAGGAAGUAUUCCUCUUGGGUUGGGGCUUUUGACUAACCUUGACUACUUAUGUCUUAAUUCCAAUUAUCUCACUGGCUACAUUCCAUCUGACAUUGGAAAUCUAAAGCUACUAGAACAUCUUGAUCUCAGUUUUAAUCAAUUGACCGGACCGCUCCCAAAGAUCAUUUCUAACCUCACUAAUCUAACGCGUCUUGGUCUGAAUGAUAAUUGGUUUUCCGGCAGUAUUCCAAGUGACUUCUUGGAAAACUCUACAUUAUUAUUUUACAUUGAUCUUUCAAACAAUGAUCUGUCUGGAAGCAUUCCUAAGGAAUUCAACGUUCAUCCGACAUUGGAUUAUAUCAAUUUAAGUGGAAACCGUUUUAGAGGUCUACUUCUCUCUUUAAAUUUUUAUGUUCGUUUUGUAUAUGCUAGUAACCUGAUUAUUACACUUUUACUGAAGCUUCAACAAUUCUAACUGCAGGCAAGCUUCCAGCAACGAUUUGCAAUGCUACAUCCCUUUCGACUCUUGUUCUGUCAAAUAAUGAAUUCAGCAAUGCACUUCCACAUUGUUUGGGGAAUCUUGCUGAUCAACUUCUUUCCAUUAAUCUUGCUAAUAAUUUGUUUCGAGGACCAAUACCAACAACUUUCUCUAAGAGUUGUCGGCUGACAUAUCUAAACAUGUACAACAAUCACUUUGAAGGGUUGUUGCCGCAAUCUCUGGCAAACUGUAAGCACCUACAAAUUCUUGAUAUUGGAAACAAUGAAAUAGGUGGUAAAUUCCCGUCAUGGCUGUUUACUCUUGGAGAGCUGGAAGUCCUAGUCUUGCGAUCAAAUAGAUUCCACGGUCCAGUCAAUGGAACAAGCUCAGCAAAUUUAUUCCCCAAGUUGCGGAUUGUUGAUCUCUCCAACAAUCAAUUUACAGGCGAUUUACCAAUUCAGUAUUUUAAGAAUAUGAAACCAACAGAUAACCACUAUAGUUAUUUUUAUACAGAAAGUGGUUUUUACUAUCAUCAAGCAUCGAUCUCAUUAACUGUGAAAGGAAGAGAGUAUGAAGUGAAAAAGAUCCUUCAUAUUUAUACAGCCAUAGAUGUGUCAUGCAACAAAUUUCAGGGAGAAAUUCCCGAGGUUAUUGGAGAACUUAAAUGGCUUGCAUUGCUCAAUCUAUCACAUAAUAGUCUUAUUGGACCUAUCCCAUCACAGCUCGGAAAUAUGGAAUCACUUUUAUCUCUAGAUUUGUCUUCAAAUCAUUUGACAGGGGGUAUUCCCGAUCAGUUGAUUAGGUUGACAUUUCUAGAGGUCUUGAACCUCUCGGAAAAUCAUCUGACAGGGCCUAUCCCCCAAAAAGGACAGUUCAGCACAUUCAACAAGGAUUCUUACCUAGGUAACUUUGCCUUGUGUGGAUUACCUUUAACUAAUAACUGUACACACACUGUGUCACCACCACAAGAAGGCGGAACUGGUGACAAUGAUGCCUAUGAUGAACCCGAUUGGGAAGUGAUCCUCAUGGGAUAUGGAUGUGGACUAAUAUGCGGAUUGUCCACAGGGUACGUUGUCUUCACAUUCAGAAAGCCUCAGUGGUUUAUGAGAUACACUGAAAGCGUGCAACAGAAGUUGAUGAGAUGAUGCAUGUUGAGUACCGUUCAAUCAUGAAGCACAACUGGAAACAAUGUUAUCUUAGGAAAACAUGUGUUCUGAACCAGUAGUGUUUGCACAAAAUUUGUGGUGCUAUGUAAUACUUAUAUAAUUGUACGUAUGAUUAUUGAUUAGUCGUUGAGAAAAUGCAUUUUAUUUCAGUGUCAAUGAUAAUCUACAUGUUUUGGAUACUUCCAGCUUCUCAUACUAAUAUAGGAACCACUUGAAAAAUUUUGGACAGGCUCUGAGGAUGCUAAUGCUGCUGUUUAGUUUCUACCGCGGAAUUGACUUUAGCAUAUACUCGUAUGACAUAUUACUAGAUAUAUGGUUGUUAAAUAAAAUUAUCUUUUUGUGGAAUAAAUAGGAAAGCAAAAUCAUAGAAUAAUGUAUGUUAUAUAGGAAGGUAUUGUCCUCUUAGAUAGGUAUCAUUUAUGCCUCAUUGGCAUGUCUCAGAAAACUUUUGGGUUAACACAAUGUUUACUUAGAGCAUUGCCAUUCCUUAAAUAUAAUAUAAAAUAUUGGAUCUUAGUGACUUAAGAUGAUAAUAGCUAUUCGCACCUCCAACAAUAUUCCUUAUAUUCAUUCCUUAUAUACUAUUUUAUUAUUAAAAGUUACCAUUAUUGCAAUAGGUGAAAAGAGAGAACAUGUUUGUAUUCAAAAUUUAUUGUAAAAUAAUAUUUAGGAGAGGAGAGAGGUUACCUAAAGAUAAGGCAUGGCUAGUUAUUUAGAGAAUCACUAGGAUACUGUUGGAGUGGAUUAUUUUCCCAUAUUACUCAUAUUUUGGUUUAAGAUUCCUAAUAGGGAAGCUGCUGGAGUUGCUCUUAGAGCAUCUCCAAGAGAUUCUUCAUUUAAGCUCCUAACUUGAGAUUUGAGUAGGGAGAGGAAAAAUGUUGCUCCAAGAGACUCUUAAGUGGCUCUUAAAUCACUAAGAGCCUCUUGUUUCUCUCUCCUCUCUCCUCAAAGUUAAGAGCCACCACAUUGCUCCUAACUUAUUUUUUCACAAUAAAAAAAUCUUUUCCUCCAAUUCAGCUCCAUCUUUCCAUCUCUUUUGUUAUAGUGGAGCCCAAUAUAUGAAUAAAAUAUGAAAUAGAGAAGAGAUGUAGAGAGUAUUGUUGGAGUUUACACUCUUAACUUUGUCUUAAAUUGCUAAGAGCUAUUUUUUUAUAUUAUAUUUAGGAGCCAAUAAGGAGGCUCUUGGAGAUGCUUUUAGUACUAAUUGUUAGAAUAUGAAAAUGCAGUUAUGAACUAUUAUGCUAGAGAGAGAAAAAUUCAACAAACUUCAUUUCUGUAAACUACAACUAUUAGUCUGUUACAUUGCUGAAAGCUACAUUUAUACAUUUACAGUUUACAACAAACUAUGAAACUGAUUUUCCCGCGUCCUCCUCACUUGUCCACGUGGCCUGACUGGCUUGGUGUCCUUGACACUCUUUAUUAUUGCUAAUAUAUACUUAACACUAAUACCUCAAAGCAGGGUAUAAAUUCAAUAGCACAGCUUCUGGAUAAUGGAAAUUUAGUUAUCCAGAGGUCUUGGUUUUACAUAUCACUUGUAUAUUAUGUCUCGGUCUCAUUGAAGCAUACCAAACGAGAUUUUGGGUUUGUUAAUAUUUUUUUAGUCCAAAUUUGAAUAAUACUGUUAUGCUUAUUCACACGGUAGACGUGUUUUUAUUAAAAUACUGCAACUGAAAUUGAUGAAAACAUGCACAAAGCAUAGCAGACGAAAGACUUGAGGAGAUAUUGUCUUAGGCGAUGCAAUACGUUCUAAUAUAAUGCUAUAUUAUGCAAUCUCGUUUAAUACUUUCAUCAUUAUUCUCCAAGAUGUCUGAACAUGUAUUUUCAAAGAAUUCUCAGUUCACCUUUAGUCUUAUAGCGACAUUUUGAAGGCACUCUCAACUUACACCCUAUAUAUACACGUACGGUUCACUUCAGUACAAAGAUUUUAUGAUACAACUCUCAUAUUAUGAACUAGUUCUGUCGAAUACAUGAAUAUUGAUCAAUCAUUUGAACUCGAGUUUCCCAGCUGGCCAGAUACCCAGAUUAUUAGCCAUGCAAAACAUGCAGAACCACUAGUAAUGCAGAAAAACAAUAUAUUAGUUUUCUCCGGUGUUACAGAAAUCAGGAAUCGGACCUAAUCGGUUUAGCUACCGAUUUAGGGAUUAAUAGGAAAUAGGGGAUUAAUCGGAGUGAAAAUCGGAUUUAUUUUAAUAUUAAAAUAUUAUUUAAUAUUUAGUUAUUAUUAUAUUAGCUAUUUAGUAACUAAUAUAUUUACUAUAUUCAUAAACUCUAUAAUUAUUCGUAUUGAAAGUAAUAUAGUAUUUUAAUUUUAAUAAUUUACUAUAUAUACUUCGAUUAAGAAAUAUAUAUAUAAGGAUUAAUCGGAUUUCAAAAAUCGAAUCGGUGGCCAACCUUGCAGAGGAUUAAUCGGGGAUUAAUUGGUUGAAUCGGGGAUGUUUAGAACACUGGUUUUCUCCAAAUAUCACUACAACAAAACUGCCAUUUUACGACGGAAAUCUAAUAUUCUAAAGGGUUACGACCAAACUAUGUCGGUGGACUUUAUUUUAAUUUACCGUUUAACAGUAGUUAAUUUUGGAUAUCUACACUUGCGAUGGAAAACAUACGACAGUCUACUUCGUGAGAGAAAAUCAUUUUAUUUUAUUUUUUAGCGCCAGAAUUUUAAUACUGAAAUAUUAUAUAUAUGAAGGAAACUGAUCUCUAAUGUUUUCAGCUUGCUCAUCCAUCGUAAGUAAUCCGUCGAAAAAGUUAGUUUGUUGUGGUGGUGUCUUAUCAUGAGAGAAAAUGAUAAUAUCGCAAAAUAUUUGCAACUGAAAGAUAAAUUAUAAUUCUAGAAACCAUUUAGGUAACGAUGCACGAAGUUAUUUUCACUCACUUAGAAUUAAUGNUGAAAACAUGCACAAAGCAUAGCAGACGAAAGACUUGAGGAGAUAUUGUCUUAGGCGAUGCAAUACGUUCUAAUAUAAUGCUAUAUUAUGCAAUCUCGUUUAAUACUUUCAUCAUUAUUCUCCAAGAUGUCUGAACAUGUAUUUUCAAAGAAUUCUCAGUUCACCUUUAGUCUUAUAGCGACAUUUUGAAGGCACUCUCAACUUACACCCUAUAUAUACACGUACGGUUCACUUCAGUACAAAGAUUUUAUGAUACAACUCUCAUAUUAUGAACUAGUUCUGUCGAAUACAUGAAUAUUGAUCAAUCAUUUGAACUCGAGUUUCCCAGCUGGCCAGAUACCCAGAUUAUUAGCCAUGCAAAACAUGCAGAACCACUAGUAAUGCAGAAAAACAAUAUAUUAGUUUUCUCCGGUGUUACAGAAAUCAGGAAUCGGACCUAAUCGGUUUAGCUACCGAUUUAGGGAUUAAUAGGAAAUAGGGGAUUAAUCGGAGUGAAAAUCGGAUUUAUUUUAAUAUUAAAAUAUUAUUUAAUAUUUAGUUAUUAUUAUAUUAGCUAUUUAGUAACUAAUAUAUUUACUAUAUUCAUAAACUCUAUAAUUAUUCGUAUUGAAAGUAAUAUAGUAUUUUAAUUUUAAUAAUUUACUAUAUAUACUUCGAUUAAGAAAUAUAUAUAUAAGGAUUAAUCGGAUUUCAAAAAUCGAAUCGGUGGCCAACCUUGCAGAGGAUUAAUCGGGGAUUAAUUGGUUGAAUCGGGGAUGUUUAGAACACUGGUUUUCUCCAAAUAUCACUACAACAAAACUGCCAUUUUACGACGGAAAUCUAAUAUUCUAAAGGGUUACGACCAAACUAUGUCGGUGGACUUUAUUUUAAUUUACCGUUUAACAGUAGUUAAUUUUGGAUAUCUACACUUGCGAUGGAAAACAUACGACAGUCUACUUCGUGAGAGAAAAUCAUUUUAUUUUAUUUUUUAGCGCCAGAAUUUUAAUACUGAAAUAUUAUAUAUAUGAAGGAAACUGAUCUCUAAUGUUUUCAGUUUGCUCAUCCAUCGUAAGUAAUCCGUCGAAAAAGUUAGUUUGUUGUGGUGGUGUCUUAUCAUGAGAGAAAAUGAUAAUAUCGCAAAAUAUUUGCAACUGAAAGAUAAAUUAUAAUUCUAGAAACCAUUUUGGUAACGAUGCACGAAGUUAUUUUCACUCACUUAGAAUUAAUGCUAAAUAUUUGCAACUGAAAGAUAAAUUAUAAUUCUAGAAACCAUUUAGGUAACGAUGAGCGGAGUUAUUUUCACUCACUUAGAAUUAAUGAUAAAUAUUUGCAACUGAAAGAUACAUCAUAGUUCUAGAAAAGGAUCCACGAAGUUAUUUUCACUCACUUAGAAUUAAUUGUAAGUUAUUGUGAGUUUUUGAAUAUGAAUUAUCUCAAAUUUUAUUAAAACACAUGUUGAUUCUUAUAUACAAAUUUGCCUAUCUAAUAUUAUAAUAUUUAUGGAGAAGGUGUAUGAACAAUUGUGUAGAUAAUUAUACUUUACAAAGCAUACUUCUGCUAGCUGAAUUUUGAUUAAAAAAAUCGAAAGGGAUAGGUCUGGGUCUCUCCAAGUCUUUGAGGACUCAUUCCAAGUCUUCUGAUGAGGACAAAAUAUAUUGCUGGAAGUCUUUCAGUCCUUCCUAGAGUAUUUUGUGCUCUGCACUGCAUUAUGCAGCUCUCAUAUAACUGACCGCUAACCUCCUUCCAACACUUUGCGAUGCAAAACAGUGGCAUGUUAUAAGUAUUUCCGUAUGUGUAUUUAUUUGGAUAUUAAAGUUGCGUAACAUUUGUGUUGAUAAUUUGCGCAAUGUUGAUGAGGAUUGCUCCCAAGUCUUGGCGGACUCUUUCCAAAUCUUCUGAGGACCUAUGGGUUCAAAUUAGUCCAUUAAAAUGAAUACCAUUGUUUUGUGAUUAAGUUGUAUGGUUAAGAGCUUAUCCUCUGUCGUCCCAGGUCCUGGGUUCGACCCUGGCUCACCCCGAGAGUUUCGUAGAACAGAUACUCAUUAUAAGGCUAUAAGCCAUAUUUGUCAAAAAAAAAGUUGUAUAGGCAAUAUGCAUUGCAAAAUCAGCAACAGAAUAUAUACUAAUUAAUUACCUGAUAUCGGUUUGAACAAAUACUUUCUAUGUAGUUGUAAUAUUAGUCUUCUUUAAAAGUUAUCAUGAGGGAAGAUAUAUAUUGUGAUGCGGGGGAAAUAUUGUAACCGAAAAUAAUUAUAAUUCUAAAAAUUUCCAUUAUACACUUUUUUUAGUGUUCGUACGUGGUAAGUACUUCAGACGACAUUUCUCGCGUAUGCCUCCAAUUAAGAAUUUGAUGUUCAGCCUAGUCCUAAACUAAAAUUAUUAUAAAUGUGUAAUUCAAAAUUAUAUUGCUGGUAGGCUCUGAGAUUAACCUUAAACAAAAACAACUCAGUGGAACGCUUUCCGAGUUUGGUUUCACUUCAUUUCCAAAUCUCAACAAUCUCAACAUAGCACGAAACAACUUUUACGGUCCAAUACCACCAGCCAUUAAGAAUUCUAUUUUAAUAUGUAACAUUCUAUUUUCUAAAAUAAUAAAUAUUUUUUUUAAUAGUUGGUCAAAAAUUAGUCAAUUUGACUUCUCAAAAAGCAGAAAGGACAUGUAAAUUGAGACGGGGGAGUAUUUAACGGAAUUCAACGAAAGGUGUGCGUAUCGUUCUUGAAAUGUAAAAAUAGGUGGUGCAAUUCGAGUUUCCAAACCUAUGGGUACAAUAUCGUUUUUAAACGUAAGCUAGGGGGUCCAAAUUACAAUUACAUGUAUAUAUAGUGACUUAACGGAGUGCAUAUAGUUAACGGAAGUUAACGGCAGGGAGUGCAUCUCGGGCUUGAAUAGUAAAGAUAAAAGGUGCGAGUUGAGUUUCUCAAAGUAUGAGUACAAUAUCGUUUUUGAAUGAUAGUUAAGGGGUGCGAUAUGCAAUUACCUCAAAAAAAUAUGAUCAUUAGUAUAUUAUAUUAGUAUCCACACACUUAUAUCUCAAAAUCUAUCCUCCAAAAUUAUCAUCUAUAUAGGCUAGCCACAUAAAAUAAAAAUUUAAAGAUAUUAGAUAUUUAGUUAUUUCAAUUAUAUAAUUUUUCCACGCAAAAUAACAAAAUAUCUUUAUCAACUUAUUAUUUAUGAGUUAAAUAUUCAACUUAUAUAAUUCGGGCAUGCUGGGUAUAAAUAGAAGUGUAACGCCUAAUUUCCGGGGUCUGGGAGUAGUUAGCGGGGUAUGAGAGAGCAGGCUAUUUAGAAGUCUUGGUCAUGAAAACUUCCAAGCUAACUUCGACAACGGAAUCUUCUGAGGCUACUAUUCUAAAGCACGCAUAAUCAUUGUAUUCAUUUUCCUCUAACACUGGCAAAAAGUCUAUUUAAGCAAAUGAAAUACAAACAACUGAGUGGAAUGCUGACCGAAAGUCUUUUUGGCUGAGCUUAUGAUUUAUUAGUACAUGAUUAAUAUGAUAAGCUAAGCUGAGAGCAUAAGAUAUCGUGUGUAUAAUUUUGUGUUUAUUAAUGACUUAUAAAUUAUUAAAAAUAUAAUAAGAAAAAUAAAAAUGAUUUAUAACUAAUUUAUGUUUUAUGAGUAAUUUUUAUUAGAAAAAAGUUUUAAAAAAUUAUUUCACUGAAAAAAAAUCCUCCAACUAACUUUUGGCUCUAAGUCAGUUUUUGAUUUAUUUAUGAUUUUAAGUCGGAUUCUGAUUUUUACACAAACAGAAAAUUUCCAGCUUAAAGUUAAAAACAACUUUAAGCUCCGGUUUUAAACCUCUGAGUUUGGUUUCACUUCAUUUACAAAUCUCAACAAUUUCACCAUCAAACACAAUGACUUCUCCAAUCUCCGGUCCAGUUCACCAGCCAUUGAGAAUUUGGCACAACUUCAAUUCCAUACCAGGUUAGUCGGCUUCGGAGGUUACACGCCUUAGACCUGUCAAAUACAAAUUUCAAUCUCCAAACUGGUCCGAUUUAUCUUCUAUGCAUUUUGUUGAGUCCGGCUCAUCUAAAACCUGAAGGUGUUAGAAGAAACCCGAAUGAAUCUUAUAUAUGAAUCUUAUAUAUGCUAUAUUUAAACAAUUCUGAGCACACUCAACCUUGGUAUUAAUAAUAUCGUGUCGAUAAUUCCAGAAUUUAUAUCUAAUUCUCAUAGCCUAACUUUCCUUGACCUUUCCAUAUAACAAAUUUACAGUUAAUCCUGUGCUUGAAUCAGUAUUUGCAACCAAAAUUAUGCAAUUAUAGUGCAGGUAGUCUUCCAGUUCUUCCUACUCUAUGCUAUAAUUUCAUUUGAUACCAAUAAUUUUACGCUCUACACUCCAGGAUGAGCUCGCAUAUUAUUGACAGCAAUAAUCCUUCCAACACUUUGUGAUGCAAAGCAGGGGGGCGCCUGUAUUUUCAUAUGUCUAUAUUAUUGGAGAUUAAAGUUGUGUGGACAAUUGUGUUGAUAAUUUGCCCAAUGUUAACAGGGAUAGGUUGGCUUAAAAAUAUAUAAGGUCACUUGUGCAUCGCUGUUCACACACUUAGACCCUGUUUGUGUAAGCUUUAAGUCCGGGCUCAAGCAAUUUCGACUUAAUCACUUCCGAGGACCAAUACCAACAGCCUUCUCAAAGAGUUGCCAGCUAAGAUAUCUAAACAUGUAUGACAAUCAGUUAGAAGGACUAUUGCCCCGAUCUUUGUCAAACUGUAAGCACUUAAAAAUUCUUGACAUCGGGAACAAUAAAAUGGGUGGUACAUUCCCUUCAUGGCUAUUUAAUCUCGGAGAGCUAGAAAUCCUAGUCUUGCGAUCAAAUAGACUGUACGGUCCUGUAAGUGGAAGGAGCACAUCACAUCCAUUCCCCAAGUUGCGGAUUCUAGAUCUCUCCAACAAACAAUUCGCGGGCUAUUUGCCAAUUCUAAACUUUAAGAAUAUGAAACCAGCUGCUGAUGAUAACGCGUAUAGUUAUAAAAAUAAGUCACAAGGACUAAUUAAUUACAUCUAUGAAGCAUCUAUCUCCUUAAAUGUGAAAGGAACAGAGUAUGAAGUGAAGAACAUUCUUCAUAUUUACACAGCCAUUGAUCUAUCGUGCAACAAAUUUCACGGAGAAGUUCCAAAGAGAGCUUAAAUGGCUUGCAUUGCUCAAUCUAUCUCAUAAUAGUCUUGCCGGACAUAUGUUCUGAAUUAUUAUUAUGCUUUCAUCAAUAUUUUCAAACAUUUCUCAAUAUGUAUUUCAAAGAAUUCUCAAGCCCUGGAACAUUUGGACCGGUCCUUUCGAAGCCAAGAUGCCCAGGUUAUCAUGGCCAUGCACAAAAAUGAAUAAAUUAUUCCAAGUCUUCCAUGACUCAUUCCAAGUCUUCGGAGGAGACCCUGAGCACAAAGAUGCUCAGGGUCUCCCCAAGCCUUCCAGGACUCAUUCCAAGUCUUCGGAGCACGGCCUCGACUCGCCCUUUCAAAGAUGUGAUAGUAGCUCGAGAGUGAUAUAAAUUAUUUUCCGGACACUAAAAAUAAAUAAUCAGAUCAAAUUAAUCAAUAAUAAAUUAAGGAUGAAAUCCAAAUUAAUCCUAAAUUUUGAUAAUAUAUAAAAAUUAUAAUUAUAAAUUAUAUAACCAAAUCAGAAUUGAAUUAACUUCCUUGGCACUAAAUUGAUAAGGAAAGUAUAAUAAUUUAAAUUUAAUUGAUGAAAAGUCAAAGUCUUCUAAUAAAUCCAUAAAGAAUAUGAUAAUCAAAAUAACGAAAAUUAUAAUUGAAAAAUCAAAAUCAUUAGUGUAUUGGAAUAGUGUUCACACACUUAUAUAUCAAAAUUUGUGGUCCAAAAACUAUAGCACAAUAUCCUAAAUACACCACAUUAAAUAUUAGUUCAAAAAUAUUCUGUAAAUAAUUGUUUUCAUUCAUCAUUUUGUUAUUUAAAAAACUAAUAAUUUGGGUUGAUGUUAACCUAUAUUUUAAUAUAUAAUUAUAUUAUUUUCGUAUUAUUUUAUUUAACUAGAAACAAUAUUUUUAUCAGACAUCAAUUAUAUUAAAAGAUAUAAUUUUAUUAAAAAAAAUUGAAUUAAAUUAAUAGGAUAACUCUACGCCUCACCAAGUCUACAAGACUCAUUUCAAGUCUACCAAGGACCACUACCUCGGUCCUCAACCAUUGGGAGAUGUGAAAGUAGCUUGAGAGUGACAAAAAUUAUUUUCCUCACAAUAAAAUUUAAUAUCUGAUAUAAAUUAAUUAAAUUAGUUAAUAAUAAAUUAAAACUAAUCAUGAAUUAUGAUAAUAAUUAAAUAAAUUAUAAUUAAAUUAUAUAAAUCAACUCCAAAUGAUACAAAUGACACUAAACCUUAGUUACUUUAUUGGUAAAUAAAUAUAAUAUAAUAAUCAAAUUGAUGAAAAAUCAAAAUCAUCUAAUAAAUUCAUAAAAAAUAUAUGAUCAUUAAUAUAUAUUAUAUUAGUAUCCACACACUUAUAUUUCAAAAUCUAUCCUCCAAACUUAUCAUCUCUGUAAACUAGCCACAUAAAAUAAAAAUUUAAAGAUAUUAGAUAUUUAGUUAUUUUCAUUAUAUAAUUUUUCCACACUAAACAACAAAAUAUCUUUAUCAAAUUAGUAUUUAUGAGUUAAAUAUUCAAGUUAUAAAUCCAGCAUGCAGCGUAUAAAUAGGAGAAACAUGGCACACUCUGCAAAGCCUUCUCACCUUCUUCUCUUUGUUUUCUUUCUCUCAUCACUUGAAUCCAUUCUUGCAACAACACGAGAAGGAGAAGCUCUUGUGAAAUGGAAGAAUAGCCUAGCCCCGUCUUCUUUUCUUGAUUCUUGGUCACUCACUCAUCUCGAUAAUCUUUGUAACUGGACUGGCAUUACUUGUAACUCUGCAGGUUCAGUCUCUGAGAUUUACCUUUAUGAGAAACAACUUGAUGGAAUGUUGUCGGAGUUUGGUUUCACUUCAUUUCCAAAUCUCAACAAUCUCACCCUCGCAUACAACUUCUUCUCCGGUCCAAUACCACCAGCCAUUGAGAAUUUAACACAGCUUCAAUAUCUUGAUUUGAGAAAUAAUUAUCUAGAUGGUCCCAUUCCUUUCCAGGUUAGCCAUCUUCAGAGCUUGCUCAUCUUAAACCUGUCAGAGAAUGCAUUGCAAGCUCCAAAUUGGUCCCAUUUCUCUCCCAUGCCUUUUUUGCGCAUCCUCAACCUCAGUCACAAUCCUCUUGCGUCGAAAUUCCCAGAUUUUAUAUCCAAUUCUCAUAGCCUGACUCACCUUAGCCUUAAUUAUAACGAGUUUACUGGUGAUUUAGCACGUGAAUCAAUAUUUGCCAAUCUGCAUAAUCUUGAAGUCCUCAGUCUUAAUGGCAAUUCUUUUGAGGGGCCAUUUCCACCAGAUAUAUUCAAGCUUUCAAGAUUAAAACGUCUCUUCCUGGCAGUUAACAAAUUUUCAGGUUCAAUUCCCAAUGACAUAAGGUUACUUUGUGAUCUUGAAUACCUAUAUUUAGGCAACAAUUCUUUUGAAGGACCGCUUCCACCAAAUUUAUUCAAGCUUUCGAAAUUAAAGCGUCUUUUUCUUUGGAGUAAUAAGUUUACAGGUUCUAUUUCCAAUGAUAUAGGUUUGCUUUCUGAACUUGAAACCCUCAAUCUUCAAUUUAAUUUUUUUGAGGGGCCGCUUCCCCCACAUAUAUUUAGGCUCUCUAAGUUAACAGGUCUAGAACUCGGAGACAAUAGAAAUUUAUUUGAAGGAAGUAAUAUUCCUAUCGGACUGGGACUCUUGACUAACCUCAGGUACUUAGAUUUACAUUUCAGUAAUCUCAGUGGCUAUAUUCCAUCUGACAUUGGAAACCUGAAGCUACUAGUACUUCUUAGUCUCGGUUCUAAUCAAUUGACUGGACCGCUUUCAAAGAUCGUUUCUAAUCUCACAAAUCUUAUAUUCCUUGAUGUAAGUGAUAAUAGUCUUAGUGGAAAUAUUCAGAGUGACUUGUGGAAAUAUAACCAUCAUCCUACUUUGGAAUACAUCGAUUUUAGUGGGAACCAUUUUACAGGUAUAUUUUUUCUCUAUAGAUCUUUUCCUUUUGUCAUAUGUAACUAAGCUAGUAAUCUGAUUAUUGCAGUUUUACCGAAGUUUCAACAAUCUUGACAGGUGAGCUUCCAACAACAAUUUGCAAUGUCACUUCCCUUUCGGUUCUUGAUUUGUCAAAUAAUGAAUUAAGUGGUGCACUUCCAAACUGUUUCGGGAAUCUUGCUGAUGGAUUGCUUUACAUUAAUCUUGCUAAUAAUCAGUUUCGAGGAACAAUACCAACUACUUUCUCCAGGAGUUGUCAGCUGACAUAUCUAAACAUGGAUAAUAAUGAGUUUGAAGGAUUGUUGCCCCCAUCUUUGGCGAACUGUAAGCACUUGAAAAUUCUUGAUAUAGGCAAUAAUAAAAUAGGUGGUACAUUUCCGUCAUGGCUUUAUGCACUUGGAGAGCUAGAAGUUCUUGUCUUGCGAUCAAAUAAACUCUAUGGUACAAUAAGUGGAAGGAGCAUAGAAGAUCCCUUCCCCAAGUUGCGGAUUGUGGAUCUGUCCAACAAUCAAUUCACAGGCCAUUUGCCAAUUCAAUACUUUAAGAAUAUGAAAUCAACUGAUAAUUUGUAUCGUUAUCAGAAUUCCACAAAAGUUUUUUCUUUCCAUUAUGAAGCAUCUGUCUCAUUAACUGUGAAGGGAACAGAGUAUGAAGUGAAAAAUAUCCUUCAUAUUUACACAGCCAUUGAUCUGUCCUGCAACAAGUUUCAAGGAGAAAUUCCUGACGUUAUUGGAGAGCUUAGAUGGCUUGCAUUGCUCAACUUAUCUCAUAAUAGUCUAACAGGACCUAUCCCAUCAUUGCUGAGAAAUAUGAAAGGACUCCAAUCUUUAGAUUUGUCUUCAAAUCAACUGACAGGGGCUAUUCCACCUCAGUUAACUGCACUGACAUUUCUAGAGGUCUUAAACCUCUCGGGAAACCAUCUUAGUGGAGGGAUUCCUCAGAAAGGACAGUUCAGCACAUUCAACAAUGAUUCUUAUCUAGGAAACUCAGCGUUAUGUGGAUCACCAUUGACGAAGAAAUGUGCAAACACAGCAUCACCUCCACAAGAAGUCGGAAAUGUUGAUGAAGAUGAUGCGGGUGAUGAAUUGACAUGGGAAGCAAUCUUGAUGGGAUAUGGAUGUGGACUGAUAUGUGGAUUGUCAUCUGCGUACAUUGUUCUCAAACUAGGAAAGCCUUGGUGGUUUGUGAGAUAUAUCGAAGUACUGCAAUUGAAGUUGAUGAAAAGAUAUGCAUGAAGAAUGGUACUAGCCGAUCAAGAUGAACUCGAAAGUUGUGGUCCUUGUGGACAUUUCUGAACCAGUAGUGUUCUAUUCUCUUUGUGGCUGCAUAAGUAUUUGGUAUUGUGUAAUGUUCUGUUUGGUCUUGAAUCAUAAUAAUUUUUCUUUCUUCAGGGGUAUUUAUAAUAUAAACCUUGGUAUUGUGUACUAGCUGUAAUAUUCUGUUUGAUCAAUGUUUAUACCAGUAAUUUUAUGCUCCGCACUGCAUCAUGCAGCUCUCAUAUUAUCUUCAUAUGUGUAUUUAUUUGGAUAUUAAAAACAUAUGGGAUAUGUGUUAACAGGGACAGCUCCCAAGUCUUGGAUAGACUCUUUCCAAGUCUUCCGAGGUCCUAUAGGUUUAAAUUAGUCCAUUAUCUGCAUACUAAUUUGUCCAACUGAAAAAUCAAGGAUAUUAUGUAUUAACUGUUUUAAUAACAAUUUACAAGUAUAAAUUUCAUAUAUUUUUUCAUAGAAUAUAAAUUAGUUGACGUACUAAAAUCACUAGUCAAAUUAAUUUAAAUAAAUAUAUUGAAAAGAUGAUAAUAAAAUUAUGGUAAUUUAUCACUACAACAAUUCUGGACAUUAAUUAUAUGUAUACUUAAAUAUAUUGAAAAGAUGAUAAUAUAGUAGAAUACAAAUGGUUAUGAUUCCGUAGUAACUACACCGUCGUAAGUUCACAUAAUUAUAUAAUUAUAGUUAUUUGAAAACGAAAAAUAAAUGAGAAAAUAUAUAGUGACCAAAUAUGAAUCAAUCUAAAAUUUUCAUUAUGGAGAUCGUAAGAAACGUGAUGAAGAACUGGAAUGAGAAUUCCUUACAAAACAUUUGGGUUAUAUUAUCAAUGAUGAAUGUUGUAUAUUAUACCUAUGAUUUCAAGUCUCAUACAAAAUUAUAUUGCUCAUAGUCUUUCGAUCAGUUCUUACUAGUGUAUGCAAUAGUUUCUCAUUCCAUACCAGUUAUUUUAUGCUCUGCACUGCCUUAUGCGCGCAGCUAUCAUAUUACUGACAGCUAACCUCCUUCCAACACUUUGCCAUGCGAAGCCUGAAGAUUAAAGUUAACAGGGAUAGGUCUUCUUCUCUCCCAAGUCUUGGACGGACUCUUUCCAAGUCUUCUGAGGACCCAUCGGCUCAGAUCCGUCCAUUAAAAAUUUAUUAUUGAUUACUUAUUAUUAUUGAUUGAUCUAAGAUUCCAAAGACAUGUUCCCGUAAUUUUCAGACUUAGCCAGUUGGUGUGGGCAGAAGUUUUAGAAAUAGUAGAUUAUGGGGAUUUUAUUUAUUCUAACCAAUUUUGAGUUAUUUAUUUUCUUCAAAAAAAUCAAUACUUAUUUUUUAUUGUUAUGCGGAAUUCCAAUAAAUAUUAAAAUAUAUAAUUUUGAUUAUUAUCAUAAAUUUAUUUAUUCAAUAAAUAUUAUUAUACUAUUAUGGAAACAUUUUAUUUUGUAAUGUAUAGUACACCCUUAUCCCACCAACAAAACUACAUCACAAACAAAUUAUAUCAUAUUUAAUUUAAUAAACUCAAAUAAUUUAAUUUAUGUAACAACUCUAUAAAAUUAGAGUGAUUGAUACUUUGCACCCCUUAUGUUUAAGCGUUUUUUCAAUUUGGUUUCAAACAAUUUUUUUGGCAGUAUGCACCCCAAAAUUUGAAAAUUGCUUCGCUUUGCACCCUUUUAAUCGCUCUCCGUUUAAUUGAUAUUGACCGUUAAAGACUUAAAGUUGACAGAUAUGGGUUUACAUUUUCAACACCACAAUUUUAAUUUUUUUUCAUGGGUAUUUUGAAAUAUUCAGACGACUGGGAUGAUUCAAGUGUCUUCAUGUUAGACAGUGCGAUAGGUCGGUCGAGGGGUUUUCAGAAACUGGGACCAAAGAUUGGCGCCAUCAGAUUGGAUUUAUAUCAUUGGAAACUCUCUGUACACCUCUAUAGAAACUGGGACCAAAGACAAGAGGGAGAAGCUCUUGUGAAAUGGAAGAAUAGCCUAGCCCCGUCUUCUUCUCUCGACUCUUGGUCCCUCACCAAUCUCGAUAAUCUUUGUAACUGGACUGGCAUUAAUUGUAACUCUGCAGGUUCAGUCUCUGAGAUUAACCUUUGUGAGAAACAACUUGAUGUAAUGCUGUCUGAGUUUGGUUUCACUUCAUUUCCAAAUCUCAACAAUCUCACCCUCGCAGCUAACUACUUCUCCGGUCCAAUACCACCAGCCAUUGAGAAUUUAACACAGCUUCAAUAUCUUGAUUUGAGAAAUAAUUAUCUAGAUGGUCCAUUCCGUUCCAGGUUAGCCAUCUUCAGAGCUUGCUCAUCUUAAACCUGUCACAGAAUGCAUUGCAAGCUCCAAAUUGGUCCGAUUUCUCUCCCAUGCCUUUCUUGCGCAUCCUCAACCUCAGUAGCAAACCUCCUGCGUCGAAAUUCCCAGAUUUUAUAUCCAGUUCUAAUAGCCUGACUCACCUUAGCCUUAAUUAUAACGAGUUUACUGGUGAUUUGGUACGUGAAUCAGUAUUUGCCGAUCUGCAUAAUCUUGAAAAGCUCAGUCUUGUUGGCAAUUCUUUCGAGGGGCCAUUUCCGCCAGAUAUAUUCAGGCUUUCCAAAUUAAAACAUCUUAGCCUGUCAGAUAACAAACUUUCAGGUUCAAUUCCCAAUGACAUAGGGUUGCUUUUUGAUCUUGAAUACCUAUAUUUAGCCAACAAUUCCUUUGAAGGACCGCUUCCACCAAAAAUAUUCAAGCUUUCAAAAUUAAAAAAUCUUGUUAUUUGGGGUAAUAAGUUUUCAGGUUCUGUUUCCAACGAUAUAGGUUUGCUUUCUGAGCUUGAAAGCCUCUAUCUUGACUCCAAUUUUUUUGAGGGGCCGCUUCCGUCAAAUAUAUUCAAGCUCUCCAAAUUAAGGAUUCUUUUCCUUUGGCAUAAUAACUUUUCAGGUUCUAUUUCUAAGGAUAUAGGUUUGCUUUCUGGACUUGAAACCCUCUAUCUUGACUCUACUUUUUUUGAGGGUCCGCUUCCCCCACAUAUAUUCAAGCUUUCCAAAUUAACAAGUCUUGACCUCGCAUACAAUAGAAAUUUAUUUGAAGGAAGUAUUCCUAUUGGACUGGGACUCUUGACUAACCUCAGAUACUUGAGUCUAUCUUCCACUAAUCUCGGUGGCUAUAUUCCAUCUGAAAUUGGAAACCUGAAGCUACUAGAAGUUCUUGAACUCAGUUCUAAUCAAUUGAAUGGACCGCUUUCAAAGAUCAUUUCUAAUCUCACAAAUCUCACAGUUCUUGAUGUAAAUGAUAAUAGUCUUCGUGGAAAUAUUCAGAGUGACUUGUGGAAAUAUGACGAUCAUCCAACUUUGGAAUACAUCGAUUUAAGUGGGAACCAUUUUACGGGUAUAGUUUUUCUCUAUAGAUCUUUUCCUAAUCUCAUAUGUAACUAAGCUAGUAAUCUGAUUAUUGCAGUUUCACCAAAGUUUCAACAAUCUUGACAGGUGAGCUUCCAACAACAAUUUGCAAUGUCACUUCCCUUUUGGUUCUUGAUUUGUCAAAUAAUGAAUUAAUUAGUGGUGCACUUCCAAACUGUUUCGGGAAUCUUGCUGAUAGAUUGCUUUUCAUUAAUCUUGCUAAUAAUCAGUUUCUCCAGGAGUUGUCAGCUGACAUAUCUAAACAUGGAUAAUAAUGAGUUUGAAGGAUUGUUACCCCCAUCUUUGGCGAACUGUAAGCACUUCAAAAUUCUUGAUAUUGGCAAUAAUAAAAUAGGUGGUGCAUUUCCGUCAUGGCUUUAUGUACUUGGAGAGCUGGAAGUCCUUGUCUUGCGAUCAAAUAAACUCUAUGGUACAAUAAGUGGAAGGAGCAUAGAAGAUCCCUUCCCCAAGUUGCGGAUUGUGGAUCUGUCCAACAAUCAAUUCACAGGCCAUUUGCCAAUUCAAUACUUUAAGAAUAUGAAAUCAACUGAUAAUUUGUAUCGUUAUCAGAAUGACACAGGAGAUAUUUCUUUCCAUUAUGAAGCAUCUGUCUCAUUAACUGUGAAGGGAACAGAGUAUGAAGUGAAAAAUAUCCUUCAUAUUUACACAGCCAUUGAUCUGUCCUGCAACAAGUUUCAAGGAGAAAUUCCUGACGUUAUUGGAGAGCUUAGAUGGCUUGCAUUGCUCAACUUAUCUCAUAAUAGUCUAACAGGACCUAUCCCUUCGUUGCUGAGAAAUAUGAAAGGACUCCAAUCUUUAGAUUUGUCUUCAAAUCAACUGACAGGGGCUAUUCCACCUCAAUUAACUGCAUUGACAUUUCUAGAGGUCUUGAACCUCUCGGGAAACCAUCUUAGUGGAGAGAUUCCUCAGAAAGGGCAGUUCAGCACAUUUACAAAUGAUUCUUAUCUAGGAAACUCCGCGUUAUGUGGAUUACCUUUGACGAAGAAAUGUGCAAACACAGCAUCACCUCCACAAGAAGUCGGAAAUGGUGAUGAAGAUGAUGCUUGUGAUGAAUUGACAUGGGAAGCAAU
rnacentral:lncRNA from 1 species